rnacentral:lncRNA from 1 species
CCGCCGACGCCGCCGGUUUUCCCACUAGGUCUAAGCUGGCACAGAUAGAUAGAUAGAAAGGUAGAUAGAAAUACAUUGCUACUAUAUCUACUAUGCCAUCAAAUGCAAAGAAUGCAUGGAACAUCAUCUAGCAAUAAUCUACUAUUUUGCUAGUAUGCUUCAACAGUGUAAUGAAUACAACUACAACAUAGUUAUGCAGUCUACUAUAUCUAAUCAUGGUAUGAAUGCAAUCCACUUAUGCUAUUCAUGUUACGACCUAAUCGACUAGGCCAACUUGCCUAAAAUCUCAAAUCUCAAAGGUCCUAGGCAAAGAGCUACCCCGCCCCUUGCCCGACUCAAUCUCGAAGGUCCUAGGCAAAGAGCUACCCCGCUCCUCGCCCGACUCAAUCUCGCUCUACUAGGUACGAGCUGCCCGCUCAAAUCUCAUAAGUGAAGUAAUAGUAUGUCUCAACAAUAAAAAAAUGAGCUACUACAUAGUGAUGUCUCUACACAUGCUACUAUGUCUCAACAAUAAAGAAAUGAGCUACUACAUAGUGAUGUCUCUACACAUGCUACUAUGUCUCAACAAUCCGAAUGAACGAGCUACUACAUAGUGCGUCGUGCAAUUAUACCUCGAUAGUAUCCAAUCUCAUAGCCAACUCGAAGGUUGCCACCCCGGGGUCAACCCCGACUUACUCUCAAUCUCAUAGGUGAGGAGAAUUUGUACUCGCACACCGAGACCAUCUGCGGGACAACUACGUCUGCCCCUAGUGAAGUACUCCGGAGACUCGUGCCUCGGUGGAGCGACCACCGACAAGCAAAACAGACUAGUGAGUAUGAUCCAAUCCUCACAAGAGGAUACCCUAUCUACCAGGGUAAAUGUGCCUCUGCUGCACAAUACCAAAUGCAUAAUCAAUGCCUCAAAAGCACUAAUGCCAAAUGCAUAAUGUCUACAACAUGACAAUCGGAAAAAUCUACUAUCCCUAGGUUCAAAUGCCAUAGUGUUCCACUACACUAGGUUUGAUGCCACUCGUUUAUGUCAUGAUGUUAUAUGCGUUUUAAUACACUAAAUCGACAUGCCACUCGUCAAUAUUAUAGUGUCUUUAUUACACUAGUCCAAAUGCCACUCGUCUAGGCCAAUUACAUGUCCAAGUUCAUCAUCAUUCUUGUCACUAUAGGAUUCUUGUCACAAGACCCAAUCCUCAUGCAACCUAAGAUCAAGUGUCAAGCCCACAAUGCUACACAACCUAGGUAACAUGCAAGGAAUGGAAAUGUAAUCAUCUACUAAUCCUAUAAUGCACAAUAUAUCAACAUAUAGGAAUAUGAUCAAAAUAUAGAACUUAGACAUAAAAGGAAGCUCAGUUGCUUCGGGAUGGACACCCUCCUACCUUUCAAUGCUACCAAGAGGCUAGGGUUCCGAUUUCGUGAUUUUUGGAAGCUUUCGCCGCAAGCUGCGGCAAUCUGUACCUUAACGGCUUCGUUCUUUAAUAUCUUCGCGUACGCUAGUCGUAUCGCCGAACCGACUUCACCAACGCGUCAGAAAACCUAGCAAUUAGGUCUAUACAUGAUCAAUUUAGAUCAAACCCUCGCACAUUACAAAAUCUCAUUUUUGAGCCCUAACAUGCAAUUACCCCCAAAUAAUCCAAAUUAAACGGAGCAACAUGCUAAGAAUGCUCAUUAGAGGCUACUAGAACACUUAAGGUUAAGGAUUAAGCCAAAUCCCAAAAUUUUACCAAAAUGUGAACGCCGAGACGGAAGCACGCCACUCCAACGGGCGCAUGAAAACUCGAUCCGUUGCUCCCAACGCAUUCGCAAGCUCGUUCUCCGCCAACGCCGCGAAUUCGGGCGAAAGAUCUAGAGAGAUGAGAGAGUUAUUUAGAGAGAGAAAGUGAGGAUUUCUCUCACUACCACCAUGAACGUGUGGUGUUGUGGGGGUGGUGGUGGUUGUGAAGAAGAAGACUAGAAGCUUCUACUUAUAGCCCACACCCCAAUAGUAGCAUACACUAUUUACUUCAGGCAGUUCGAAAUCUGAUAUCUUUCGUCGGAGCUCUCUGAAUAUCCGUUUGAGCUCAAAUUUGAUAGUCAUGUUCGGUUUUGCUUAACUUAACGAAAGAAAUUUUAAUCUUUCAGUUUCGACCCCGUUUGGUCACCGAAAGCUGUACCGAACUGUAAUCUUUAUCAGACAAUUGUCGGAUUUUAUUUUCCACCUUCCGGGUGUCAGAAUGAUAUAAAACUUUAAAUCUAGUCUAAUAAAAAUAAUUCUGACUUAUCCUCCAGUUUUCAUAAUUUUUUGACACUCUGCAUUUUCUACUAAUUUAUCUGUCUCGUUUCACACAGAAAAUUUUAAAUAUUCUGUUUUCGCUCCGAUUUCAGUACAAGUCAUUUCUAACCUAUAUUUCACUUCUCUAAAUUCAAUAAAAAUAGUAUCUCAUACUAUUUUUAUUUAUUUUCACUUUUAUAUUUAAAAUCCGGUAUGUUACAUUCCACCGCAACCUCACCGGAACCAUUUAAAUGUACACCGUAAUUUCAUAAUUUUAAAAGUCCGGUACCCUACAGAAAAUUUGCUACAAUUUGAACUACUUGGUGUAAAUUGCAAUGGAGUAGCAAUAAAUAUUUUUCUUAUAUUUUCUACUGAAAGUUCUUAGAAUGUAAUUAAAAUAAAAUAAAAAAAUUAAUCAUUGUUUAAUAAUCAGUUAGUUCUUUGACCACUUCACUUUAUGAAUAUCUAGAUUAUCUAAACUUUUUGAAAUCCAAACAAUCUUUUGUCAUUACUCAAAAGAAAAAAAAAUUGUUUGCUGGCGAGCCAUUUGCUCUCCGGAUCGGCAAUGAUCGUUUAGAUGGGGAGGGCCCCACCAUACAUAAAAGGUGGGCCCCUCUCAUGGUGCGGUGCUCGCAGUUUCGGCGAGCCAAUUUUGGCGAGCAUAGUAUUGCGCUACUCGAAACGGGGAAAAGUAAAAAUCCAGAAAAUUGAACUCCUUGCAAUGAAAUGAAAUUAUUGGAGUAAAAUUCAAAGUCCUGCAAUUAAGAUAAAUAACGCCCAUGUCAUGGUCCAAAAGAUGACAAAAGCAAUGAGCUAUCAUAAUAAUGAAGAUCAAGAAAAUAAAAAAGUUAAGAAACGAAACGUAACUGUUCAUUUAAAUUUCUCAUAUACUAACCACACUAGUACAAUUUUUUUUUCUUUAAACCUUUAUAUUCCCUUCUUGAAACUUAGGGAUUGUUGGUUUUGCUGUAGCUAUAAAUAAAUAUAGUAAAAUUAGAAAAGCAUGCCGUUAGAGAUACAACAAACAUAUCCUUUCGACAGUAUGUAAUUGAGAGUGAUUUAACUAGAAAAUUUGCUUGAGUGUUCGAAGUUAAAAUUGCAUUCUGUGUCGAGGGUACCUCUAGAAAAAUAAAAAUGUAUCAUUUUUUAUUUAAGAGGUGAAUGUGUAAAUAAAGUUACUCGUUUAGAAGUACUCUUUUCCAUUACUUCUUCUCUAACUACGUAUGAUUUGUGAGCAAUUCGAGAUGUUAUAGUUGAGCCUCCAUCAGUAGGUCCAACUCAGCAUGUUGAUGUAAUUAUACAAUAAACUAAACAAGAUUUUGUAGUCUUAACGUAAUGAUACUUGCAAUGCAACGUGAAAUGCAAGUAACCGAACAAUACGAGCAACCAAACAACCUCUGUAGAGAAAUCAAAGUCACGACUAUUGUAUCCGGAAAUAAUACUGCUGUGCAUUUUCCAAACAUUGUAGUGGUAUGAUAUAUGGCUCGCCUCAUUGGAAGAGUUUUGUGCACAAGGUUGCAGAAAAAUCAGAUCCUUCAAUAUUUUGGAAUUUCAAGGAUUUCGAUUGAUUUAUGAGUUUGUGCACGCAGAGAAAGAGAGCCUCAAUAUACUUUCCAAUAUUGUAUGAGCAAUCGCGUUCCCCCAUCUCUUUCUUUUUUCUUUUUUUUUUUUUUUUUUUUUACCCCCCAAAAGGCAAGCACAUAACCCCUUUUACAAUCCUACCAAUGAUUUUUUUCACUAAGGACUGGGAGUCAUAAUAACAUCCCACCCCUCGCAUAGAUGCCGUAUCAUUGUGGGUAAGGGUGAGGAUGGUUUGAAUUUUAUUUGAUCGAAUCCUAAAUCGUACUUGAUCGGAGCCGGAUUCGAAUGUCAAAUUAGCUAUUCGAUUGGAUUUGGACUUGAAUUCAGUAAUAAUAAUAAACUUUUCUUUGGAUUCGAUUUUGAAUUCGAAUCCAGAUUUUGUUAUCCUUCAUAUGCGAUGCGUUUCGGCUAUAGAUACGGAAGCGGAUUUGAAUAUUAGUGUUCAAAUCUGUUUUCAACAUGUAGGCUGAGCACUGGGAAAAAGAAGAGUGAAUAUACAUAGUGCAAAGGCAUUUCAAAACUUGGCGUUUGGUCUUUAAAAUAAAAAAGUAAACCAAUCAGGGAUUCAGGAGAGCUCCUUAAGUGUAGAGUUUCUUUUUUUUUUUAUAUAUAUAUAUAUAUAAAAAUUUUUAACAUUUCAAUUUUUUUUUUUGAGAAAUAGGUAGCAAGCAACCUACUUCAUUCAUUAAGUAACAUGAAUUUAGCGUACAUAAUGGAAGCAGCUAGGGCCUCCGGACCGAGCCGGCGACAAAAGAAAAACAAAAGCAAAACAAAACAGGAACACUAAGUAGACAUAGAGAGACAGACAAAACGUUACACAGAAAACAUAGAGAACAUAGAGAUUGCAGGAGGGUUCAAAGUGCUUCGUUCCAGGCUCUGAUCAAAGAAGCGACACGUUCGGUAGCCCAGGAAGCGUUAUGAGCCGCGUCGCUAAAGCACAUGCUAUUUCGUUCCGUCCAGACGACCCACCAAAUUGCCACCAAGUGGGUUAAACUUUUCGAUCUUAUUUCGGUCACGCGAUUCUCGGAGAUCUGUAUCCAAAAUCUCCGAACAUCCCCCGCGUCCGAAUCAGCUAGCACAAGGGGUCCAACUUUAUAUCGGAGGUAUCUGACAAAGAUACAGUCAUGGAACAGGUGAUAGCAGGUUUCGGGUAGUAACGCGCAGAACUUGCAAUGCUGGUCCACCGGGAACCCUCGGCGAAUCAAUCUGUCCGCUGUGAGUAAUCUCUUUCGAAGUAGAAUCCAAACAAAAACUUUAUGCUUAAGUUGGAUUUUUAACCCCCAAAGAUGAUCGUACAAAGAAUCUAUCUGUCCUCCAUCAGAGAUAAAAUCGUAAAGGGACUUAACGGUAAAAUUUUGGUUCGCGGUCCAUCGCCAUUUAGGUAUGUCCUGCGUGAUCGAUGGUCUAUAUUGAGCGAGCAGGCUUUUAAGCGUCGUAGUCUGUUGGCGGAACAAAGAAGUGGUGCUAGUCGCCAGGCCUGUGGUUAUGAAGCGCCAUCUCCACUGUCACGCCCCGAGCUCCGCCAAUUUGGUCGGAUUCGGCCACGUCGACAGACCGCCGAACGAACAGAGCUUUCCCUGUACGUUCUAGGCGUCACAAUCUAAACAAUGCAACAGAAGAGGUCCCAACCAGGAACAGUAGCAAGUAUGUAGAUUGCAUAAGUAUCAAAAACAUAAAAGGCUAACUAUGCAAUUAAUAGCAUUCAUCUCACAAUUUUACAUUUAGAAAAUUUCAUAAGUCUUUAAAUUAUUACAUAAGCCCNGGUCCCAACCAGGAACAGUAGCAAGUAUGUAGAUUGCAUAAGUAUCAAAAACAUAAAAGGCUAACUAUGCAAUUAAUAGCAUUCAUCUCACAAUUUUACAUUUAGAAAAUUUCAUAAGUCUUUAAAUUAUUACAUAAGCCCUUAUACAGUUUACAACUUACACAAUUUAUUACAAAUUUGAUACAAGUUUGUUUCUUUCAUUCUGAACUCCGAGCUAGACUGCUUCAAGGGUACUGCUAUCUCUGGUCUCAGUGGUAGGGCGCUAUCUACGAAGCUACGCCCUGUCCUCGCGCCGCCGCGCCGUUCACGUGCAAACCUGUACCCCCAAAAACCACACGGGGGUGAGAACUAUAUAAAUAUAGUUUCUAGUGGCUACGGCCACCCAAGGGAAGAGCUCGACCCACCAGGUCCAAAAGAGGCAACUGCAGGUUAGUAAACUGAACAGAUAGAUAGAUAUUCGAUGAUACAAUUAGUAAAACCAUACCUUGCCUCACGAUAUGCAAUAUGUAAAUCAUGCAACUAUGUAACAAGUAGAUCGACUGAUCCUACUUUAUAUCUUUAACCAUUCUUUACUUGUAGCCGUUCUUUAUUAGCUAUUUACGUUCAUUAGCUAUUCUUUAUUUCUUAUUCUUUAUUCUUUAUCAUAUUGUGGUCACUGGCGAUUCUUUCCUAAGGUUACUUUACCUUAGUCAUCUAGCCAUCCGACUCGGUCUUGAGUCAAUCAAUCGCGGAUAGUCCGCGCACUAUCUAGCUCGAGGUGAAGGAACUCUCACAUGCACCUCAGCUGGCGACAGCUCACCGUACUCCUGUCCUAACCGUCUAGCGGUGAACGGAUCGCACCUCACCCAACAACUGCCUAGGUGUAUGACUUAGCCACCUGGCGGCGAAAUCGUCGCACACGCCAUGACUGUGGUUCAGUCAACAGGCGGCAGGAUCCACAAACUGGCUUAACUAUCUGGCGGCGAAAUCGUCGCACACGCCGAACAAUGGCUCAAGCCCCUGGGCGGCGAAAUCGUCGCACACACCUAAUGCUCCCUUGGUAUCAACCUCGGCGGCGAAAUCGUCGCACACGCCCUAGCCUUGACACCAAGGUUAUCACAGAUCUUGGGAUUCCGGAAUCCAUUUCCACAACUUAAGGGUUUACUCUUUUACCCUAUUUCGACGACCAUUCUAGGUCUAAAUCAAUCAUCUUUAUGUGGUCUCUCUACCACUAUACCCCAUAACUUAGUCCAACUGUACUAAGUGUUACAAUAUGUCACGACCUAGGUAUCCAAUCACACUAGGUUCUAUGUCAUUUCACCUAGAUCUCAACUCUAGGUUUACUUACUUGACCUAUGUCCAAUGACACUAGGUUCAUGUUCGACCUAUGUUUAUACAUUAGGUUCAUGCCACUCGAUCUAUUUAUUAUCCUAGUUAUCCACGCCUAGGAUUAUAAUUUGCACAUUUACAUUUACCUUGUCACCGUCAAGAUUUCUACUCAACUGGAGUUGUUGAUUUAUACCCAAUUCUUAGGGAUUUAACAUAAGGUUCACAGUUUACAUAUUCUCAUUUAUCUUGUUACCAUCGAGGUUUCUAAUCAACUAGAAUUAUCGACAUUCAUAUAGCUUGAACUAUAGUACAUUCACUUUCAUAUAUGUUUAGACAUAGGCAUCAAACGUUCAUAUUCAACUUACAUGACUUUAGUCUAUGUAUCAACAUUCACAUAUCAUUUAUCAUUCAUACGUUCAUGUAUGUUUAGUCAUAUGCAUCUAGCAUUCAUGUUUAUAUAGGCUUAGUCAUAUGCAUCUAGCAUUCAGGUUUAUAUAGGCUUAGUCAUAUGCAUCUAGCAUUCAUAUCCAUAUGCAUCUAGCAUUCACAUUUCUAGGAUAACCAUUAUAGAUCAUCAUAUAUCAACAAUCAUAUAUGCCUACUCAUAUGCAUCUAGCAUUCAUGUUCAUAUAUCGACAAUCAUAUUCAUUUAUGCGUCAAAUGAAAGCAUGUUUUACUUUGGCAUGGAAGUGACCUAAUCACUUUGGUAAAGCACAACCCACCUUUACUUGAUACCGGAAUGCGAGAAAUUCGCUUCUCGCACUUUCCCGAGAACCACGACCUGCUCUUGCGACAAUUGAUGCCGAAAACGUCUUUUUGGCGCUAUCUUUGCGUAGGCUCGACGGAUUGCCGAACCGACUUCGCCAACGAGUUUCUUUUACCCUCAAUUAGGUUUGUACGCGGUCAAUUUCACGUUAGGACCUUUAUCCUGCAAAAGUGCAUUGUCGGGGUCAAAAUAAAACUAUCGAGCAAUUCAACUUUUAUUUCAUUCCAUCUCUCUUUCUUUUCUUUCUUUUCUUUCUUCUCUUUCUUUUCAUUCUUUUCUUUCUUCUCUUUCUUUUCCUUCCUUCUUUCUUUCUUCCUUUCUUUCCUUUCUUUCUUUUCUUUUCUCUGCAGCCCUGCAGCUGAGCUGCUGCUGCGGCUGCUGACUGGCUGCUGCUGCUGCUGACAGCAGCUAGGCUGAGCUGCUGCUGCUGAAGCUGCUGCUGCGCAAGCUGCUGCUCCUGCUGAGCUGCUACUGCUGCUGCGCAAGCUGCUGCUGCUGAAGCUGCUGCUGCUGACUGCUGCUGCUCCUGCUGAGCUGCUACUGCUGAUUGCUAAUGCCACUGCUGCUACAACCAGUAGCAGAGGGAAAAAUGGAAAGGGAGAAGGAAAGGAGAAGAGAAAAACAAUGAAAUUACCUCUUUUCUUCUUCUCUUUUCUCUUCUUCUUCUUCUCUUCUCUUUCUCUCUCUCUACGUAUAGGAGUGAAGAGGGGGGGGAUAAGGAUGGAGGGCUCCCUGGCAGGGGGUUAGUGGAAAUCCACUAAGCCAUAUGAAAAUUACCAUUUUGCCCCUCGACUUAUCCGUUUAGCGACACAGAUCAAAUACCUUUCGCAGGCCCUUCCGAAAGUCCGAUUGAGCUCAAAUUUGACAGGAAUGCUCGUUUUUACUUAACAAGUCCACUGAAAUUUUAACAUUUCAGUUUUGACCCCGUUUGGUCACUGCGAACUGUCCCGAACUAUAAUCUUCAUCAGAUAACUUUCGGAUGCUAUUUCUCUCUCUACAGGUGUCAGAAUAAUAUGAAACUUCAAAGCUAGCCUCAUAAAACCAUUUCUGACAUCUCCGCAAAGUUUCAUAAUUUUCUGACACUGUGCAUUUUCUACUAAUUUCUCAGUCCCGUCCUUUACAGAAAAUUCUAAAUAUUUUAUUUUCGCUCCGAUUUCAACACAAGUCAUUCCAGACUUACAUUUUACACCCUUAAGUCGAAUCAAAUGGUAUCCCACACCAUUUAUAUUACUUUGCUCACUUUAAUUCUUUUAAUCAAAGUUAGCGUCGGAAAUCCGCAAAUUUUCUUUACUUUUUAUUUCGCGCCCAAUUUGCGUCGAAACACUUAUUUAUCAUCAGAAUUCAUUCUCACACGUCCAAAAUCACUAGGGGAAGAUAUUCAACUAGCUCGAGCUUCACUUUGAUCCCCUAGAUCAAAGUUAGCAUCGCAACUCAAGGUUUCCAUAUAUUACAUCCAUCCUCUUUCAUUCCAGCAUUGUGAGACAGUGGCUUCCUGAUUUGCGGUUCUGCAGCAGAAUAUUCUAGGAAAUCGGGUACUAAGUGGGGUUUCUUCAAUCCAAAUGUCCGACCACCACCUGAUAUUUUUUCCGUCACCAAGUACAUAAGAAAGCCCACAUUUGAACACUUUCUGACAGCUCAUCACACUUCUCCACCACUGGGAGUGCGGUCUGAAGGAUCUUCCCUCAUGUAACGGCUUUCUUCUAGUGUAAUAAAGUGCGGUGAUCAACCUACCCCAUAACAGGUGCCUCUCAUUGAAGAAACGCCACCACCAUUUAGCUAAAAGAGCCAUAUUCAUAGCUUCCAUAUCCUUGAUCUCCAGACCCCCUUCUUUCAUGCUUUUACAUAUCGUUUUCCACCCAACGAGACAAGAACCCCCAGAAAUUUUAGAGCACCCUUUCCAAAAGAAAGAUCUUCUAAGAGCUUCAAUGCGAUUCCGUACCCAAUGUGGCACUUUGAAAAUUGCAAAGUGGAAUAACGGAAGAUUCGACAGUACCGAGUUUACCAGGAUGAGUCUCCCCCCAUAAGAGAGGAGUUUUGCUUUCCAUCCAUCAAUACGCGUCUUGAUGUGGUUGACGAUCGGAGUCCAAUCGUCCUUUCAAAGGGAUUUGGUAUGAAGCGGCAACCCCAAGUAGCGACACGGUAGUUUACCUACUCUACACCCCAAUAUAUCUGCGAGUUGUUUAGCUCUGAAUGCGGUGGUUCCCACAUGGAAAUGUUCCGUCUUGUUCAAAUUAAUCUUGAGGCCAGAGGCCCAUGCAAACAUCUUCCAGAUAAACCGUAAGUUACGCAUCGCGGGCUUUUUGGGCUCCGAGAAGAAAAGCGUGUCAUCCGCGUAUUGCAGAAUCACUGUCUGACACUCGGCCGUCGGUCCAAUUCCCUAAAGCAAGUUAUUACCCCUUACUGCUGCGGUGAUCCUAGCCAAACAGUCGGCCACUAAUAUGAAUAGAUAGGGGGAAAGUGGGUCCCCCUGUCUUAGCCCCCUCCUUGUUUUCAUCCACUUUGUCGGCAAGCCGUUCACUAAAAUGGCGAUUUUGGCGUUACAGAUACAUUGUUCAAUCCAGUCCCGCCAUUUGUCACUGAACCCAAGCCACCGUAAAAUACUUUGCAAGAACUUCUAGCUAACUUUGCCGUAGGCCUUCUCAAAAUCCACCUUAACACUGACGCACUCCUUGUUAGUUCUAGCACACCAGUUGAGUAGUUCAGCUGCAGUGACAAAAGAGUCCGCUAGUAGUCGGUCUUUCAGGAAAGCCGAUUGAGAUGAAGAGAUAAUUGAUGGUAACACCGCCGCAAGUCUGUUCGCGAGCACUUUCGAGAUAAUCUUUUGAAUACCGUUUAGGAGGGAAAUUGGUCGAAAAUCGUUAACCUGGCAUGCACCUUCCUUUUUGGGGGUUAAACAUACAUAAGAGUAGUCUGCUGGUGCCGUGCAAAGGUCGGAAUUCUGAAGGUCUAAGAAAAUAUCAAAUAUGUUAUCCUUAACCGUCUCCCAGAAAUAUUGGAAAAAGAUCAGGGGGAAGCCGUCGGGACCUGGUGCCUUGUCACUACCUAGUUGAAAGAUAGCCUUUUUAACUUCAUCCAAGUUAAAGGGUGCCGAGAUGAGAUCCGAUAAGGCGUCCGCUUGAUACAAGUCGGCCCAAUCACCAAAAGAGGAAGGCACAUCUUCGGCCCACCCGAAUAGACGUUUGAAGGAGUGAAAGAAACAUGAUUUCAUUUGAGCUUCGUUUCUAAUUAGUCUGCCAGACUCAUCUUCAAUAAACUGUAUCUCAUUGCUUCGCUUCCGACCAUUGGCAACUGCAUGAAAGAAAUUUGUGUUAUUGUCCCCUUCCUUUAGCCAGUGUUGUUUCGCUCUCGUUUUCCGGAGGAUUUCUUCCUCCUGCAGGAUAAGUUGAAGUUGUGCUUUAAGGUCUACCCGUUUCUCCCGUACAUCCUGUGGCAGUAUGUUUCGUUCCUCUAACAUAUCGAUGUUUCUAAUUUCCUCUUUAAAACACCUCAACGCAUUGGCUAUACUGUGAAAUUUCGUCUUACACCAUUCCUUUAUUCUAAUCCUGCAGUGUCUCAAUUUUGCCAUUAAAGUAAGUAUAGCAGACCUCCCUCCAGAUACUUCAUUCCACCAGAUAGGUACGUUUUGUGAGAAGUCCUCCCUGGUAAGCCAUACUUUCUCAAACCGAAAUCGCCGCGGAGUGGGAUUGGUUCCAGAGGCCAGAAUUAGCGGGGUGUGAUCGGAAGUAAUUCUAGAUAGCGCGGAUACCCUACAGUGCGGGAAGGCUUGAUCCCACUCCGUCGAAACGAGAAAUCUGUCCAGCUUGACUAGGGUUGGUGAACGUUGCAUAUUAGACCAAGUAAAAUUUUGGUUGGAAAUGGGCAGGUCAAUGGCUUCAAGUUUAGAGAUGAGGUCAGAGAACAUAAACAUCGCUUCUGUACUCCACCGAUUUCCGGAGCAUUCUGCCUGGUUUCUAGUGAAGUUGAAAUCCCCGCAUAUCGCCCACUUACUGUUGGAGCAAAUCGCGCCAAGAGCGAGGAGUUCAAAACAGAACUCUUCUUUCCCAUCCCAUGUUGGCGGACCAUAUACAUUUGACAGAUAAAAACUCGUUCCACCGGUGACAUGUUUCAAGUUGAGGGUGAGCGAGUGAUCGCACACCAAAACUUCCGUACACUCGAAAAAUUUUGAGUUCCAACAUGUAAUUAAACCGCCAGAGGCUCCAACAACCGGAAUAAAUUGGCACUUGCCGAAACUCGAACCACAGCAAGAGCGAAGAAAGGAACGAGACGCAGAAUCCACUUUAGAUUCUUGGAUACAGACUACCGAACAAAAGAGUUUAGAGACAGUAGACCUGACACAACGACGCUUACAAGGGUCGUUUAGACCGCGAACAUUCCAAGUAAUAAUAUUAAACAUAGGAAAAGUGACACACACCCAAAAGUCGGCCCAAACACAACUCGAAACUUGCUCCAGAUCAACCCCGCAGCAAAAACUUGUGGAGCUCCUCGGCNAGGACCUUAGGGGAACCGGUCUCUUGACCUCAGGGACCGGUCCCUGAACAUAGAAAAGUUCAGUAAAGUAUUUUUAAAGCAAUCUAAGCCUUCUGAACUUAUUCUAAUCAACUAUCUUCAUCACAAAUGAUCUUUUCUUCAUACCUUAGGUGCCGAACUUUACGAGUGAGUCUUUUCCCUUCAAUUUAGAUCUUUUCUUCAAUCUUCUGCAAUCAACUCUUCAAGACUCCAUUCAACAUUACGAAAGCCGCCAACCUAUAAAAUCCUUAACACUGUCGAGAGAACGCCCUUUUGUGGUAGUUGAAAAUGUCCGAAACACAAAAAGUACUUUGGAGUUGAGUCCGCGAGAGCAAAUGAGGCAAACUGCAUCAUUGGGCUGAUGUUGCUCUCGGGGACCGGUCUCUCCAGGUGAGAGACCGGUUCCCUCGGCUGGGUGUAGCGGGGUUGCUUGGUGCAACCGGUCCCUGGUAGGGAGGGAUCGGUUCCCGAACGUGGUCCCAGCGAGAAUUGCCAAAAAUUGGCUAAGUCUUGAAAAUUGAGCUCUCGCGGACCGGUCUCCCAGGUGAGGACCGGUCUCCUGAGGACCGGUCUCCCGGGGGGAGACCGGUUCCCGAACGCGUGCGCCCGAGGGAAGCUCUCGGGGACCGGUCCCAAGUCGGGGAGACCGGACCCUCCGCGCGAAAACUGCCUUGUGAGGGCAGUGCACAGGAGUGAAAGUUGAGGGGCUUUUAUGCAAAAUGGCUUUUAUUUGAGUGGGCUGAGCCCUCUCUCUCCCUCACACUCAUCUCAUUUCACUUUCUCUCACUCUCUUUCUCUCUUGCUCUCUCUCUCUCUAGAAAAAAAAGGAAAAGAGAAGGAGAAGAAGAAAGAGAAGAAGAAGAAGGAGAAGAAGAAGAAGAAAAAGAAGGAGAACAAGAUAAGGAAGGCUUGGAGCAUCUUCCUCUCUUUCUCUCUUCUCCAUUUGUGUAGCUCUUGAGGUAGGCUACUAAACCCUAGCUUUGUAUACUUAGGGUUUUUGGGUUUUUAUGCUUUGGAAUGGGUCAAAUGGACCCCAAGCAUACUUCUAAGUAGAUCAAUCCCAUAAAUCUAGGGUUUUAUUAGAGGUUUGCUAUAUGUGCAACCUAGGGCUCCAAAUGGGGGCAUUUUGUAAAGUAUGAGAUUGAUCUCAUUUGAGGCCUUGUAAACCUAAUCGAUAGGUGCCCAAACGCGGGGGCGAAGUCAAUUUUGCGAUUCGUCAAGAGGGCUUGGAGCUAUCGGCGAAAUACGGUUGUUUCGGCACUAUCUUGGACCAAGGAAGGCUAAAGCCUUUUCGUAAAACUCACCGAGGAGCGUUUUUGGGGCCUCUACGUUGAUUAAAGGUGGGGGGUGCCAUCCCGAAGCUUUCGAACUCCUUUCUAUGUCUUAGAUUGCAUUUAAUCUCAUCUCUUCAUGUUGCAUUGUAGGAUUGCAUAGUAGCACCAUUCCUUAUGCUUUCUAAAUGAUAACCUAGUGUACUUGGAACGCUUGGUAACUUAGAUAGGUGAGGAUUGGGUCGGAACGUGGAUCCUAUGAUGCGAAAGAAAAGAGAUGUACCCGAUGGGGGUGUUGAUGACAUAGAAAGUAUUGUUAAUGUUAAAGAACAUACAAGUGGCAUCCAAACAUUGAAUGAUGACGAGUGGCAUUAAUGUAGUGUAUACGACACUAGAGGUUUGAGAACCUAGGGAUAGGUGGAUCGCUUAGAAAAUGCCUUGCGGACAAGAACUUAGUAAACCUAAGUAGCCUCACAUUGAGAGGUUGUUGAUGAGUCGAUUGAGACAUUGACCCUAGUGGUAGGGCAUCCUCACUUGGAGAGGACUCGAUUGGGUAUUGACUCUAGUUGAUAGCAUCCUCACUUGGAGAGGAUUGGAUUCGGUUGUUGACCCUAGUGAUAGUGCAUCCUCACUUGGAGAGGAUAGAUCUAGCUCACAGUCUGCGUUUGGGAUGGUAUAGCCAUCCAAUCCCCACAUGGAGGGGAUUGUCGUCGAGUACUCCGAAGUGUCGCGCGACUAGGACCACUUGGAGGUCCAGACCACAUGGAGGUCCGCAGACGGUCCUGGGCUUGGGUGCACUUGGAGCUCCCUCCCCACUUUGGGAUUGAAAGGUAAGUUAUGGGCGAGCCCUAGGGCCUCGCCACAGAUUGGGUAAAUGGAAAUGUUAAAGGUCUAACAAUGUUAUUGAACAUAGCUAUUCGAACAUGGAUCGAAUUUGUUAGCAUGGUAGCAAACCUUUAUUAUAUGAUGCAUGCAUUCAUAUUAAUGAUUAUGGGCAUAAUAGCAUAGUUUUCCUACUAUCGCAUUUACAGCUUUCACAUACAUAUCUAUCUAUCUAUCUAUUUGUUGUUACUUGUGCCCACUUGGACCUAGUGGGGAGAUCGGCAGAGUCGGCGGCCGAGCCCACUGGGAACUAUGGAAGAUAGUUCUCACCCCACUCUAUUUCCAGUGGUAGGUUCAGGGCUGCAGAUAGAGGACCGCGGCAAGGGCAUCGCGCCCGACCAGUGAGACCGUGGUAGUAUAGUAGCUUUCCUUUUUGCAUUAGUUCACCUAUGUAUUGAGAGAGAUCAUUGUAGGUGAGGAUUCAGAGAGCUAUGUAUUUUGAAGAUGAAAAAUGUAUUCAUGUAAAUGAAAUGUUGGAACUAUUGUAAUAGUUAGCAAGUACUCUCUUUAUUUCACUUGUUUUAUCUUGUGGAUCGCUUGCUCCUUGUAUUGUUGGCACUGUUUGUGCCCUUGUGAAUGUGUAUGCUUAGAAUUUAAUUUUCUGGGUAAAUUCUUGUACACAUUCCUGUUGUUGAGCCUUGGGCGAAUAGGGGAGGUGCUGUCCGUUCGGUGGCUCGCCGCCGCGGCCGAACCGUACCAAAUUGGUAGUGGUUUCGGGGCGGAGCGUGACAAGUUUCUUAUAUAGUAUAAAUUAUUGAAUCAAAGGAUUUGUUUAAAUAAAAUUUCUAUCAAAUGAUUUUUAAAUAAAAACAAAAUUUAAAAUCUAGAUAUUUUUAUUUUUCUAACUAGUAUGCUUAAUGAUUUCUUAACUUCAAAACUAAAAGAUUCGAUUCAUAUUAUGAAUCCGUAUCCCUCUGUCAUCCAAAUUGUAUUUGAACUUGUUUCGAUCAAAUAUGAUUGUGAAAUUUAUCAUCCAUUCAAUAUUUGUGUCCGAAUUGGUAUCCGCAUAUCAAAUACAAAACUGUUAAGCUUAUUAGAUCAUUGUCAUCCCUAAUUAAGAUACCACUGUUUGUGUUUGGCAUGUGAGCCAUUUUAUAUCGGACGUUUUUGGGUCAUGCUGGGAAGUAAAAGUCAAAUAUCCUGAUUAUAUCAGGAAAGAGCAGAGCAGAGCAGUGCAAAGGUAGGUGGUUAUUAUCCAUCCAUAUUAUUAUACCGUUUGUACUCACUCCCGCUUAAUUUAUUUAAUUAUUGGUAGUCCACACUGCACAGCAGCGGGCUGCGAGCUGCCAUAUUCAACUCAUUACCCUUUCUCCUUCUUUUAAAAAUAAACAAAACACCUUUUUAUUUCUUCCAAAGAAAAGAAAGUUGAAACAAAUAGGAUGGGAUGGGAUGGGAUGGGGGCAACAUUCAGCACAGAAUCCGUGCCAACUACCGCCCAACCCCCACCCCCACCUCCACCUGCUCCCUUUAAAAAUUCUUCUCAAACAUUAUUAGCUAGCUCUCAGCCACGCUACCUGGAGACGGCACAAGUAUUAAAUAUACAAGAAUAUUAAAGAGUCCAUCACCCGAGGAAGGUCCCAAACACAUUCUCCAUCAAUUAAAUAUAGAAUAUUAAAGAUACUAUCAUCCAGAACUCAGCUUUCAGAUAAACUAAGCUUCUGUAUUUCAAUCUCAUAAUAAAGAGUCCUAAUUUUAUUUCAUUUUCUCUCGUUUAAUUAUAACAUAACUUCUAUUAUGAUGCACGCACCCUUCUCAUUUGAAACAAAACGAAAAUGCCUGCGCCUAAUAUAAUAGGUAGGUCAUUAUUAAAUUCCAGAAAACACACUAAACAAACGAGAGAAAGUAGAGAUAUUUUAGACUAAAAAAAUUACCGGAGUGGCUGGAUAGUUAGGAAAAGAAAAUGAACGCACAAGGAAGUAAUAAACUGAGCGCACUCUGGAAAUGUUGGCUCCCUAAUACAACACAUUCUUCCACUUUGCUUAAGAGCCAUGAAAUUGACACUGCAUCAUACAAUAUUUGUAGCACACUGAACUUUAAUAAAUUAUAAGGUUUCAGUGUCCGAAUAGUGUUUGGUACUAUUCUGGAUGUGUUCGAGGGUCGAGAACUGUGUACCGAUCUAUUACUCGCGUUUUGUGAAGCGAUGUGAGUACUUAGCACCAAAAUAUGCAAACUGCAAGUUUUUGGGUGCUGAAUACCGAUACCACAGUGGGGUACCGAUACCUUGACGUGUGACUGAGAGGGCUGCUCUCGGGUUUGAGCUGAUCUAUUACUCGCGAAUAGUGUUUGGUACUAUUCUGGGUGUGUUCGAGGGUCGAGAACUGUGUACUGAUCUAUUACUCGCGUUUUGUGAAGCGAUCGUGAGUACUUAGCACCAAAAUAUACAAAAUGAAAGUUUUUGGGUGCUGAAUACCGAUACCACAGUGGGGUACCGAUACCUUGACGCGUGACCGAGAAGGCUGCUCUCGGGUUUGAGCUGAGGGGUGCUAAUUAAGUAUCGGUACAGAGUCGUCGGGUACCGGUACUCGGGCCGGAUACUGAUACUGCAUCGAGCUGGUACCGGUACACCGUAGUUUACCCACUUGAUAGAGGCUCGGGUUUUGCAGAUUGGUUGACGGGUACCGGUACUCUCCUUCGAGUACCGGUACACAAUGCAGUCUGACAUUUUAGCUCCUUUAACUCCACCAGUGCUAUUCUAUACGGAGCCUUCGAAACUGGUUCCGCCCCGGGAAUCAAGUCAAUGAUGAACUAGACUUCCCAGUCCGGUGGCAGUCUUGGUAACUCCGCCGGAAAUACAUCCGGGUACUCGCACGCUACUCGAAUAUCCCCCAACUCUGGGUACUCCUUUCGAGCAUUCACUGUCACGCCCCGACACCCGCCUAUUUGGUCGGAUUUGGGCACGCCGACAGACCGCCGAACAGACAGAAUUUCUCCUGUACGUCCUAGGCGUCGCAAUCAAUACAAUUCACGAUGUUCCAACCAAGAACAGAAAUCAACAUACAGAUUGCAUAUGGAAAGGUAUCAACAACAUAAACACAUCUUAUGUUAUUACAAGCAUUCACAUUGAUACAUUUGCUUACAUCUCAAUUACACUUUCUCUCCAACAUACAAUAUGAGUUAUUACAAUUUAUUACACAUUUGAUACAUCUUGUUCUUUUAUUUUCCUCUACCCCUAGGCUAUGCUGACUCGGGGUACCACUAUCUUUGGUCUCUGGGUAGGGUGCUAUCUACGGAGCUACGCCCUUGCCUCGCGCCGCUGCGCCGCUCAUGUGCAAACCUGUAAAACCCUAAAACAACGUGUGGUGAGAACCAACUCCAUGGUUCCCAGUGGGUACAGCCACCCAGGGGAAAAGCUCGACCAAUAGGUCCAAGGAAGCACUGCAACAAGUUAGUCCAAUAACAUAUAACAGAUAUAUAUAUUCGAUAUUGAACUAAAUGUCAUGCCUCGCAAAAUGCAAUAUGCAAUAUCCGUAACUUGAUUCUACUUCAUAUUAUUAACCAUUCUUUACUUGUAGCCGUUCUUUACUUUAUUAGUUAUUCUUUAUCAUUAGCUUUUCUCUAGUCUUUACUUGGUCACAUAACGCUCAUUGGCGAUUCUUUCCUAAGGUUGCUCAUACCUUAGCCAUCUAUGCCACUUGACUCGGUUUUGAGUCAAUCCUCUACGGAUAGUCCGCACACUGGCUGCUCAACAGCCCAUCGCACUCGAUGACUCGGCCACCCGGCGGCGAAAUCGUCGCACACGCACAGCUCUGGCUCAAGUCACCCUGCGGUAUGAUCCACAAACUGGCUCAACCAUCCGGCGACGAAAUCGUCGCACACGCCAUGACAAUGGUUCUUUAGCCCCGGGCAGCGAAAUCGUCGCACACACCCUGCACAACUCUUGGUGUUCCACGAGUCCUGAGAUUCUGGAAUCCAUUUCACAGUACUCAAGGAUUGGUCUUAACCCUAUGAAAUUGACCUAUCUAGGUCCAAGCCUUUACUCAACCUAAGUUAAUACUUUAGGUUCAUUGCUUUCAUACUCUUAGCCUAGGUUUAUUAACACUAGGUCCAUUAUUCUCGUCUACCUAGAUUCACUUGACUCUAGGUUCUUACCUUUACCUCACAACCUAUGUUCUCUAACAUUAGGUUUAAUGCCUUUCUCGUUAACCUAUGUUUAUUAACACUAGGUUCAUUAUCACUCUUGUUCAACCUAGGUUCACGACUCUAGGUUCAAUGCCACUCGAUCUAUAUGUAUACAUAUGUCCUUUACUCCUAGGUUCACGACUCUAGGUUCAAUGCCACUCGAUCUAUAUGUAUACAUAUGUCCCUUACUUAGCAUUCUUACAUUAACUAUAUUCUUAGCAUUAACCACAUGCUUGCAUUUAUUAAUUCUACAUCAUGCUUAUCAUACAAUUACUUAGCAUUCUUACAUUAACAUUUCUACACAUACAACAUGACUAACGUAUGUCAUUUAUUCUAUGCUUUCCACUUAGCAUUAUUUACACUAUGUCAUUACGCACCGUUUGGUAGCCUCACUUAGCAUUCAUCUCAUGCAUACACAUGGUCUAUUAAUAGCUACCAUUAUAUGCAUCAAUAAUAAUACUCAUUCUUAGACAUACAGGCGACCUAGUCGCUUCGGUAAAUACAACCGACCUUAACUCGCGUUUCGAUUGCUUGUCGACACUUGCAAUCGGCCUCCCGCGGCACCCGUAUCCGGCACAGCCCAAUAUUGCAAUUGCACCACAACCGUGCUCCGCUUCGCAGCCCCGAAAAUUAUAGGUCUUCGGUUAUGUGCCACGGUGCUCCAAAUCCAUUUCCACGAUUUUACGACGUCGCCUCGGCCCUCCAGACGGCAACGAAGCCUAAACGUCUGUUUCUUUAAUAACUUCGCAACGGCUCGUCGGAUUGCCGAACCGUCUUCGCCAACGCAUUUGUUUACCUAGCAAUUAGGCUUACGAAGGGUUAAAUGAGAUCAAACCCACCUCCUAGCAAAAAUUGCAUUACAGAGCCCUAGGUUACAACUAUUGUAAGAAAUCAUUAAAUUGAUCCAUGAUUCAAGCAUUAAUCCUCUAUUUAGCAUCAUAGGAUUCCAAAUAAGCCAUUUCUAUGGAUUAUAAACAAAGAUUUGAAGAUCUACCAUGAAAGGGCUCAAGAAGAUCACCUCAAAAUGAGCUCUAAACCAUGGAGAAGAUGAGGAAGAUGACGGCGAUUCACCUCCAAGCUUCAAUCUCCGCCAAUUUCUUUAAUUUUGGGAGAGAUUUAGAGAGAGAAUUUGAAGUUCUCUCUCUCCCUUCCAUGCGUGUGUGCGUGCGUGUGUAUGUGCGGUUUGGGCUGCUGUGGCUGAGCAAGGAGAAGAAGAAAAGGGUUGAGUCCCUUUUUACCAUUUUUCCCCUCAACUAAACACUAUUCAUCACGGGCAGCUUGAAAUCUGAUAAAUUUCGUUGGAGCCCUUCUGAAUGUCCGUUUGAGCUCAAAUUUGACAGGCAUGUUCGGUUUCACUUAAUAAGUCCAAAAAAAUUUUAAUCUUUCAGUUUCGACCCCGUUUGGUCACUGAAAACUGUACCGAACUACAAUCUUUAUCAGAUAGCUUUCGAAUUCUAUUUCUCUCUCUACGGGUGUCAAAAUGGUAUGAAACUUUAAAUCUAGCCCCAUAAAAAUAAUUCUGACAUAUCCGUCAAUUUUCAUAAUUUUCUGACUGUGAGAUCUCUGGUGUUCAGCUGUGGAGGCUUGUCGGCAGCUCUGGAGAGUGUCGGGAUAAGUUCGAGUCGCGUUGGUGUCAAAUAGACGUAAAACGGGCUUCGUGAGACGCGAGGGCAGUUUUUAGCGAAGAAAAUCUGCAAUUUGCUCAUUUACUGCUUGCUGUAACGGUACAGCCAUCGUGGUGUACCGGUACACUACACAGAUUACGCGCAUACUGCUCUCGGGUUGGCUUCCUGUACCGGUACGCGAUCCCGUGUACCGGUACACCAGGGUAGGUGAGAGGGUGUUUUGGUCUUUUUCUACCUCGUUCGUAUCACCCUCCUCUCCCCAGCUUAUUUACAUAUAGAGUAAGGCUGAGAGAGAGAGUUUUGCUCUUGGUUUCCUCCCCUCUCUCUCUAGAACCAAUUGUGGGCAAGGUGGAGCUCGGGUGGAGUUUCGUCGCCGACGUGGUGCCGCGGAGCCGUUCGAGCGCACGUUGUGUCGUCUUGGUGCUAUGAGGAGCUCGGGCGAGCGUAGAUUUCCGUCGUCCUCGACAUUGCGCCGAUUCUUGAGGAUCUAUCGAGGUGAGUGCUCUGUGGAAUUGCCGCGCAUACUUCAGGUAUCAUCAAUUCGAGCUUAAGUGCUGAUUCGCAGGAUUUUGUCGGCGACUGUUAGUAUUUCAGCUCGUUCUCGACGUAGGAGCAUCGGAUUGCGACGAGACUUGGUGCGUUGGAUUCGGGACUUCGAGAGGAAUCCAAGAAGCCCUUACAUGCGAAUUUUGGUGAAGGUUAGCUUGGUCGAAAUCCUUCUCUUCUCUGCUGCUGUGGAUUUUGGGACUGAAUUGGUGGAUUUUGAUCGUAGAGCUUAGAGUUAGCUCGAGUGCUAGACUUGGAGGGUUCCCGUUAAUCCAGCAGGGGUCACUUUGGUUCGAGGCCUUGUUCGCUGCCAGGAGCUAGCUUCUUGAGGUGGGUUACAUUGGUUUUGACUCCUAAGUUCAUAAUCGUCAACAUGUAUAGAUCUCGAUUUUGAUAAUUUAUUCUAGCUCGAAUUCAUGGAUUAUAUGAUAGAAUGCAAAUCUGAAUUUGGAGCAUGUGGUAAUAAAUUAAGUAGAUUAUAUAUGUUGGACUUGGAAACUGAAUUAGGAGAAAACCUGCGAUUUGGACCGUCACUUGAUUAAACUGCCUGAUUUAGCUCUAGGAGCUGUUAUUAUAUUGUACUGUCGCAGUAUUUUCGAGACGAGUACUCCAGGUAGUUUAGAAUGUAUCUACACUCGUGCUAGUUCGCCGAGGGGAUUUUACAGGGUCAUUCAAGCUGUUCCGUACUGUAGGGUGCCGUUGAGAUUGACGGUGGACCCGUUUCGCCUUUUUGGUGUCUGAUUGUGCCGAGGGCACGUUACUUGUUGGUUGUUAGACCAGUUAGAGUCGAUUUCUUGACUUUGGCUUUUCAGAGCCUGUUUGAGCUCGACAGAGAUACGCUGCAUACUCGGUUGGGUAGCGCCCACGAGUGCCACUCCGGAGUCAGGCUUUGUGCUUUCGCGUUGGUGUCGCUCAUGCCAGUUGGACUUGCUCUCCACGGACCAGUUAGUGUGGAUAGAGCUUGAUAGUCGCAACGGGGCAGGGACGGGUGUAUUCACAGUCCCGGGGACGGGUAUGCUUACAGUCCCGAUUGGAUUGGGUCAGAGUUGACAUUUCCUACAGUUGGUUAGUGUAGAGCAUGAUAGUGUAGUGAUCGAUAGCGGUAGAGUUUAUUUCCUGCUUUUCUGACUACUCUUGCUCCCUUCUGUAGACUUAGUGGGUGGACCGAUGUUGUUUUGGGCGGUACCCACUGAGGACUACUUGUUUUUACAGUAGUUCUCACGCCCAGUUGUUACCUAUGUUUUUGCAGAGCCACAGGUUCCGGCUGCUGCACCGUCCGCGGAUCAGGAUCGAGGCAAGGGCGUCGCGAGUUAGAGCCCUACCCGACGUGCUGAGCUAGAGGUGCCCCUACUGCAGGUAGAUGUUUUGUUUCGAGUUUAUGUACAUAGUGGACUUAACUCGCCAGUGCGAGUAGCUUUGUAUUUUGGAUUUGGACUAUGUAUAUGAAACUCAGUUUGUUUAGCUUCUGUUUUCUCUAGCAGCUCUCUACUACUGUUCGUAGUAGUGUUUGAUUUACAGGUACAGCUAUCGCUUCGUAUACAGGGAAAAUUUCUUUGUAUACGGCGGAUUUGUCGGCGUGCCCGGGGAACGUGUAAUCCGGGGCGUGACAGAUUAAGUUGGUAUCAGAGCUUUGCUGUAGGUCGUUGGGACCUAGGAAACCUAAGUUUGGCAAACCUUAGGGAAGCAAGACGUGAGAGGCGUAAUUUUAUUGCGAAAGUCAAUGAUUAUUUGUUCUAACUCCUCUUAGAGCAGAGUGAGUGACUGAAGGAGUUUCUGUUUCGGCCUGAGAAAUUAUGUUGGCUGCAGACGACAUAAUUUUGGAGGGAAACAGGGACCGCCUUCUAGACUUUCGUUUGAUUGGGUCGAGAGUGUUUUGUUGUAUCUGACCCCGAUUUGUUCCUUUCAGCUAUGUAUCGUCGCCGAGGUCGACCGUCGUUGCGGGAGCGUGCCCAGUUGGCGCGGGAUCAUGCUGGACCUUCUGAGAGAUCUGAGCAGAUGGAGCAGAGUACUCGGCAGGAGCAGGGUGACAGACUGGGGGCGAGUGUACCCCCUGUUGUGGAGCCGAGUGCGCGACCAGAGACUAGCGCACCCCCUGAUCUGAGUGCACAGUUAGCUGCCCUGACCGAGGUGACGAGACAGCAGGGGGAGCUAUUGCAGAGGUUGUGUGAGAGGAUAGCUCAGCCACCGAGUUCUGUACCGAGGGCACCAGAGUCGCCAGUUCCACCCCCGACUACUCCAGUGACAGCACCAGCUGCAGCAGUUCCUCCAUCGGCAGCAGUUCCAGUAGCGCCAGUUGCGCCUGCUAGGGGGCCAGUACCGUUGACUGAGGCCGAGCAGGAGCGGUGGACGGAGAGGUUAGCUCGUUUUCGCCGAUUUGAUCCACCGAUCUUCGAUGGCAGAGGCACUGAGGCCUGGAUUGUUGAGGGAUGGGUCAGUGCGAUGGAGAAGUUAUUCGAGGAUCUGUUCGUUCCAGAGUGGGAGCAAGUACCUUUGGGAGUACACUGUCUGUCUGGUGAUGCACAUGAUUGGUGGCGUAGAGCGAGGCGAGACCAGGGACUGGUGGCGACACAGUUGAGGUGGGAUGAGUUCUGUGGAAUGCUGUAUGGGAUGUAUUUCCCCAACAGCAUGAAACAGAAGAUCGAUGAGGACUUGAAGAGGAUCCAGUAGGGUAGCGGACAGUUCAGGAGUAUGUUCGGGAGUUUACUAGGCUCCUGAACUGUGUUUCGUUCGUGGCCAGAGACGAGGCACAUAGGGUCUACUUGUUUGAGCAGGGUUUAAGACCCGACCUUUUCAGGUUCGUUAGGGCGCAGAGGUCGAGAACUUUGGAUGCGUCCAUUGAGCAGGCAUUAUGGGAGGAGAGAGGAGAGGUGUCGCUGCGGGAGAGGGCUCAGGGGCCGGGACAGAGUCAGGACAGGAAGCGCCCAGCUCCAGACGNUUUAUUGCGAAAGUCAAUGAUUAUCUGUUCUAACUCCUCCUAGAGUGGGGUGAGUGACCGAAGGAGUUCCUGUUUUGGCCUGAGAAAUUAUGUUGGCUGCAGACGACAUAAUUUUGGAGGAAAACAGGGACCGCCUUCCAGACUUUCGUUGAUUGGGUCGAGAGUGUGCGUUGUAUCUGACCCCGAUUUGUUCCUUUUAGCUAUGUAUCGUCGCCGAGGUCGACCGUCGUUGCGGGCGCGUGCCCAAUUGGCGCGGGAUCGUGCGGGAUCCCCUGAGAGACCUGAGCAGAUGGAGCAGAGUACUCGACAGGAGCAGGGUGGCAGACCGAAGGCGAGUGCACCCCCUGUUGUGGAGCCGAGUGCGGGACCUGUGGCUAGCGCACCCCGGGAUCUGAGUGCACAGCUGGCUGCCCUGACUGAGGUGACGAGGCAGCAGGGGGAGUUGUUGCAGAGGUUGUGUGAGAGGAUAUCUCAGUCACUUAGUUCAGCACCGAGUGUACCAGAGCAGACUGUUCCACCACCGACUACUCCAGUGACCGUACCAGCUGCAGCAGUUCCUCCGUCGGCAGCAAUUCCAGUAGCGCCAGUUGCGCCGGCUAGGGGGCCAGUACCGUUGACUGAGGCCAAGCAGGAGCGGUGGACGGAGAGAUUAGCCCGUUUUCGUCGAUUUGACCCACCGAUCUUCGAUGGCAGAGGCACUGAGGCCUGGAUUGUUGAGGGAUGGGUCAGUGCGAUGGAGAAGUUAUUCGAGGAUCUGUUCGUUCCAGAGUGGGAGCAAGUACCUUUGGGAGUACACUGUCUGUCUGGUGAUGCACAUGAUUGGUGGCGUAGAGCGAGGCGAGACCAGGGACUGGUGGCGACACAGUUGAGGUGGGAUGAGUUCUGUGGAAUGCUGUAUGGGAUGUAUUUCCCCAACAGCAUGAAACAGAAGAUCGAUGAGGACUUGAAGAGGAUCCAGUAGGGUAGCGGACAGUUCAGGAGUAUGUUCGGGAGUUUACUAGGCUCCUGAACUGUGUUUCGUUCGUGGCCAGAGACGAGGCACAUAGGGUCUACUUGUUUGAGCAGGGUUUAAGACCCGACCUUUUCAGGUUCGUUAGGGCGCAGAGGUCGAGAACUUUGGAUGCGUCCAUUGAGCAGGCAUUAUGGGAGGAGAGAGGAGAGGUGUCGCUGCGGGAGAGGGCUCAGGGGCCGGGACAGAGUCAGGACAGGAAGCGCCCAGCUCCAGACGACGGAGGUCAGUCGAGUAGCAGGCGUCCGCCGAGGCCUCCACGAUCGCAUUCACAGGGUCGUGGGUUUUCGGGGCGUCAGCGGUCCAGGGACUCUCGUCAGAGGGGACAGCCAGAGAGGACGCCGCAGUGUGUGAUCUGCGGAGGACCACACUGGCCCAGACAGUGCGAGCAGAGGGAGGGCCGGUGCUACGGAUGUGGUCAGCCGGGACACAUGAGGGCAGCUUGUCCCCAAGCAGCAUCUCCAGCACCAUCGUCAGCUUCAGCUCCACCAGCACCUCAGCAGACUUACAGAGCAGCGCCGAGUUACCGCCAGGAUGAUAGAUCAUCCAUGCCGCGACAGUGUGAGCGGCGACAGCAGGCUCCGAGUGGCAGAGUCUAUGCAGCACAGGUGGAGGACUCUACGGCAGCCAACCGAGUGGUGGCAGGUAUCACUUUGAUUUUCGGCAUUCGUACUCGUACUCUUUUUGAUACUUGAGCCUCGCAUUCUUUUGUUAGCCGAGCAUUUGUAUUGUUGCAUGGUCUAGAGUUAGGGGCAUUGUCACAGGCACGAGAGGUGCAGAUUCCGGUCCAUGUUUUACAGGUUGCAGAGUGUUGUUGGUCAUGUCCGGUGCAAUUGGAUUCGUGGGUUAUGCCCGCAGACCUGUUGGUGCUAGGGCAGCUGUAGGACUUCGACGUUGUGCUCGAUAUGGAUUGGCUGGCGCGGUACUAUGCUACGAUUGAUUGUGGAGCGAGGACGGUGACGUUCCACGAGCCAGGCCAGGAUGAGUUCACUUUCAGAGGCUGCAGGAGUACGUUGUUUGCCACCUGGAUCUUUUCGGCGAGGCUCGACAGAUGCUGAGUAGCGGGUGUAUUUGUCACGCCCCGAGGUCCCUUUUAAGUUUGGAAAAACAGCGGAAACGACUAAAUUUUUUUUUUGAAGCACCUGAUCCCAGAUAUUGUCAGAUCCGCCACAAAUACAGAGAAUCCACUAUUCACACGGACAGAGUCUCCCCUGUAUUUGCACGGCGUCGCACAAGUACAAAAGUACAAACAGUAUACAACCACAACUAAAUGAAUAUACAGAUAGCUAUACGUUCAUACAUUUACCAUUCACACCGUAGUUUUACAUUCGAUGUUUAAACAAAAGUCCACGAAAAACCUUUUAAAAACUGUUCCAUACGCGAAAACUUUUAUCUUUUAUAAAGGCUACCACGAGGGGUAGAAAACCUUUUAUUUUACCAAAUCCAGAAAUUCUUUUAUUACAUUCAUGAAAGUCCACAUAUUCUAAUGUAAUAAAAAUACUGAACCAUAUAAACUGACUAAGCUAUAACAACAGAAUAGUAGGGAUAAAACUAAACCGAUAAUCUGGGUCGGAAGCUCUAUCGACCGCUACGAACGUACCUCACGGCUCGUCCCAAAACUCAACGUCUGCAACACCUGAAAAAUAGUGGGGGAGGUGAGAACAUGUAAACAUGUCUCCCCUCCCAGUGGGUACCGCAAGCCGAAGAAGGCGAGGAGUACUCACCGGAUCAGGAAGAGAUAAACAACAGUAUGGGUAAGUAAAAUACAGUAGCAACGAUAAUGAACGAAUGAGAUAUAUAUAUGAAAACACAACUACCGCUACUGUAAUGUACAACUGCAAGCAUACAAGGAUAUCAAAACUAUAGUAGCAAGACAACUGUAAAGAAAGAACUAGAAGUAUAUAUGCAACAACCGCUACUAUAGCUAUAUGCGUCAACCGGACGAGAAGUCCAAAAGUACCCAAUCUAAACCGCCGUGUCGGUCUAAGGACCUCAGGCAAAAGCCACUACCUGCUCACACCUGGCAUGUAACCCUAGCACAAAGAGAACACCGCUGGGCUCACGGGUCGGAUGUACGACCACUUUUCCGGAAAAGAACACCCUCCUGCGGGGGAUCAACCCGCUGGUGUACGUGAAAUGCACUCGAGCUGUGGCGAUCAAUGCGGAUAUGAUCAAUAGCCAAAUGUCGGCAACCAGCCAACAAUCACCGCCCCUCGGGGCAAGCCGACCAAUAGGUCAUCAAACUAUAAAGAAGCACAAGAACCGACCACUCAAGUCAACUAGGAUGGAACGACUCUACAUCCUCUCAACUGUAUGUAAGUACUGACUAAUCAAGUCAACUGGGAUGGAACAACUCAACAUCCUACCAAAAGUAUGUAGAUACUGAUCAAUAGGUCAACUACUGUAUAUAUGCAAGAAUCGAUCAACAAGUCAUCUGAGUAUAUAAUCUAGAACUACCGUCGGCCAUGGCCGACAAUCCUACCCCUCAGGGUACACCGACCUCAAAGGUCAUCAAACGACAGAAGUCAAGAAACAGACCAACCCAAUACAUAAUGCAACAACCGACCAACCAGGUCAACAGAUAUAAGAUAAAAGCACCGAUCAACUAGAUCACCGAAACGAAGUACGAGAACCGACCAAUCAGGUCACCGAAACAAAGUACGAGAACCGACCAAUCAGGUCACCGAAACGAAGUACGAGAACCGACCAAUCAGGUCACCGAAACAAAGUACGAGAACCGACCAAUCAGGUCACCGGUAUCACAUAUGGAUAAACUACUCUACUCCUACACAUGAUACUAAGCAUAGAAACAUAUAAGUAGAGUAUAAUAGAAACAACGGGGAUGCAAGCUCAAAAUAUAAUACGAAAAUAGCAACAGAAGAAUAGGGAUAGAAGAAAUAUCACCGAGCGUGCACCACUGUACCGACGUCGGAUCGAAGUACCUACCUGUAUAAAGCUGAAACGGUCUCGCGAAGGCGGAGACGAAGCGACCGGACCUACGAAGGGUCCACCGGGUUAGAGUCUAACCCACAAACACAAUAACACGACCAUUCUCACACAAAUCCCAAAAUCAAAACCCCUCGGAACUCGGUUUCUCAAACGCAACUACCGAACCAGCCGGAAAUCCCGGAAACCGUACCGAAACUCCACCGUCGCUCACCCGUCGUUUCCGAACCCUCGAGAAGACGCGGGUGACCAGCCAACCAGGCUCAACGACGCUACAAUCAACCACGAGGCACCGUCGGAUGAAUUCCGAGUCGAACGCGCGUUCUAUCGGCGGAUUUCACCGAAAACGCUCCGGAAAUGACAGAUAGAUUUCCGCAAGGGCUUGGGGCCUUGGACGAUCAGUCCAGAGGUUACCUUAAGCCUUAACCUGCUGCCAACAGCAGCCACAACGAAGCGAAACGCAAAAGGAUCCCUAAUGGCCCCUGAAAUCACAUUAUUUUAUGUGAUUUCAUGGCUCUAACGGGUCGUACCAGCAAACCAGGGAUCUAUGGAGGUUGCCAUCGCACUUGCUGCAAGGUUUCAGCAUGCCUGAGGCCGUGCUCACCUUUCGGAGCACUGCCGGCAGCAACCACGCGCGCACGAGCGACGCGAACCUCAGCGAAUCAGUGCGCAUACUGUGGAAAACAGCCUUUUCUCACUAACCAGGGCACCGUUAACCUAAAUGGAGGCGAGCAUCGUGUUCAGCACGAGCCCACGAUCACCGUGCUCACCUCCCGAGGUGCCAGGGAGUCAUCGGAUCGCCGAAAAAGUGACCAGAACGCAAAACAGCAGUGCUGGAACCAAAGUAAACUACUCACCGGAGCUGUGGGAGCUAGGGAUGGCCGCCGGCGAUCGGGCGGCGGGCGCUCCGGCCGGUGAUGGCAGCAGCAAGUCGGGGAGGUCCGGGGGAGGUGCUGGACGGCGGCGGGCAGCAGCCGGUGGCGCGGCGGCGGAGAUCGGGCCCGCACACUUCCUCUCGGGCUGGAGCUUGCCUGCGGCGAGGCGGCGACCGGGGGAGGUCGGGGCGGCGAUGAUCCGGUGCCUGAGACCAAGGGGGAGGUGGUGCUCACCUCAGAGGGCAACGGCAGCGCUCGGGAGUGGCACGGCUCCAAGGUCGGCCCGCACAGGACCCGAGCGGCGGCGGGAGACCUUGGCGGCGGCCGGCGGGGCGCGGGGACGGCCGGGGACGCGCGCGCCGGGUUGCUGGAGGUCGCCGGGGUCCUCAGGGGGGCUUGGCCGCAGGGGAAGUGCGGUCCCAAAGCCCGCAACCUGAGGUCGGCCUGGCUCGGGUCUGGGCAGACCCGGCUGGCUAUAGCCUCUUCCGGCGGCCCCGGGGCUGCUCGGCGGCGGCCGGAACACGAGCACGGGCAGGACAGGGAGGUGCUGGGAUGGCAGGGGCGGCUGGGGUUAGCUGGGGGGUUCUAGGGUUAGGGUUAGCUCAAGAAACCCUAGGACAAACUAUAUAUAGGUGCGGAAAACUCGCGGAAAACCCCCUCGAAAGGAAUCUAAUUAAUCCGAGCUCUCAACCAGCAGUCGCAUAACGCACGAUAGUCCCUCUAAGAUCGAAAACUCGCAAUUCGACGCAUAAAAUAUAGGGCCUUUUCGCGAAUAAUCCAAUUACUCAAAUCAGCCCCUUCGCGGACUUUUCGCGAUUCCCGAAGAUCCGUCCGUCGGAUUUCCGAUCGGAUCGCACCAGCGCGAUCAGCACGACAGAGGCAUCGAAUCUAGCAUUUCGUUUCGCCCGAAAAGGUUCCCGAUUUGCGACAAAACCAUCCCUCCUAGGUUCCACCAAAAACCACAUAUAGACAACUAUAUGUAAAAACCAUUAAACCCCUUUUUCUCGAAAUCCGUGCAUCCAAAUCCAAUUCCGUCAGUGCCAUUGGGUCCAGGAUAGUUGAGCGGUUGAAAACGAGCUAUUGGAAUGCUAUAUUCGGAGUCCGAUACGCGUCGAAAGUCCCCUUUACUCCGCGGCCUCUCCGGAAAACCGGAGUUACUAUUCACUUAAGUCAGACUUCCGGGUCGCGUAACUUCUCCGUUUUAACUCGUUUUCUCCUGAAAUUUGACAAGUACACUUAUAAUUAUAUUACACACAAGAACAUCGUCAAACAAAAGGGUUUAAUCAAUAAAUCAAAAAUCUCAGUUAUUACAGUAUUGCUUUCUUAGCGACAGUUGUGGAGGUACCUACGGCGGCGCCGGGACUUGAGGACAUUCCAGUAGUCCGCGAGUUUCCCGAUGUGUUUUCCCCUGAGUUGACGACGUUGCCGCCGGAGAGGGAGAUUGAGUUUGUGAUUGAUGUAGUUCCUGGAACUGCACCAAUCUCAAAGGUACCUUAUAGAAUGGCGCCGGCAGAGCUGAGAGAGCUGAAGGCACAGCUUCAGGAUUUGGUGGAUAGAGGGUUUGUGAGACCCAGUGUGUCGCCUUGGGGAGCGCCGGUGUUGUUUGUAAAGAAGAAGGAUGGUUCGCUCAGGUUAUGUGUGGAUUACCGGGAGCUGAAUAAAGUGACCAUCAAGAAUAAGUACCCCUUGCCGCGCAUAGAUGAUUUGUUUGAUCAACUGCAGGGAUCUUAUGUUUUCUCGAAAAUUGAUCUCCAGUCAAGUUACCACCAACUGAGGGUGAGGGCCGAGGAUGUUCCCAAGACGGCUUUUCGGACUCGGUACGGGCAUUAUGAGUUCACGGUGAUACCUUUUGGAUUGACGAAUGCCCCUGCCGCAUUUAUGGAUUUGAUGAACAGAGUGCUCAAGCCGUUCUUGGAUAGAUUUAUGGUAGUCUUCAUGGACGAUAUCUUGAUACACUCCCGGAGUGAUACUGAGCAUGAGGAGCACUUGAGGAUUGUGCUACAGCUUCUGCGAGAGAAGAAGCUGUAUGCCAAGUUGAAGAAGUGCGAGUUCUGGCUACGGGAGGUUGCUUUCUUGGGCCACAUGAUUUCAACCGAGGGCGUAGCAGUGGACCCGAAGAAGAUUGAGGCAAUUCGAGAUUGGCCUAGACCGACGACGGUUACUGAGGUACGGAGCUUCCUGGGACUCGCAGGAUAUUACCGUCGGUUCGUGGAAGGCUUGCGAAGCUUUCCACACCCCUUACAAGCUUGACUCGGAAGGGGAUUCGUUUUGUCUGGAGCGACGACUAUCAGAGGAGCUUUGACGAGUUGAGACUGAGGUUGACAUCGGCUCCUAUCCUUGCCCUUCCUGUUAUGGGUGAAGGAUUUGUGAUCUACAGUGAUGCAUCGCACAGUGGACUUGGUUGCGUGCUGAUGCAGCAUGGUAGGGUGAUUGCUUAUGCUUCACGGCAAUUAAAGGAUUAUGAGAAGAAUUACCCUACGCAUGACUUGGAGCUUGCCGUAGUGGUUUUUGCUUUGAAGCUCUGGCGGCAUUAUUUGUACGGCGAGCACUGCGAGGUCUUCACCGGUCAUAAAAGUCUCAAGUAUCUGUUCACACAGAGGGAGCUGAAUCUGAGACAGCGCCGGUGGUUGGAGUUACUGAAGGACUAUGACAUUAGUAUUCAGUAUCAUCCUGGCAAGGCGAAUGUGGUGGCAGAUGCGUUGAGCAGGAAGUCAGUGCAGAGCCUGAGUUUGAGGAUUACUGAGCAGAGGCCCCUACUCGAGGAGCUACAGCGGCUGGGACUCGAGAUAGUACCCCCUGGGUCUACGGCGAGGCUGACAUCUCUUGUGUUGCAGCCCACUCUGUUGGAUAGGAUCCGUGAGAAACAGAGUGGAGAUCCGUAUUUGUUGAGGAUUAGAGAGCAGCUAGACAGGGGGAAGGAUGAGGGAUUUGCUUUGGACAGUGCGGGAGUACUUAGGUACAGGGACCGACUGUGUGUACCUGUGGAUCCUGAGAUUCGAGCGGAUAUUCUGAGAGAGGCUCAUUGUUCUCCUUAUACAGUUCACCCUGGGGGAACCAAGAUGUAUAAGGAUCUUAAGGCACGGUUCUGGUGGCCUGGAAUGAAGAGGGACAUUGGCAGAUAUGUGGCUCAGUGUUUGACUUGCCAACAGGUAAAGGCCGAGCAUCAGAUGUCUGCUGGCAAGCUUCAAAGUCUGCCAGUGCCCGAGUGGAAGUGGGAGUACAUCACUAUGGACUUUGUCGUUGGAUUGCCUAGAGCGCAGGGUGGCUACGACGCGAUUUGGGUGAUAGUGGACAGACUGACCAAGUCUGCUCACUUCCUACCGGUUCAGACUACCUGGUCCAGAGAGAGACUCGCGCAGCUAUACUUAGAUGAGAUCGUUAGGCUGCACGGCGUGCCAGUGUCGAUUAUAUCAGACAGAGACCCGAGGUUUGUAUCACAUUUCUGGAGGAGUUUGCAGACAACCUUGGGUACACAGCUGCAUUUUAGCACGGCGUUCCACCCACAGACAGAUGGUCAGUCAGAGAGAACCAUACAGACUCUAGAGGACAUGCUGAGGGCAUGCGUCCUGGAUUUUGGAGGAGGGUGAUAUCGACAUGUGAGACUGGUUGAGUUUGCGUACAACAACAGCUAUCAAACAAGCAUUCAGAUGGCUCCGUUUGAGGCGUUGUAUGGACGCAGAUGUCGAUCCCCCCUGUUUUGGAGUGAUGUGGGUGAGCGGAGGACACUUGGACUAGAGAUUUUACUUGAGGCUGAGGAUAAGGUGAGAGUCGUUCGACGACACCUUUUGACAGCACAGAGCCGACAGAGGAGCUACGCCGAUACCAGGAGACGAGACUUAGAGUUUCAGGUUAGAGAUCUUGUUUUUCUCAAAGUCUCGCCGUCUAGAGGGAUACGCCGCUUUGGAGUACGUGGAAAGCUUAGUCCACGGUUUGUUGGCCCUUUCGAGGUAUUGGAGCGUAUCGGACCGGUGGCUUACAGGAUAGCUCUACCCCCGCGACUUGCUGGCAUCCAUGAUGUUUUCCACGUCUCAGCACUGAGGAGAUAUGUUUUUGACCCCUCUCACGUGAUUGACUUCACUCCACUCGAGAUUGGCGAGGAUCUGAGAUACGAGGAGCGACCGUUGCGGAUUCUUGCUCGAGAGACGAAAGAAUUGCGCAACCGGGUCAUCCCGUAUGUGAAAGUGCAGUGGAGGCGUCAUGAUGAGCGGGAGGCGACUUGGGAGCCUAAAACGGUGAUGAGGGAAGCCUAUCCCUAUUUGUUUGAUGCCUGAGCAGAGGUAUGUUUCAGUUUCGUGGACGAAACUUUUCGUAGUGGGGGAGGAUGUGAGAUCCCUGGUGUUCAGCUGUGGAGGCUUAUCGGCAGCUCUGGAGAGUGUCGGGACAAGUUCGAGUCGCGUUGGCGUCAAAUAGACGUAAAACGGGCUUCGUGCGACGCGAGGGCAGUUUUUAGCGAAGAAAAUCUGCAAUUUGCUCAUUUACUGCUUGCUGUACUGGUACAGCCAUCGUGGUGUACCGGUACACUACACAGAUUACGCGCAUACUGCUCUCGGGUUGGCUUCCUGUACCGGUAAGCAAUCCCGUGUACCGAUACACCAGGGUAGGUGAGAGGGUGUUUUGGUCUUUUUCUACCUCGUUCGUAUCACCCUCCUCUCCCCAGCUUAUUUACAUGUAAAGUGAGGCUGAGAGAGAGAGUUUUGCUCUUGGUUUCCUCCCUUUCUCUCUCUAAAGCCGAUUGUGGGCAAGGUGGAGCUCGGGUGGAGUUUCGUCGCCGACGUGGUGCCGCGGAGCCGUUCGAGCGCACGUUGUGUCGUCUUGGUGCUGUGAGGAGCUCGGGCGAGCGUAGAUUUCCGUCGUCCUCGACAUUGCGCCGAUUCUUGAGGAUCUAUCGAGGUGAGUGCUCUGUGGAAUUGCUGCGCAUACUUCGGGUAUCAUCAAUUCGAGCUUAAGUGCUGAUUCGCAGGAUUUUGUCGUCGACUGUUAGUAUUUCAGCUCGUUCUCGACGUAGGAGCAUCGGAUUGCGACGAUACUUGGUGCAUUGGAUUCGGGACUUCGAGAGGAAUCCACGAAGCCCUUACUUGCGAAUUUUGGUGAAGGUUAGCUUGGUCGAAAUCCUUCUCUUCUCUGCUGCUGUGGAUUUUGGGACUGAAUUGGUGGAUUUUGAUCGUAGAGCUUGGAGUUAGCUCGAGUGCUAGACUUGGAGGGUUCCCGUUGAUCCAGCAGGGGUCACUUUGGUUCGAGGCCUUGUUCGCUGCCAGGAGCUAGCUUCUUGAGGUGGGUUACAUCGGUUUUGACUCCUAAGUUCAUAAUCGUCAACAUGUAUAGAUCUCGAUUUUGAUAAUUUAUUCUAGCUCGAAUUCAUGGAUUAUAUAAUAGAAUGCAAAUCUGAAUUUGGAGCAUGUGGUAAUAAAUUAAGUAGAUUAUAUAUGUUGGACUUGGAAACUGAAUUAGGAGAAAACCUGCGAUUUGGACCGUCACUUGAUUAAACUGCUUGAUUUAGCUCUAGGAGCCGUUAUUAUAUUGUACUGUCGCAGUAUCUUUGAGUCGAGUACUCCUGAUAGUUUAGAAUGUAUCUACACUCGUGCUGGUUCGCCGAGGGGAUUUUACAGGGUCGUUCAGGCUGUUCCGGACUGUAGGGUGCCGUUGAGAUUGACGGUGGACCCGUAUCGUCUUUUUGGCGUCUGAUUGUGCCGAGGGCACGUUACUUGUUGGUUGUUAGACCAGUUAGAGUCGAUUUCUUGACUUUGGCUUUUCAGAGCCUGUUUGAGCUCGACAGAGAUACACUGCAUACUCGGUUGGGUAGCGCCCACGAGUACCACUCCGGAGUCAGGCUUUGUGCUUUCGCGUUGGUAUUGCUCAUGCCAGUUGGACUUACUCUCCACGGACCAGUUAGUGUGGAUAGAGCUUGAUAGUUGCAACGGAGCAGGGACGGGUGUAUUCACAGUCCCGGGGACGGGUAUGCUUACAGUCCCGAUUGGAUUGGGUCAGAGUUGACAUUUCCUACAGUUGGUGAGUGUAGAGCAUGAUAGUGUAGUGAUCGAUAGCGGUAGAGUUUAUUUCCUGCUUUUCUGACUACUCUUGCUCCCUUUUGUAGACUUGGUGGGUGGACCGAUGUUGUCUUGGGCGGUACCUACUGAGGACUACUUGUUUUUAUAGUAGUUCUCACACCCAGUUGUUACCUAUGUUUUUGCAGAGCCACAGGUUCCGGCUGCUGCACCAUCCGCGGACCAGGAUCGAGGCAAGGGCGUCGCGAGUUAGAGCCCUACCCGACGUGCUGAGCUAGAGGUGCCCCUACUGCAGGUAGAUGUUUUGUUUCGAGUUUAUGUACAUAGUUGACUUAACUCGCCAGUGCGAGUAGCUCUGUAUUUUGGAUUUUGAACUAUGUAUAUGAAACUCUGUUUGUUUAGCUUCUAUUUUCUCUAGCAGCUCUCUACUACUGUUCGUAGUAGUGUUUGAUUUACAGGUACAGCUGUCGCUUCGUAUACGGGAAAAAUUUUUUUGUAUACGGCGGAUUUGUCGGCGUGCCCGGGGAACGUGUAAUCCGGGGCGUGACACUGACACUGUACAUUUUCUGUUAAUUUAUCUGUCCCGUUUCUCACAGAAAAUUCUAAAUCUUCUGUUUUCGCUCCGAUUUCAGCACAGGUCAUUCCCAACCUAUAUUUCACUUCUCUAAAUCCAAUAAAAUAGUAUUUCAUACUAUUUUAUUUAUUUUCACUUUUAUAUUUAAAAUCCAGUAUGUUACAUUCCACCGCAACCUCACCGGAACCAUUUAAAUGUACACCGUGACUUUAUGAUUUUAGAAGUUCGGUAUGUUACAUUCACCAUGGUUGCCAAAUAGGCCUUACACCCUCCUUUGAUCAUUUUCUUCGCCCUCACAGAUGAUAUAGUCACCGCUAAGCGCCUACUUUUGCACGCUUGGUACACCAAUUCUUCUUGAUUAGGCUCACGAAAAGUGAUCACCUUGCUUUCACAAUCUAUAACCGCAUAGUACUUUGAGAGCCAGUUGAUCCCCAAGAUAACAUCGAAUCCCCACAUCUGAUCUAGCACUAGCAGAUCAAUCAGCAUAAUCCAAUCACCUAUUUGCACUGGACACGCCAAACACUCAUUGUGGACACUGAAUGAAUGUUCUGGGGCAUUCACCCACCAGUAAUCCUCGUUGUAUACCAUCUCUAUGCCAUGAGUUUGAGCAAAUGAUGUGCUAAUGAAUGAAUGAGAUGCGCCUGUAUCAAAUACUGCUCUAGCUCUAGUGCCUUUAAUCACAAUUAUACCUGCCACGACGUCGUCGGGUGCUGCAGGUUGUUGCUCCUCCACCUGAGCGGCAAAGACUCGGCCGCUAGGCGCUCUCGAUCCCUCCAGCUGACGCGGUGAUGACGCGCGCCCAGUCGACAUCGCUGGUAGCAACCCCGCAAGCUGUCUCGGGGUAGACGGUGCUGACGACGCCGUCGGUGCAGACGACGUCCAGCUCGGGCACUCCCGGAUAAGAUGUCCCGAUUGGCCACACUUGAAACACUUGCCAUCGCGCUGCGGGCAAGUCGACACUCGGUGCUCUCCGCCACAAAUAACACAUCGAGGAGGUCUCCAGUUCCUCGACUGCUAUCGGGGAUACCGAGGGGGUUUCUUAGCAUUCGGCCGGCCCCCGGCACCACCCGCCGUUCGCUUCUUGCCCUUGUCCUUGCUCUCGGUCAUAGCCUCCCGUUCUUCACGUACAUGGGCGCUACCGUGCUCCGCCCACAAUGCUCUAUCAAAGACCUCCGCAACGGUCGUUAGCUUCAAGAUCUGCACCUUUUCAUAAAUCCUCGACUGGAGUCCUCGCAAGAACCAAUCAGCCCGAUCCCGAUCAUCUCUAACAACAUCGGGAACACAGUCAAUGAUGUGACAGAAUUCUUGCUCAUAUUCUCCCACCGAUCGGUCGCCCUGUCGCAGCUUGCGAAACUUCUCUUGCAACCUCCGCUUUACCUUAUUGGGCAAAUAGUUCGCGAACACCGCUCUUUUGAACUCCUCCCGCAGCAUAAGCGGAAGAUCAGUAGGUCGAUCCCGCUUAACUCGCUUCCACCACACCAUUGCCGCCUUCUCAAGACAAUGGGUGGCAAGGUAUACUUUAUCCUUCUCCGAGGUAUUGAGAUCCUCGAAGAGCGUUUCCAUCGAGUCGAUCCACGACUCCACGACCGCUGGCUCCACCAAACCGCCCUCGAAGGUAGGUGGGUUGAACUUCUUGAACUGAAUGAGAGCCGCCAACGUGCGCUCUCACUCCGCCUCUACCGCUGCGCUAUCGGGAUUUGAGGUUCUCGAUACGGCCGGUACUACCGUAACUAGGACAGCCGCUGCUGCCGCCGCUCCCUCGUCCACGCUCGGCACUACCACAAGGGGCGCGACAUGCUCGACACCCGUCUGGGCCGCCGCCGCCUGCUGACGCUCCAAAGCCUCCUGGAGCCGCUGAAUCUGCUCCCCUUGGCGUUGAACGGACUCCGCUUGCUGCCGCACUACUCCAAUAAGCACAGCCACUUGAUCCCUAAGCUCUCCGUCACCACUCGCUCCGGAUCGCUCGGGCUCCGCAUUUGGCUCCUCCGGUAUCGACCUUGUCUCCGGUCGACAACGAUGUGCCAUUGCUUCCAGAAAAGAAGCAACCCGCAUUAGCUACACAACCAACAUUGCUUGACCAUACCCAAUCCGGCGAAAGCAACUUAUGCAUUCGUUCUUGCCCCAAGCAUUAUGUCGUCGGCCGCCCGACACAAAACAAGGAGUAGGAAAUAAAUGAAAAUUAAACUUAGCCUCUAAUCACAUUAGAGAUGUCCCAACUUAACCCAAUCAGAUACUUUCGCUAACUUUAAUUCCACGUCACUCACGUUUCCUAGAUCCUUAAGGUCUUCCAAUCCUAAGGGUCUCUAGGUCAAUUCCUAUUCUUUCACUCUAGGCUCUGAUACCACAAUAUCUGUCACGCCCCGGGACCGAAUACCAAUUUGGCCCGGCCCGGGCACGUCAAACAGACGCCGAACGGACAGAGUUUCCCCUGACCGCCCAAGGCUCAUCACAUGUACAUUUUCAGCCAUAGAGAAAAGCACUAGCGGAAACAAGCACAAUUGGCUUACACGACGGUAAGCAGUGGCCAUGAGUGAAAGAAAGAAAAACUAACAUUCAUUUUGUACUAUGAUUCAAUUUAGAUCAUAUACAUUACAUCCAACUUGUACAUUUUCGAUUUUUUACAUUUCAUUACAACAUUUCAUCAUUUCUUUCGUACAUCACAUUUACCUCAAGAGAGAGCUUUACAUUCUUUUCUUUACAUCAUUAAUCAUCAAAUACAAAAGAUGAACAUAGGGUACUCUAUUAGCAAAAUGUAAACCAGACUCAACUCUGGUGGCCUCUGUCUACGGUGCGAUACCUUUACCACGGUCGCUCGCCGGCUCGCUCGGUCCCGGCUCUGUGGAAUAGUGGGGUGAGAACUACAACAAAGUUCCCAAUAGGUUCGGCCCCAAUCUCACCGACUUUCCCACUAGGACCAACUCAGGCAUAAUAGAAAGGGUAAGCAGAAAUAUAGUAACCAAUCUAUAACAUGAUGCUAAUAUGCCUGAACAAUAAAGCAAGGAGUAUGCUCAACAUAAAACUCAUGCAGAUUAUGCAAGUUCUUUUGUUCUUUCUCUUUACUCUUUGUUCUUUAUUUUUUAUUCUUUGUUCUUUAAUCUCACGGCUAACCCGGGGGUUUCGCCACAUUAACUGCUCACAUUAAGCCCAUCAUCGCGCGCCCUCAGCUGCCUCCCGCUAAGAUCGUCAUCGGGUUUACUCCAACCCGUGAUGCAAAAACUCCGGAGCGCAUCGUCCGAGGGGGAGCGACCGCCCUCGAGCACGGAACUCAUAGCAAGUAUGAUCGAUCCUUAACUCUAAGGAUAUAUAGUUCAAUCAUUGUCUUUACACUAACUCUAGUGUUCUUUACAUCACUUUAUUUUGCUAACUCUAGAAAUAAUUGUUCUUUAACUUUACUCGUUCUUUAUGCCACACCUUGCACUAACUUUAACCAUUAUCAUUGUUCUUUUCAUCACAUUGAUUCUUUAAUGCCACACACUAAUUCUAGUGUCGACUAUAUACUUUCGAAUGCCACUCGAUCUAUGCUCUUGUGUCACUUUGUUCUUUUAUCUCAUUAGGUUCUCACAUUACCUCUCAUGCAUAUAUAGGGUGUUAUAGGUUCUCAACCAACUAGAAAUGCACGUGUAUUCACAUCAUACAAUAUUUACAUAAUUAUCAUCACAUUUUACCCUACAAUGCAUGCAACAACAUAUAUAUAAAUGCUCAAUUAAAUGACACAUUAGGCAUAGAGGGAAUUCCAAAAAGUUUGGAUAGCACCACCCACCUCGUAAGUUCUUAAAGGUGCUCCGACGAUUUUCUUAGGAUUUUUAGACACCCGGUUCGCUACCUGCGUGUUAACGAAGCCAAAUUAGGCUUAUUUGGUCAUAACUUUGCGUAGGCUUUUCGUUUGCUUCAACCGACCGCACCAACGCGUCGGAAAUACCCCUAAUUUGGUUUGUAGAGGGUCAAUUUCACUUUGGAACCCUCGUAAGCAAAAGGCCCAAUUUGGGUGCCCUAGCUCAUAACAUAUAUCAAACCUAGGGUUUGAUCUCAUUGGGAAGCAAAAGAAGUUUCAUUCUACUCUAGAGACUCCACAAAAACCAUCUUUAGUUCAAUCCAAACUCUAGUUUGGAUUCUACCAUGAGAGGGAUUGAAGCUCUCUUUCAAGCUUCACCUUCCACACCAUUCCAUGGUUUUGAUCUCAAAAGGAAGCAAAAGAUAGCUUCAAACACUCUAUAGGUUCCAUAAAAACCACUCUAAACUUAAUCCAAACCCUAGUUUGAGUUCUACCAAGAUUAGGGUUCAAGCUUACCUCUAAGCUUGCUCCAAAGGGGAAGAAAAGGAGAUAGCUUCACUCCUUUGCUUCCUCUUCACCUUCUUUCUCCUUUUCUUCUUCUUCUUUUCCUUCUUUUCUUUGUCUUCUUCUUCUCCUUCUUGUCUUCUAGAGAGAGAAAGAAAGAAGAGAGGGAGUGUGAGGGAGAGAAUGAGAGAAAUAUCCCAAAACCCCUCACAAUACAACCCAUAUAUUGCACUUUUGCAAAUAAACCCCNUCCUUUGCUUCCUCUUCACCUUCUUUCUCCUUUUCUUCUUCUUCUUUUCCUUCUUUUCUUUGUCUUCUUCUUCUCCUUCUUGUCUUCUAGAGAGAGAAAGAAAGAAGAGAGGGAGUGUGAGGGAGAGAAUGAGAGAAAUAUCCCAAAACCCCUCACAAUACAACCCAUAUAUUGCACUUUUGCAAAUAAACCCCUCAGCUUUCACUUUAUUGAACUGCCCAAACUGGGCAGAUUUCGGGUUCGGGGACCGGUCUCCCCGACUUGGGACCGGUCCCAGAGAGCUCUCCCCGCGGGUAGCCAAGGCUACGCGCGACGCAACCGGUCUCUCCCCCAGAGGGACCGGUCUCUCGGGGACCGGUCUCUCCCUGCAGGGACCGGUUCCCGAGAACUGGUUUUCUAGGACUUAGCCGAUUUUUCGGCCUUUCUCAUUUCUCACGCGUUCGGGAACCGGUCUCUCCUACCAGGGACCGGUCCCCGAGAGCUCAAAAAUUGCAGUUUGCAGAUUUUUGAUUCUUUAGCUCUCGAAAACCUCCCAUAACGCACUUUUGAUCAUUUUAACACCUUCAGACUUUUCGAAGUGUACCAUCCUCGCACUUUGGUCAAUUUGACUAAAGUUCGAUAUUUAUUUUUCGAAUUUUCGGUAUAUCACACAUUUGGGUUUUCUCUUGUUUAAGCCUUUGAGGCUUAAUUGAUAGUUCCAAAACUUCCUUUUAGGUUGGAAUUGAAGCAUCCUAACCUCCAUUGGGAGUUUGGAAGAGUUUUUCCUCAUCUAAGGUAUUUUCUACCUAUUUUCGGUAUGAUUUUUGAGGAAUUUCAUAGGGUGUUCGUUCGAAACUCCUAACCCCCUUAGAAUUUUUGUUGGGGUGCUAGAAAACUAGUGGACAGCUUCGUUCGCGCAAACAAAGAAGUUUCGAUAGGUAUCCGGUGCAUUUGACCUUACCGAAAUUGGUGAACUCCUAUGUCAUUUCUUAUGGUUUAAAAUAAAAAUUCAUACAUAUUCAUGCUAAUGUAGAAUAAAUAAAUUUUAGAAGGCUUAAAAUGUACAUACUACAUGUCAAGUUUAUAUCCUCUAUAUAGUAGAGAGAGAGUUGUAUAGUGAACUUGCAAAUGAAAUGACAUAUUUCAUGCCAUGUUAGAAACCAUGUGAAAUCAUGUAAUUCUAAGGGAAAUAAAGGUUUAACAUAUUUGUGGACAAGUGACUUAUACAUGCACAUAGUUAUCAUGAACUUUCAUGUAGUGACAUUUGACUUAGUUUUGUGACUAAACUUCAACAAUGUGAUAUUGUAUUAGACCUUGGGUCGCUAGUGCUUAUACCAUAAUUUAGACAUGAUGACCAUGGACUUGAGAUUGAUAAUCAUGCUUACUUGCCAUUGUGCUCAUUUGCACAUGCUUGUGAGGAUCGCUCUCUACAAGCCGGCACUCCGGAAUUAGCCUACGUGACACAUGCUCACCCGUGCGAGAUUGGGCGCCGAAGUGGGAUGCCGUGGGGGAGGCUCAUUCCUAGAGGGGGGAUGUUGACUACUACGAGGCCACUAGGCACGGCACAAGUCGGACUACACUUAAUAGGUCCCAGCUGAAUUCAACAAUGACAUUUAAAAGUGUAAUGUGACUAUCACUACUAGAUAUGGUAUGCUAGUUGGAUAUGCUCAUUCAUGUUAGAAUAGCUUUAUUACAUGUCGAACAUCAUACUAAUUGGAGGCACAGUAGCUAGUAAUUUAUUAUCUGCUGAAUAAUCAUGCUAUCUCUUUAGUUAUACUCUUUACUACUUAUGCCUCGGUUACCUAGUGGUGUAAUACGCUGAUAUCGACGACUUACCCACUGAAAAUUAUUGACUAAUAGUUUUUAUUCGCAUUUUGUUGAUAUUUUUAUUUAUAGAACCAUCCACUGCGGGAGAGGCUAGGGAUCGCGGCAAGGGAGUAACGUCUAGCUAGAUUAGCAUCGGAGUUUCUGCUAGGUGGUCACCUCUUCUUUUGUUUUUGUUGGAGAGAGAUGAUUAGUCCUUGAUGCAUAGAGAGACCACCCUUUUGUAUUUAGCUUCUAUUUAUGUGGAUUCCAGGAUGUAUGCUUUAUUUUGUGGAUUAUAAUUGUUUAGUUAUUUACUUUUCUAAUACUUGUCUUUAGAAAGUAGUAACGUUCAUACUCUAAUAUCACGCUAAAUGUUGUUAUACUCUUGUUGUAUUUCUAUCUUGUUUGUAGACACCUUAUAUGUUCUUGACAUAUAACGGGUCUGAGCACGCACUGGGCAGACUUCCGUUGGGAUCUGGGCAUGACAAUAUUACAAUCAAAUUCCUCAAGUAAUUUCAACACCCAAACUAAGCCGAAAAGAAACAAUGAUAGUCGUUGACACCGCUACAGCGAUAUUGCCGAUAGAACUUAUCACUGUCCAGGAUUAUAUACUCAACAGCAUUAGCAAUCUAAUUGCAUGCAUCAUUAACGUAAUGAAAGUAAAUUAACAAUUGGUGAAUGGAACGAGAAAAAAAAAAAAAGGAAUUGCACAGGAUGAGGGAUGAUAAUCUAAGAGUUUCACAGGAUGAGGGAUAAUAAUCUUUCAUAAGCCAAACAACGUUCUUCAGAGUGGCUACAAUCGCAAGAACGAAGAAUCCACAAGAGCUUGAUACUUCGUCAUAUCUACGAACAUUAGAUCCACUAAUCUGAUUUCUUGUUCUCAUUUCUACCACUUUCGUUCCCAUACAUCUUCUGCUGAAAUAUUAUACAUACAACAGUAGCCACAAAUGAUAGAGAAACACGAGAGAUGAGCUUUCAACCAUGACAUUCUACAACUUAGAGCACAGGGGAAGCAGAAAAUAAUUGAAGCCCCAAAUGAACAGAAGACAAACCAACAAAAAUUGUUAAGGGAGGGAUACAAAAGGGGAAGUUUCUGGUCAGAAUACACAAAUUUUAAUGGUAGCGUGGCCCUCCUUUUCAUCUACCUUCAGUUGCUAGCUGCAGAGAUCCAUCUUUCUGCAGCUUUAAGCUGAGGCUAUUGAACCGCUCCCGUGAAUACUGCCUUGAAGCCUUCCUCCAAUCAGUUCCUGCCUUCAUCAUCGUGGCAAACUCCUCAUAGCUAAUUUUCCCAUCCUGAAAGGAAAGCAAAUUAUCAGUCAACACAGGCUUAUUAAGCUAUGCGAGGAUAAUAGUCCCACUUAUUGGACUCCGUGUUGUUUUUUAUUUGAACUCCCAAAACAAAAUUCUUUAUAGAUCUCCCCCAUGAAGUUUAAAGCCACAGAGAGAGAGAGAGAGAGAGAGAGAGAGAGAGAGAGAGAGAGAGAGAGAGAGAAGCUAGCAACUAUUAUUUAGAAGCUCUUUGUAAGAGAUCUCACCUCAAAUGAAAAGUAACAAAACUUAUGAAGCAAUUGAAGGGUGAAUGGGUAACUUACCUUGUCUGUGUCGACAUCGCGAAUGAUUGCGUUGAUAACUUCUUCAUGAUUUGGACCCAAGUCGUCAGCCAAGUUGUCUCUAAGCUCCUCAAUUUCAAUGUAUCCACUCUUAUUCUUAUCAAAGUAUGCAAAGGCUUUGUGAAGAUGCUCGUCAUUCCCAAGCUUCUUGAGGUGGAUUGACACAGCAACAAACUCUCCAUAGUCUAGAGUUCCAUCUCCAUCAACGUCCGCCUAUAAUAUAAUGUCCAACAAGCAUCAGAAUUUCAAAUUCAGUAACCUAAUUAUUUCCAGCUACCAAGGUGCUAAUGCAAUAUAUUAAACAAUCACCAGGCUGGAUCCUACAAUUCAGAUGUACACUGGGCCUAUUUGUUGUUUGGGCCUUACUAUUUGGGCUAUGUACUUUGGUGAAUCAAAAAUCUCCUAUUUCUAUUUUUUAUUAUUAUGUAUGUGGGCUCUCUAUUUGUUAGCCUUUGGAUCACGGUUCUUUUGAUCUAAAGGCCCAUAUUGAUAGCUUCUCUGAAGAGCUAAAGUGGAAUAUUAGAAUAUUAGAAAGAAAAGAAGAGUGAGAAGUAGAGAGUGAGAAAAAAAGUGGGAGAAAAGAGAGGAAACCCUAUAGGUUGGUUUUGAUCUUGGUUUUAUCAGGAAGGACGAGAAAUCUUUAUUAGUGAGAUGUUUAUUUGCAUGUUGUUUAGAAUAUAUCAAGAUGCAGGUAUUUAAAUAAAGAAGUAGAAUACACCCCAUAAAGUUGGCGAAUGUGGAUAUAACACUGACAAAAUAGCCUAUUGCAAAGAAUAUCAAAACAAAAUAGUCAAAUCAGCUUCAGCCUGUAUAGCCUGUUUGACCACAUUUCUGCUUUUGCUUUCAAUUGCAAUCACUAGUAGUAAAGCAUUGAUAAAUGGAAAUCUCGGGUAUCUACAGCAGCAGGAAACCUAAAUGACGUUCCUAGCCUAAAAAGAAGAAACUGCAGAGCUAGAAGAAGCUUCAAUUUGGAGUUUCUGAUCCUAAUACAGAAAGAGAUAUUAGACGGACCACUCCUAAUAUCACUACCCAAAAAGCACUUUAUCAAACAAGAUUACACCCUACGCUAGGACCACACAGAAAGAGCAUGAUUCAACAGCCCUAAAGACAGCCACAAAAUCGGAUAGAAAGAUGGUCAAACACAAAUCUAAUAACAAGCUAUAAUAGGGAAAGAUAAACGCAUUCAUACUUCCUUUAUUUGUGUAUUCUGUAUAUAAUUGCAUUUGGUUGAUUGUAUUCAGUCUUAUGCAUAUUAAUGAACUUAUGCACUAUAAUAAUAUACGAAAAACUGAUUGCAAGGCUGACAAUAACUCACUAGACUUCAUCAAAAAUAAUAUCUUACUAGAGGACAAAUUCUAGCUUAGACUGCAAAGCAUAAAUAAGAAAGCAUCCAAACAUAUCCUACAAAAAAAAAAAAAAAGAAAAAAAAAAAGAAGAAAAAGACACAUUAUUCAAUGAAAGGAAGCUAUCAUCAGGUUGAGUACUCACAGCAUCCAUUAAUAUUCUACAAUCUGCAUCAGCAAUCUGGUGCCCAAGCUUAUGCAAACCAAACUUCAACUCUUCAAAUGUUAUUUGACCACAGCUGUUUACAUCCAUCUUAUGAAACAUAUCCUUUAUAUCAGCUACUUCUUCCACUGAUAAAUGCUCAGCGACAACCUGCAACAAAACCGCGAGCAUUAACGAAGCUGUUAUCAGUUUCACCAAAUCUAAAAGCUCAAUGUCACAUUUAAAAAAAAUUAAAAUUAAGCAUAAGCCAAAACAAAUGUUUCAGAGGUAAAAAUGAAAAAAUUUCAGCACACAUAUACUAGAUACUUCUUGAAUGAGUUUACUUACCCUAAGUGCUCUCUUUUUGAAUUUGUUCAUGACAGAGAAUUGUUGGAGUCUUGCUUUAACAGUUUCACCAAGAGAGACAUUUGGAGCCUUUUUGGCAUUCUGCAACCAAGGAUGAUCUGGAAGAGCAACUACGACUGUCAGAUACAAGUCUUGAACAGAGUCAAUUUUCAACAGAAGAAGUAAUAUACACCAAUCAAAAUAUAAGUGUCUUAGAACAGGGUAUUCUGACUUCAAAGAACUAGGGAUACAAAUGGGAAGUUGAUGUAAAGAUUUCUUUUUUAAGUGAGAAGGUUGAUACAUCAAGUAUUACAGUAAACAUGAGACAUUUUACCAAUCAGUGCACUGUAAUGGAAUGCAAAUUAUAUUCUCAACAAUGCACUCAAAUGAUUAAUUGUUAGAUACUCUAUAGUUGUGGUCAAUAGAAGCGAGUCUUAUUUAAAUUCCCAUCACUUUCUAACACUGUAGGCAGAAGUUGAGAUUUUGCAAAUAAUUGAUUUUUGGCCUUUGCAGUUACUUCAUCAAUUUCAGUACGUAAACAUAAUGAUACGCCACAAAAGAAGACAUGAUUAAGAAGAAAGUGAAGAUUAGUACCUAGAACUUCUUGAGCUGUUAAUCUCCGCUUUGGAUCCGGAUCAAGCAUCCUCUUGACAAGGUCUUUAGCAUUGUCUGAAACUCUAGGCCAUGGGUCUCUUCUAAAGUCUAUGGCAGAACGGAUGAUUGCUUGCGCCACUCCCUGUUCAGUUUCUGUGUUAUAAAAAGAAACCUUCAGAUUACAUCAUAAGAUGCUUUCUGGUCAAAAAUACAGAUGAAUCAUCUUGCGUAGUUCAACUACUUAUGCAUCAGAUUAUGAGUUCUUAAGAAGAUUAUUCUAAUUUAAAAAGAAAUUCUAGUGAAAUAUAUAUUUUGUCAUCUGCAGUUAUUUUUUUCUAUUUCAUAUUAAAACAAAUAAACACGCGCGCGCACACAGAGAUAUAGAUACCUGCCCAAAAUGGAGGGACUCCACAAAGAAGAAUGUAGAGGAUUACUCCUGCACUCCAAACAUCAACUUCUGGGCCAUAAUUUCGCUUUAGAACUUCCGGAGCCAUGUAAUAAGGACUUCCCACAAUUUCAGUAAACCUUUCACCUAAAUAUGUAAAACAAAUCAGCAAGCUGCCGAAGGUAUAGUAUUCGUGCAGAUGAUGACAAAAGGAGGAUCCCUAAGCAUAAACGUAGCUAAUGUCAAGUCAUCAAUUUCACCCUGCUUUUUUGUGUAUAAUGCAGCUACAUUGAUCAGCACGAAGACUUGGGGGGCAUACCAGGCCUGAAAAAUACAGACAAUCCGAAGUCAAUCGCCUUCAGGGGGGCAGUUUCCUUCUUGUUGGCAAACAAGAAAUUCUCCGGUUUCAAGUCCCUAUGCAUCACCCCGUGCUUGUGACACAUCUGUUUAAGCAUGAAAUUAGGGAAAGAAAAACAGCUGAUUAUUAAUCACCACUAAACCUCAUCAAAUAAAGAAACUACUUCAAACACGAUAUAGGGCAAGCAAGGGAAGUAGUAGUGUGAGAAUACAAUGAAGAGCCCAAGUAGUAGUAUCAAGUAUAACAAUCCAAUCAGCUGUUAGGAUAAAGUUGAGAUACGAAAUGCGUAGCUACGACAUAGAAUAAUGGAACACAAAUUACCAUCUGCCAGCAACAGAUCAGCAGUUGAAGAAAAUAUUUGUGCACUUGUAUAAACUGUAAAAUCGCAGCACACAGCAUCAGAUUUCGAGAUCCAAGAUAUCACGAUCGUCAAGACAGCCAUUCGUAAUGGGCAAAGAAAGAAUAUAGAGAGUCCCAAUUGUGCCAACAGAGAUCUAAAGGAUAGCGUUUAAUCUCCUCUACAACGUUACAAUUUUUAAAGCAGAUUGAAACCUCAAAACGUCCAAUUGCUAUAGAUACUAAUAAAAUAGAGCAAAUGCCUAAAUGCUUUUCAGGAAAGCUAAAAGUUGCAUUCAGUACUUGCCAGAAUUAAUCGCAGCAGCAAAGAGACGGAAUGAAUCUCAAAUAGAUAGAUCUCUAAUAGGUAAUAAGAAAAAAAAAAAAAGAGAGAGAAUUAUGGAAUAGUAAUAUCCAGGAGAAUACAAAUACAAAUCCAAAUCCAAAUCCAAAUCCAAAUCCUCGAAAAGGAUCCAAAUCCGACAAGGGGAUGAUGAGGUGUGAGAUAAGAUCGGACCUGCACGACCUCGACGAUGGUGCGCGUGACGACGGCGGCGGCCCGCUCGGUGUAGUGGCCGCGGGCGACGAUGCGGUCGAAGAGCUCGCCGCCCUCGCAGAGCUCCAUGACGAGGUGGACGGCGCUGUCGUCCUCGUAGGUGUCGCGGAGGGUGACGAUGUUGGGGUGGCCGGGGAGGUGGCGCAUGAUGUCGACCUCGCGGCGGACGUCCUCGAUGUCGACGGCGGUGCGGAGCUUCUUCUUGGAGAUGGACUUGCAGGCGAAGGCGUCGCCGGUGGCGCGCUCCGUGCAGAGGUAGGUGAUGCCGAACUCGCCGCGGCCCAGCUCCUGUCCCAGCUCGUACCGGCUGCCGAUGUCGCGGCCCGUCGGCUCCCUCAGCACCGUCAGCCUCGGCACCCCCGCCCCCGACGCCGCCGGCCCCUUGUUGUACUCGAUCGAGAACGGGUUCGGCUUCUUCCCCUUCCUCCCCUUCUUCGCCCCCGCCCCCGCCCCCGCCUUCUUCCUCCUCGCCUCGUCCCCCGGCGUCGCACAGCAGUUCCCCAUCUUCUUCUUCUUCUUCGCCUUCUUCUUCUAGGUCGAUCUCCCUAAAUCGGCGUAUGCGUAUGCGCGUAUGCGUGUGUGUGGCGUAAUUUUUUUGUUAUUUUAUAAUUAAUUAAUUAAUUAAUUUUGCAAAGAUCGAAUCGCGGAGGGACAAAGAUGAAACGAAAUCCCUUUCGAUCGAAGCAGGAUGAGGAGGAGGAGGAGGAGGAGUUGUACCGCUGACUACAAAGAGAGAGAGAGAGAGAGAGAGAGAGAGAGAGAGAGAGAAGAGAGCGAGAGAGAGAGGGGGGAGGGAGAGCUCGGGGGGCAGGGGAGGGGAGGGGAUUUUAACGGUGGAGAGGGAGGAGUCCCGGUGGGAAGGGGCAUAUGGAAUGGUGUGAACACGCCAUUGUCGAAGCCGAGGGUUGAGGAAAGAAAAGGGGUCAAAGACUCCAACUAGAUCUUUUCUCUUCCUACAGAGCCUUCCUCCCUUAACCUCCCUUCCUGCCCCCUUCCUCCCUCUCUCGCCCUACGGCCCUAUUUCUUACAGCAAAAAUAUGAGAAAGGAAAAACCAAAAUAAUAUAAUAUUUGAUUUAAAAAUGAAAUAAGUAAAAGUUUAUUAUAUAAGUUUAUAUUAUUAUUAUUAUAUAAAUCUAUAAAUCUAUAAUCUAUAAAUCUAUAUGAAGUCAUAAUAUUUUUUACCACGUGGCAUGUUACUUUUCACUCUCCACUCUUCUAAUUACAUGCAAGGUGCAAUAUUUAAUUAUAUGCACCAUAUUAAUAUUCUAUCAACGAUUGGGCUUUAUAACUUUAGUCAACUCCUUUCUCCAUUAAUCUUCCAUCCCGACAUAGCCUAAUUUUAAAACAAACCACUUUCUUCUCUUCUCAGUGUCCAACCCUUCACCUCCCCACGCCUCUAAUUAUAUGUAAGGUGCAAUAAUUAAUUACAUGCACCCUAUUAAUAUUUUAGCAAUGAGUGAAUUCUAGCUAUAAUUUAAUUUUUUAAUAGUUAAAUUUAGUUAUGUAAAUUAGUUGUACUUAACAUGGUAUAAUUUUUUAUAUAUCAAUAACUCGUAAAUAUAAAUUUUAUUAAAAUUUUUAAAUUUUAUUUAUAUUAUUUAUCUAUUGUAUCGCACGGGUCUCUACACUAGUACGUAUAAUUGUGAGUGAACCUUCUUUAAUGCUUCGUCCUAACUCAUCUUCCCCGUUGUGCUGUGCAUACGGAAGCCAUAAGUUCGCUCCGGCCAACGCCAAUAAAGAAAGCGAGGCACCUUUAAUUUCUCGUGGAAAUUUGCAGAGUAUGUUCUUUUCUAUUUACGGACAUACCCCUCCUGUAGCAGGGUUACUCCGUUUUUAGUAAAGCGAGAUAAAGAGGGAGUUUAUUUUCCCCCUGGAAAUGGAUGAGAAUGAGUGUGACCCAGUCAAUCAUGGCAGGUCACGGCAGGUUGUUAAUUCUUCUUAUACGAAAGAUGUAUUUGUCUUUUUACUUUAGGGCAUGACGGUACAUCUCCACCGUCAAUUGACGUUAUGUGGACGUUGGAUGAUGGCCCUAUGGCCGAUAUAUUUAAUCAAAAAAAUUGCUCUCAUAAUGCGGAUUAUAUUAUUAUUAUGAUUAUUAUUAUUACUAUUUAACCUUCAGAAAUUUCUAAUGGUAGUGGCUAAAGCCCUUUCUAGCAUCCAACUAAUUAAAAUUUGUCAACUAAGCUACAAAUAUGAAAAAAAAUGCAUGGUCAAACAAUUGGACUCGGAGCAGAGGUGUAGCCGCAGGCGGACCCAAAAUCUCAAUUAUUGAUCAUUGAUUUAAAUAUUUGGGUUACUUGCUACAUAGUUCAACUUUUAACUAUUAUUCCUGCAACAAUUCAUUAAUAUUUAUAUUUCUUCCUCCGAUUUGUUACUGUUAGAAAACUGUUUAUUUUUUAACAGCAAUAUCAAUUUUGUUAUCACAAAUAUAUCCCUUUAAAAAUCCUAAUUGUUAUAAUCAUGCAAAAAUAUUCUCCCAAAAUAUUUUUAAUAGUCAUCUUCUUUCUGUUUAAAAUCCAGCUCAAUCCACUAUUAUUGCAACCUCUUUUCUCACUACUUUUAUCUUAAAUUUUGGCCAAUUUACAUAAAAAAUUCACAAGUUUUGAGCUUUUGCAAACUAGGCCGUCUUUUCCGAUUUUGCAGAUUCAAUCCGAAUUUUCAACAAAUUGACCAAAAUAUCCUUAUACCUUUUUCUCUUUUCUUUUUUUUUUCUCUCGCGUUCUUUUUUUUUUCUCGCCGAAGAAGUCGAUGAAGGCGAAAAUGGGCCCCCCACCUCUGGCCCCCACGCUCUCGCCAGCGCAAGCCUUGCGCUCCUCGCCUCCGACCCUCCUGAGGCCACGCCGCGAUCCUCUUUUUUUUUUUCCCCUCUCCAACCCUCCUCCACCCGUCGUCCCCACCGCUGCCUCUGGCGACAAAGAGGUAGUGCUUCUCGGGGCCCAAAAGCACACUGGCGAGGAAGGGGGAGAAAAGUAGUUACACUCCGACGAGGGUGAUGGUUGCUUUAGAGGGCAAGGGAAAGGUCGUGACCAAAAAAAUUAUAAAAAGAAAAAAAAUAAAAAUAAUAAAAAAUAAAAAUAAAAAUAUAUUUUUUUCUACAGAAAAUAUUAAAUAUCAUGGAAGAAGGAAGAAUAAGUCCUUGUUUGGUAUUGCGGUUGGAGGCCCAAAACUCCUUUUUUAAAGUGCUUGGGCUAAGUACCCCGUUUGGUAUUCCAAAUAAUAUCCCACUUUAUCCGACCGCUACCGUAAAUAUACCCCCAAAAUGCGGUACGUACGAAGCAUCCCGCUCGAUGCUUUCUCCGGUUUGGAGUUUGGGAUUUGUGUGUUCCGCACAAAUAAAAUAAUUGAUAGACAAAAUUACCCCUAAAUUUAAUCAAAAUUUACGAGCUAUUUAAAACCCUUAUUUUCUCCUAAAUAGAUGAGAAACCCUAUUUUCUCUUCCAUUGGAUGUCUUUCUCUAGCCAACUCGCAGUAAUUAGGAGAGGAAAAAUUCUUUGGUUCGUUUUUCGAAAGGUGGAUAUCAUAUUCUCUGCCGUCUUUAAAUUCUUUAGUACGUUUGUUUUUUUUUUUCAGUUUUUUUGAGAAAAACAUGUCUUUUAAAUUGUUAAAUUUCUCGAGAGUUUAUUGUAUUGAAAAGAACUUGUGCCCAAAAUUUUUUAUUUUUCUGUUGAGAUUUUAUAGUAUUUUGCCUAAUCACAUUUGUUAAAUACAAUUAUUUUAGUUUAAUUUUUACCUUUUUAUACUGUAGGUGAUACUUUUGGGGGUAUAUAAUAUCUAAAACUAAGGAUAUUUAGAGUAUUGAAUCUCGCACAAAAGCAACAUGGGAAAAAAAUAUUAUUCAUAUAUUUUGUGACCUCUAUUUAAAACAAAUUGAAAUAGGCAAUCGACCAGGAACUCACUUUAAUAAGAAUGGUUCGAAUAACUUAGUUAACAAUUUUAAAAAAGAAACAAAUAGAUAUUACGAUAGACAUCAAUUGAAGAAUAAGUGGGAUCAAGUAAAGAAGGAAUGGAAGCAAUGGAAGCAAUUGUUAAAAAAUGAAACUGGAAUUGGAUGGGAUCCAUAGAGGAGAACUGUUGAUGCAGCAGAUGAGUGGUGGCAGGAUAAGCUAAAGGUAUUUAUUUCACAUGUAAUACAUAACAUUUGUAUAUUUUAUUAUUCUUCAUAUUUAAUAAUCAAGUAGUAUUUAGGUUCAAUAAUAUAUCAAUAUCAAUAUAAGCUUAUGAAAAGGCAACCCUAACAGAGCCCUCCCCGUGUUUCGCGCUCUCUGCCCUCGCGUACGCUGCCGCGCCCACCCCUUCGCUGCCACGCCCCGCAAUCGCCAAUUUGGUCGGUUUGGGUACGUCCAACAGAUGCUGAAUAGACAGAACCUCCCCUGCCCGCCCAAGGCUCAACAACAAGGAUCAUGUACAUUUAGUUGCUCAGGUGAACAUAAACAAUAUACUUGAAUCAUUGCGAGUGUAAUACAAGCAAGAGCAAAAGAGAAAUACUAGCUAUUACAUUCAUCAUUCAACCAUUUAUAUCAUUUGGUUUACAUGUUCAUCUCAAAAUACAUAAACAUCUCUAGCAACCUCACCCAAAUACAUAAGGUCUCUCUACCAAUAUACAACAUAUCACAAGAUGGUACUCGACUCUAAUGCAUAGGAGGUAGCUAACUAGCUAGGGCGCUAUGCCCUUACCGCAGUCCUCAACCUGUCCGCACGUGCUCGGCCUUGCAACAAAGUGGGAUGAGAACUAUUAUAUAUAAUGGAAUAAUAAAAUCUGCUAACAUAGUAAUGAAAUCUACUAUCAUACUACUAUGCCUCAAUCAACAUGAUACAAAUAAAGUAUCUACAUAACAAUGAAACCUACAUCAUGCUAUUAUGCCUCAACAACAACAUGGAUAAAGAUAUGAACAUAGCUAUGAAAUUUACUAACAUGUCACUAUGUCUCACAUCAUGGUAUGAAUGAAGGAUCUAUUAUGCCAUUCAUAUACUUGUCACCCAAUCAACUUGGCUAACCCGAAGGUUACGCCUCGACUCACAUCUCAAUCCCAUAGGUGAGGAGACUUUGCGCUACGCACACCCGAGACCGUCUGCUGGGUCGGUACGUUGACCCAUUGUGCAACAACUCCGGAGCUCACUGCUUGGGUGGAGCGACCACCGCUAAGCUAAAACAGACUAUGUGAGUAUGAUCGAAUCCUCUCAACUUGAGGAUACCCUACCAACUAGGGAUAACAACAACUCGGGAAACCAUCUAUCUCAAUGUUCAUGUUUAAGUGCCACCACUACACUAGAUUCACAUGUCACAUAUACACAACUUGGGAAGUCAUCUAUCCCUAUGUCCAUCAUGUUAUAAGUGUCUCUAUUACACUAGUUUUAUAUGCCACUCGUUUAUGUCAUCACAUAUAGUUUCACAUGCCACUCGUUUAUGUCAUCACAUAUAUCAAGUUCACCACUUGUUUUUGGCACUAUAGGAUUCCAUAUUAAGACCCAAUUCUCAUGCAUCCUCUAGCUCAUGUGUCCAACUCACAAUGCUAUUUCUACCAUGGAAGCAUUCAAGGAACGAAAUUAUAUCUAUCAAGCAUCCUACCAUGCAUAAUAUUAAUAUAUGGAAUGUAUGAUCAACAAUACAACAUAGACAUAGAAUGAACCUCGAUUGCUUAGGAUAGCACCCCCCAUAUUUUGGUGUUGCCGCGAUGCUAGAGUCCUAGUUUCGCGAUUUAUGGACGACGAUUUGGCUUGACCCAAAGCAAACGAAUCGAAAUCGGUACUUUUCUUCAAUAACUCGCCGCACGGCCGUAGGAACAUCAAUUAGAGUUACAUAGGCUCAAUUUAGAUCAAACUCAACCAUGAUCAAAAGCUCUCUCUAUAAACCCUAAAAUCUCACUAUUGCAAAAUACUCCAUCCAGCUUAUUACUCAUGCAAUAAAUAAGAGUAGCAACACCUAGGGUUCCAUUAAACUCCAUUCCUAGGGUAUUUAAACCAAACCCUAGCUAUCUACCAUUGGAGGUCAAGAAGCUUACCUCAACAAGCUUUCCUCCCAAGCCAAGGAAGAAGAAAAGGAAGAAGCUUCACCUCCAAGCAAUGUCCUCCACCCACUCCUCCUCUUGAUCUACCCCUAAGAGAGAGAGAGAGACUUCUUAGAGAGAGAAAGUACUUCUUUUAGGUUGGGGUUGUGAGGAAAAGUGAGAGAGAUGAGUGGAAAAACCAACUCAUAUAACCCCCAUGUGCACACAAUUGCAUAAACACCCCCACACAUCACCCCAUUACACACUGUCCAGACUGGGCAUUUUUCGCUUACGGGGUCCAGACCCUAUAUAGGGCCCGGACCCCGAGAGUACAACUUUCUGCAAAAGUUGUAGAAUUGAGUCAACAUGCUCUCCAAGGUCCUCUACACCCCCUUGAGCCAUUUCGAUGCAUUCGAGCCUUUCCUAAGCGUCCAAAGCCUCACUUUGGUCAAUUUCGACCGAGAUUCGGUUUCACACGACGAGGAUUCAUUACCUUACAUCCUCCCCUCCUAAAAAGAAGUUUCGUCCUCGAAACUAACUCAACUUUAACAUAAUCAUACCUCAACUCAAAUUUUCGAAAAGAUGAGGAUAAUGUUCUUUCAUCACGUUCUCAAGUUCCCACGUGGCUUCGCAAUCAUCAUGUCAAUCUCCACUGAACUUUGAUGUAUGGAAUCUCACGGUUUCUCAACUUCCACUACAAGAAAAUCAUUUAUACGUGACAAUAAAAGGUUGUUACUAAAAAUAAAAAAAUUGUCACUAAUAGUUUUAGUGACGAUAAAUACCGUCACUUUUUAGUGACGAUAAAUACCGUCACUAUAAGUUGUCACGGUAGGUCCCGUGGCAAAUAGAUUUUGCUACGGAAAAAAAAUAUUGUAACUAAAAAUAGUAUUAAUGACAAGUUAAUUUUGUCACUAAAUAUUACCUAUUUGUCACCAAAUAAUAUUUACAUAAUGGUUGAAUAUUAAAAAUAGUAAUUUUAGGUGACAACAUAUGCUAUCACUAAUAGUUAGUGACGUCACUAUCCAUCACUAAAUAUUGCAUUUAUGACAAUAAUUCAUUGCACUACUAAUAUUUAGUGAUAACAAAAUUUGUCACAGAAUAUUACAUUUAUAAUAAUAACAUUCAUUACUGAUAUAUCAUCACUAAUAUUUAGUGACGAUAUAUAAAUUACAAUAACAUUUGAUACAGUUCAAAACAAUCAACUUAUAUUUAGGACAAAACAAAUCGAGGAGAUUUUUAGGUCCUAAUAAUGGAAAAUUAGAAAUAUGCUUACAUUCGUCAUACAAAAUACCUCCCAGUAUCUCCAGUUUCUAAGUACAUGACAAAUAGUUUUCAAAUUCAAACUACAUGAUUUAACAUGAAAUAACUACAUUUGAUUUUAUGGUCCACAUUCAAAAUAAAGGACUGUCGAAUACUAACACCAUGUAGAAAUUGCACUAUUCAUCCUUACCUGCAAUAAAUUAAAAAUAAAUAUAUAAUUAGUUAAUGACAUAUAACAAUGUGUCUACAUACUAAAACGGAUAUAAUCACCUUUUCUCCCCUUAGCAAUUGAAUCUUGCUCAAUUCAAAAAAUUUCAGCAUUCUGUUGGCAUGAUGCCUGCAGAUAUCAAUCAAAUAGGCAAUAAGAAGGAAGUUUAAAAUGUCAUGUAAUGGAAUUACAUAAGCCGUAUGCUGUGAUUACAUGCUAAAACUUGAUAUCACUAUAAUAUUAUCAUAUCACCUAGUUACAAAAGAUAAAUAAAUUGUGAGCAGUAUCAGGUCAUCUAGCAUUGAUCACUCAUCUACUCAAACAACCAGAUAUUCCCUCACAUAUUAAAGUGCGAAUUCUCCUUUAACAUCGAAAACAAGUCAAAUUCCCUCCCUCCAAAUAGACUGUCAGAGAUUUAUCUAUUCAAUAGUAUUUUUCAUAGAGUUUGGAUAAAUUAGGUACAAAAUAGAGAUUACAUAUGCACUUUUCUGUUCUACAAGUAAUUCACAACAUUAACUUAAAGAUUGUCCUAAAUAACAUAUGCACUUUAAAUUUGAAGUCAGCAAGUGUAAAAUUCAAGAUAGAUUGCUUACCAUCUACAUAAGAAUCGACUUCUACAAACAAGAGCGACAAGCACAAAAGUCAGCAAGCGUAAACAGGCUAGUUCCAUUGCAUCUAUCAUACAAUAACACGGUUCUAUAUUUGAAGGACUGGAAUAAUAUGGAAAUAGGUAGACAAGUUGCUCAAACUUUUCCUCUUUUGUUGUUGUGUUACAGUAUGGUUGAAACUAACAAAUAACUUGCGGGAUCGCUGCAAUAUUAGAACCAGGGACCAGGAAGUGAACGAUCUAUGGUGACAAACUGAUUUGUUGUUCAAAUGGUCUGCACUAUGGGGUUGGAAGAAGCAAAGGAUAUACAGAGUUACUAUGAAAAGUAAAUAUAUAAUCCAUGUUUAAUGACGUACCUGAUUAUUGGGGUUACUAAGAAUAUGAACCUCACAUGAAUUAAAAAAUGGAGAAAAGGAGCAGCAGUAUCACAAGCCAGAGAUUUCAGUUAAAAUAACUCAAAAUUGUUAGAUGUACAUAUUUUCCAUCUAUGCUUAGUACUAUUAAUAAUAUAGUAGCCGGACUCCUAUUUUAAAAGGUUUAUAUUAAGAAAUUGCUCUCUUGUUUAAAUGUGAUACCAACUCAAGCAUGAGGGGAAAAAAAAAAGAGGAAAUUUCAUGUUACAAUUAUCAAUUAUCAACUAAAUGAUUCUUCUCUGCUCCUUGAACUCUAGUUAAUCAUAAUUAAGCAUGAAAAGGAAUUGCAUUAAACACAUAAUAGCAAAGAUGAGGUAGACGUAUUUCUACCUUAAUGUUAAUCUGGACAAGUUGACUCAAAACUAAUUUCUCUACAAAGGAAUACAAAGUAAAAUGAUAAUGACGAGUUGACUCAGAACUGAUCUGUAGCUUCAGUAUGGGAAGGCACAUUUUGGUGCUAAAAUACAUGUAUUAUCAUCGAACAAAAAAUCAAGAAAACUUGUACAGCAUCAGACUUUCAAAAUUUUAUAGCAUUUUCUUGCUCUAGCAACUACUUUCAUAUCAUGAUCAAUAAGUUUCAAAAUAAAUAACAAGUUUCGAAAAAGAAAAUAAAAAUAGUGGAAUUUAUGAAUAUACAAGUUUCGAAAAAGAAUAUACAAUUGCAAAAUCCAAAAAUUUUGAAACCCUUUCUUUGUAUUCAGGACUUAAUCGAUUCUGAAUAUGCAUCCAGCUUUUGUCCAACAUAUUUUCUAUAAUAAUAAAAUAGUGGAAUUUAUGCAUGGAACAUGAAAAGCAACAGAAAUAUUAAAAACAAAAUCAAAAAAUAGCUCAGGAAUUUACAACCUAUAUCUAUAAUAUGAUGUAUAAUUUCUUUAUAUUCAUAGGUUGUAAUAAAUAGUAAUAGAAGGUUAACUUCAGAAUUGAAGUCUAUUAACUAUAAGAAAAAUCCUCAUCAAGAAUUUCAAAUUUUCAAGCAGAUUUCCAAGACCAUGCAUGUAACACACUGGACUUCUGUAAAUUGCAAGGUUCAAGUGUCUGAUCUGUGUUCUGAGCUUUUCCAGACUUUUUGGUGGGUCGUUGACAGUGUUCCGACCUAUGGCUCGUAUCCCGGAAAUUGAGGUUUAAAGCUGUGCACCAAAAUCCAAAGAGUUGAAUUUUUGGUCAACUCUCGGGUGGCUUUUUCAGGCCGUGUACCGGUAUAGGGUUGAUGGCUGUACCGGUACGGGCUGAUGGUUGUACCGGUACGCGGGCCCGUGUACCGAUACACAGGCAGUUUUGAGCAAACCCGAGGCUCGGGUUUGGCCUUUUCGUUGGAGGUGUAUCCGUACGCGUGCCCGUGUACCGGUACGCAGUGCAGAAUGUAGUCUGCUCGGGUUUGGAGGGUGUUUUUGCUAUUGUAGCAUCAUUACAAAUACACCCCACGACCCCUGAUGUUCCUUGAGCUUGGAACCAGUGGGGAGGAAGGUAAGGGAGCUCUCUUUUCUCCCUCUUUGAUUUCCUUUGUUUUGGUUGGAAUUUUUGAGGUUUAAUUCCCUCUUUUGCCCUCUUUUUGCCUUUUGGUGACUUUUCCACCAUGGGAGAAGCUUGGGAGCUUGGAGUUGAGCUUGUUGGAGGAGAGAUCUCCAACCCUAGUAGGUUUUGAUCCUUGUUUAGGACUUCAUUAGAGGUUAGUUGCUUAUUAUUUCUCUUUUGAUCUUGAUUUUCAUGAUUUUUGUAUUGGAAACCCUAGAAGUGAGGAUUUAGGGUUUGAUUUGGGGAUUUUUGAUCUAGAAUUUUGGGGCUCAAUUGAUUGAUUUAGAACCUUCAUCUAGAUUGGAUUGGAAGGGAUCUAGCUCCCCUUUGGAGCUUGUGAGGGAUUUUCACCACCAUAGGUGAGUUUUGGCCAUUUCGUUGAGUUGGUUAAUGUUUAACCUCUUCGUUGUUCGUAACGUUCGCGUAUCUCUUCGCUCCUUACUUUUAGGGUACUUAGAGACUCGUGGACAACUCCGUUCGACGAAUCGAAGGAUUCCGAGACGGUUCGGUGGGUUUGGCCUCACCAAAAUGAGAUAAAAUUCUCAUUUGAUGGUUUUGCUUAUCGUAAAAUAGAAAUGCAUGCAUAAUCAUGCUUGAUAGAAUAUUUGAGAAUUUUAUAAUGCUUAAAAUGCACAUACCAUGUACGAUGCAUAUUUUACCUCUUUAAAGUAGAGAGUUUUCAUGUUGGGCUUGGGGCCUAUGGUUAGCAUUCUCAUACUUAGUUGUGGAUCAUGUUUUAUUUAGUGAAAAUAAUAUGUGCAUUGCACAUUUGGACUUUGACCUAUGCUUGGUAUAGUAAGCCAAUGUCAUAAAGAGGUAUUCGGCUUGGACUAGAUAUGGAUUUAUCAAGCUAAUGUCAUAAAGGGGCAUUAGGCUUGGUAUAUAUGUGGACUUAUUAAACCUAUUGUCAUAAGGGACAUUAGACUUGAUGGAUAAGCGAAUUGCAUGUGCAUGUUAAUAAUCAUGAGAACUAUGAUUUGUGGAUAGAUACAUGUUAACAUCUUUAUGCAAUGUAGAAUGCAUGCGAGGUACACAUUAGUAAUAUGAGAUCACAUUGGAGAACAUGCGUAUUAAUCUAUUGUUGAUGGGAUAAGCCAAUGUCAUAAAGCGACAUUGAGCCUGGGACACGUAUGAAUCUAGUGAGCUAAUGUCAUAAAGAGGCAUUAGGCUUAAAAUACUUAUGGACUUAGUAAAUCUAAGGUCAAUGACAUAGAAUUUUUAUUGAACGGUUAAACCUUCACAUUGAGACAUUGAACUAGAUCUUUGAGAUGCUAGUGACCUUUGCUAUGUUAGAGACAUGAUGACUGUUUGGUGUCUAUUACCAUGUUGGAGACAUGACGACUGGACUAUUGAGGUAUUGACCAUGCUUGUUUGCCAUUUGUGCUUAUUCGCACAUGCUUUAGCUCCCUACAAGCCGGCACUCCGGAGUUAGCCUACGCGACUUAUGUUCGCCCGUGCGGUAUCGAGUAGCCUACGGGGCCUGGAGGGAUAGACUCAUUCCUAGAGUGGGAAUGCUGGAGCUACCACUGGCACUUAGGCGGCACAAGCCGGACUACACCUGUGUAGAUCCUGAUUGAGAUUGAACCAGAAUAUUAAACAACAAGUUGACAUUCGCUACUAGCUAGAUUAUAGUAGUUGGACUCUUGAUAUGCUAUGGCAUAGAGUUGGACAUUUGGGCUUAUAGUAUACUUGACAGUAUCGCUUAUUACAUUGUAGUAUUUUGGUUGCUAUGAUAGUACAUACUAGAUAUGUAGUGGACUUUGGGACAUAUAGCAUACUUCAUAGCAUUACUUGUUGCAUCAUAACAUAUUGUUUAAACUUCGGUAUAUUGGAUCAUGUAGAGUAGAUGUACUCCAUGUUGACAUUCAGAAUACUUGUGGCAUUGUAGUAUAGCCUUCUCUAUAUGCUUUUUUUUCCGCAGUUACAUUUUCUUAUCUAUAUCUAUUUUUGUUUUGGGCCUAGUGGUGCAAUUCGGUGCAGGUCAGUAAUUGCCCACUGGGAACUAUAAUUUAUAGUUUUCACGCCCCCUGUUUUAUGUCUUCUUUCAGAGCCUUCCACUUCGGGAGAGGCUCGGGAUCGCGGGAAAGGUAUCGCCUUGGGCUAGCUAGCGAGGGAUUUGGCGAGAGGUGGUCCACCUCCCUUUUGUUUUUCUUUGGAGAGGUUGCGAGAAUUUUUGUACCGGGUUAUAGAGACCACCCUACUUAUGUAUUUGGAGAUCUAUGUUGUAUUAGUUUACUUUAUGCUUUAGUAGUAUUGUUUUCUUUUGACUCUACCUGAUGUUUGAACCUAGAUAUAUACUUGCUCUGAUAUUCCUAGUUGUAGAUUUUCUCUUGCUUUACUCUUUCGCUUUUGUGUAGACGCCUUAUAUGUGUAGACAUAUGGCGGGUCUGGGCGCGCUACCGGGAGGGCCUCCGCCGGUCCCGGGGCGUGACAAUGCAUAAGUACAGAGACGUAACAAUUACUUGCAUUAAAUGAUCAUUAAAAUAAAAAGAGUAGAAUGUAACCAAGUUUUUGCACAACAAAGUCUCAAACGUGAGAUAGAAUCUAUCCAACAGAUAUGACUAUUGGAGUGCUUGAGAUUUUCUUAGGGCUCAUGUAGCAGUUCAAAAGCUAAACAAAGUAUCAAAUGUUUCACCUCUAAACUUGAUUAAUAAUGGGUAAGUAGCAAAUGUACUAUAAAGGACAAAAUCUAAGGAUAUAGUAACAGGCAAGCAAAGCAUAGAGUUAUUAAAUCGCCAAAUUUCAAAUCUACUCAUUGUGAGAAUCUUGGUGCUCAACACCUUUGGGCCAUGUUCUCCAACUCUACUCUUCUAUUCUGCCAACAUUUUAUUUUGGUGAAAAUGUACUGUGACCACCUUAGCCAUAGGACUUCGUAAACUAGAAACCAAUCCACGACCACUCCCUAGAUCUUUGAUACUUUCUUUUAUUCACAUUUUAUUUGAUUAUAAUAUUACCCACUUUUCGUAUGCACAAGACAAAAACUAUAAUGUAUGUUGGUGCGAGUAAAAUUUAUUUGAAAUUUGAAUUCUUUUUAUUAACCCUUCAGCUCAGUUUGUUCUACUUACAGUGGCGUUGGACCACAACAUACAAACCGAUUAUUCAGAUACUACUUUAUUUCGCACAGAUAUAUGAGGAUUGGGUAAAUUGCACUAAAGGUCUUUAAAGUUAAAAAUUUAGUUUGGAGACUAUCUGUGUUAAUUUCGCUUGGGCAUCAUCUGAAAUAGGCCAUGCCAAACUAGGCCUCGCCCUCAACUACAGGCCACGCCCUCAUCUACAGGGCAUUCCAAACUAGGUCCCCCAACAUUUUUUUUUAAAGUUUAUUUUUGUUUUAAAUUUUUUGAUAAUUAAGAUGUUUUAUUCAAAUAUAUUAAGAAUUUUAUCAGAUUUUCCGUGAUUUCAUCAAAUUUAAAAGUUUUGACCAAUUCUAGCAAUUAUCUGCUCAUGUAUGCAGCAACCAGAGCUAAACUAUUUUCAUCAGGGCAAUAACUCAGCCUUUUUUUUUCAUGAUCUUAAGAACAUGGUUAUAAGCUUUAACUGUUGAUCCUAAAGAUUCAUAAGAACAUGAAAAAUAACAAAAAUAUUAAAUAUUUUAAAAAAACUAAAACGAAUCACGUCAAUUGUAAAAUAAGCCAAUCGAUUGAAAGAGAAAAAACCCCAAAUACCUAUAGAUCCCGAGAUUGGGGGUAUCAUCCAAGGACCCCGAGGAGCUAAUGCUUGAAGCCAAAGCCGAGCCCGACGCGGACCCGCGACGCCGACGCUGACGUCGUGCUCGUGGUGUGCGGCGGCAGGGAGUGGUGAGGAGAUGAACGCGGGGUGGGGGAGCGGGUGUGCCUGCGUCGAUCGCUGCUCGCAUCCGCCGUUGAAGCUCCGCGGCGAUUUCGAUCCGCGUGGCGAUCGCCGGAGAUCUCUCCGGCAGCGAUCGCCGGAGAUCUCGGCAGGAACGAAAGCCGGAUACGAAUGGGAAGGGUUUGGGAGUAAAAAAAUGUCGGGGUAUGCCAAUGGUAUUAGGUGGUUUGGGGAUUUAAAAUACAACGUGCAAAUAUGAAUAAAUAAAAAGAGUGUUGAUGUUUUUGUAAUCAUUAGUUGUGGUGUAGUGGUUAAGAGGGAUAAAAGAUUUGCAAAGGUUGCGGGUUCAAGUCCUAUCCCUUUAUUUUUUGUGACAGUUUUUUUUAAAUUUGUAACUAAAAGCUUUUUUGGUGACAUACGAAAUUCAAAUCCGUAGCAAUGCACUACUUUUUUGCAGUGGGAUCCGCACUUCUCGAGCAAGAAUAGAUACCGGGAACUCUUCAUAUGUCAUAUCCUCUUUGAGUUUCGGUGGUUCAUACAAAAGAGCAUGCUCGGGAUCGUGAAUAUACUUGCGGAGAUUGGAUACGUGGAACACGUUGUGGACUCCCGCAAGCUUGGGCGGCAAGGUCAGCCGGUAUGCCACCGUACCAAUCCACUCCAAUACCUCGUACGGUCCGAUAUACCGGGGACUUAGCUUUCCCCGCUGUCACGCCCCGCAAUCGCCUAUUUGGUCAGUUUGGGCACGUCGAUCAGACACCGAACGGACAGCACCUCCCCUGUCCGCCCAAGGCUCAAUAACAAGAUUAGGUACAUUUCUGUCGCCCAGGAAGACAUACAACAUAUAUGAAACACAACAAAUGCUAUACAAGUAAGAGCAAAAGAUACAAGAGAGUAAACUAUCUAUUACAUUUUUCAUCCACAUUCACUUUGGGUUUACAUCACCAAAAUGGACACAUCAUUAUUUACACGUUUCUUCUCAUGACAUGUGUAUAUAUAUACAACUCUCCAAAAGCACCCUCACCAAUAUACAUCAUCAUCUCUCAAGUACAUAGGUGAUCUAAUGCAAGUAGAGAAGCCACUAUCUAGCUAGGGCGCUAUGCCCUUACCGCGAUCAACUGCAGGUAUGCUCUCGCUAGGCCCUGCAACAAAGUGGGGUGAGAACUACGAAUAGUUCACAGUGGGUUCGGUCGCCGACUUCGCCAAUCUUCUCACUAGGUCUAAGCAGGCAUGAGUAGGUAGAUAGAUAGAUAGAUAUGAUAAAGAACUGCUACAUAGUAUGAAUUCUACAAAUAUUAUACUAUACCUUUAUCAACAUGAUGUAAUGAAUGCUAACUUUACAUAGCAAUAAGUUCAACUAGCAUACUACUAUGCUUCAACAAUAUCAUAGAUAAGGAGAUGCACAUAGCUAGGAAAACUACUAACAUGUCCCUAUGUUAUGUCAUGGCAUGAAUGCACUCUCUACUAUGCCAUUCGUUCAUUUGUUAUCCAAUCUACUUGGCUAACCCGAAGGUUACACCACGACUCACUUCUCAAAUCUCAAAGGUGAGGAGAAGCUGCACUCGUACAUCGAGACGGUUUACGGGACAACUACAUCUGUCCCAGGGCAACUACUUCUGCCCCCCUAUCGUGAUAACUCCGGAGCUCACUGCUUGGGUGGAGCGACCACCCCAAGCCAGAACAAACUAAGUAAGUAUGAUCCAAUCCUCGUCUACUGAGGAUACCCUGUCUACAAGGGUCACAGUGCUUCUACCGCACUUGAUUCAAUGUCUUAUUGGCAAAUCGGAAAAAUCUACUAUCCCUAGGUUCAUGUUAUAGUGUUUCUACUACACUAAGACCAAAUGCUACUCAUUUAUGUCAUAUGUUUUCCAAGUGUCUACUACUACACUAAAUCAUAUACCACUCAUUUAUGUAAUCAUGUUUAAGUGUUUCUACCACACUAAUUGACAUGCCACUCGCUUGCAUAAACAUAUCAUCCAAAUUAUUACUUGAUCUUGCCACUAUAGGAUCCAAUGUCACACCCAAUCCGCAUGCAACCACUAGAAUAUGUGUUCAACCCACAAUUUCUAUCACUACUAUGGAAUCAUGCAAGGAAAUGUAGCUACAACUACUCAACAUAUCCUAUAAUGCAAGAUAACACAUAUACAUGUAUGCUGAAUAAUAGAACUUGGACAUAGAGAGAAGUCCAACUGCUUCCUGAUGACACCCCCCACCUUCUGGUGAUGCCAAGAUGCUAGGGUUCAAGUUUCGCGAUUUUAGGACGUUGCCUCGGCCCUCCAGGCGGAAAUGAAGCUAAAAACGUCCUUUUUCCCCAUAUUUUUCGCGUAGGCUGGACGGAUCGCCGAACCGACUUCACCCGCGCGUUAGAAUACCUCUACUAAGCUUUCCUUUCCAAGAAAGGAAGAAGAUGAAGAAAAUGAUGAAGCUUUCCUCUUUCAAGCUCCAAAUCUCCACCCUUUUCUCAUCUUGUUCCACUCCUAGAGAGAGAGGGAGAGCUCCUAGAGAGAGAGUGUGUUUAGGUUGGUUGCAAAUGAGAGAAAGUGGAGAGGAUGAGCCCACUUCAUAUCUCUUUUAACCCUACACUUGCCAAUUUGCAAGAAACCCCCUCAACUUCAUGUUUUCUGCACAACCCGAACUGGGCAAUUUUCGGGUAUGGGGUCCGGACCUUGUAGCUAGGGUCCGGAUCCCGAAAGCAUAAAAAUUCUGCAAAAAUGCAAAUUUGCACUACCAGCUCUCCAAGGUCCUCUACAACCCUCUAAAUGCCGUUUUCGAUGAUUUCAGCCAUUCCGAAAUGUCCCGAACCAACUUCCGAUCGAUUUUGAUCGAAGUUCGAAUUUACAUAUCGAGGAUUCUUUUCCUUACAUUCUCCCCUUCUUAAAAAGAGUUUCGUCCUCGGAACUUACUCAUCUUGAACAAAAUUCUAAACAAUACUCAUACCUCAGCUCAACUCCUCAAAGAGAUGAGGAUGAUGUGCUUUCAUCACAUCCUCGAGUUCCCACGUGGCUUCGCGAUUAUCGUGAUUGCUCUACCGAACCUUGACGUAGGGGAUCUCGCUAUUUCUCAACUUGCGCACUUCUCGAGCAAUAACUGACACCGAAAACUCUUCAUAGGACAUAUCUUCUUGCAAUUCCGGUGGCUCAUAUAGCAAAGCGUGCUCAGGGUCGUGGAUAUGCUUGCAAAGGUUGGGAACGUGGAACACAUUAUGAACGUCCGCAAGCUUGGGCGGCAAUGCAAGCCGGUAUGCUACCGCACCAAUUCGGUCCAACACUUCAUACGGCCCAAUGUAAUGGGGGCUUAACUUUCCCCGAACUCCGAACCGCUUCACACCCCUCAUGGGUGAAACCUUCAAGAAGAUGCGGUCGCCCACUGCGAAUUCUAAAUCUCGUCGGCGCUUGUUCGCAUAACUCUUUUGCCUCGACUGCGUCGUUAGCAAUCUUUGGCGAGCAAGGCAGACCUUCUCUUCCGCCUCCCGCAAGACAUCGGGACCCAACACCGCCCGUUCGCCCACAUCACUCCAGUAUAUAGGAGAUCGGCACUUUCUCCCGUAGAGAGCCUCAAACGGUGCCAUCUCUAUACUAGCUUGGUAACUGUUGUUGUAGGCGAACUCGGCCAUUGGCAAGUGAUCAUUCCAACUGCCCUUGUAGUCAAUGACACACGCCCACAACAUAUCCUCCAACACCUGAAUGGUUCUCUCCGACUGCCCAUCGGUUUGAGGAUGGAAUGCGGUGCUGAAAUCGAGCCGUGUGCCGAGCGCUUCCUGCAGGCUUUUCCAAAAGUGUGAAGUAAACCGGGGAUCUUGAUCUGACACAAUCGACUUCGGAACCCCGUGCAACCUCACAACCUCAUCAAGAUAUACAUGCGCUAGCUUGUCACCCGACCAAGUAGUGUGGAUUGGCAGAAAAUGUGCCGACUUCGUCAAGCGAUCCACAACUACCCAAAUUGCAUCGUGGCCACCCGACGAACGAGGCAAUCCAACCAUGAAGUCCAUGGAUAUAUCCUCCCAUUUCCAAACGGGGAUAGGUAGGCUCUGAAGUUUUCCUGCUGGAAACCGGCGCUCUGCCUUAACCUGUUGACAUACCAGGGCACUGCGCCACAUAGCGUCCAAUAUCAGCUUUCAUUCCCGGCCACCAGUAGAGCAUUUUCAAAUCUUGGUACAUCUUGAUGCCGCUCGGGUGGACACUAUAGGGAGACCAAUGCGCUUAUUGCAAAAUCAACUUUCGAAUUUCUUCAUUUUUCGGCACACACCACCGGUUUCGGUAUCGAAGCGCAUCACCGGCGUCUAUACUGAAAUCGCCGCCACGCCCACUCUCGAUGUCGCACCGCACUUUUUGGAGACUCGAAUCGGCAAGUUGCAGACUUUUGAUUUCUCCAACAAGGUCGGUUGGACAACGAGAGCCGAUAAUACAGUCGAAACCUCCGAAGCUACAACCUUAAGAUCCAUUUGCCCCAUUUCCUUCCACAGGGGCUCCUGAUUUGUGACCCACAACGCGAGGUUCUCCGCCGACUUCCUGCUAAGUGCGUCGGCUACCACAUUAGCCUUCCCGGGGUGGUAAAGGAUAUCAACAUCGUAGUCCUUUAGCAAUUCUAACCACCGCCAUUGCAGCAUAUUAAGCUCCUCCUGUGUGAACAGGUACUUUAGACUUUUGUGGUCCGUGUAGAUCUUGCAAUGCGCACCAUAAAGGCAGUGCCUCCACAACUUUAAGGCGAAGAUCACUGCGGCUAACUCCAAGUCGUGGAUAGGGUAGUUCUUCUCGUAGCUUUUCAACUGACGGGAUGCAUAGGCGAUCACCUUUUCACCCUGCAUUAGAACACACCCUAAACCCGAAUAGGAUGCAUCGCUAUAUACCACAAUGUCCUCACCUUGCACUGGUAGGGCGAGCACCGGAGCCAAAGUCAACUUUUCUUUCAACUCUUUGAAACUCCGGUCGCACUCGUCGCCCCAAAUAAACUUGGUGCCCUUCUGUAUCAGACGGGUAAGUGGAAUAACAAUCUUCGAGAAUCCCCCCACGAACCAUCUAUAGUAGCCUGCUAAGCCCACAAAGCUUUGGACCUCCGUGACAUUAGUAGGGCGAGGCCAGUCCUUGAUUGCCUCAACUUUUCUUGGGUCAACGGAUACUCCACCCUCGGAAAUAACAUGCCCCAGAAACGCGACUUCUCGGAGCCAAAAGUCACACUUCUUCAAUUUCGUGUAUAGCUUCUCCUCCCGAAUGACUUGAAGCAUUAUCCGCAAAUGCUCCGCGUGCUCCUCGUCGCUACGCGAAUAAACCAAAAUGUCGUCAAUGAAGACCACGACAAAUCGGUCCAAAUAAGCUCUGAAGCCACGAUUCAUUAAGUCCAUGAACGCUGUCGGGGCAUUUGUGAGCCCGAACGGCAUGACCGUGAAUUCAUAGUGUCCAUACCGGGUGCGAAACGCAAUUUUCUGCACAUCCUCCGGCUUAAUCUUCAACUGAUGAUAGCCAGACUGGAGGUCUAUCUUUGAGUAAACCCGAGACCCUUGCAACUGAUCAAACAAGUCGUCGAUACGGGAAAACGGGUACUUAUUCUUGAUCGUGACCUUGUUCAACUCGCGGUAAUCUACGCAGAGUCGAAACGAUCCAUCCUUCUUCCGCACAAACAAUAACGGGGCUCCCCAUGGUGACACACUUGGCCUGAUAAAUUCAUUGUCGAGGAGAUCUUGCAAUUGAGCCCUCAACUCCUUCAAUUCUGCCGGUGCCAUACGGUACAGAGCCUUUGAAAUCGGCGCGGUCCCGGGAAUCAAGUCUAUAAUGAACUCGAUCUCCCGAUUCGGCGGUAUCCCCAGUAGUGUCACGCCUCGGGGCCCAACGAAAGCCCGCUCGGCGUGUGUCCAAACCUGCCAUAUGUCUAAAACAUACAAGGCGUCUACAACAAAGCGAUAAAUAAAACAAUAAGAGAAGAACAUCUAGGAGUAUCAGAGCGUACAUCUAGAUUUCUACAGCAAGAAUAGGUAAAAGAAGCCAAAACCACCAAAUAAAAGUCAUAAGUAAUAAAAAAAGAUAUCCCAAAACAAGAGCUAAAAGAGUAUAUAGGUGGUCUCUAUACAUGGUACAAAAAUCUCUCUCUCUCCAAAACACAAAAAGAGAGUAACCACCUAGGAGCAAGUAGCUCCCCGCUAUCUAGCUAGGCGACAACCUUGCCGCGAACCCGUGCCUCCGCCGGUGCCGAAGGCUCCGAAAUGAAAUCAUAAAACAGGGGGCGUGAGAACUAUUAAAUAAUAGUUCCCAGUGGGCAAUUACUGACUUCAAUGAAAUGCGCCACUAGGCCCAAAAGCUACAAAAAGGGUAAGUACGAGUAUAAGCAAAAGCGAUAUAUACGACAAGCAAAUAAACAUGAGUACUUGCUACUACAUGAUAUCUCUACUUAGCAUGAAAUUGCAUAAGUAAGAAAGUUAUACUAUCAUGAAAAUGCACGAGUAUACAACCGUCAUAAUAUCCACAAUGUAAUAGUAAAAUGUUAUUGUUUACUAUUCUAGUCAAUGUUCACUUGGCAUGUUAACUACUUAAAGUUAAAUCUUUGAAGACCUGCCUGAAGGCUGUCUAGCCUAUAGACCCACCCGUAGGCUGUCUGGCCGGUGCCGAGCCUAAUGGCCCCGUGGUAGUCAACAUCCCCAUUCUAGGAAUGAGGCUUGCCCACGACAAUCCACUUCGGCGCCCAAUCCCGCACGGCGAAUAUGUAUCACGAUGGCCAUCUUUGGAGUGCCGGCUUAGGAAUGAGGCUUGCCCACGACAAUCCACUUCGGCGCCCAAUCCCGCACGGCGAAUAUGUAUCACGAUGGCCAUCUUUGGAGUGCCGGCUUGUAAGGAGCGACCCUCACAAGCAUGUGCGAAUGAGCACAAUGGCAAGAAAGCGCAGAUCCGUCUCAAGUUUCAAGUCAUCAUGUCUAAAACAUGAAUGUAUCGAAUGUCUCAAGGGCUUAUCUCUAUGUUAUCAUGUCUAAAACAUGGAAUAUAGUAAAUGUCAAUGGCCUACCACUAUAUCUCUAUAUUGCAGUUUUCCAGUUUGCUGGUUCAUGUGCCCCUUCAUGACACUUUUUUUCACUAAGUCAAAGCAUGAUAAUUAUGUUCAUGAAUACAUAAUUCUAAUCAUUUCCCUCGCAUGAGACAUGUAAUCAACCCGCAAAGAUAAACAUUUCCACAUGCAUGCAGCCUACACAUAUAGCUCCACUAUAUAGAGUGAAAUUUUCAUUAUACAUAACACAUGCAUUUUAAGUAUUCUAAAAUUCACAUAAAUUCCAUUUAGCAUGAAUAUGCAAUCAAAUUGACGUUACGACAAAUAUAAUACACAUAGGGGCCAUUUCGCCCCGAUUUCAUGAAGCCAAACCCACCACAACUCUUGCGACCCUUCGUUUGCUCCGACGAAGGUGCCCACUAGUGUCCUAGCACCCUAAAGAUGUAGAAACAAGAGUUAAACGAACCUUACGAACAUCCCAAAGCUCAAACAUUAACCAACUCUAGCUAAGGUGGAGAAAACUCACCUAUAGUGUAGAAAUCCUCUAAGAAAUCCUAAAUGGAAGCCAAAUCCCUUCUAAAGCAACCUAUACCAAGGUUCUAAACCAAUCAAUUAGGUUCCAAAGCCCUCAAAUGAAAAACCCCCAAUUCUAACCCUAAAACCCCAAUCUAGGGUUUCAUUUGGUAAAACCUACCAAAACAUGCUCCAAAGAGUAGAUUAAGCAUACUAACCUCCUUGGUAGCUCCAAACCAAGCUCAAAAUGCUCUAGGGUUGAAGGUUGAUCCUCUAUCAAGCUCCUAGCCCAAGCUCCAAGCCACCAAUGGUGAGAAGAGAGGGUGUGGGGGAAGUCCAAAGUCCACCAAGCAAGCUCUCCUUGCUCUUCUCCUCCUUCUUCCCUUUCUUCCUUCUCCUUCUUCUUCUCUUUCUAGAGAGUGUGAAAGAGUGAGAAGUGAGGAAAAGAGAGAGAGGAAAAGCCCUAAAAGCCCUCUAAAGUAACAAAAUCUAGAAAAGCCCCUCAACUUUGCAACCUGUGCACUGCCUGACUAGGCAGUUUUCGGGUGGAGGGACCGGUCUUUCCCCACAUGGGACCGGUGUAGCACACUGGACCUUUGCAAAUUGCGAGGUUCGAGUGUUUGAUAUGCAUUCUGAACUUUUCCACACUUGGUGGAAGGUCGUAGAUAGUAUUCCAACCUAAAAGUUUGAUUCCUGGAGUUUUGGCUUUGUUCUAAGAGUUUUCACUCUCGGGGACCGGUCCCUGAUAGGAGAGAUCGGUCCCCUCAGAACAGUGCUGCAGCAGGACUUGAGGCAACCGGUUCGUUGUGGGUGAGACCGGUCCCCAAGAGCAACUACACGGGGAGAGACCGGUCCCAUGCGGGGAGAGACCGGUUUCCGAACAUUGGAUUUUCGGGGCAGGCUGAGAGACCGGUCCUAGGUCAGGGAGACCGGUCCCUCAGUCCGAAAAUUGCCCAGUUCGGGCAGUGCAUUAGAUGCAUUGUUGAGGGGCUUUUCUGGAUUUUGUUACAAUAGAUAACCUAUAUGGCCAUUUCACCUCUCUCCCUCCCUCAUUUCACACUCUCCUUUGCACCUUAGAGUGAGAAAAAGAAGGAGAAGAAGAGGAAGAAGAAGGAGUUGGAGGAGAGCAAGAUUUUGAGGCUUUGGAGCAUCUUCCUCCCCCUUUGCUCAUCAUUGGAGGCUUGGAGCUUGGGCUAGGAGCAUGAUAGAGGGUUAAUCUUCAACCCUAGAGCAUUUUGAGCUUGGUUUGGAGCUACCAAGAAGGUUAAUUGCUUGUUUCUUCCCUCUAGAUCUAUUUUUGGUGGAUUUUGGGAGAUGAAACCCUAGAUUGAGGAAUUAGGGUUUGAUUUGGGGAUUUUGGAUUUGUGGCUUUUAGAGCUCUAUUGAUGGGUUUAGAACCUUGGAUUAGAUUGCUUUGGAUGGGAUUUGGCGUCCAUUUGAGCUUUAUUUGAGGAUUUCUUCACCAAGGUGAGUUUUUCUCCACCUUAGCUUGAGGUAGUUAACGAUUGAGUAUAGGGUUAAUCGUAAGGUUCGUUUAACUCUUGUUCCUACAUAUUUAGGGUGCUAGGAGGAUAGUGGACACCUUCGUCGGAGCUUACGAAGGGUUUCGGUAUCUACGAUGGGUUUGACUUCAUGAAAACGGGGCAAAAUGGCCCCUAUGCAUUACAUACUCGUCGUAAAGUCUUUUUGAAUGUAAAUCCAUGCUAGAUAGAAUUUAUGGAAAUUUUAAAAUCCUUGAAAUGCAUGUGCUAUGUGUAAGAUAAAUAUCACUCUAUAUAGUAGAGCUAUAUGUGUAGACUGCAUGCAUGUGAAAGGUGUGCAUCUUUGCAAGUUGAGAAUAUGUCUCUUAUGCUAGAAAUGAUUAGAAUUAUGUAUUCAUGAACAUAAUUAUCAUGCUUGGACUCAUUGAACAAAAUGUCAUAAAGGGGCACUUGAAACUAGUAAACUAUGAAAAUGCAACAUAAAGACAUAGUGAUAGGCGAUUCGGCAUCGACUAUAUUCCAUAUUAGAGACAUGAUGACAUAGUGACAAGCCUUUGUGACAUUCGAUACAUUCCAUGUUUUUAGACAUGAGGACUUGAAACUUGAGACAGACUUAUACGCAUGCUUGCCAUUGUGCUCAUUCGCACAUGCUUGUGAGGGUCGCUCCCUACAAGCCGGCACUCCGGAGUUAGCAUCACGAUACAUAUUUGCCGUGCCGGAUUGGGCGCCGAAGUGGAUUGCCGUGGGAAAGGCUCAUUCCUAGAGCGGGGAUGUUGACUAUCAUGGGGCCAUUAGGCACGGCACCGGCCAGACAGCCUACGGGUGGGUCUUACAGGCCAGACAGCCUUCGGGUGGGUCUUCAUGCCAGACAGCCUUCGGGUGGGUCUUAUAAGAUUAAACUUUUAACAAUUAAAGUGACAAGUGGACAUUGUCUAGAAUAGUAAAAUCCAUCAUCGCAGGAACUCACCCGCUAGAACCGUCCUUCGGGUUUACUCCAACCCGUGAUGCAUAACUCCGGAGCGCAUCGCCCGAGGGGGAGCGACCGCCCUCGAGCACGGAACUCAUAGCAAGUAUGAUCAUAUCCUUAACUCAAAGGAUUUAUAAGUUCAAUCUUGACUUUACACUAGCUCUAGUGUUCUUUCGUCACUUUUUGUUGCCACUCUAGCAAUCAUUGUUCUUUACCAUUCAUUACUCUUGCUAACUCUAGCAAUCAUAUUUUUUACAUUCUUUACUUUUGGCUACCUCUAGCACUUCAUGUUCUUUACUCCCCACAUUACUUUAACUUUAAACAUUGUCAUUUUCAUCAUUCUUUACAUUACAUUGGUUCUUUACCUCACACUAUCUCUAGUGUCAUUUUACUUUAACUUUAUCGAAUGCCACUCGAUCUAUGUCAUUGUGUCACUCUGUUCUUUUGCUCACUUUGGGUGCUCACUUUUCUCUCAUGCAUACACAUAGGGUUUUCGACGUUCACAUAGUUCUCAUUCAUCAUAUUAUGCAAGUUGUACUCACAAUCAUGCAUCAUCACAUUUUCAUCAUUACUUUACCCUAAAAUGUAUGCAACAAUAUAUAUACACAUGCUCAAAUGAAUGACACAUUAGGCAUAGAGAGAAGUUCAAUAAGUUUGAGAAGCACCACCCACCUCGUAGGCUUUCAAAGGUGCUCCGAUAAUUUACUUGGAAUUUUUAGGUCCUUCGUUCUUUACCUGCGGCAUAACAAAGCCAUAUUAGGCCAUUUUGCCCAUAUCUUUACAUCGCCUUUUUGUAACAUUAAUCCGAGCGCACCAACGCGUCGGAAAUACCCCCAAUUAGGUUUCUAGAGGGUCAAUUGCACUUAGAAAUCCCCAUGAGCAAAAGCCCCAAUUUGGGUGCCCUAGCUCCAUAGCAUGUGAAAUCCUAGGGUUUGAUCUCAAUGGGAAGCAAAAGUAGCUUCAUUAUACUCUAAAAAGUCCAUUAGAACCAUCUUUAGACAAAUCAAAACCCUACUUAGUGUUUCACCAUGAGAGGUGAUGAAGCUCACCUCAAGCUUCACCAUUUCUAUGGUCUUGAUCUCAAAAGAAGCAAAAAAAAAGUUUCAAAUACUCUAAAAGCUCCACAAAAACCAUUUAUAGCUUAAUCUAAACCCUAGAUUAGGUUUUACCAUGAUUAGGGUUCAAAGCUUACCUUGUAAGCCUCCCUUUUCCAAGCUAGAGACGAGGGAGAAGGAGUUUCUUCACUCCUUCUUCUUCUUCUCCACUUUCUUCCUCUUCUUUUCCUUCUUUUUCCUUCUCUUCUUCUUCUCCUUCUUGUCUUCUAGAGAGAGAAAGAGAGAUGAGAGUGGGAGAGGGUGUGAAAUGAGAGAAAAGCCCUCAUAACCCUCAUACUAUACUCAAUGGGUUGCAAAAUUGCAGCUAAACCCCUCAACUUUCAUCUUAUUCAAUUGCCUGGACUGGGCAGAUUUCGGGCUCGGGGACCGGUCUCCCCGACUAGGGACCGAUCUCCGAGAGCUCUCCCAGCGCAGCCAGAACUGCUUCGCGCAAUGCGACCGGUCUCUCUCUGGUGGGACCAGUCUCUGGGGGACCGGUCUCUCAGGCAGGGACCGGUUCCCGAGAGCUAGUUUCUCAGGACUUAGCCAUUUUUCCUCAUUUCUCAUUUUUCACGCGUUCGGGGACCGGUCUCUUCCACCAGGGACCGGUCCCAGAGAGCUGAAAAUCUGCAGUUUGCAGAAUUUUGAUUCUUAGCUCUCGAAAACCUUCCACAACACACUUUUACCCAUUUUACACCUUCGGACUUUCCGAAGUGUACCAUCCUCGCACUUUGGUCAUUUUGAUUAAAGUUCGAUAUUUAUUUUCCGAAUUUUCGGUAUAUUACAUAGUGCUAUGUCCGUACGCACGCCAUGCGGGCAAGCAGCAUGCGUGCAGUGUUUACAUGCGACGUGGCUAGGAUGCGGCUAUGUCAUGUGGUUGCAUCGUGAAUCGCAAUUUAAAUUAGUUUUAAAUUUUAAAAUUUAAUACAUAAGAUGUAUUAGAUCUUUUUAAUAAUUUUACGAAAAUUGCAAUUCUUGAAAUAAAUAAAGAUUUAUUUUAAAUUAAUCCGAAACCCAAUUAAUUAGAAUUCGAAUUAGAGAAUUUGUUUUUAUAUGCAUGUGAUGUAUAUGAGGUGAUGAUCAUGGAUAGCGACCUUGUGAUGUGCAUGUAUCAUGUGAUGAUGUGAAUUUUUGUAAUUUAAUAAGGAUCCAGUAUUAGAUUAUAUUUUUUUUGGUUCCUGCGCGUGCCAGUUAAAUUAUGUAAUUUGGAGACCUGCGUGUCUCAUUAAUUUUAUGCGUGUUGUUAAAGUUAUUGUUAUAAAAUAAUAAACGAAAAAAGGUAGUUAGGUUCCAGAGGGAUUCAUUGCAUUUCAAGAGUUGAUGCGAUGGGAUCAAGUUUUGGACCAGAUGCUGAAUCAAGGCGAGAAGACAAGAGUGAUCAACUCAAUCUCCGAUCCGAGACGCGAAUAAGAAAGGUUUUCUGUGUGCUAAUCCCUUAUGACAACAACGAUCCAGUCUGUGGCUCAGGCACCGAAUCAAGAUAAAAAUCCAUUUCAUCACCGGUAGUAUUUUAUCAUAUGCGAUGUAUGUAUGCAUGUGUGUAUGUGCGUUUGCAAUGAGAUGUAAAUUUAAUAAUAAAUUUAAAACUGAUGAGACAACUAAAUCGUCCCUAAUAAAAUUAAGUUAAUCGGUGUUAUGAACCCUUAGGCCUUCCACCGUUGAUAGGGGUGUAGGCGUCUCUUUAGUUUGAUUAAUGCACCGGAUACGGGCGUCAGUUGCAUUAAGAGCCGCAACCAUUCUAAUUUGGCAUGAGAUGCGUGCUGGUGAAGAAAUGGAUUAGAUCCAAGAAAUUUGCCAGGAUGAGGGAUUCAAUGACAUUCUUAUUUGCACGAUGAACUGUGGGUCUAACUUAACCACGAAGAUAAAGCAAGAUUCUGUCAGGAUGAGGCCUAUAUUCUUAUUGGAGGCCAAGAUGUAGAUUGCAAUUUGCCUUGAACAGCAUUGAACAGAAGUUGUUCAGUUAAUUUGUUUGCUCAUUGCAAAGAAUCUGUCAGGAUGAGGUGAGGUGAUGUGUAGAACAGAUGGGACCGCAAUACCCACUAGAAACUUAUAAACAAAGUUUACUUGUUUGCUCCGCUCGGGGGAAGUGUGGAGAUUCGUCAAAUUAGUGAAGGCACCUUUAGAUUUAAAGACCAAUCAAAUGGAUCUAAGAUAUAAGUACAUAAUAAUUAGAAUCUAUAACCUUCUACAGAAAAUGGUCAUCUAAGCCCACUUGCCAAAAUACUUUGAUAUUAAUGCUUUAACUGACUCGAAUUCACCGAUUGGCUGAGAAAAAUUGAGAAUGUUCUCAAUUUUGAGAAAUUAGCCUAUGUGUGGACACGAGCCUCCAGCGUGUGCCCGAAAAUUCGACGGCUCAACAAGCAGCUGCAAAAAUAAAUGGACUUGAUGACGCAUAUGAGGUGAAAAUGUUACAUUGCUUGGUCUUAUGGAGCCAAUGAGUUGCAACGCAGCAUGAGCACGAUGGAGAGCUGUGCCUGAUAUUUCUACUUCAUCUCAAGGAGUUGUAUGAUGAAAGAAAGUCGAAACAGCCUCGCUCGAGGUGUCGAAGCGGACUGUAUGCAGGGCUAAGAUCGUCGAGAUUCAUUGUCAUUGAAACUACUAAUCUUAGCGGUUUGUUCUACCUUCAAUGGGUCAUGACUGCUUAGAUGCACCUCGAUUUUAUGUAAUUCAAUGCAGGGCUAAAACAAAGUAGAAGACUUAAGGAUGCGAGAGCUUAACCCUUACGCGUUGGAAACGAAGCAAGCAGUUUGCUGCUGUUGCUGGGGACUUAUCCUUUAUGUCUACCGACGGAGUAAGUUUUAGAACUGAGAUUUGUCUUAAGUUCCGUUAGUGCGACUUAGAAACCUUAAUUUCUAUUUUCACGCUUAGGUAUUGGACGGUUAUAAGUUUAUUUUUGAAUCAAACGUCUUAUUCAAUUUAUUUGAGAAAUAAUUUGAUCGGUUAUGUUCUUUAAUGACAAUCUCUAUCACUUCGCAUAUGCGAUGUUAGUGUUAAUACAGUUGAUAAUGGCAUGAAUAAGAAUAUCAUUGGUUUCAAAAGACAAGAGGAGGUAAUAUAAGAACGUACUUGUGGCAUCUUAGACCUUGGUACAUUGGAGAGGAUAGGAUUAACAUUGAGCUAGAAUGGCCUUAGGUCCUUACCUUUUGAAACCAUACCCAGCUUGUGACAUGUUCUUCAACGGAAAAAUAACUAAGUCUUCUUUUUGUUGGAAAAGAGACGAGAAAGCUACUGAAGUACUCGCCCUAAUACAAUACUGAUGUAUGUGGACAUUCAGAUGUAGUCUGGCUUGGGGUGGCUUAUCUCUACUUCAUUAUCUUUAUUGAUGUCACGCCAGGGACUUCAGCGGAAGCUGACCCGGUGAAACCAUGACCGCCCAGACCCGGCCCAUACGUACUAAAACAUAUCAAGGCGUCUACAAAAAAUUAAUCGAUAGAUAAAACAAUUAAUACAAAGAAAUCUAGUGAUAUCAGAGCAUUGGUAAUAACUAGCUUCUUAACAAGGAAGGACCAUUAAAGCAGAAAAGUCCCUAGAUAAAAACAUAAGUAAGUACAAUAGGAUCCAUAACAAGUGCUAAAAGGAGUACAGGUGGUCUCUCUGCACCAUUGAUACAACACCUCUUCACAAAAUAUAAAUAUGGAGAUAACACGCUAGCCCGCAAAGAACUCUCCGCGAGCUAGCUACCGACACCCUUGCGCGAUCCCGUGCCUCCGCCGGGUCUGCCGAAGCUCUGAAAGGACAUAGAAACAGGGGUGAGAACUAUUAAAUAAUAGUCCAGUGGGCAAUUACUGACUUCAGUGAAAUGGCACCACUAGGCCGAAACUAUAGAAAAGGGUCAUGUACAUUAUAACAAAAAGCGAUAAAUGCGCGUAAGUUAAAAUAAAUAAAAUGAGUACCCCAAUAAUCAUGAAACUCUACUUAGACAUAAUUUACAUAAGUUAAAGAUGCAAACUACUAGCUAUAUGCACAUGACACACUCAACAUAUUAAAGCAUGAUUAUGCAACUACUGAGGUCACAAUCGUAAUAGUAAAAAGAUGUGCAUUGUUUACUAUUCUAGUCCAAUUCCACUUUAAUAGUUAUAAGAAGUUCACAUAGCAUGUUCUGUCACAAGUCCCAUCAUAUGAAGACCGCCACCCGAUAGGCUGUCUGGCUAGCCAGUGCCUAAUGGCCCCGUGUAGGUCAAAUCCCACUCUAGGAUGAGCCUCCCCACGGGCAAUCCAUUCGGCGCCCAAUCCGCACGGGCGGCAUAUUGUCGCGAGCUUAUCCGGAGUGCGGCUGUAGUGAGCGACCCUCACAAGCAUUGUGCGAUAUUGAGCCACAAGAUGGCAAGCAAGCAAAUGAUCCGUCUCAAGUACCAAGUCUCAUGAUCUAACAACAUGGAAUUAUCAAGUAUCUCAAUGGCUAUCUCUAUUUGUCAUCAUGUCUCUAACAUGGAAUAUAGCAGAUACGUAGCUGUAUUCAAUAUGUCUCUGGUUGCAGUUUAAUGUUUACUAAUUGUCAAGCUAGCCCCUUGAUGACACUCUUGUUUUUCAUAUGUCAAGCCCCCCAUGGCAAAACUAUAUUUCAAGGACAUGUUUCGCCAAGUCAUGAUCCUCAUUAGAGAUUGUACUUUUCACUUCAAAUAGAACGCUUUUCCCGUUAUGAUUGGUUCUACUCAUAUAGCUCACUAGUAUAGUGAAAUUUUUAUAAUACACAAGGCAUGCAUUUUAAGUGCUCUAAAUCCAUAUAAAUUCCUAUAGCAAGAAAUGAACUUAAAAAUAUUUUACGACAAGUAGAAAGGGCAUAGCGGGCCAUUUCGCCCCAAUUUCCACGAACCAAAACCCACGCGAUGACAAGAAACUCUGUCGUUUGCUGCCACGACGGGAUGUCCCUAGUUCUCCUAGUACCGCUAGGAGGUAUUAGAAACAUUGUGCAUACGAGAACAACACGAACAAUACCUAGCUCAAUCAUUAAGAAUAAUCAAGCAUUAGUGUGAGGAAAAAACUCACUUUAGUGCAAAUCUCUCUAAAGCUCCAAAGGAGAGUAGCAGCCCUUCCAAUCAACAGAAUGCGAAGCCUCUAAUCCAUCAACUAGCUUCCAAAAGCCCUAGAUUCAAAAUGCCCAAUUUAAGCCCGUAAAACCUCAUUCUAGGUUUCACACAAAAGAAGCCAAUAAAAAUCUAAUUUAGAGGAGAGGAUGAGCUACUUAACCUUUAGAAGCUUCAAAUAAGGAUCAAAUCCUCCAAGAGUGGCAGAUCUGCCUCACCCAAGCUCCAAGAUCAAGCUCCAAUGCGUGGAAAGCUUCCAACAAGCAAAGAAGCAAAAAAUGUGAGGGUUUAACUCUACCAAAAUUUCAAGCUAAAAAGGGAUGAAAUCCAAAGAGGAUGGUGAGGAAGCGGUGCCCUCCUUCUCCUCCCUGUGAUCUGGAGCUCAAAAGAGGUGCCUAAGGGGGUAGGGGUGCUAAAUAGAUUUAGAGCACAAACGCCGAAAAAAACCCUGCAGUUCCGGACUGCACGAAAAUGCCUCCUUGUACCCGUACACGGGCUCUUGUACCGGUUACAAGGCCCACGAAAAUGCAAACCCGAGGCUCGGGUCGCGGGCUCUGCGGUCUGUAACGUACAAGCCGAUGGCUGUUACCGUACAACCCAUCAAACUAUGUACCGGUACCAAAGACCAGUCUUGUUCCGUACAGCUCUGCUGCAGGGCUACCGGAGGACCAAAUAAUUCCGAAUUUGGAAUUUUCGCGUGCCUGAUCUCAAACCAAAAAUCCUCAGCGGUGCGAUUGCAGGUCGGAACACUCAUCAACAAACCUAUCCAAACGAACUGUGGAAAGGCUCCCCACACGAUCAAACACUCGAAUCUUGCGAUUUGCAAGAUCCAGUGCAUUAACAUUUCACCCCUCUAAAAAGGAUUCAGUUCCCGCGAGCGAAACUCAAAAUGCGAUGUAUCUCAAGCUCCAGCCUGGAAAAAUGAGGGUAGCGCUCCUGCCCAAAGCGCUCUCCCUCCACGUAGCCUCCGGCGCUCCCCUCCGUGGUUGUCAAAGAACUUCACAAUAACGGAAUGUCACCGAUUUCCAGCAGCUUCUUCACCUCGCGAGCCAAAAUCUUCACGGGUUUGCUCCUCGAAGCUCAAUCCUCGCGCCCAGCUCCACUGGUAUAGUCUCCAAAACGUGAGCUGGAUUUAUAAAUGUACCUCCGAAGGACCGAUACAUGAAAGACGUUGUGCACGCCGGAUAUGGUUCAGGUGGAUUAGAGCAAGUCCGAUAUCCUACCGGACCUACCACGCUCCAAGACUCAAUACGGUCCAAUGAAACGGGGCUCAACUUUCCCUCGAAUCCGAAUCUCUUGAUUCCCUUUAGUCGGCGAGACCUUCAAGAAAACAUGGUUCCAACUUGGACUCCAAGUCCGCUGUCCGUCGAUCAGCGUAGCACUCCUCUGUCUCUCUGCGCCGUUCAAAAGUCGCUCCGAGCAAUUCCAAAACCUUGUCCUCAGCCUUCCUUGAGAGCCACAUCAGUGGCUAAAAGCCAAUCUCUCGCCGACUUUAACUCCAAUGGAAUGCAAUAUUACCUUCGUCCAUAAAGUGCUCGAGGGCGCCAUCUUAUGCUUGUUGAUUAACUGUUUUAUAAGCCAAACUUCGCCAUAGGUUAAGAUGCUGGCGACAACAUCCCUGGAAGUUCUAUCACACAAGCCGGACAUAUCUUCUAAAGUCUGAAUAGUCGCGGCUCUUUUUAGACUGUCAUCACUCUGGGGUGAAUGCUGUACUAAAUCUAAUCGAGUUGCUAAGGCUCCUGCAGGACUUCUCAAAAGUUAACACAAAAGCUCUGCACGGUGUCUCGAUCCGAAAUCAAUCGACUGUAGGCACACUCCAUGAAAGUCGCACAAUCUCAUCAAGUACCUGUCCGAGCUUCUUCCCCGUCCCCAAGUCGCAUGAAUAGGUAUGAAGUUGCGACCGACUUCGUCAACCUAUCCCGAUCACCCAAAUAAGGCAUCGUUCCUGCUUGAGGCGAGCGCAACGCCCUUGUCACAAAUCAUUGGUGCAUUUUCCUACUUUUCACACUGGAAUAGCAAACUCUGAAGCUUCUCGCAGGAACUCGGUGCUCAGCCAUUCCACCUGUUGGCAAUGUUCAGACACCUAGACAAAAACUCACGAACAUCCUUUUUUCAUUCCCAGCCCCAAUAGAGCAACUUUAGAUCCUUAUACAUCUUUUGGGCCCACCGGCAUGAUUAGCGAUACGGCGCUCUAUGCCCGCUUUCGGGAAAUCCUCUUUAAUCCCGAAUCCGCGGGUAUACAAAUUCCGCCCACGGUAAACGCAUCAAUCCCUGAUCAUCCAAAGGAACUGUCGCCAGUACAACCAAUCACCAUUUUUCCUCUAUCUUUGCCCCACAUCGGAAGCUUGUUUCUUUAAUUCUAGUCCAACAAUGUUGGUUGCACCACCAAUGUCUCAACCUCUAGGCGUGUCAGGGCACUAUCUCCACUCAACCGCUUCAUUGCAUCGAUCAACUGCCGGUUGCGGUCACAAAUGCACGCUAAGAUUUUCAGUCGAUUUCCUAUCUUAGCGCAUCGCCACCACGUUAGCCUUGCCGGCGGUGGGUAAAGAAUCAGACAGUCAAUAAUCCUUAGUAGCUACACAACCACUGCGCCUGCCUCAAGUUCAACUCCUUCUGAGUAAUAUAGGUACUUUAAGCUCUGUGAUCGGUAUUACUUCACACGUUUGCCAUAAAGAUAGUGGCGCCAUAGCGUCAGGCGACCUACCGGCCGCCAACUCCAAAUCAUGGUUGUUUGGUAAGUUCUUCUCAUAUUCUUUAGUUUGGCGAGAGCAUACGCGAUCACUUGCCAUCCUGCAUCAAUACACAGUCCAAUCCAUUAAGUUGAAGCAUCACUAUUAAACCCAUAUUACCCUGCUCCAUCUACUGUAGGGAUCAAGAUCGGGGCUGUCAAUACUCUGCUUCAAACUCUUUGGAAGCUUCGCUCGCACGCCGUCAUUCCAAAUGAACUUGACUCCUUUAUGUGUGAUUCUCGUGAGGAUGUAGACGUUUAGCCAAACCUCUACAAUAUUCUCCGUAGUAACGGCCAAUCAAGGAAGCUUUUGUAUCUCCGUGACGUUAGUCCGGUCUUCGGCCCAAUCUGAUUGCUUCAAAUCCUUCUGGAUCCACUGCCUAUACCUGAUCCUGAAAUCAAGUAUCCAAGGAAAGGCUACCUCUCGAAGCAAACAUUCACAUGGGCUUCACUUUGAAUUAAAGCUCUUUUCCCGAAAGUACUUGAGUACAAUCCUCAGAAAUACUCUGUGAAUCCGCGAUCACUCGAGAGUAGACCAAAAUAUCGUCGAUGAACACCAUGACGAACCUGUCUAGAUAAGGCUUGAAAACACGGUUCAUUAGAUCCAUAAAAGCUGCCGGGGCAUUAGUAAGCCCGAACGGCAUAACUGUGAACUUAUAAUGUCCAUACCGUGUCCUGAAAGCCGUCUUUGAUAUGUCCUCGGGCUUGAUCUUCAACUGGUGGUAUCCCGACUGCAAGUCGAUCUUGGAAUACACACAUGAUCCCUGAAGCUGAUCAAACAAGUCGUCAAUCCUUGGCAACGGAUACUUGUUCUUGAUCGUGACUUUGUUAAGUUCACGAUAAUCCACACAAAGGCGAAGCGAUUCGUCCUUCUUCCUGACGAACAAAACUGGUGCUCCCCAAGGCGAAACGCUCGGUCGAAUGAAGCCUUUGUCCAACAAAUCCUGCAGCUGUGCCCUCAGCUCCUUUAGCUCUGCCGGUGCCAUCCUAUAGGGCGCCUUUGAGAUUGGGGUAGUCCCAGAGACGAGAUCUACCACAAACUCAAUCUCCCUAUCAGGAGGCAUACCCGGUAGCUCAGUUGGAAACACAUCCUGGAACUCUCGCACCACCGGGAUAUCCUCGAUCCUAGGGGUGUCAUCCUCGCCCCUCAGCACCACACUAGCCAAAUAGGCUACGCAACCUCUGCUAAUUAGCUGCCUAGCACGAGACGAGCUGAUCGUCAUCGCAAACAGCGAACUCCGGCAUCCACUAAAUACCACCUCAGUCUGCCCAGGUUCUCUAAAUGUAACCGUGCGAUUCUUACAAUCAAUCGUGGCAUAAAACUUGGUCAACCAAUCCAUACCCAAGACCACAUCAAAAUUUCCCAGCUUGCGCAAAGCUAGCAAAUCUAUAGGCAUGAUCCAAUCUCCUACCCGAAUAGGGCAACUGGGACCAUACUCUCUAAUGUCCAAGAUGUGGUCGGGUACAACAACAUGUCCCGUAUGCAACAAAGGAACCAAAGGGAUGCCAUGCAACUCGGCAAACAACCGAUCUAUAAAUGAAUGCGAUGCACCGGUAUCGAAUAAAGCACGAACUCUAAUGCCAUCAAGUAAAAUGAUACCUGCAACCACAUCCUCGGCUGCUGCCGCCUCCUCGGUCUGAGCGGCGUACAUGCGCCCACUCGGGGCCUGUUGAGAUCCCUCGCCCUGGCGCUGGACGGGUGGCCACCCAGGCUGGUACUGUGUCGAUGGAGUCCCCUGGCUAGCGGCUGGUAGAGCCGGUGCCGAUGCAGUCGAUGGUGCCGGUGAAGAUUCCCUCGGGCACUCGGUCCGAAAGUGGCCCUCCUGGCCACACUGGAAACACCUCCUUCCCUGCUGCGGGCACUGCGGUGGAAUGUGGGGGCCACCACAAAUCACGCACUGGGGAGAUCGGCGUUGGUCAGAACCUCCUCGGUGAGUCGCCGAGCCACGCCCACGCUGCUGGCUCCUCGAAUGCCUCGGCGGCCUCCUAGAGUGCGUCUGGCUCACACCCUCAGCCGCAGCCUCUUGGCCUUCCCUCUGUCCCUAGCCUCACGCUGCUCCUGGACCUCUGUCGCGCCGCUCUCCACGAUGAGCGCGCGAUCCACCACCUCUCGGUAGGUUUGGAGGUUAGAGGAUUACACAAACCGGAAAAACGACGGUCGCAACCCUCGCUCGAAGAUGCGGGCCUUGUCCUCGUCGUCCCGCACGACAAAAGGCACGCAAUACAGAAGCCGAGAAAACUCCCUCUCGUACUCAGCUACGGUCCGGUCGCCUUGGCGCAAGUUGCGCAGAUCCUGCUCCAUCUUCCGCUUGACGCUGGUCGGGAAGUAAUGGGCCAAAAGAAGCUCCUUGAACCUCGUCCAAGUGAUAGUCGCCAAGUCAGUGCUGGGGUGCUCCUGAAAAUCCAACCACCAGCUGUAGGCCUCGCCGUCCAAGUGGUAAGUGGCGAGCCAAACUCGAUCCCUCUCCUCCACGAAAGUGUCGCGGAAGAGCUUCUCCAUAUGCAUCAACCACUUCUCCACGAUCCAGUGGUCGACCUUCUCGCCGUCGAAGACUCGGGGACUGCACCUCCUGAACUCAUUGAGGCGCUCCAUCAGUCUAUCUCGCUCCGCCCCCUCAACCAAAGUAGGGAAAGCUGCUCCAACCGGGGGCCUCUGCACAGGUGGUGCCACCAAAACCUCCUCCUGGGGUACGGCCGCAGGCGCCGCACGCGAAGAACUGGGCGCGGGGGACGGCGCUCUCGGUGCAACGUCCACAACUGGUGCUGGCGGUGUAGGGGCCUGAGUCUCCCUGGAAGCUGCCGCCUGCUGCAAUAGUAGGUCCUCCAGACGCUUCAUCCGCGCCUCCUGUCGGCGCGCCGCCUCGGUCUGCUGUCGGGCCGCCUCCGCCUGCUGAGUGACCAAAUCAGUGAGGGCCGCAAGCUGGCCCCUCAACUCACGGACCUCGCUGGAUCCGGAGGUAGCGGAGGUCUCGACCUCCUCGAAGUUUGCCGCAUUGUCCGCCCCGGCAGAUUGGGAGCGAGUAAUCGGCAUUGUCACUACAAAACAUAAAAGCGGAAGUUAGUAAAACCCAUGCUAUCGCAUCCCCGCUCAAAAAGCAAUACCCAAAUCAUGCGAAAGUAAAGAAAUGUUCUUCACCACUAACUCCCGAUGUUACGUUAUCGGCCGCUAACGUAACCCUCCGCGAAGUUAGGAGUUAUACACUUCAAUUUAACUCCACUUUCUAGAGUUAUUCAAGAUACCCAAUCUAGAUACUUUCGCUUACAAGUCGAAUAGACCUCGUCUCUCACGAGCCUAUUUCCUAUAGUCCAACCGGCCUAAGGUUUACUAGAUCCCCUAAGACUCAACCCUAGGCUCUGAUACCAAAUUAAUCUGUCACGCCCCGGGGCUCAGCGGAAGCCUACCCGGUGCGUGCCCAGACCCACCAUACGUCUAAAACAUAUAAGGCGUCUAUAAAAAAAUUUCGAUAGAUAAAAUAAUAAUACAAGAGAUCUAGUGAUAUCAGAGCAUUGUAUAACUAGUUCUAUAUCAAGAAAAAGACAUAAAGCAGAAAGUCCACUAGAUAAAAACAUAAAGUAAGUACAAUAGGGAUCCCAUAACAAGUGCUAAAAGGAGUACAAGGUGGUCUCUCUACACAUGGUACAACACCUCUCUCACAAAAUAUAAAAUGGGGGAGUAACCACCUAGCGCAAAAGAACUCUCCGCGAGCUAGGUACGCGACACCCUUGCAGCGAUCCCGUGUCUCCGCCGAUGCCGAAGGCUCUGAAAAGGAACAUAGAAACAGGGGCGUGAGAACUAUUAAAUAAUAGUUUCCAGUGGGCAAUUACUGACUUCAGUGAAAUGCACCACUAGGCCCGAAACUAUAGAAAAAUGGUCAGUGUACAUUAUAACAAAAGCGAUAAAUGCGCUGUAAGUAAAUAAAUAAACAAGUACCCAAUAAUCAUGAAACCUCUACUUAGCAUAAUUUACAUAAGUAAGAUGCAACUACUAGCUAUAUGCACAUGAACACCGAACAUAUAAAGCAUGAUUAUGCAACUACCCAGAGUCCACAAUGUAAUAGUAAAGAUGUCAUUGUUUACUAUUCUAGUCCAAGUCCACUUUAACAGUUAUAGAGUUCACAUAGCAUGUUCUGUCACCAAGUCCCAAUCAUAUAAGACCCACCCGAAGGCUGUCUGGCCUGCGCCGUGCCUAAUUGCCCCGUGGUAGUCAACAUCCCCACUCUAGGGAUGAGCCUCCCCCACGACAAUCCACUUCGGCGCCCAAUCCCGCACGGGCGAGCAUAUGUCGCGAUGGCUAUCUCUGAAAGUUUUGAGGAGCCCAAGGAUCUAUCUAGAUUGUAUAUAUCUAGAUGGGGGGUUGAAUAGGUGUUAACGGGCCAAAACCUACAAAUUCUCGAUGAAAAAAAACAAUAAAAAUUAAAUGCGGAAAAUAAAAAGCAAACCGAGAUUUACGUGGAAAACCCCAACUGGGAAAAACUUCCGGACCUAACACGCGAAAAAAUAAUUCACUUAAGAGAAAAGAUUACCAGGUGAAAUUACCGAUCACGGACUUAACUCUCUUAAACCUCCUUGAUCUUCGCCGCUACACUCUCGGGUUGUCCACGCCCGUCACUGAUCCCGAAUCCACGAAACGCCGCCGUACUUCUAAUUCCACGAGAGCUAACAAUUACAUCCGAAUCCUUCGUGCACUGCUCGUGAUCCACGAGCUGCCACGAUCCGAAUCCAAACGACCGCCGUCAAAUAACGCCGAAUUCCAACGACGCCUCUAUGAAGAGCAUCAUGAUUAUGGUGAUCCUUCGCUUAGGAGUAACGUAGAAAACUCAGGGAUAGAACCCAAGCGAUAGCUGAGAUCAAAUCGGACAUAUAGAGAAUGCGAAACAAUACUCGAUUAUGAUUAAAGGGCUAAUUUGUAGACAAAUAGGUUUUAGAUAUAUCCAGCUGCUAGGGUUUCUCAAACAUGUAUUCUUAUGAUCCUUCUUCUGUUAGAGAAGCCCAAUAACUUAUUUAUAGACUUUAGAAUCAAUUGGAGUCGGAUUAGAAAGAUUUCACGAUUUUACACUGUGUACCGGUACACUUUAGGCUGUCACCGGUUACACAAUGACGGAACGAAAAACCUGACGAAACAGUGGAACCGGUUACACCCUUGAUGGUCGUACCGGUACACAUUUUGUACCGGUACACUUCUGAUGCUAUACCGGUACACUUUGCAAAUUUUCGCCGUUUCGGGUUUUGCAAAGUUCCAAUGCACUUUCUAAUCCGUUAGACAUUGAUAACAUGAUUCUAAUGUCUACAACUAAGUAUGAAUCACCAUAACAUGAAUUUAUACUUUACCUGAGCAUCGUGAUUCAUAUCGUGAGUUAUUUUCCAACUUCUUCGAAAUCUUGAAUUCUUCGAUCUUCGACAACACGCACCGAUUCUUCAAGACUCCGACUCACUUCACGAAACUUGCCAAUACACAAGACUUAACAAUCUCCCCCUUUGGCAAUUUCGUGACAAAACACACACUAACUCAAAAAUUACAAAUUACAAAAAAAUGAAGUUCAAUUGUCAUCACCAAAACAUUGAACUCCUUGCGUGUAAUCCAAAUACAAUUUGAAACUCAAACCUACAUUAAGAACUCCUAAAACAAACUCUAUGACUUAGACACAACUAGGAGUCUUGAAGUCUUGAUUUCCUGCGGAACAAUUCAUCCAAAAAUGAUUAAACUCAAAUUCUUAUACCUUCUCCCCCUUUGUUCUUCACAUCUCGAUCACAUCUCCCCCUUUGUUCUUGAACUCAUCAUCCUCUGCGUAGUUCAUUGCCUGUUGUCAUCCAUGCUCUCCCCCUGUUCUACGUUCUCCCCCUUUUUGUCAAAAAUUGCCAAAAGAAAGCAAAUAGAGAGAGAAAAUAUACUAGAAAGCAUAAAAGUAGACUAGUCAUAGUUACAGGCCUAAAGUAAAAGUAAAAACAAGCGACAGAAAGAUAAGCAAGCAAGUCUAAAACAUCGUCCUAGAAAGCAAGCAUAAAAAGUAACAAGACAAAGCCCGAGGAAGACAUCACUCCGUGUCCUCGUUAUCAUCACCAUCAUCAUCUCCUGCUCCAGCUCCAGAUCCCCCAGCCUCAGGAGCAUCACCAGACGGUGGAAUGAGUGGAUGUCGUGAGCAUCACCAGAUCCCCCUGAACUAGAAGAUCACUAGGUGCUUGUUGCUUAUUUUUAUUCAUUGCAUUACAUGUUUACAUGAUGUUUUGGUGUUUGAAUUUUAUUGGUUUAAAUCUUUUUGAGGAAAGGUAUUUCGGAAUUAAAAUUUUUGAGAAAGGAGAUGAUUGAGAAUCUUUAUUUUUAUUGCAUCGAGAUUUGUGGUUUUUGGCCGUUACACCUAUUCACCCCCCUCUAGGUGAUAGAUACAAUCUAGAUAGAUCCUUGGGCUCCUCAAAACUUUCAAUCUCCGGAGUGCCGGCUUGUAGGGAGCGACCCUCACAAGCAUGUGCGAAUGAGCACAAAUGGCAAGUAAGCAAUGAUCCGUCUCAAGUACCAAGUCCUCAUAUCUAACAACAUGGAAUAUAUCAAGUAUCUCAAUGGCCUAUCUCUAUGUCAUCAUGUCUCUAACAUGGAAUAUAGCAGAUACGUAGUGGCCUAUCAAUAUGUCUCUAUGUUGCAGUUUAAUAGUUUACUAGUUUCAAGUGCCCCUUGAUGACACUCUUGUUUUUCUAUAUCAAAGCAUGGCAACUAUAUUUCAAGGUACAUGUUCCAAGUCAUGAUCCUCAUAAGAGUUGUACUUUCCACUUGCAAAAUGAACGCUUUUCCCGUAUGCAUGCGUUCUACUCAUAUAGCUCUAUUAUAUAGUGAAAUUUUUAAUAAUACACAAGGCAUGCAUUUUAAGUGCUCUAAAAUCCAUAUAAAUUCCAUUUAGCAUAGAAAUGAACUUAAAAAUAAUUUACAACAAGUAGAAAGAGCAUAGAGGCCAUUUCGCCCCAUUUCCACGAAGCCAAACCCACCGAUGACAACGAAACUCCUCGUNNNNNNNNNNNNNNNNNNNNNNGAGACCUUUACCGAGUACUAUACGCGUCUACAAGACGUGGUCAAUACAUGCGCUAACUUGGGAGAGAAAAUCCCGGAUGCUAAAAUAGUUAGAAAAAUUCUUCGAACUCUUCCGGAACGUUUUCGGGCAAAGGUCGCCGCAAUCGAAACGGUCAAACAUCCGGACGAGAUGAAAGUAGAAGAAUUAGUAGGAGCUUUGCAAACGUAUGAAAUGACUUUUCCUACUAAUCAAUCUUCUUCCAAGUCUCUCUCUAAAAGCACAGGGGUUGCAUUGAAAUCUACAAAGGAGAAGGACGAAGACUCGAGUUCCGACGACGAGUUAUCAAUUGCAGAUUUUGAACAUCAACUAGCACUCCUCACGAAGAAGUUUCGUCGAAAUUUCCGGAACAAGAAUAGAUUGAACAAGGCUUCAACAUCUAAGCGACAAUCUUUGUCUAAAUCAUCUUCAUCUUCAAAGUCUAAGGAUAAAAGCCGUGCAAAGUCUUCAAAGGAAAAGGAUGUAUUUGAAGGCGAGAUCCAAUGCUUCAAGUGCAAAGGCUACGGCCACAUUGCGACGGAUUGUCCUUCGAAGAAGAUGUAUAGACAAAAGGCUAUGCAAGCAAAGACGUGGGAUGAUUCAACAUCAAGUGAUUCAUCGUCAAGUGACGAAGAGAAGAAUGAUCAAAUUGCCUUAAUUGCUAAUACACCUUCGUCGAAUGUUGUGUGUUUAUCCUCUAUCGCUACUAAUUCUAAUGUUUCUUUUUCCUCGCAUGAUUCAUCGAGCGACAACGGGGAAAGCGGGGAGGAUUCGAACGACGAGGAUAUAGCGGAAGCUUACAACCUACUUCUUAUUGAAUCAAAGAAGAUGGCUAAACUCAACAAGAAGUUGAGACGUCGUUUGUUGGAACUUGAGGAGGAAAACAACAACUUGAAAACCACGAACAAAGCUCUCGAGGAGGAAAGGGAAUCAAUUUUGAAAACGAAUUCGGACCUCCUCGGGAAGCUUAAUGAAGCGGAAUCAACGAUCAAAUCAUAUAAUGACAAGAUUGGAUUUUUGGAGCAUCAAUUUCAUGAAUCGCACAAGUCCAAUCAAGUCUUGACGGAUCAAGUUCGUCAACUCCAAUCCGAUCUUCAACGAUUUUCUUCCGGAUGAAAGAAAUUGGAUCAUAUGCUCGGAUUGGGUCAAACGAACAAGCUUGGACUCGGAUAUGAACGGACAUACAUUGAGAAGGAUUCUAAAUUAAUUUCGAAAGUGUCAACAAAUGUGAAAGACAAGACGUGUCAUCAAUGCGGUGUCAAAGGACACAUCAAAAGGAAUUGCCCAAAUACGGAAAAGAAGAAACAAUUGGCAAUGUCUACACAUCGAUCGACACUUUCAAAACCUCAAUCGACAUCGUCUACAAUUCGACAUCCCCCACGGAAUCAAAAGCAAAAUCAAGUGCAUAAACUUCAACGCCAAGCUCAACCAAAGCCUCAACCGAAGAAACCACCAACGAUUGAUCGAAAGACUAAACAAACGGCACCUAACGUCAACAAGCCGAGAAAACCAAUGAUCCGACAAGUUUGGAUCCGGAAAGGUGAUAUCUUUCCUUGCUCCUCGUCUUAGUCAUUUUGAUCUUUAGUGUAAUGCUUUGAUAGGUGCUUGUUGCUUAUUUUUAUUCAUUGCAUUACAUGUUUACAUGAUGUUUUGGUGUUUGAAUUUUAUUGGUUUAAAUCUUUUUGAGGAAAGGUAUUUCGGAAUUAAAAUUUUUGAGAAAGGAGAUGAUUGAGAAUCUUUAUUUUUAUUGCAUCGAGAUUUGUGGUUUUUGGCCGUUACACCUAUUCACCCCCCUCUAGGUGAUAGAUACAAUCUAGAUAGAUCCUUGGGCUCCUCAAAACUUUCAAUCGGUAUUAGAGCGGGAUCUAGAUAAAUUUGUCACGCCCUGGAUUUCAGCGGAAGCUCACCGCAAGUAAGCAAUGAUCCGUCUCAAGUACCAAGUCCUCAUAUCUAACAACAUGGAAUAUAUCAAGUAUCUCAAUGGCCUAUCUCUAUGUCAUCAUGUCUCUAACAUGGAAUAUAGCAGAUACGUAGUGGCCUAUCAAUAUGUCUCUAUGUUGCAGUUUAAUAGUUUACUAGUUUCAAGUGCCCCUUGAUGACACUCUUGUUUUUCUAUAUCAAAGCAUGGCAACUAUAUUUCAAGGUACAUGUUCCAAGUCAUGAUCCUCAUAAGAGUUGUACUUUCCACUUGCAAAAUGAACGCUUUUCCCGUAUGCAUGCGUUCUACUCAUAUAGCUCUAUUAUAUAGUGAAAUUUUUAAUAAUACACAAGGCAUGCAUUUUAAGUGCUCUAAAAUCCAUAUAAAUUCCAUUUAGCAUAGAAAUAAACUUAAAAAUAUUUUACGACAAGUAGAAAGGGCAUAGGGGCCAUUUCGCCCCAUUUCCACGAAGCCAAACCCACCNNNNNNNNNNNNNNNNNNNNNNNNNUAAGGUUCCGAUAUACUAUAUAUUUGUCGCUUUUCUGUUCACGCUACAGUCAUUAAUAGAAAUAUCUUUAACCCCUAAAGAUUACUACCAUUAUUACUUUCUCAAAACGCCUUACUCAGAGCUUGCUCCAAUGGACCGGAGAGAAUUGAGAUAGAUGAUGAUCCGUCUCUUCAAGCUUCGUUCUCCUCAACAUCCCUUCCUCUGCCUUCUUUUUGAGAGUGAUGAGAGAUCCCUUAACUACGAUAGAAGAGAGGGAGUGUUUAGGGUUGGUUUGGUAAGAAAUGAUAAUAAAAGGAGAAGACAAGCCCCUCUAUACUAUUGCUCCAAAUCAAGCAUUGCUUACAAGACUAAUUUUCAAAGUUUUCAGUCAUUUUCAUCUUUUUGUUCCGUUUUUUCGCUUUCGUUUCGCUUCUCCGGAUUCAUUUCAAUCGAACACAGACUACCUCAAAACAUGUUCUAUUGCGUUUUUAUUUUUUCAUAUCCUCGUGCAUCCGCUUUUUGUACUUGCUAUAUGUCUGAUUUAGUGUCAUAUUCCCCAACAUUAGGUCUUUUCGGUGGUACCUUGGUUAUCGGCACCUUAGAGUCUUUGCCUUCAUUUAUCAAUAAACACCCAUGGAGACAGAAUUGUCGUUAUGUCGUAACUUUUCACUGAACUUAUUUUUUGGAACAUAACUUGCUUCCAACCAUAUAUUUCACUCAUAAAGAUUCAUAAUUUGUACUGAAAUCACAGUACGCUUUCAAACAGGAUAGUGGUGGGAUUGAGUUGAGGUAGAGAAGAGAGUUGUGAUGAAGUCCCUCCUUCUAGUUCGGUUUGUUACCCCCCCUUUCUAUCUAAUAAUUAAAGUCCUUGCUACUGUUGCAAACUAUUUGGCUACUUUCCCGGCUCUAGUUGGUUUCUCGUUUACUCCUUUGAAGUUUAGUUCCGGACUUUCCUUUGUGCAUAAAAUCAUCAUUUUUUCAUAUGUAUUUAGCCAUAAAUUUUUUCUAAUGUCAUUUUCAGCUUUUGGUCGAUGUUUUCGGCUUCGUUAUUAGCUUCGUUGGCUUCUCGAUUCUAUUGCAUAUGAUCGAAUUCUCUAUUACUAACUGAUCGACUUUUUCAAACUGUUUUUUAUAUUGCAUAUUUAAAUCAUCUUUUUUCAUACCACUUGCUUUGUCGAUUUAGUUCGAGUGGUCCAACAUAGCGCUUUUCGGCUCUCGUUUUCGUGCCCAUUCCAGCUCGAAGCAUCCUCGAAUGCUUCCCAAAGCUUCACUCAGAUUCAAAUUAUUCUUAUCCAACCAAUUCAUACUUUCCUCAUUACACUUCAUAAAAGAUGUAAGUCUUGAGUUAUCCUCCGGCCUUUAAUUAUCAUUAUUAGAUAAUCUUUUGUUGACUGUCUUUUUUGCUUCCUGUAACUAACUUUGGUUAUAUUGUCCUAUCUACACAUUCCAAUAUGCAUUCUGAAUUCAAAAAAUUAAAUAAAAAUAGUUAAGCUUCGAAAUAUACCAUAACUGCCAAAGAUUAUCUUCAUUUGUUUCAAGUCUCAACUUUGCAACUCACCUUGAAUGGAUGAAAUGUUUGACUUAUCUUUAUACUGGGUGUACCUCUGUAUUUGAUAGUGGAGUUGAUGUAUCAUCCCUUAAGUUCAACCAGCGCCGUGCGUCUAGCGUAUUCAUUUUUUUAUUAAUUAUUUAUGGCCUACUGAAUUCUUUUUCUCAAGAAUGCUACUAUAUUUCCUCGCCAAACUGUUAUGCCACGGUGUUAAGAAAUCUUUAUUGUUAUACGUUUCAUGUUGCGGAAAAAAUAUACAUCAAUUUAAAAUUGUUCUUUUGAAAACUUAAUAGAUUAUCACUCUGACUGUUGUCAAGUGUUUUAGUUAGAUCAUCUAGUAUCUUAAUCUAAGUUGAUUCUUAUAUGAAAUAAAUGGUAUUCUAUAAUUUUUAUUUUUACACUUCGUCGUUGAUCGAUAUCAUCCACGUAGAGAUUUCGUCUGCAAUUGGCGUUUAUGUCGUAAAGGUCAUAUUUUUUCUACCUUUCUCUCUUACGCGAGAAUAACUGCCGUCUGAAUCUGCACUCGGUAUCUUAUACUAUUCGCCGGUUACUAUUUUUUAAGCUAAACAAAUAUCUCCCUUGACCAAUUUAGACGACCCUUUCUGAAUUCCUGUUAUCCGAUCACGAAUUAAGCACCUUUUGCCUCGACUGAGGAAAAUGAAUCAAUUUCUAGGCUGUGCUACUUGCAACUUUUGAUGAUCGAUAAUUUGAUUUUGGGUAUUUAUUGUAGAAAUAAGAAAGAAAAAAGAUAUGUACGCUAGGUUUCUUAUUUUCUUUUUACUUUUUAUACUUUUCUUUAAUUUAAAUUAUCGCCAUAUGUACAUUAUUUUGAUUUCUUAUUAAAGUCGAUAUAAGUGUAUACAUAAUAAUUUAUAAUGAGAAAACUCUAAAGUACGUAAUCCGUUAAUUCGGAGAUAAUCCUUAGUGUUUUUACCUAUCUAGAUAGUCAGUCACCAAUUAUAUAUACCAGCAAAAUGGUUAGGCAUAUAUAACGCCAAAUACUUCUUAGUCCUAGAUGUCUCACAACUCGUUAUAGUUGUAACAUUUAUACAUAAGUCCCUAUACAUUAAUAUUAUUUUAUAUGUGUAUACCAUUAUUAGUAAUACACGUAUGCAGCCAAUUUUAAACACACUAAAUUAUACUCUAAUGUUAUGCAAUAAUUACAUAAUAUUAAACCUUUUACCUAUCUAUAAUUAGUAAUCUGUAGAGUAAUCUAACUAUAUUUAUAAAUUAUUAAAAUUUUAUUUCCAUUCAAACUCUUUUAUCGUCUUCCUAUAUAAUCUAUCAUUUAGCUCACUAUAUUUUUUUCUUUUGAGAGGAAUAAGCAUGUGGCGUGAUUUUCUGUAUAUCGGGACCUAUAAUAGGUUCCAAUAUUCUGUCUUGGUAUAGCCUGAGAUAUGAUGCAUUUUCAUCUUUUCAAUCUACAAUUAUUCACAAUCGAAACUUUCUGUUUCGAUGGCUAAACGUUUUGAUCUCUAAUCCCUAAAUAGAAUAAUUAAUAAUUGUUAAUGAAUUAUUUCUUUGUUCUCCUCGACAAUCCACAUCGCUUCACAUGACAGCGUAGCAGGAUGUAGUGGCAAUCAUUCCAGUAAGUGAAUUUAUUCGGACUGAACCUCAGUGAGUUUAUCUCUGGUACAAGACAAGUCGUUCUAUCGCUAUAGUUUCCAAAGAGUGAGGUCAUAGAGUAUUUCUCCUAAAGCUCCCAUUACCCGUCAUAUGGACAAAUUUUGAUCAGACAGAAGCCUUAUGGUUUACCUUUGAAACCGCCAUAUCGCCAUAUACCCCCUGGCUCUUCAGAUUAUUUCUACUUUGCCGUACAAAUCGCAAUAGAACCUAAUUAUCUCUCUAUACAAUCCGGUAGGAUUAGCGAUAGUAUCCCUAGUAGUACAAACACGCCAUAACUCCUGACUGAUCACUUGAAAUCUGAACUGUAGCCACUAUAUAUUACUACUCAGACCAUGCAAGAUCAGAAGUUUGUUGCUACGUAUCUAAACCUACAGUACCGCGUCAUUGCAUAAUUGAAUGGCUGAGGUUUCGCAGGGUCAAAGGAUCAUUCGCUGAGCCACGCUAACAUCGAACCAUUACUUGGACGUUUACCGAUGAAUAGAUUACAUCUGGCUCAUCGUAACGUUCUUAGUUUGGUGCACGCUCAGCUGUAUACGCCUUAGUGUCUGUUCCGCUUCAACAACUGGCUGUCAUGUCGGCAUCCAAAUGGUGGCCCACGACAUCUCUAAUGACUCAACGGCAGAUUGGCGCUCAAAAGGGAAGCGGGCUACCCACCAUUACACCUUACCUCGGAUCAACAAUCAUGCCGUCCUAUGAGUGUUCCUCCGUAUGAAGGAGCAUUUUAUGUAUAUAAUACACGCAUUAUAUGAUACCUCUAAUUCUCAACCUGAAUAUAAUAUUUUACACUUAAUUCAUUAUCAAGGAGGACGAUUGCGCGAUGGAAUUCUAUUUAAAAUGAAUGGAAAAAUAACCGUCAAAUUAUAUUAGAUAAUAGAAUUAAGUAUCAAAACUAUAUUGUCGCUAUAGAAAAUAAAUGAGUCUAUGCUCUGUAGGCUUCUAGGGCAUAUAACUAUAUCUUAAUCUCCCACUCUGUUGCUCUUAUAAGCCAUCGCCAUUUUAUAUAAUAUUCCACAUCUUCUCACAGAUCGAUUCCAAGUUUUAUGCUGUAUGUCAUAUUUCUUUUAGUUAGUUCUCGGGUCUCCGUCCACAAACCCCAUUUCGAAUUCAAUUCAUUAUUUUCUAUUGAGGCAACUCUCUGCAUUAACUUCCAAUUAUCGUUUAUCCUUGAGGAGUUAUACUUUGCUACCUGAUCUUUUCGUCGCACUAUUCGCCUGCUUCAUUUUGAUCUUGGACUUUUAUGAAUACCUCUGUUGGCUUCUUAGAGUCUAUUCUUUUUACGUUCGCUGCCAUUUUAUAUUUCAUCUAGUAUAAUUUUGGCAGGGGACCUUUACUGGUGUUAAUUCAACCCCAACUUCAAGUGACAAUUUUUCUUCUAUGAUCUAAAUUUCACUGUCUGUGCGUUAGCUUUUCUUAGAUAGUUCAUUCUUUGUUUCAGAUAGUUAUUCUCUUCCCUUCCUCAUAAGUAGAUAUCUGCUUAUACUCACCUCUUGCUUGUCAAACUUUUCUAAACCUAGACGUAUCUAUUUACCCAUUUCAUAAUAAAUCCAAUACCAUGUACUUUCUCUUUUCCAGACGUAUACAUUUCUAAUCGCUAUAUCAGACAUAUAUAGUCCUAAUCCGCAUACCAAUUUAGGAGUAUUGGAGUUAUCCCUGCCAAAAACCAAGGACAUAUAUCUUGUUCAUGACUGAAGUAGUAUUAUAAGAUAUACUUAACCAUAGUUGCAAAAGCUAAUGUUCCUCUCUAGCUUCAGAUUGAUCUAUCAUUCCAUGCUCGUUGACACUUACAGUCAUCUGUUGCUAUAUCAAGGUCAUGUAUCAUUAGCAUCGCAUUACAUUAAGCUCCAUUUUAGUUGAAUAAGUCAUAAAGGACGUUACUCAUGUACUUCUCUCUUAUCAGUGAGCUUUAGGAAGACAUUUUUGCGAUCUUAGGAGACAUUUGAAGCUUUUAAGAGUUAGAAUUGCAAGUACCUAGAGUAUCGCAAAAUAUAGUUGUUUUUGGAAGUCUCCUGCUUGCAACUCUUUUUUACACCUGUCAUCAUAUGUACGACCCUACUUGCGAUAAACUACCCUAUGAGUACUAUGAAUCAUCUUAUUCUUAGUUCACUCAUUUCAUGAUCCAAACACGUAGUCCCACCCCCACAACCCGCAAAGCAAGCUUCUAUAGGUCUAUCCUAUAAACUUUACCCUAGGAUAUAAGAUCUUCUCCAAGUCUUUCUAUAAGAAAAACCUUUAGAUACCCAUAACUGACGGCGCGAUAUUAAUCAUAGUAAGUUCAUUUCCCAACUGCAAACGCAACUAGGUAAUCACACAAAAAAAUAUAGUACAUGAAUAACAUAAUAUAUACAGAUAACCAAGGAAAGCUAACUAAACAGCAACUCAAACAAUAAUCUGUAAUUAUAUAACAUCAUCAUCACGCUCUUUCUCAUUUUUGAUGAAAUUGAAAACGAUUCAAUUGCACUCACUAGUAAAAGAGUGUUUAUAGGCUCAACGAAGAAUGCUAUGCUUUACAUAUUCCAUUAAUGAUCGAUGAAGUAAAAUGUACAGACAAUCUUGCCUUAUGACCCUCUCCAUUACCAUUUGAUUUAAUGAACCCAAAGCUAUUACUUAAAUCUAGACUAGCCUGUCAAGUACUACUUAAUAUUAAGGCAAACCACAUCUUCAAAUAUCAACACUUACUUUUAACACACAGAUUCCUCAUAGCCAUACACUUUAGCAGAAGACAUACAACAAUGCAUAAGCUCCUUGAAUAAAGAAACUUAGGCAUAACGUUGAGCAUAGGUUGAAUUUAAGGUUCCUAGCUAAUAUAGUUACAACUGUGCCUUCGAGCGCUUGCACAAAGCACUAAUAUUCUGCGUACUAGCCUAGCUCUUCAAAGUAGGCUCCAUCUUACACUUGUAACCUUCCAUAAAACUAAUCUUUUCAUACAUAUAAAGACUACAUGUAUGUACAGUCAUCAAUUCAUCCUACAAAACCUUUGGAAGCUCACGAGAGGAUUAAGUAUGCAAAGAUGUCAUUAUCCGGUCAUUUAGUACAUUGAGUCCAUUUCGACUUCAAAUAGCUUAAACCAUUACGAGUCGAUGCAUCGACAUCGCUCUGGCUAAUACCAGUCUUAGAUCAUCUCUAGUCUCUUAUCUCCCAUUAGAACAUUUCUUGUUCCAAAUCCAUAAAUAGUCAUCAUAUCGAGCUGAGCAACGGAGACCCCUACUAUAUUGUUCGUGCCUCAGAGGUAAAAUGGAAACCCGUUCAAACUGCUGAAGAUACAUAAUAAUGAGAGUAUCCAAGGGUAGGCUUUGGAAUAUAUAAUCUUCUAAAGAGAGACUUAUUCUCCUCAAUCUUCUACGUUUACUAUUUCUCUUUCAUAUGCCCAGGAACCUCUCCAAUCGAGAUAAACAUAGUUCACAUUAACAAUGAAAGAAGUGAUGAGUACACAUAACACAAAUUCCCUAUCAUACUGUUUGUUGUUUUGUUUUAUACCUAUAAGUUGAUGAGAUAAAAUAAUUACCAGUUGAUUCACUUAUGGACAGUACAAUCUAAUCAUUUACCUCAAUCGAUCUACCCUUCUUAGACUGAGGCAGUGACUUUCCAUAAAACAAAAUAAGGGAUACACGACAUUAAAAAAUAUAUCUUAAGAAUAUACUGUUAGAUCAGACUACCCCCAAAAGUUUUAAAUAUGAGUAACAACUUGAAUCUCAUUACAUGAGAGCUAAAUCACGAAAAUAAUCUCAUAUUGGAAUUGGUCGGAUUAAAGUAACUUGGACAGGUCACCUAUUUAAAUAUAAUAUUAGCUGUACAAGAAUUUCGUGAACACCCCAACACUUGUAUUUAUUUAUGUAAACUACUGUAAUCUGCGAUUAUACAUGAGAUCAAUAAUAGCAAUCCUAAUUAAUAGACAUCCAUCAGAUUUUCUCGCGUAGUCUAAGAAGGACGCAGAAAUUUAUUUGUUGUCCAUUCAAUUCACAAGGCUGUUCCAGGUGGAAAAAAAGCGAUGUGAGAGUCACGAUUCAGAGCUGAGAGCAAUACCUUAUAUAAUUCCCUUGAGACGGUAGUUUGAAAUCCGUACUAAGAUAUUCCCUCCUCGAUCCAAAUAGAUCGAAGAGCCUAAUUAGGUUACCAUAGCAUAUAUACUACUUACUGUAUAGGCUAAACACUUUAAACUAUUUCAAGGCUAUGCAAAUGUGUAUUAUAAUAUCACGCAGUACCUAUAUCUUUCCAGUAUAAUCACAUGAUAAUGCAUAGGAUCUCUCAGAGUGGUCUCGCCAAGAUUCGAGUGUUUAUCAGUGUGAGCACUGUUACCUACACUUAUAUUUGAGGGUUUAAUAGUUUGUAUUACAUUGUACCAACCCAAUCCCUUGCAUGCGAGUCUAAUGAGGGUGGAAGCGCAACUGCAUACAUGUAUAAAUACAAUUAUUGGUCUAUGGUAGUAACAUUAGUAGCACUAUGGCACCAAAAAAAAUUUUCUUCAAUUGGAUUGAUUAUUCUUUUGGUCAGUGAAGGAUAACGCUUCAUCAACAAGGAAGCCUGCUGCGAGUUCAGCAAAGUCCUUUGUUAUUAUGCAGAAAACAAAGGAUCUCUUCUUUGUAUGAACCACAGAUUCGUUGAGGGCUUGUACCGUAUCCAAUAGAAAAUUGUAAUCUCGAAUUUAAGUUGAUCUUAUGAAAGUUCCAGGUAUCAGAACAUAUAAUUAGAUGAUUGAAUGAGAGAAUAAGCGCACUCUGGGAACACUUCGCGUAAACGCGCGGUACAUUCCAGUUAUCCAUUAAAGAGGCCAACAUUCCAUUAGGCAUGCCUGAGAAUAACUCACCAGCACCCGAGCCUCCGUUGCAAUUUUCCGUUUUUUGUCGAACAAAGACAACUCGAUACUUCUUAGUACAAAUAAUGGUACACUUUAUAAAAUUUUCCUCUACAGUGUAAUUAAAAAUAGCACUUUGAACCUGUAGUACCAGAGUGUUAGUAGAACUUUCACAUGGGAAUAAAUAAAGAUGAGGCAAUGUUGAUGGUCAAAAUGUUUCAAUGUUAUCAAGUUAACAGAAUAUACUGCUAUCAAGAAAAACACAUUGCAAAGGGUGGUCUAGUCAGCUGUUUUUUGUAAAGAUACACUUUACGCACACCAACGCCGUCCUUAGGCACCUCUUGAGCUAGAUCACGGCGAUGAAGAAGUAGGCGCACCCUUCCCACUAAUCUCUUUGGAUUCAUCCCUUUUAGCUUGGAUUUUGUGAUUAAACCUCUCUUUUUGCUUCUUUCUCUGUUGGAAGCUCUUUUCCACAUUGGAGCUUGAUCUUGGAGCUUGGGUGUGGGAACUUCCCUCUUGAGGAUUUUGAUCCUGCUAUUUGAGCUUCUAAAGUUAGUAGCUCAUACCUCUUCCUCUAAAUUAGAUUUCUUAUUUGGCUUCUUUGUGAUGAAACCCUAGAAUGAGUUUUAUGGGCUUAAAUUGGCAUUUGAAUCUACGGGCUUUUGAACGCUAGAUUGAGUGAUUAGAGGCCUUCCAUUGAUUGGAUUGAAGCAGCAUUAGUUUCUUUUUGGAGCUUUAGAGGAGAUUUUUGCACUAAAGAUGAGUUUUUCCUCACCUAUCAUUAUUAGCAUUAAUGAUGAGCUAAGUAUUUUCGUGUUGUCUCGUAUGACACCAGCUCUUCUAUCCUCUAGGAUACUAGGGAACUAGAGGACACCCUCGUGGAGCAAAACAGGAUUGUUGAUGCAUCAUGUCUCCUAAGACAUCUGAAGAGAGAAGUCACAUGAGCAAGAUCCUUUAUGCUUCAGCAAUAGGGAGCUUAAUGUAUGCGAUGCUAUGUACCUGACCUGAUAUAGCACAGGCUGUGAGUGUCACGAGCCGAUAUCAGUCGAACCCAGGACAGGAACAUUGGGCAACGGUAAAGAAUAUCCUUAAGUACUUGAGAAGAACAAAGGAUAUGUCCUUGGUUUUUGGAGGAGGAGAACUCAGAAUUAAUGGCUAUGCGGAUUCGGACUUUAUGUCUGAUAUAGACGAUAGAAAGUCUACGUCUGGGUAUCUGUUUAUUUGCAAUGGUGGGUCAAUAGUUUGGAAAAGUUCCAAGCAAGAGAUGAUUGCAGAUUCUACUAUGGAAGCGGAGUACAUCGCUGCAUCUGAAGCUGCCAAGGAAGCUGUUUGGAUCAAGAAAUUUGUCACUGAGCUUGGGGUGGUUCCUUCCAGUAAGGAUCCCCUGCCACUAUACUGUGAUAAUAAUGGCGCCGUAGCAUUAGCUAAGAAGCCAAGGUCUCAUCAAAAAUCCAAGCACAUUGAGCGGCGAUAUCACAAGAUCAGAGAGUACAUCAAGGAUAAACAUAUUGAAGUGCAGAAGGUUGCCUCCAUGGAUAAUGUGGCGGACCCGCUAACUAAGACAUUGACUCAGCAAAAACUUGAGAAUCAUCUUGAGAAGAUGGGCAUUAGAUACAUGGCUGAUUGGCUUUAGUGCAAGUGGGAGAUUGUUAGUUAUAUGCCCUAGAAGCCUAUCAGGCUGACUCAUUUUAUUUUCUAUGGGACAUAUAUUUGUACUUAAUCUUUAUUAUUUAUAUAAUUGGGCCUUUUAUUCCAUUCAUGUUAAAUGUGUCCAUGGAUCGUCCUUUGAAUUAAUAAGAUGAUAAUAUUUAUUCUCAAGAGUUGAGAAUUUGAGAUACAUAUUAUUGGUGAUUAAUUCAUAAAUGCUCUCAAUCGGAGGAUCAUCAUGGGGACGAUGAUUGAUCCGGUAAGAUUGAUGUGUGUGCCGCUUCCCUUUUGGGAUGACGAAUCUCGAGUCAUUAGUGUGGGGACACUGGAGCGGACAUGCAGGUGGUUGUUGGAGAACAAGGGUACUGAGCGUGACCAACUACGAACAGUUACAUGGGUGUCUACUCAUUCGUCAGUAACUGGUUCGAUGUUGCAGUGGUACAGCUGAUCCUUUGACCUGCGACACCACAGCCAUUCAAUAUGAGGCUACUGUAGUUUGACUAUGCAACAAACUCUGAUCCUAGCCAUGGGUCUUAGUAGUAUAUGUUGGCUACAGUCGUUCAUAUCAGGAAUGGGUGUGUGUUUAUAGGGGAUCUAUCGCUCUCGGUAGAGAGAUAAUUAGUUCUAUGCUAUUUGUACGGCAAAGCUCAGAAAUCCUCGGCCGGGGUAAUAUGGUGUAUGGUGUUUCCAAGAGUAACCAUAAGAGCUUCUGUCUGAUCAAAUUUGUCAUAUGACGGGUGAUGGGGUUUGACGAAUAUUCUAUGACCUCCACUCAUUUGGAACUAUGCGAUAGAAGGAUUGUAUUGUACGGUAACUGCACCUAGAGGUUCAGUCCGAUAUUCACUUCUGACUGGAUUGCCACUACAUGCUGCUAGGCGUCACUGGUGGAUUGUGGGAACCAAUAGAAAUAAUUAUUAACAAUUAAUUAUUCUAUUAGGGUAGAGUCAAAAGAGUUUGAGCCAUCGAAAGAAGUUUCGAUGAUGAUGUAGAUGGGGAUCGCAUCAUAUCUCACUACCAGACAGAAUUGAACCUAUUAGGUCACAGAUAUAAGAAAUCACGCAUGAUCGAUAUAUAGGAGACGAUAAAAGAAGUUUAUCGGAUGGAUUAAUUAUAAUUACAAUAUAGUUAAAUACUACAGUUUACUAAUUUAUUAGUAAAAGGACUAAUUUGCAAUUAUUGUAAAUUAGAGAUAUUUAUGUGUAAAAGUUGCAUGGUGUAUUUACUAAUCGUUAGUAAAUAAUAUGAGGACUUAUGUGUAAAUGUUACACACGAAUCGAAUUAGAAUUAGGAUACAGAAUUCGGUUAAUAUCAUAACCAACUUGUGGGUUAAUGGAUAAUCUAAUCGGAAUAGGAUUUCGAUUAGGAUUACGUUAGAGUUUUCUCAUUAUAAAUAUAUGUCAUCUCAUUAUAAAUAUAUGUCAUAUGACAUAUUAAAAUUAACAGAAAAUUAAGUAAAAAGAAAAAAGAAAACCCUAGCCGUCAAUCCUUUUUUCUUUCUUAAGUCCUCUACAAUAAAUCCAUCAAUUUCGAUCUUCAAAAGUUGCUAGCACAGCUAGAAGAUUGAUUCAUUUUCCUCAAGUCGAGGCAAGGGUUAAUUCGUGAUCGGAUCACGGAUUGAAGCGGUCGUCUAAAUUCGAUCAAGGGCGUGAUUUCGUGUGAACGCGAGUAGAGGCCGAGUGCGUUCGCGGCUAAGCGAGGACGAACAAAAUUUUACCAACGAUUGUCGACUUCGUGGUGAUCUCGACUCACGCGAGGUAAAAUAAAAAUAUAGAUCCUUUUUUAUUAGAUCAAUUAGAUCUAUUACUAAUGAUCUAAAACUAAACACGAGGUGAUCUUUGGUUUUCAAGAAAAUUUUUAAUUGUGUUAUUUUCUUCCGCUGCGUAUACAUGAUUUUCUUACACCGUGGCCAAUAGAGUUUUGGCGGAAACUUUUCAACAUUCUUGAGAAACGAUUAGUAGGCAUUUUAAUAAUGUACUGCGCGGCGUGGUUGAACUUAGGCAUGACUACAUCCAACUCCCACUAUCAAAUACAAGAGUACACCCUAGUAUAAAAGAUAAUCAAACAUUUCAUCCAUUCAAGGUGAGUUGCAAGUUGAAACUUUGUGGAAACAAAAUUUAUAAUCUUUGGAGUUAUGAGAUAUUUGAAGCUAACUAUUUUAUUUAAUUUUUGAAUUCAGAAUGCAAUUGGUGUAGUAGAUAGGACACACAUACCGGUAGUUGUACGGAAGCAAAAGCAACCAAGAUAUCUAUAAGGUACCGGACUUCUAAAUUAUGAAGUUACGGCGUACAUUUGGUUGGAAAGCUAUUUGAAUCGUCCUGGUGAAGUUCGGGAGCAUUCGGGUGCUUCGGUGCGCAUAGGGCACGAAAACGGAGCCCGAAAGGCUAUGUUGGACCAUCGACUAAAUCCGACAAAGGCGUGGAUGAAAAGAUGAUUUAAAUAUGCUUGAAAACAUGUUUUGAAAGUCUCGGUUCGAUUUGAAAUAAAUCGGAGGCCAAACGAGCUAAAACGAGCGAAAACAGACCAAAAGCUGAAAAUGCUGAAAAUUUGGCUAAGUCCUUGAAAAUGCUGAUUUUCUGGACCUACGGAGUCCGGACCCUAGCUUCAAGGUCCGGACCCUGAGCCCGGAAAGUGCCCUGUUUGAGUAGCAAACUUGUAAUUAUUGGUGGGGGGUUUGACCAUAAAGGGGGCUUCAUCCCCUCUCUUCUUCCUCCCUCAACCGAACACACACUGUAAGGUACUGGACUUCUAAAAUUAUGAAGUUAUGGUGCACAUUUGGUUGGAAAGCCAUUUAAAUGGUUCCAGUGAAGUUCGAAAGCAUUCGGGCGUUUUUGGAGCGCGUAGGUGCGAAAACGGUACCCGAAAGACUAUGUUGGACUAUGAACUAAAUCUGACAUUAGCGUGGAUGAGAGGAUGAUGAAAAUACGCUCGAAAACAUGUUUUGAGAGUCUCGGUUCGAUUUGAAAUGAAUCGGAGGCGAAACGAGCGAAAACGGACCAAAAGCUGAAAAUGCUGAAAAUUUGGCUUAGUCCUUGAAAAUGCUGAUUUGGGAUUAGUAGAGAGGCUUGUCUCUCUCUCUUUUCCUCUCAUUUCUUCCAACCCAACCCUAAACACUCCCUCUCUCUCUCUAGGUUAGGUCUCUCUCUCAUCAAAGAAGGCAAGAGGAGAGGGAUUUGGAGGAGAAGAAGCUUGAAGGAGGGAUCAUCAUCUUCUCCAUCUUCUUCUCGGUCCAUUGGAGCAAGCUUGAGGUAAGCUUCUUGGAGCUCUAAUGGUGAAUCUUUAGGGUUAGAUUCUUAUGCUCUAAGAAUGGAUUUUAUGGGACCCUAGGAUGCUAUAUAGAUGUUUAAUGCUUGAAUUGAGACCUAGUUUUGGGUAUUCUUGCAAUGGUUAACGUCUAGGGCUCCAAAUGGGGUUUGAUCUUAAUUGUAACAUACUACAUUUUGGUAUAAAAAUAAAAAUAAAUAAAAAUAGUGUGAGAAACUAUUUUUAUUAGAUUUAUAGAAGUAAAAUAUAAGUCAGAAGUGACUUGUGCUGAAAUCGGAAUGAAAAUAGAAUAUCUAGAAUUUUCUGUUCGAAACGGGACAGAUAAAUUAGCAGAAAAUGCACAGUUUCAGAAAAUUAUGAAAAUUGGAGGAUAAGUCAGAAAUAUUUUUAUGAUGCUAGAUUUAAUGUUUCAUAUUUUUCUGACACCCGUAGAGUGAGAAAUAAAAUCCGAUAGCUAUCUGAUAAAGAUUACAGUCCAGUGCAGUUUUCAGUGACCAAACGAGGUCGAAACUAAAAACUUAAGAUAUAUUCUUACUCAGUACAUUAAACUGAGCCUGCAUGUCAAAUUUGAGCUCAAAUGGACAUUCAGAAGGGCUCCAACUGUUCCGAACUGCUAAACAGCUGCCCGGGAGUGAAUAGUGUAAAAGUUGAGGAGCUGAUUUGUAAAAAGGGAUUUAAUCCCUUUUCUUCUUCUUCUCCUCAGCCGAAUGCACACACACACACGCCACACACACGCAAGGAGAGGGAGGAAGAGAGCUCUCCUUUCUCUCUCUAAAUCUCUCCCAAAAUUGAUGAAAUUGGAGGAGAAGCAAGCUUGGAGGUUGAUCUUCAUCUCUUUUAUCUUCUUCCUCUCCAUUAGAGCAAGCUUUGAAGAUAAGCUUCAAACCCUUUAAUGGCAUUUCUCUCUAGUUUGGUUUUUAAGCUCUAAGAAUGGAUUUAGAGGUAUUCUAGCAUGCUAAUUAGAGGUUUGAUGUUUGAAACCAAGGCUCUAAUGGUGGAUUUUUACCUAAUUGUAAUCUAGGGCUCAAAAAUGCUAAUUUGGUAAAUAUGAGGGUUUGAUCUCAUUUGACCCUUCGUAAACCUAAUUGCUAGGCAACGAAACGCGUUGGCGAAGACGGUUCGGCAAUCUGACAAGCCGUUACAAAGUUAUUAAAGAAAUGGACGUUUAGGCUUCGGGUCCGCCUGGAGGGCCGAGGCGACGUCGUAAAAUCGUGGAAAUGGAUUUGAGGCAUCGUGGCACAUAACCAAAGACCUAUAAUUUUCGGGGUUGCGAAGCGGAGCACGGUUGAGGCGCAGUUGCAGUAUCGGGCCGUACCAGAUACGAGUGCCGCGGGCGGCCGAUUGCAAGUGUCGACAAGCAAUCGGAAUGCGAAUGAGGUUGGUUGUGUUUACCGAAGCGACUAGGUCGCCCUUUAUGUCUAGGAAAUGAGAUUUCAUAUUGAUGCAUGUUAACAUAUUAUAGAAAUGCUAGAUAAAUGCAUGUGAUUAAUGCUUUGAAUGCAUAAGAUAAAGGGCAUAUGAAUGUUAACAUUAUAAGAACAUGAUAAGAGGAAUGCAUGAUGACUUAGUGUAAAUAGUGCUAGAUGAAUGCAUUGAGUAAUGUUAAAGUUUACAUGGUAAGCAUGCAUGGGGAUAAUGCUAAGUAAUGGUAUGAUAAGCAUGAUGUAGAAAUAAUAAAUGCAAGCAUGUGGCUAAUGCUAAGAUAUACUUGAUGAUCAUGUUGUAGAGAUACUAAUGUUAAGAAAUGGAAAUGUGCAUAUGGACAAUCUAUAUACAUUAGAUCGAGUGGCAUUAAACCUAGAGUCAUGGACAUAGGUUGGACAUGGAGGAUAUGAAUCUAGUGCCAAAGAACAUAGGUUGGACAUCAAGUGGCAUUAAACCUAGUGUAUUGAACAUAGGUUGAACAAGUAUAGUGUGAACCUAGUGUCAUGAACCUAGCAAACACUUGUGGCAUUGAGCAUAUAUAUUUGUAUCAUUCAUACAUAAUAGGGCUAAGUACAUGUGAACCUUGGUUACUUUCAAUGACAUGUUUCUAACGUAGUUGAACAUAGAGAAAGGUAGAACCAUAAUGGACAUGUAUGUUAGAACCCUAUUAUUGUGUGAAUGUGAGAGUUGGACUUGGACAUUAGUAAACAAAGGCGACAUUGACAAUAGAGACAUUGAUAUGCAUAGAGGAUAUAGUUGUUAAACAUAGUUUAACCAAGAGUGGCAUUGGACCAAUUGACAUAGAGUAGCAUGAUUAAAUAGGUAGAAACCUAUUGUGACAUUGGCAUUGUGACUAGUGGCUAUGAAUCCUCAAGUUGAGGAUUGAUCGAUACUCACGAUAAGUCUUGGCUUGAGGGAGGUAGCUCCCCCUCGGGCGGUGCGCUCCGGAGUUGGUCACCACUGGGCGUGGUAAAGUCCCCCCAGAAGACGGUCCCUAGGGAGGUUCGAGUCCCCCGUUAUUAAGGGAUUUUGGGUUGUGAGUCAUUGGGGUUAACAUGGUUAACCGGUAAGAUUGGGUCAAAGCCAAGUGAAUGUAUAGCAUUAUGUGUUACGGGUUUGGUAUCCCAGUUGAGAGGAUUUAGGGCUCAGGUGUAUGUGAGACGUCCAUCACCUCGAGCCUAAUUUUGGUGCGGUAUUCCGCAGUUGAUUGACUCGAGACCGAGUCGGGUGGUUAGCUUGGCUAGGGUAGAGGAAAACCUUAGAAGCAAAUAACCAAUGAUGUAAAGUGAUAAGAUGUAUAAAUUAUGAAAAAGCUAUGGAUAGCAUGAUACAAAGUAAAAUCAUUUAUUCUACUUGUAUAGUUGCAUGAUUCGCAUAUAGCAUGGCAUUAUUGUAUUCGUGAGGCAAAGCAUGGUUUUAUUAGUUGCAUAAUAAAGAUAUAUAUCUAUCUGUUUAUUGAACUAACUUGCAGUUGCCUCCCUUGGACCUAUUGGUCGAGCUUUUCCCUUGGGUGGCCGUACCCACUGGGAACCAUGGAGUUGGUUCUCACCCCACGUGGUUUUGGGGUGUUACAGGUUCCCACGUGAGCGGCGCGGCGGCGCGAGGCGAGGGCGUAGUUCCAUAGUUAGCGCCCUACCACCGAGACCAGAGAUAGCGGUACCCUGUGUCACGCCCCGCCCCGAAACCACUACCGAUUUGGCACGGUUCGGCCGCGGCGACGGACCGCCGAACGGACAGCACCUCCCCUGCCCGUUCAAGGCUCAACAACAGGAAUGUGUACAAGAAUUCACCCAGGACUUUAAAUUCUAAACAUACACAUUCAGCAAGGGCACCAACAGUGCCAACAACAAGAAGAGCAAGUAAUCCACAAGAUAAACAAGUGAAAUAAAGAGAGUAAUUUACUAACUAUUACAUUAGUUACAUUCAUUACAUCAUUUUUCAUCCAAAAUACAUAGCUCUCCAACCUCACCUACAAGAAUCUCUCUCAAUGCAUAGGUGACUAAUGCAAAAAGGAAAGCUACUAUACUACCACGGUCUCACUGGUCGGGCACGACGCCCUUGCCGCGGUCCUCUCUCUGCAGCCCUGAACCUACCACUGGAAAUAGAGUGGGGUGAGAACUAUCUUCCAUAGUUCCCAGUGGGCUCGGCCGCCGACCCUGCCGAUCUCCCCACUAGGUCCAAGUGGGCACAAGUAACACAGCAUAGAUAGAUAGAUAAUACUGUAUCUGAAAGUCUGUAAAUGCAGUGAGAGGAAAACCUAUGUCUACAUGCCAUAACAUGAAUAUGCAUGCAUCAUCCAUAUAAUAAAGGUUUGCUACCAUGCUAACAAGUUCGAUCCAUGUUCGAAUAAUAUUUUCAAUGACAUUUAUAAACCUUUAACCCUUCAUUUACCCAACUGUGGCCGUGCCUCUAGGGCUCGCCAUGACUCACCUUCAAAUCCCAAAGUGAAGGAGCUGUCCAAGGCAACCCAAACCCAGGGACCCGUCUGCGGACCUCCAUGUGGUCCGGACCUCCAAGUGGUCCUAGUCACCGACACUCCGGAGUAUCGACGACAAUCCCUCCAUGUGGGAAUCGGAUGCUAUGCCACCUGAACGCAGACUGUGAGCUAGAUCUACCUCUUCCAAGUGAGGACACUCUACAACUAGAGUCAAUACCCAAUCGAAUCCUCUCCAAGUGAGGACGCCCUACACAAAGGGUCAAAACUAUCGCGGAAUCAUUGGUUCCCGACAUUCAUGCAAUGUAUUUAGUUUUCUAAAAUUCAUUUCACAAGGCAUUCUCUAAGGAUCCACCUAUCCCUAGUCCUUCGACCCCUAGUGUUAUUUUCACUACAUUAAUGGCCACUCGUUAUCAUUCAAUAUUUGAUGCCACUCGUUUGUUCUUGACAAUAACGCUACUUUCUAUGUCACAUCAAUACCCCAAUCGGUUCAUCUCUAUCUCUAGCAUCAUAGAAUCCACAUACCCACCAAUCCUCACCUAUCUAGUUACCAGCGUUCCAAGUACACUAGUUAUUAUUUAGAAAGCAUAAGAGUUGUCUACUAGCAAUCUACACAUGUAACAUAAAGAUGAGAUUAAAUGCAAUCUAAGACAUAGAAAGGUGUUCGAAAGUUUCGGAUGACACCCCCCACCUUUUUUAUCAAUGUAGAGCUUGGAAAUUCUUGUCCGAGCUUCGCAAAAAGGCUUAGCCUUCCUCGCCCGAUCAAUGCUACCCGUGCCCAAUUUUGCCCGAGAACUCCACGUCGGAUUCGCCGAAUGCCAAAAUCGACUUCGCCCCGGCGUUUUGGACAUAUACAAUAAGGUUCCAAGGCUUCAAAUGAGAUCAAUCUCAUACAUUUACAAAACCUUCAUUUUGGAACCCUAAUUGCACUAUAGCAAAUCACCCCAUAAAUCCCUAGAUCUUGGGAUUGAUCUAUUUAAAAAGCUUGCUUAGGGUCAUUUUUACCCAUCCAAGCAUAAAACCCCAACCCUAAGUUCUAGAACUAGGGUUUAGUAGCUUACCUCAAAACACUACCCCAAUGAAAGAGGGAGAGGAAUUGGAGGUCGCUCAAAGCGCUUCCUCGAUUCAUCUCCUCCUUCUCUCCUUCCUUAUCUUCCUCUUCUUUUUCCUUCUCUCCUCUCUCUUCUUUCUUUCUAAAGAGAGAGAGAGCAAGAGAGAGAUGGAUAGAGAGUGUGAGGGAGAGAGAGGGCUCAGCCCACUCUAUAAAGGCCAUUUUGCAAUAAAAGCCCCUCAACUUUUACCCUGUGCACUCCUUUACUGGGCAGUUUUUCGCUGCGGAGGACGUCGUCCCGACUAUGGGACCGUCCCGUAGAUCUCCCUCGAGGCACCGUUCUCGGAACCGGUCUCUCCCCGGGAGACCGGUCCUCGGGAGACCGGUCCUCACCUGAGAGACCGGUCCCCGAGAGCUUGAUUUUCAGGACUUAGCCAAUUUUUUUGGCAUCUCACGCUGGGGCCACGUUCGGGAACCGGUCCCUCACCACCAGGGACCGGUUGCAUCAUGCAACCCCGCAACACCCAGCCGAGGGAACCGGUCUCUCACCUGAAGAGACCGGUCCCCGAGAGCAACUUCUGCCCAAUGAUGCCAUUUGCUUCAUUUGCUCUCGCGGACUCAACUCCAAGGCACUCUUUGUGCUUUGGACAUUCUCAACUCCCACAAAGGGUUUACUUUCGACAAUCAGUCGAUCCUGGAUGAAGUACAAUCCUCGUAUUUCGAGAAUUAACUUCCUUACACCCUGAGUCGGCCCUACUUAGGGAUGCAAGAAAAUGAAAAGGAUCAAGUUGUAAUAAUAUUGUUAAAGCUAGAUUGUAUUUGGAAGCUAAAAAGAAUGUAUUAUGUAAUUGUGAUGUAAAAUGAAUCUAAUGUGAAUGCUUGUAAUAACAUAGGAUGUGUUAUGUUGUUGAUAUCUUUCUUCUGCAAUCUUGCUUGAAUACUGUUCCUGGUUGGAACUCAUUGUACUUGUAUCGAUUGCUAUGCCUUGAACGUACAGGGGAGACUCUGUCCGCAGUACAGGGGAAACCCUGUCCGUUCGGCGGUCUGUCGGUAGCGCCGCGACCCGGCCAAAUAGGCGGGUGGUCGCGGGGCGUGACAUUAAUUAACCCUAUGUAAACCUAAUUGAUAGGUUUUCCGACGCGUUGGCGAAGUUGAUUCGGCGAUCCGACGAACGUACGCGAAGAUAUUAAAGAACGAAGCUGUUAGGGUACAGAUUGCCGCAACUCGCGGCGAAAGCUUCGUAAAAUCACAAGAACGGAACCCUAGCCUCCUGGUAACAUUAAAAGGUGGGGGGUGUCCAUCCCGAAGCAACUGGGCUUCCUUCUAUGUUUGAGUUAGAAUUGUUGAUCAUAUUUCAUAUAUUAUUCUUAUGCAUUAUACGAUGAUUGUUAUAGUUGCAUUUCUACUUCCUUGCAUGCAUGUCUAGUAGUGUAGCAUUGUGGGCUCGACACUUAAACCUAGAAUGCAUGAGGAUUAGGUCGGGUGACAUGAGAUCCUAUAGUGAUAAGAAUAUGGUGAACUUGAAUUUGGUAAUGAGAACCAAUGGAUUGUGAACUAGUGUAAUGAAAACACUUGGAACUUGGACGAGUGGCAUGUAAACAAGGUUAAUAAUAUGACGAGUGGCAUUUGGACUAGUGUAAUAGAGACACUAUAAUAUGGACGAGUGGCAUGUUGAUUUAGUGUAUUAAGACACAUACAACAUUAUGACAUAAACGAGUGGCAUCAAAUCUAGUGUAGUAGAACACUAUGGCAUUUGAACCUAGGGAUAGUAGAUUUUUUCGAUUGUCAUGUUGUGGACAUUAUGCAUUUGGCAUUAGUGCAGUUGAGGCAUUGUAGCCCUAGUAGAUAGGGUAUCCUCCAGUGUGGGGAUUGGAUCAUACUCACAUAGUCUGUGUAACCUUGGCAUGGUCGCUCCACCCAAGUAGUGAGCUCCGGAGUAGUAGUUGCGUUAGGGCAUACAUAGUUGUCCCGCAGACGGGUCUCGGGUGGGUGUAUCGCAGAUUCUCCCCACUAGCGAGAUUUGAGACGUGAGUCGGGGUAGCAACCUCCGGGUUGGCCCUGGGGUAGCAACCUUCGGGUUGGCCAUGAGAUUGGAUAUUAUCGAGGCAUAGUUGCACGACGCACUAUGUAGUAGCUCGUUCAUUCUGAUUAUCGAGACAUAGUUGCACGACGCACUAUGUAGUAGCUCGUUCAUUCAUGUGAUUACUGAGGCCUAGUAUCGUGUAGUAGAUUGUAACACACUGGACCUGUCACGACCCGCGACCACCCGCCUAUUUGGCCGAGGUCGCGGCGCCGACAGCGCCGAACGGACAGGGUUUCCCCUGUACUGCGGACAGAGUCUCCCCUGUACGUUUAAGGCAUCGCAAUCAAUACAAUACAAAGGUUCCAAACAGGAACAGUAUUCAACAAACAGAUUGCAUAAGGAAGGUAUCAACAACAUAACACAUCCUAUCUUAUUACAUACAUUCACAUUCAUACAUUUCUACAUCACAGUUCUCAUUUGAUUCCUCCAAAUACAAUCUAAGUUAUUACAUCAUUUACUUAUUACAGUUUGAUACUUGUGUUCUUUUCAUUCCCCAUACCCCUAAGCUAUAUCGACAGGGUACUGCUAGCUCUGGUCUCCGGGUAGGGCGCUAUCUAUAGAUCUACGCCCUUUCCUCGCGCCGCCGCGCCGCUCACGUGCGAACCUGUAAACCCCAAAACAACGUGGGGUGAGAACCAACUCCAUAGUUCCCAGUAGGUACGACCACCCAAAGGAAAAGCUCGACCAAAAGGUCCAAGGAGGCACUCCAAUCAUGUUAGUCCAAAAACAUCUAUAGAUAUAUAUCAUCAGUUUAUUAAGCACUAACAGAUAACAUGCCUCGCAAUAUGCAAUAUGUAUAUCAUGCAGCUCUACUGACUUUAGCUCAUGUCUCAAGUUCACAUUGCCUCUAAGGUCUCUAUUACCUUAGCUCUUACCAUUAUCACUAGAUUAUAAGGUUUCUAUUAACCUAAUCAAGCUAACCACCCGACUCGGCCACGAGUCAAUCAUCCGCGGGUAGUCCGCGCACUGGCCGCACUCUGUGACUUAACCAGCUGGCGGCGAAGUCGUCGCACACGCCGAACACUGGUUCAAGUCUCUUGACUUGGCCAUUUGGCGGCGAACGAAUCGCACCUCACCCAACAAUGGCUCAAGUCGAUCUGGCGGCAUAAUCCACAAACUGGCUUAACCAUCCGGCGGCGAAAUCGUCGCACACGCCACGUCAAUGGUUCAAGCCCUGGGCGGUGAUCUCUGCACGCUCACCUCCCAAUCCAUCCUUGGUAUCAACCUCGGCGGCGAAAUCGUCGCACACGCCCUAGCCUUGAUACCAAGGUUAGCAUAGCACAAAUCCUAGGAUUCCGGAAUCCACUUCCACAGGUCGAGGGUCCAUAGCCAACCCUAUGCUGUCGACCUAAAACAUCCUAGUGGUUGCUACCACUAUACUCAACAACCUAGUUUCAAUGCCACUCUAGAUUUACUAUUCCAUAGCCUAGGUUAUAAAACUCUAGGUUCCACAUCACUAUGUCCGACCUAUGUUUACUAACACUAGGUUGGAUGCCACUCGAUCUGUUUGAUUCUAGGUCUACUCAUGACCUAUGUUCUUUAACACUAAGUUAGAUGUCACUCGAUCUAUUCACAAGCUAGUUGUCCAACUAAGCAUUCUACUCAUUCUAGAGUUAUCAACAUGCAUUUCAUUCUUAUUCACAUACAUAUAUAAUCUUUUAUAUGCAUCUACUUAGCAUUUACAUCAUCGCAUUAUGCAUUUACAUUAACAUGCAUCAACAUGGAUUCUUAGUUUUUCUUAGACAUAAAGGCGACCUAGUCGCUUCGGUAAGCACAACCCACCUUAACACGCGUUCCGAUUGCUUGUCGACACUUGCAAUCGGCCUCCCUCGGCACUCGGCACUCGUUUGGGCCCGAUCUCAUAGUUGCUCUCCAAGAGCGCGCCGCUUCGCCGUCUCAAGUGCUAACGGUCUUCGCCUUGCUUCUACGGUGCUCGGGAUCCAAUCCCAUGAUUUUACGACGUCGCCUCGGCCCUCUCGGCGAACCCGAAGCCUAAACGUCCGUUUCUUUAAUAACUUUGUAACGGCUCGUCGGAUUGCCGAACCGUCUUCGCCAACGUGUUUCGUUACCUACCAAUUAGGUUUACAGAGGGUUAAAUGAGAUCAAACCCUCAUAUUUGCCAAAACCCCAUUUCGGAGCCCUAGAUUCCAAUUAGGUAAAAACCUACCUUUAAAUCUCUAGAUUCUAGCAUUAAACAUCUAUUAAGCUUGCUAGGAAUCCAAUUAAACCAUUUCUAGAGAUCAAAACCCUACAUCUAGGGAUUUACCAUGAGAGGGCUAAGGGCUUAAUAGAUGUUUUUGAUCUCCUUCUUGAUCUUCUUCUCCUUCUUCUCCUUCCUCUUCUUCUUCUUUUUCUUCUUCUUCUCUUCUUUCUCCCCUUCUUCUUUUUCUUUCGUUUAGAGAGAGAGAGAGAGAGAAACGUGAGGGAGAGUGAGGGAAUGAGAGAAAGAGAGAGAGAGAGUCCUCUGUUAACCCCCUCUCAUAUUGUAAUAUUUCCAAAUAAGCCCCCCAACUCUUCUAACCUCGCAGCAGCCCGAACUGGGCGUUUUUCGCGUUCGGGGACCGGUCCUUGCGGUGAGGGACCGAUCCCUGAGAGACCGGUCCGUGGUUGAGAGACCGGUCCCCGAAGGUCUAGAACUCAGCCUCAAGGACUUAGCCAAAUUUUCAGCAUUUUCACCCGUUUUCGUCCGUUUUCGCUCGUUUGACCUCUGAUUCACUUCAAAUCGAACCGAGACUCUCCAAACAUGUUUUCGAGCAUGUUUUCAUCAUCUUUUCAUCCACGCUAAUGCCGGAUUUAGCUCAUGGCCCAACAUAGCCUUUCGGGUUCUGUUUCCGCACCUAUGCGCACCGAAACGCCCGAAUGCCUCCGAACUUCACCGAACUUCACCGGAACCACUCGAAUGGCUUUCUAACCUCACAUAAACCAUAACUUCAUGAUUUUAGAAGUCCGAUACCUUACAGGACCUGUGCAAAUUGCGAGGUUCGAGUGCUUGACUUGGAUUUCGAGCUUUUCCACACUUAGUGGAGUGUCGUAGAUGGUAUUCCGACCUAAAAGUUCGAAACUCUGGAUUUUGGCUAAGUCCUGAGAGCUUUUACUCUCGGGGACCAGUCCCUAGUGGGAGAGACCAGUCCCCCCGGAACAGUGUUGUGGCAGACUUGAGGAAACCGGUCUCUGGUAGUGAGAGACUGGUUCCCGAGAGCGUGUUCUGCGGGAGGGUCCUGAAGGACCGGUCCCAGCUCGGAGAGACCGGUCCCUCUGGGCGAAAAUUGCCCAGUUCGGGCUGAUGCACAGGAUGGAUUGUUGAGGGACCUAACUAGAUUUUGUUGCUUUAGAGGGCUUUUAGAGCCAUUUCCCCUCUCUCUUUUCCUCACUUCUCACUCUCUCACACAUCUAGAAAGAGAAGAAGAAGAAGAGGAAGAAGGAGGAGGAGAGGAAGGGCUUGCUUGAGGGAGCUUGGAGUAUCAACCCUUUCUCUCUUUCUUCACCAUUGGAGGCUUGGAGCUUGGACUUGGAGCUUUGUGGAGGAUCAAACUCCAACCCUUGAGGGUUUUGAGCUUGGUUUGGAGCAUCCUAGAGGUAUGUGGCUAGUUUCUCUCCUCUAGAUCCUAGUUUUGGAGCUUUUUACUAGAUGAAACCCUAGAUUUGGAUUUUAGGGUUUAUUUUGGGGAUUUUCGAUUUGAGGGCUUUGAGACCUAAUUGAUGGGUUUAGAACCUUGGUUUAGGUUGGAUUUGAAGGACUCUAAUUCCCAUUUGGAGAUCGAGAGAGCUUCCUUCACACUUGGUGAGUUUUUCUCCACAUUAGCUUGAGAUGGUUAAUGAUUGAGCUUUGUAUUAUUCGUAAGGUCCGUUUGACUCUUGUUCCUACAUCUUUAGGGUGCUAGGAGACUAGUGGGCAUCUUCGUCGGAGCUUACGAAGAGUUGCAAGAGUUGUGGUGGGUUUGACUUCAUGAAAAUGGGGCAAAAUGGCCCCUAUGCAUUUUGCACUUGUCGUAAUCUCAAUUUGACAUCAAAUCCAUGCUAAAUAGAAUUUAUGUGAAUUUUAGAAUACUUAAAAUGCAUGCCUUAUGUAUCAUAAAAUUUUCACUCUAUGUAGUAGGGUAUUCUGGGUUUUUAGCAUGCAUGUGAGAAGUGGUUCAUUUUGCGAGUUGGGUACUUGUCUCGUACAAUGAAAAUGAUUAGAAUUAUGCAUUCAUGAACAUAAUUAUCAUGCUUAGAUAUAGAGACCAAAAGUGUCAUAAAGGGGCACUUGGACUAGCAAACUAUGAAACUGUUAUUUGAGACUUAGUGAUAGGCCAUUGACAUCUUUUAUAUUCCAUGUUCGAGACAUGAUGACAUAGAGAUAGGCCUAUGAGAGAUGUGACGUAUUCCAUGUUGUUAGACAUGAGGACUUCGUACUUGAGACGGAUCUUUUCGUUACUUGCCAUUGUGCUCAUUCGCACAUGCUUGUGAGGGUCGCUCCCUACAAGCCGGCACUCCGGAGAUAGCCAUCGCUAUACAUAUUCGCCGUGCGGGAUUGGGCGCCGAAGUGGAUUGCCGUGGGCUAGGCUCAUCCCUAGGGUGGGGAUGUUGACUACCACGGGGCCAUUAGGCUCGGCACCGGCCAGACAGCCUACGGGUGGGUCUCAAAGCCAGACAGCCUUCGGGCGGGUCUCUUCAGAUUCGACUUUGAGCAUUCAUCAUGACAUGUGGACAUUGACUAGAAUAAUAAACUGGACAUUUUACUAUCACAUUGUGGACUGUAUGUUGGUUGCAUACUCGCUCUCAUUCAUGCUAGAAUAGCCUGUUAUUACUUAUGCAAAUCAUGCUAAGUAGAGAUAUCUUGUGGUAGCAAGUAUUCAUAUUUAUUACCUGUUGUACACAUCGCUCUAUUUAUACUUGUUUACUUACCCUUUGUUUAGCGUUGGGCCUAGUGGCGCAUUUCACUAAAGUCAGUAAUUGCCCACUGGGAACUAUUAUUUAAUAGUUCUCACGCCCUAUAUUUUAUGGUUUUCUUUCAAAGCCUUCGGCACCGGCGGAGGCACGGGAUCGCGGCAAGGGUGUCGCCUAGCCUGAUAGAUAGCGGAGCUCGCUUUUGCUCCUAGGUGGUUACUCCAUUUUUGUGUUUUUGUGAGAGGGAGGUUUUGUACCAUGUAUAGAGACCACCUAUGUACCUUGUUUAGCUCUUGUUAUUCGGAAUCCUAUUGUACUACAUUAUGUUUUUGCAUAGUGGAUUUAGCCUUAUGUUCUUUUCCCUUAUGGUAGCUUAUAGACAUACUUUGCUCUGAUACUUCUAGAUAUUCUCCUUUUGUUGCUUUAUUUAUCACUUUGUUAUUUCUUUUAUCGUUUUGUUUUAGAUGUCUUAUAUGUUUUAGACAUACGGCGGGUCUGGGCACGCACCGGGCGGGCUUCCGCUGGGUCCCGGGGCGUAACAGAUUAGUUUGGUAUCAAAGCCUAGGGUUGAGUCUUAGUGGACCUAGCAAACCUUAGGCCAGUUGGACUAUAGGAAAUAGGCUCGUGAGAGACGAGGUCUAUUUAACUUGUGAGAAAAAGUAUCAUGAUUGGGUACCUUGAUAACUCUAAAAAGUUAGAGUUGAAUCGAAGUGUAUGGCUUCUAACUUCGCGGAGGGUUACGUUGGCGGCCGACAACGUAACAUCGAGAGUUAGUAGUGAAGCACACUUCCUUACUUUCGCAUGAUUUUGGGUAUUAUCUGCUUGAGCGGGGAUGCGAUAGCGUGGGUUACUAACUUACGCUUUUAUGAUGUUGUAGUGGCGAUGCUGAUUACACGCUCCCAAUCUGCCGGGGCGUAUAAUACAGCCAACUUGGAGGAGAUCGAGACCUCCGCUACCUCCUGAUCCGGCGAGGUCCGUGAGUUGAGGGGCCAGCUUACGACCCUCACUGACAUGGUGGCACAGCAGACGGAGGCAGCGCGCCGACAGGAGGCGCAGAUGAAGCACCUGGAGGAUCUUCUUCUACAGCAGGCGGCAGCUUCCAGGGAGACUCAGUGUAACAUACCACCUCGCUCGUAAAUCGUGCCGAGUUUCGUCGAAACGAGCGGAGAGCGGAGUGGAACGAGUGAGUAUAGGCCCCAAGUGCAUUGGAGCCUAUCUAUAGUGCAAAGGGACCCGAGAGAGAGAGAAAUUCCAAAAUCUGGCUAAGUCCCAGAUUUUGUGCUCUCGGAGACCGGUCCCUGAAGGAGAGACCGGUCCCCGUACGCGUAGCCUGCCAGGAAUCCUGAGGCAACCAGCCCCUGGCAGUGAGACCGGUCUCCCCUGAGGAAAAGACCGGUCCCUCGUCGCGCAAAUGUUACAACUCUUUAUAUGGCCCAUCCCCUCUAUCCCACAGCCAUUUCCCACCUCUCUCUCAUUUUCUCUCUUUCUCUCUCUAGAACCCUAGCUCUAUGGCUUGGAGAAGAAGAAGAAGAAGCAAGGGGAAGGUAGAUUUAGAGGCUUUGGAGGAUCUAGGAGCUCUCCAACAAGAAGGACUUGGAGGAGCUUUUGGCUAAGGUGAGUUUUUGGUAUAAAUGAGUCUAGGGUAUGGUUUUGAUCCCUAAGGUUUGGAGUUUUGGGUUGUUUUUAGCCUUGGGAGCCUUCUAUAGGACUUGAACUCCAUGGGACCCAUGAGAGCUCAAGUGCUCUCAUGGUGGAUGGUUAGGGUUCACCAUAGAAGCCCUAGGGUUGGUUCCAAAGGUCUAGAAACCUUGUUAGAAUGUUUCUUAGGUGAUUCUAAACUAUUAUUUGCUUAGGGUUGAGAUCAAUCCAAGUGGGAGCCCUAGAUGUUAUUGUUAGGGUUCAAAUUAGGGCUUUUGCCCUAGAAUUUUUCAGGGACAAAUUGACCCCGUAGAAAUCGAAUUGGGGGUGCCCCCGACGCGUGGGACGACUCCGUUUAACAUUACGAAAAUGUUUGAGAGUAGUUCAUGUACAAAGGGCCUAAUUUGGCACUAUUUUGGGUUGUAGGACGCGGAUCGUCGUUCGUAAGGGUCGGGAGAUUAUCGCGUACGUCUUCUACUACCUCACAAGGUAGGGGGUGCACACCGGAAUCGUUCGAUUUCCUUCUAUAUUUGUUUCCCUUUUUAUUGAGCAUAUAUAUAUAUAUCCGUACAUAGCCAUUCAUGCAUAGUAGGGUAGAUACAUGUGAAACUUUGUUCGAUUUCAUUUAUAUGUUUCUAACGUAGUUGAACAUAGAGAAUGGUAGAACCAAAAAAAGGGACAUGUGGGGUAGGACCCUCAAGUUGCGUGAAUAUGAGGUUUGGACUUGGACAAUAGAAAACAAAGGUGACAUUGACAUAGAAAUAAGAUCGGCAUUGAGAGAUGAACCGUUAAACAUAGUUUAACUAAUUAUGGCAUCAUCACAGGUAUAGCCUAGAGAGUGGCCAAAAUGAAUAGGUAGAGACCUAUCAUGACACCGGCAUUGUGACUAGUGGCUAUGAAUCCUCAAGUGAGGAUUGGAUCGAUACUCACGAUACGUCUUGGCUUGAGGGAGGUCGCUCCCCCUCGGGCAGUGCGCUCCGGAGUUGGUCACCACUGGGCGUGGUAAAGUUCCCCCAGAUGACGGUCCCUAGGGAGGUUCGAGUCCCCCGUUAUUAAGAGAUUUUGGGUUGUGAGUUGUUGGGGUUAACAAGGUUAACCGGUAAGAUUGGGUAACAGCUAAAGUAAAAUUUAUGAAAAAGGCAUGCAUGCAUUCAUCAUCCAUAUGAUUAUUCGUUUACUGACCAGUUUUCUUGCAGGCAUUGUAUUAGAAGUAGCAUUAGAUGGUUUGCUAUCCUUUCCUUCGAAAUACAUAUGCCUGAAUAGACCUAGUGGGUAAGUCGGCGAGGUCGGUUGCCGAACCCACUGAGAACUUUGUUUAGUUCUCACACCACUAACCCUACAGGUCCAAGCGCGAGCGGGAUGGCGGAGGACCGAGGCAAGGGUAUAGCGCCGUAGAUAGCGACCACCAAGACUUUAUACAUUUUGUAGUCAUUUUCCUUUUUGGUAUACAUGUAUCAACUUUACUUUGUUGAUCUAGAGCUCCAAGUUACAAACAAUCAUAUAUUUGGUGGAUGACUAAAUGUAAAACAAAGAUAUGAUGGAUGAAUGAAAAUGUAAUAGUUUUAUUUACUUGUAUUUGAUUUAAAUUUAAUCAAAUAUCAUGUAUGUUGUAUAUUUAGCUUAGAGCUUUCGCUUCCGUUGUUGCUUGCCCUCGUGCAAGCCUUAUAUUAUAUAUGCAAAUCUCUUGUUGAUUGCUUAUCUAUUCAUGCUGAUAGAGCCUUGGCCGGACAGGGAAGGCUCUGUCCGUUCGGCGUCUGUUGACGUGACCCGAAUCUGAUCAAAUUGGCGGGGAUUGGGGCGUGACAGAUAUAAUGGUAUCAGAGCGAAGUGGAAAGCAAAAGUCUAGGAAUGACCUAGGAACCAUAUGUUUGGAGACCAUAGGGACUUAGGAAAACGUUUAACGUGGACUUGGUUUAUGCGAAAGCGAAUGAUUGGGUUAACGAUAACACUUCUCUAGAAGGAAGUAGAGAUGGACUAGAAGGCUUAAUUGUUGUCUACUUAAGGGACCUUGUGGGGCGGCCGACCGCAUGACACCAAGAGUGGAAACGAUUAUGCUUGUUGCUUUCGCUUAAUUGGGUAGUUAUUGGGAACGUGUAAGAGUCCCGUGUGUCGAGUACUAAUGCGUGUGAUGCGUUUCAGGAACAAUGUCCCCCAGACGCUACACGCGUAGAGCUACUUCGGCACUGCCUGAUGAAGUGCCUGAGCAGGCGGGAUCGGAUAAAGUGCGCGAGCUGCGAGCCCAGGUAGUGGCUUUGGCCGGGGCUAUGCGGCUUCAAGGGGAGCAGAUUGGGCAGCUCCACGAGAUGAUGGCGCGACAGGCAGCGGCGGCAUCAGUGCCGAGGGAUCCGCCCGCACCUGCUGCUCCUGUAGCACCACCUCCUGCGGUGGCAGCAGCACCAGUGAUGGCUAUUCCUCCGACGGCAUCGGAUUCAUCGGCUCCUAUUCCCGAUGUACUUGAGGCCGAGCAGGAGCGCACGUUAGCGGCGCUGACGGCAUUCAAGCGAUUCAACCCUCCAACCUUCAACGGUGAUGUGAAGGACUCGUCGAUGACGGAGAGCUGGCUAGCCGCGAUGGAGGCCUUGUUCGAGGAUAUCUAUACCCUCGAGAAGGAUAGAGUUCACCUUGCAGCUCAUUGUUUUGAUAGGUCGGCUCGGCUAUGGUGGACCCAGGCAAAGAAAAAUCGUUCGUUGGAGCACGCUUCUAUUACUUGGGAGGCGUUUCGGGAGAUGCUGCUCAUGGAGUAUUUCCCCGAGAGCGACAAAAGGAAAAUCAAGGAGAAUUUUCGGAAGCUAAGGCAAGGAAGCCGAUCAGUGCGGGAGUACGAGAGGGAAUUCACGCACAUGAUUAACUGCGUGCCGGGCUUGGUUCACGAUGAUAGGGACCGAGCGGAGACAUUCGAGCGCGGGUUGCUACCCGAGAUUUUCAAGGUCGUACAUGCCUUCCAGUUGAAGACCUACGAGGAAGUGCUUGAUCGCUCGCUUUGGGUGGAGCACGGGAAUGCCAUUGCACGUGAUGAGCGCGAGACUUUUGAGAGGGACAAGGAAAGAGAUAAGUCCAACAAGCGACCGGCUUGUGGAUCUGCGGGGCAAUCGAGUUCUAAGCGACCCCCGCGACCUUAGGGAUCACAGUGGCGGGGAGGUAGGAGUCAGACACAGGGCCACACUACCUACCCGUGUGUUAUAUGCGGCGGAGAACAUAGAGCCACCACUUGCCCACAGCGGGAGGGGCGCUGUUUCCGCUGUGGCCAACCGGGGCACAUGAGCCAAGAGUGCCCGGGCGGCGCGUCCCCAGCCCCGUCAUCAGCUUCAGUUCAGUAGACUCAGUGACAGCUGGCGGGACUGCCACCCGCAACAUCUGCUGGACAAUCGUCGGCGCCUCGUCAGCUCGAGGCCUCUCUCGAGCACCUAGCGGGCGGGUAUUUGCCACUCAGGUGGAGGAGCCACCAAUUAUUGUUCCCGACGACAUCGUGGCAGGUAUUAUUCUUAUUAGAGGCACUAGGGCUAGAGCCAUAUUUGAUAUGGGUGCAUCUCAUUCAUUUAUAUUAGCAUCAUUUGCACAAGCUCAUAACAUAGAGAUCACUCAUAGUAAGGAGUAUUGGUCGGUGAAUACUCCCGAGCACUCGUUCGACGUUUACGAUGAGUGCUUGGACUGUCCAGUGCAGAUAGGUGAUUGGAUUAUUCCGAUCGACCUUCUAGUGUUAAAAGAAAUGUGGGGCUUUGAGGUAAACUUGGGGAUCAAUUGGCUCUCCAAGUAUUACGCGGUUAUAGAUUGCGAAAGAAGAGUGAUCACAUUCCGUGAGCCUAAUCAGGAGGAGUUUGUGUAUCGGGUGUGCAAAGCCAAAUGCUUCGCAGCGACCAUAUCGACGGUAAGGGCGAAGAGGAUGAUUAAGGGUGGUUGUAAGGCUUACUUGGCGACCAUCGUAGACCCUCGAAAGGAAUACCCGGAACUGGAGAGUAUUCGGUUGUGCGUGAAUAUUCGGAUGUGUUUCCGGCAGAGUUACCGAGAUUGCCUCCGGAUCGAGAAGUCGAGUUUGUCAUUGACUUGAUUCCCGGGGGGCGCCAAUUUCGAGGACUCUGUAUAGAAUGGCACCGGUGGAGCUAAGGAGUUGCAGGCCCAGUUGCAAGAUUUGCUCGAUAAAGGCUUCGUGCGGCCGAGCGUGUCCCCGUGGGGAGCUCCGGUGCUAUUUGCAAAGAAAAAAGACGGCACACUCCAACUCUGCGUUGACUAUCGCGAGUUGAAUAGCGCGACGAUCAAGAACAAAUACCCGUUGCCAAGAAUUGAUGACUUAUUCGACCAGUUGCAAGGGUCAAGGGUAUAUUCAAAGAUUGAUCUGCAGUCGGGGUAUCAUCAGUUGAAGAUACAGACCAAGGACGUGCACAAGACGGCGUACCGUAUGCGGUAUGGCCAUUAUGAGUUUACGGUCAUGCCAUUCGGGCUUACUAACGCCCCGGUGAAAGUUUUGAGGAGCCCAAGGAUCUAUCUAGAUUGUAUCUAUCACCUAGAGGGGGGGUGAAUAGGUGAACGGCCAAAAAACCACAAAUCUCGAUGCAAUAAAAAUAAAUGCGGAAUAAAAAGCACACCGAGAUUUACGUGGGAAAACUCCAACUUGGAGAAAAUCCCACCGGACAACACCCGCCAAAAUAUAUUCCUAAGAAGAAAGAUUACAAGGUUGAUUACCGACUCCCACGGACUUAACCUCUUUAACUGCCUAUAGAAUCUUCGCCGACUACCUCCCGGGUUGUCGCACCGCCCAUCACGCUGGCGACGUAAGUCCACGUACGCCUCCCCACUUCAACCAUCCACCGAAGCUUCAAUCACGCCGAAUCCACGACGCCACUCCGAACACGAGCCCCGAUCCAAAAUCCACGAACCGCCGUCAAAUACGCCGAACCACGACGCCACCAUGAAAGAAUAUCAUGAAUAUGCGUAUCUUCGCUUUGAGUAUCUGUAGAAAAAAUAGGGAAUAGAACUCCAAGCGAAGCGAGAUCAAAUCGACAUAUUUAAUAUGAUUUCAAUAUCUCCGAUUUGAUCUAAAGAGGCUUUUCUGUAGAAAAUAGGUUGUUUAUGAAAUCCGAGCCUCUUAGGGUUUCUCAAAUAUGCUAUUUCGUGAUGCUUCAAUGCAAUUAGAGAACCCACUAAUAGCUUAUUUAUAUAGAACUUUUAGAAUCAAAACAGAAGUAGGAAUAGAAGUUCUUUCCAAAAUCAGCAACCCUUGUACCGGAACAAGGAAGCUGUCCAGGGUACACCAUGACGGAAGGAUUUUCUGGCGAGCUCCUAGUACCCUCGAAAGCUUCCAGCUCUGUUCCGGAAUAGGCUUGUACCGUGGUACAGCAUGAAGUUUGUACGAACAACCAUCAACUUCGCGCGCAAACCGCUUGAUGGCUGUACCCUGGACAGAAAACCCUUGUAAUCGUACAGCAAUGCAAUUUUUCGGCUGAAAUGCAUCUGUUUCGGGUUUUACAAACUCUUAGAAAACUUUUCUAAUCAAUAUACACUUGAGGAAAAUAUGAUUCUAAGUCUAUAAAAUAAGAUGAUCACCAUAAACAGAUAUCUUAAAACUUACUACGCAUCGCUGAUUCAAGUUUUUGCGUGUUUGCGUCCUUUCCCGAUUCUUUUCCGAAAGUCCCUUGGAUUCUCUCGAUGCUUCAAUAACUCCGCUCCGAACUUCUUCAAGACUCCGACUCGACCCACGAAACUUGCCAACACAUAGGACCUAACAAUCUCCCCCUUUGGCAAUUUCGUGACAAAACACACAAACUCACAAAUUACAAUUUAAAGAAAAAAAACGAAGUUCAAUGUCAUCACCAAAACAUCGAACCCCUCGCGUGUAAUCCAAAUACAAUUUGAAAACUCAAAAUUACAUCAAAACUCCUAAAACAGACUCUAUGACUUAGACGCAACUAGGAGUCUUGAAAUCUUGAUUCCCUGCAAAACAAUUCAUUCCAAAAAGAUUUUUUAUUAAAUUCUUAUACCUUCUCCUCCUUAGUUCAUAUCUCCACCUUUGUUUUUGAACUCAUCACCCUCUGCUCUAGUUCAAAGCCUGUUCAUCCACGCUCUCCCCCUUCAUCUAUGCUCUCCCCCUUUAUGUCAAAAAUUGCCAAAAGAAAGCAAAUAGAAAGAGAAAACAUACUAGAAAAACAUGAGAGUAGUCUAGUCAUAGCUACAGGCCUAAAACGAAAGUAAAAACAUACUACAGAAAGAUAAGCAAGCAAAUCUAACACAUCGUCCUAAAUAUCAAAUGCAGUGAAAGAAAAAGACUAAGCUCGACGAAGAAAUCACUCAGUGUCCUCAUCAUCAUCAUCACCAUCUCCAACACCAGCUCCAGAAUCCCCAUCCUCAGGAGCAUCACCAGACGGUGGAAUGAGAGGAUGUCGUGAAGAUGACCGCUGAUACGAAGCAGAAGAUGGAGUAGGUUCCCAAAUAUCAUCAUGUCUACACCCCAUCUUAUCCAUCAACCUUUUGAUACUUAACUCAAACUUUUUGAUGCCAGACUCAACUUUCCUUCCAAUGUUGUUCACCUUCUUCUUUAACUUCCGCAAAUCUUUCUUAACUAAUUCCAAUGUCGUUGCUUCCCCCGAACUAGAUGAAGUAUCAUAACUUUCUCGAGAUGUAGGCGGAGGAGCAGAACUAGAAGCUGCUCUCGGUGGAGGUACUGGGCUAGACGCUUCAGGAGGUGGCCCUUUGGUCUGAUGGAACGACUUGAGAGUGCUAACCGACUUAGCCCAAGUCACUGAAUCAAUAGGCCCAAAGCCAACAUCAUACUUGUCACAAGAUGUAUCCACUCCAUUUGCUUGAAGUAUCCUUGUAAUCAAAACAGGAAAUGAUAGUAGAUCCCGUCGAGUAGCACCCUGAAUUACGUGAAUCAUCCUUUGCCAGAUUAGAAAUGGAAUGUUGAUGUUCAACCCACGAGCCUGCUCGGGAUGACCAAGUAGAUAAAGCAACACUAAUCUCUCCCGGCGGAUCCUCUUUGUGUCGAUAGUUGGUUGAACAUUGUAGCUCAUAACCAAGGAUAGCAAGUGAUACUCGGGUAAUAAGUCCUUGGAUUCAAUGUAACCAUGAGUCAUGUAAACACCGGCUUUGCAUAUAGCUCCAAGAACGAUAUCCAGGUGAGUUGCUGCUUGAAAUCCUCCUGAAGUAUAGAGAAGACCUGAAGUGUCCACAUGCAUCCCCAAGAUCUCUCCAAUAUCAUAGGGAGUAACUGGAAAUCUCCUCUGACGCACAACAGUCUCGAAGAUAAACGUGCCUGUUUCAUCAUCUUCAGCAAGCACCUUUCCAUUCAUAUAGAAUUCCCUAAUGAGUUCUACACAGAAAGGAGCCUUCGCAGGAACCCGUCCAACAGGCUCAAUAGGCGCGCGCUGUAGUAGUCGUCCAAAAUCAGGAACCUCCCGAAUCAGAUCAUGGAAGUUCACAAAGCGUUCAGCUAUGCACGACUUUGAUGCAAACAACCUUCGCCGUGCUGGAGGAACCUCUGCAGCUUGUUUUGAACGUCCCUCACGAGUACGAGAACCACCACCGUGAGAUGAUUCGCCAGCUAAACCUUUGCCUUUGUCAAGUUGCGCAAUAGGUUCUUCAGAUUCUUCAGAGGAGCUCUCCUGAUAAUCCGGAUCAGACCCGGACGCUUCUUCAGUGGUACGUGUCCUUUUAGAAACCCCAUGACGACCUCUACCACUACCACGGCUUCGUCUCCCAGCCAUGAGCACCAAAAGCACCAGUACGAGCAAAAAUGCCAUUUUCCUAUAUCAAAAAUUGCAUACAUGAACAUAAUUUCUGGAAAAAAUCUGUAAAAAUAGCGAAAAAAUUUCUAAUUACAUUAGAAUGCAUACAAAAGCUAUUUCUAACCAGAUCAUGCAAAAUAUUUCAGCAAAAAUCGAACUUUUUGAAAAAUCCCGAAAUUACAUGCACAUUAGAACAUAAAUUUUAGAUCAGCGAAAAAUAACUUGUUUUGAUGUUGUUCAAGUGUUCUACAAGCAAGGUAAUAGCCUAAGACACUGAUCUAUAGCAAAAAAUUGCAUCAAAAACGGAUUAGAACAGAGAUCAAACCCUUAUCCCGCAAAAACAGUGAAAAUAGCAAAAUCGGGAUAAAACUCACAAAUUUGAUGCUAAAAACUUACAAAUCCACAGGAAAAAUGUGUAGAACGAAUGAAGGAGAGUCUCUGGAGCUCACAGAACCAAAAAUUUUGGAAAACGAUUGAGUUUUGAGAAAGAUCGAAGCGUUAUACCCGGUUAUAUUUCGCUCGGCCGCAGACCUUGUACCGGUACACGGGUUCUUGUUCCGGUACAAGGACCAAAAUGUGAAAAAAAAAUUUUCGAAAAAUAUACUUUAAAAAUCCAUCACAUUUAAAUUAAAUUCAUAUAGUUAAGGCUUUUACUCCAAAAAUCAUUGUAAUGAAAAUAAGAUAUUAUAAAAUUUCAAAACACAUCAAAACAUCAAAAUUUCAAAAUCAAAAAUAAUUUAAUGAUUCAAAAACAUCAAGAUGUAAGUUGAUGAAAAAUGAUUUUUAGAAAUUCAACAAAAUUGACACCAAUUUGUCGCAAUACAUUCAAAAUAGAGAUUUAACUAAUAUGGCACCGGGGGUGGCUCUUUGAGCAUCUUUUUCAAACUAGCACCUUAUUACUCCGAAAAUUCUAAAAUAUUUAUAUUUUUCCAACCUUUUUCGGCUUUUUCAAUUAAAUACCAUGUGGUAGCUUCACACACUUGCCGGACGACCGGGGUGGUAGCUCUUUCCUACAUGUGGUGGUAGUUUUCACACUCCUUUUGGAUGUAACUCUUUCCACAUCUUUUAAACAUAGGAGUUUCUUUUUCUCCUUUUUUUUUUUUUUAAACAAUUUCAAACUCCCCCUAAAUUAGACAAUCUCACAGUUGAAAAUAAUUUUGACGAAUUUUAGUCAAUUAGAGAAUAUCCAUUCAUCAUAUCCAACACUCACAACCAAGAUGAAUUAAUCACCAAAAAAUCAAAUUUGAUUUCAAAAUUUUGAUGAAUUUAUGCAAUAAGAAAUCAUAUAAUAAAUUAUCGUCAAAAUAAUAAAAAGUGGAGUAAAAACGAUAAUUAAUAUGAAUUUAACUUAAUAUGAUUGUGAAGUUAAAACCCGUUUGAACAAUCUUUAAAAAAAAACUUUCUCUCCAAAAAAAAUGAUUCUCAAUCAUCUCCUUUCUCAAAGAUUUUGAAUUCCCAAAUACCUUUUCUCAAAAUAAUUUUUAACCAAACAAAAUUCAAAGCACCAAAAAUCAUGUAAACAUGUAAUGCAAUUAAUAAAAAUAUGCAAUAAGCACCUAUCAAAGCACUACACAAGAAAUCAAAAACAGCUAAGACGAGAAGCAAGGAAAGAUAUCACCUUUCCGGAUCCAAACUUGUCGGAUCUUUGGUUUUCUCGGCUUGUCGACGUUUGGUGCCGUUUGCUUAGAUUUUUGAUCAAUCGUUGGUAUUUUCUUCGCUUGAGGCUUAGGUAGAACUUGGCGUUUAGGCUUAGAAGUCCGAUUCUUUUGAGGCACUCGACUUAAAUUAUUUUGCUUUUGAUUCCGUGGGGGAUGUCGAAUAGUAGAUGACGCCGAUGGAUGUUUUGAAUUUGCCGAUUGUAACUUGCCAUUUUUGUUUGGGCAAUUCCUUUUGAUGUGUCCUUNNNNNNNNNNNNNNNNNNNNNNNNNNNNNNNNNNNNNNNNNNNNNNNNNNNNNNNNNNNNNNNNNNNNNNNNNNNNNNNNNNNNNNNNNNNNNNNNNNNNNNNNNNNNNNNNNNNNNNNNNNNNNNNNNNNNNNNNNNNNNNNNNNNNNNNNNNNNNNNNNNNNNNNNNNNNNNNNNNNNNNNNNNNNNNNNNNNNNNNNNNNNNNNNNNNNNNNNNNNNNNNNNNNNNNNNNNNNNNNNNNNNNNNNNNNNNNNNNNNNNNNNNNNNNNNNNNNNNNNNNNNNNNNNNNNNNNNNNNNNNNNNNNNNNNNNNNNNNNNNNNNNNNNNNNNNNNNNNNNNNNNNNNNNNNNNNNNNNNNNNNNNNNNNNNNNNNNNNNNNNNNNNNNNNNNNNNNNNNNNNNNNNNNNNNNNNNNNNNNNNNNNNNNNNNNNNNNNNNNNNNNNNNNNNNNNNNNNNNNNNNNNNNNNNNNNNNNNNNNNNNNNNNNNNNNNNNNNNNNNNNNNNNNNNNNNNNNNNNNNNNNNNNNNNNNNNNNNNNNNNNNNNNNNNNNNNNNNNNNNNNNNNNNNNNNNNNNNNNNNNNNNNNNNNNNNNNNNNNNNNNNNNNNNNNNNNNNNNNNNNNNNNNNNNNNNNNNNNNNNNNNNNNNNNNNNNNNNNNNNNNNNNNNNNNNNNNNNNNNNNNNNNNNNNNNNNNNNNNNNNNNNNNNNNNNNNNNNNNNNNNNNNNNNNNNNNNNNNNNNNNNNNNNNNNNNNNNNNNNNNNNNNNNNNNNNNNNNNNNNNNNNNNNNNNNNNNNNNNNNNNNNNNNNNNNNNNNNNNNNNNNNNNNNNNNNNNNNNNNNNNNNNNNNNNNNNNNNNNNNNNNNNNNNNNNNNNNNNNNNNNNNNNNNNNNNNNNNNNNNNNNNNNNNNNNNNNNNNNNNNNNNNNNNNNNNNNNNNNNNNNNNNNNNNNNNNNNNNNNNNNNNNNNNNNNNNNNNNNNNNNNNNNNNNNNNNNNNNNNNNNNNNNNNNNNNNNNNNNNNNNNNNNNNNNNNNNNNNNNNNNNNNNNNNNNNNNNNNNNNNNNNNNNNNNNNNNNNNNNNNNNNNNNNNNNNNNNNNNNNNNNNNNNNNNNNNNNNNNNNNNNNNNNNNNNNNNNNNNNNNNNNNNNNNNNNNNNNNNNNNNNNNNNNNNNNNNNNNNNNNNNNNNNNNNNNNNNNNNNNNNNNNNNNNNNNNNNNNNNNNNNNNNNNNNNNNNNNNNNNNNNNNNNNNNNNNNNNNNNNNNNNNNNNNNNNNNNNNNNNNNNNNNNNNNNNNNNNNNNNNNNNNNNNNNNNNNNNNNNNNNNNNNNNNNNNNNNNNNNNNNNNNNNNNNNNNNNNNNNNNNNNNNNNNNNNNNNNNNNNNNNNNNNNNNNNNNNNNNNNNNNNNNNNNNNNNNNNNNNNNNNNNNNNNNNNNNNNNNNNNNNNNNNNNNNNNNNNNNNNNNNNNNNNNNNNNNNNNNNNNNNNNNNNNNNNNNNNNNNNNNNNNNNNNNNNNNNNNNNNNNNNNNNNNNNNNNNNNNNNNNNNNNNNNNNNNNNNNNNNNNNNNNNNNNNNNNNNNNNNNNNNNNNNNNNNNNNNNNNNNNNNNNNNNNNNNNNNNNNNNNNNNNNNNNNNNNNNNNNNNNNNNNNNNNNNNNNNNNNNNNNNNNNNNNNNNNNNNNNNNNNNNNNNNNNNNNNNNNNNNNNNNNNNNNNNNNNNNNNNNNNNNNNNNNNNNNNNNNNNNNNNNNNNNNNNNNNNNNNNNNNNNNNNNNNNNNNNNNNNNNNNNNNNNNNNNNNNNNNNNNNNNNNNNNNNNNNNNNNNNNNNNNNNNNNNNNNNNNNNNNNNNNNNNNNNNNNNNNNNNNNNNNNNNNNNNNNNNNNNNNNNNNNNNNNNNNNNNNNNNNNNNNNNNNNNNNNNNNNNNNNNNNNNNNNNNNNNNNNNNNNNNNNNNNNNNNNNNNNNNNNNNNNNNNNNNNNNNNNNNNNNNNNNNNNNNNNNNNNNNNNNNNNNNNNNNNNNNNNNNNNNNNNNNNNNNNNNNNNNNNNNNNNNNNNNNNNNNNNNNNNNNNNNNNNNNNNNNNNNNNNNNNNNNNNNNNNNNNNNNNNNNNNNNNNNNNNNNNNNNNNNNNNNNNNNNNNNNNNNNNNNNNNNNNNNNNNNNNNNNNNNNNNNNNNNNNNNNNNNNNNNNNNNNNNNNNNNNNNNNNNNNNNNNNNNNNNNNNNNNNNNNNNNNNNNNNNNNNNNNNNNNNNNNNNNNNNNNNNNNNNNNNNNNNNNNNNNNNNNNNNNNNNNNNNNNNNNNNNNNNNNNNNNNNNNNNNNNNNNNNNNNNNNNNNNNNNNNNNNNNNNNNNNNNNNNNNNNNNNNNNNNNNNNNNNNNNNNNNNNNNNNNNNNNNNNNNNNNNNNNNNNNNNNNNNNNNNNNNNNNNNNNNNNNNNNNNNNNNNNNNNNNNNNNNNNNNNNNNNNNNNNNNNNNUGAUGGCUGUACCCUGGACAGAAAACCCUUGUACCGGUACAGCAAUGCAAUUUUCGCUGAAAAUGCAUUGUUUCGGGUUUUACAAACUCUUAGAAACCUUCUAAUCAAUUACAACUUGAAAAUAUGAUUCUAAGAUCUAUAAAUAAGUAUGAAUCACCAUAAACAAGAUUUAAAACUUACCUACGCAUCGUGAUUCAAGUUUUGCGUGUUUUGCGUCCUUUCCGAUUCUUCGAAGUCUUGGAUUCUUCGAUCUUCAAUACUCCGCUCCGAACUUCUUCAAGACUCCGACUCGACCCACGAAACUUGCCAACACAUAGGACCUAAUACCCGGCGGCAUUUAUGGACCUGAUGAAUCGAAUCUUCCGUCCGCUAUUGGACCGGUGCGUCGUGGUUUUCAUUGACGACGUAUUGGUAUAUUCUCGGACCGAAGAAGAACACGAGGAGCAACUAAGACUCGUGUUGGAGAUACUCCGAAAGGAAAAGCUUUACGCAAAACUAAAGAAAUGUGAGUUUUGGCUUUCGGAGGUUACCUUCUUAGGUCACGUUGUAUCCGAAGAUGGCAUCUCGGUGGAGCCAAAGAAGGUUGAGGCGAUUAAAGAUUGGCCUCGCCCGACAAGUGUAGCGAAAAUUCGUAGCUUCCUUGGACUGGCGGGCUAUUACCAGCGGUUCGUGGAGGAGUUUGCCAGGAUAACGACUCCACUAAUGCGCCUUACGCACAAAGGGGUGAAGUAUGUUUGGAGCCCCGAGUGUGAGCGGAGCUUUGAGGAGCUAAAGAAUAGACUGACAUCUACUCCGGAGCUUGCUUUGCCGACGCUAGGAGAGAGUUAUGUCGUAUACAGUGAUGCUUCAUACAUCGGUCUCGGGUGUGUCUUACUGCAAAACAGCCAAGUGAUAGCUUAUGCUUCGCGCCAGUUGAAGAGUUAUGAAAAGAAUUACCCGACUCACGAUCUUGAGUUAGCGGCGGUUGUUUUCGCGCUAAAAUUGUGGAGGCAUUACUUGUAUGGGGAACAUUGUGAGAUCUACACCGAUCAUAAAAAUCUCAAAUACUUGUUCACCCAGAAGGAGCUAAACUUGCGACAGCGGCGGUGGUUAGAGUUGCUCAAAGAUUACAAUGUCACGAUUCUCUAUCACCCCGGGAAAGCGAACGUCGUGGCCGAUGCUCUAAGUAGAAAGUCGGCGGAAAAUUUGGCGACAGAAAUUACACCUCAACCGGCUUUGCAAAAGGAGAUGCAGCGGUUUAAACUAGAAGUUGUGGCGCCGAGAGUGCCGGCAACACUCGCCACUCUAGUUGUGCAACCAACCUUGUUGGAGAGGAUUAAAGGAUCACAAGCAUCGGAUGAAUUCCUCCAAAAGGUGCGGGGCAAAGUUGAGAGCGGUAGCGCCGGUGAGUUUGGCAUUAGAACCGACGGCGCACUACGAUAUCGAGAUCGUUGGUGUGUGCCCAAGGAUGAUAAUCUUCGGAGGGCGAUUAUGCAAGAAGCGCAUCAAUCUCCCUAUAGCAUUCACCCGGGCGGCACCAAAAUGUAUCGAGACCUAAAAUUGCAUUAUUGAUGGUCGGGCAUGAAGAAAGAUAUAGGAGAGUUCGUGGCGCAGUGUCUCACGUGCCAACAAGUGAAAGCGGAGUGUUGAUUUCCGGCAGGAAAAUUGCAAAGUCUACCUAUACCCGUGUGGAAAUGGAAAAACAUCGCAAUGGAUUUUGUGACAGGUUUACCUAAAUCACAAGGUGGACAUGACGCGAUUUGGGUAGUUGUGGACCGGUUGACGAAAUCGGCACACUUUUUGCCGAUCCACACUACUUGGUUGGGAGACAUGUUAGCUCAAGUCUAUAUUGACGAGGUUGUGAGACUUCAUGGGGUUCCGGUAUCUAUUGUAUCGGAUCGGGACCCUAGGUUCACGUCUCAUUUUUGGAAGAGCUUACAAGAUGCGUUGGGCACGCGGCUCGACUUUAGUACGACAUUCCAUCCUCAAAGUGACGGUCAAUCGGAAAGGACUAUUCAAAUACUUGAGAACAUGCUUCGAGCAUGUGUGCUUGAUUAUAAGGGCGGAUGGUACGAUCACUUACCGAUAGCGGAAUUCGCAUACAACAACAGCUAUCAAGAAAGCAUUGCGAUGGGGCCAUUCGAGGCCCUGUAUGGAAGGAAAUGUCGCUCGCCAAUACACUGAAUCGAUGUGGGCGAGAAGAUGGUUCUUGGCCCGGAUGUGGUGCGGGAGGCGGAAGAGAAAGUCCGCCUUGCCCGACAGCGAUUAGUGACGGCGCAAUCAAGGCACAAGAGUUAUGCCGACAAGCGGCGAAAGGAUAUUGAGUUCGCGGUUGGAGACCGCGUAUUUUUAAAAGUAUCGCCGAUGCGAGGAGUCAAGCGGUUCGGCGUUCGCGGGAAGCUAAGUCCCCGCUAUAUCGGACCCUUCGAGAUUCUGGAACGAGUUGGCGCAGUCGCCUACAAGUUGGCAUUACCACCGAGGCUCACGGGAGUACAUGAUGUAUUCCAUGUAUCCCAACUCCGCAAGUAUGUGUACGAUCCAGAUCAUAUUCUCUCGUAUAUACCGAUAGAGCUUCAAGAGGAUAUGACUUAUGAGGAGUUCCCGGCGUAUAUUGUCGAUCGGGAGGUGCGAAAGCUUCGGAACCGCGAAAUCCCGUAUGUUAAAAUUCAUUGGUGCGAGCAUGAUGACCGAGAAGAAACGUGGGAGCUCGAAAACGAAAUGAGGGAGCGUUAUCCUCACCUCUUCGAGGAUCUGAAGUGAGGUAUGAAAUUUAAAUUUCAACCUUAGUAGUUUUGCGGACGAAACUAAAGUAAGGGGUGGGGAAUGUGACAUACCACCUCCCUCGUAAAUCGUGCCGAGUUCCGUCGAAACGAGCGGAGCGCGGAGUGGAACGAGUGAGUAUAGGCCCUAAGUGCAUUGGAACCUAUCUAUAGUGCAAAGGGACCCGAGAGAGAGAGAAAUUCCAUAAUCUGGCUAUGUCCCAGAUUUUGUGCUCUCGGGGACCGAUCCCUGAAGGAAAGACCAGUCCCCGUACGCGUUGCCUACCAGGAAUCCUGAGGCAACCGGCCCCUGGCAGUGAGACCGGUCCUCGGGAGACCGGUCCCUGAGGUAAAGACCGGUCCCUCGUCGCGCAGCAGCUGAGAAAGCCAAAAAUCCGGCUAAGUCCUGGAAAACCCACGUUCGGGAACCGGUCCCUGGUCGGGAAGACCGGUCCCCGACAGUGAAAAUUGCCCGGUCUGGGCUGAAACAGAAUCUUGAAGUUGAGGGGCCUAAGUGCAAAUGUUACAACUCUUUAUAUGGCCCAUCCCCUCUCUCCCACAGCCAUUUCCCACCUCUCUCUCAUUUUCUCUCUUUCUCUCUCUAGAACCCUAGCUCUAGGGCUUGGAGAAGAAGAAGAAGCAAGGGGAAGGUGGAUUUGGAGGCUUUGGAGGGUCUAGGAGCUCUCCUACAAGAAAGACUUGGAGGAGCUUUUGGCUAAGGUGAGUUUUUGGUACAAAUGAGUCUAGGGUAUGGUUUUGAUCCCUAAGGUUUGGAGUUUUGGGUUGUUUUUAGCCUUGGGAGCCUUCUAUAGGCCUUGAACUCCGUGGGACCCAUGAGAGCUUAAGUGCUCUCAUGGUGGAUGGUUAGGGUUCACCAUAAAAGCCCUAGGGUUGGUUCCAAAGGUCUAGAAACCUUGUUAGAAUGUUUCUUAGGUGAUUUGAAGCUAUUAUUUGCUUAGGGUUGAGAUCAAUCCAAGUGGGAGCCCUAGAUGUUAUUGUUAGGGCUCAAAUUGGGGCUUUUGCCCUAGGAUUUUUCGGGGAUAAAUUGACCCUGUAGAAACCGAAUUGGGGGUGCCCCCGACGCGUGGGACGACUCCGUUUAACAUUACGAAAAUGUUUGAGAGUAGUUCAUGUACAAAGGGCCUAAUUUGGCACCAUUUUGGGUUGUAGGACGCGGAUCGUCGUUCGUAAGGUUGAGGGGAUUAUCGCGUACGUCUUCUACUACCUCACAAGGUAGGGGGUGCACGCCGGAAUCGUUGGAUUCCCUUCUAUGUCUGUUUUUCUUUUUAUUGAGCAUAUAUAUAUAUAUAUAUAUAUAUAUAUAUAUAUAUAUAUAUAUAUAUAUAUAUAUAUAUACAUAUAUAUAUAUAUCCGUACAUAGCCAUUCAUGCAUAGUAAGGUAGAUACAUGUGAAACUUGGUUCGAUUUCAUUUAUAUGUUUCUAACGUAGUUGAACAUAGAGAAUGGUAGAACCAAAAAAAGGAACAUGUGGGGUAGGACCCUCAAGUUGCGUGAAUGUGAGGUUUGGACUUGGACAAUAGAAAACAAAGGUGACAUUGACAUAGAAACAAGAUCGGCAUUGAGAGAUGAACCGUUAAACAUAGUUUAACUAAUUAUGGCAUCAUCAUAGGUAUAGCCUAGAGAGUGGCCAAAAUGAAUAGGUAGAGACCUAUCAUGACAUCGGCAUUGUGACUAGUGGCUAUGAAUCCUCAAGUAAGGAUUGGAUCGAUACUCACGAUACGUCUUGGCUUAAGGGAGGUCGCUCCCCCUCGAGCGGUGCGCUCCGGAGUUGGUCACCACUGGGCGUGGUAAAGUCCCCCCAGAUGACGGUCCCUAGGGAGGUUCGAGUCCCCCGUUAUUAAGGGAUUUUGGGUUGUGAGUUGUUAGGGUUAACAAGGUUAACCGGUAAGAUUAGGUAACAGCCAAAGUAAAAUUUAUGAAAAGGGCAUGCAUGCAUUCAUCAUCCAUAUGAUUAUUCAUUUACUGACCAGUUUUCUUGCAGGCAUUGUAUUAGAAGUAGCAUUAGAUGGUUUGCUAUCCUUUCCUUUGAAAUACAUAUGCCUGAAUAAACCUAGUGGGUAAGUCGGCGAGGUCGGUUGCCGAACCCAUUGGGAACUUUGUUUAGUUCUCACACCACUAACUGUCACGCCCCGGGACCGGCAGGGGCCCUCCCAGUAGCGUGCCCAGACCCGCCAUAUGUCUACACAUAUAAGGCGUCUAGGAUAAAAGCGGAAGUAAAAGCAAGAAAUAAUCCACAAGUAGAGAUAUCAGAGCAAAUAAAGUUCUAACCUCUAAAACGAGAAUAAAGGAAACAUACUAAAGCAAUAAGGGUGAAAUAUAAAGUAAUACAACAUCUGUCCCAAAAGUACACAAAAUGGUGGUCUCUAGUACACUGCUACAGCUCUCAAUCUCUCCCAAAAUAAAAUACAUCGAGAGGUAGACCACCUAGCAACUCGUGCGCUGAAGAGCUAGCUCGAAGUAACGCCCUUCCCGCGGUCCCUAGCCUCUCCCGGCGUGGAAGGCUCUGAAAGAAAACAUAAAACAGAGGGCCUGAGAACUAUAAUUUAUAGUUCCCAGUGGGCAAUUACUGACCUCAGCUCAAUGCACCUCCAGGCCCCAACAGAAAAUGAGUAAGUACAGUAAACAACAAUAAUAAUAAUGAUAACUGCGGUAUGAAAGUAUGCAUGUUUACUAAGCUUACUAUACCAUAAGCAUUACGAUGUCAAUGUUUUACAUUUACUCUUUCAUAAUGAAGAAUGUUCAAUGCAUAAGUAAUAUGUCCCAACAUAGCCACAGGUAAAUGUCACGGUCUACUUUAUGAAGUUAUAAAGAUCAUGCUUUAAUAUGGCAAUAAUGUAUAAAUGGAUGCAAUAAGCAACAUCUCCUAGCAUACUACAUGUAUGUAUGUAUACUCAAGUGUCCAAAACUAUGCUAGAAGCAAGUCCAAGUAAUCCAACUACUACCCUCUAUCUAGUAGUGAUUAUACACACACAACACCGUGUCGAUUUCCAUUUCCAAUUAAAGACCUACUCAAGGUAGUCCAGCUUGUGCCGCCUAAGUGCCUGUGGUAGCCCGACAUUCCUACUCUUGGAAUGUGUCUAUCCCACUCGACCCCGUAGGCUUUUCAAUACCACACGAGCGAACAUAAGUCGCGUAGGCGAACUCCAAAGUGUCGGCUUGUAGGGAGCGACCCUCACAAGCAUGUGCGAAUGAGCACAAAUGGCAAGCAAGUAUAGUCAACGUCUCAAGUAUCCAAUCAUCAUGUCUCUAACAUGGUAUAGUCACUAGCAUCUCGAAGAUCUAGUUCUAAGUCACAAGUAAAGUUCCAACGUUCAUGAAGUCUAGUGCCUCUUGAUGACACUUAGACAUUUCAAUGUUUCAGCAUAUACCAAAUCCCUCAAUGGCCCUAUCCACUAGGUUCACCCAUGUCCCGAGCUCAAUGCUGUUUGAUGACAUUAGCUCUCUAAUUCACAUAGCAUUCUAGUUUGAUGCCUCUUUAAGGCAUAUUAGUUAUCUUUCAUGUCAUAAAUAAAAAUAGGUUUAAAUGCAUGAAUCAAGCUCAUUUUCAUUAUAAGGAAUAUGGCCCAACAUAAGGAUGCUAAACAAUCAAACAUAAGCUUCAUAUGCAACUCUCUACUAUAUAGGAGUCCAAAAUUGCACUAUAUGUAACAUAGGCAUUUUAAGCAUCCUAAAAUUACAAUAAAUACAUAUAACAAUAAUAUGCAUGCUUUUUCAUUUUACAAUACUUAAAUCAUCAACAAUGAGAUUUUCUCAUUGUGUGGCUAGGUCAAACCCACCGAACCGUCGCAUAGUCCCUCGUCUCGCUGACGGAGUUGUCCACGAGUCUCAAAAUACCCUAAAAGUAUUGAGCGAAGAGAUACACGGGCAUUACGAUCAACUAUAAGAUCAAACAUUAACCAACAAGGCAAAAGGACUAAAAUCUCACCUAGGGUGGAGAAAAACUCUCACAAGCUCCAAAAGAAGGCUAAGAUCCUUCCAAUCCAAUCCAAAGGAGUGCUCUAAUCCAAAUAAUUUAGCCAAAAGCCCUAGAAUCAAAAUGCCCAAAAUAAACCCUAAGUUUCCAAUCUAGGGUUCCAUCUACUAUAAGGCAUCAAAACCAAAAUCUAGAGGGAGAGAAUGGGCUACCAACCUCUUAGAAGCUUCAAUCCAAGCUUUAAACUCUCUAAGUCCAAAGAUCUCUCCUCAACAAAGCUCCAAAUUCAAGCUCCAAGCUUCAACAAUGGUGGAGAAGCCUCUAAUCAAGCAAAAAGAGAGUUUAAUCUCAAAAAAACCAAACAAAAUCAAGGAAAUCACAAGGGAGGUGAUAGGAGAGCUCCCUACCUUGCUUUCCUCAAAUUCCCAGCUCAGGAGAAGCCCUAGGGGUGUGGGGGAUACAUAUAGAAGUCUACAAUUGCGAAAAACCCCCUGUAGUUCAAACUGCUCAGAUUCUGCCAAAGUGUACCGGUACACGGGAAAGUGUACCGGUACACAUCCUACGAAAAGGCAAACCCGAGGCUCAGGUUUGAAAUUCGCCACAAGUGUACCGGUACAGCCAUCAAAAGUGCACCGGUACAAAAUGUGUACCGGUACAGCCAUCGACCUGUCACCGGUUACACCUCGUGCAGAAUGCAAUCCGAGGUAGCCUAAGUCCAACUCUUUAGUGACCUUAGCGCUACACAAAAUACUACAAUUCUCGGAAUUCGAACCAUAGGUCGGAACACUGUCAACGACCCACCAGAAAAUCUGGAAAAGCUCAAGACACAGUCCAAACACUCGAACCUCGCAAUUUGCAAAGGUCCAGUGUGUUACACUAACCCUACAGGUCCAAGCGCGAGCGGGAUGGCGGAGGACCGAGGCAAGGGUAUAGCAUCGUAGAUAGCGGCCACCAGGACUUUAUACAUUUUGUAGUCAUUUUCCUUUUUGGUAUACAUGUAUCAACUUUACUUUGUAGAUCUAGAGCUCCAAGUUACAAACAAUCAUGUAUUUAGUGGAUGACUAAAUGUAAAAAAAAGAUAUGAUGGAUGAAUGGAAAUGUAAUAUACCGAGAAUUCGGAAAAUAAAUAUCGAACUUUAGUCAAAUUGACCAAAGUGCGAGGAUGGUACACUUCGGUAAGUCCGAAGGUGUUAAAAUGAUCAAAAGUGAGUUAUGGGAGGUUUUCAAGAGCUAAAGGAUCAAAAUCUGCAUUCUGCAAUUUUGAGCUCUCGGGGACCAGUCCCUGGUGGGAGAGAUCGGUCCCCGAACGCGUAUGAAUUGAGACAGCCGAAAAAUCGGCUAAGUUCUGAGAAACUAGCUCUCGGGAACCGGUCCCUGCCUGAGAGACCGAUCCCCGAGAGACCGGUCCCCCAAAGAGAGACCGGUUGCUCUGCGCGUGCGCCCUGCUGCUCGCGGGGAGAGCCUUCGGGAACUGGUCCCUGAAGGAGAGACCGGCCCCCGCGUGCGCGAACCGCCCAGUCCAAGCAGUGUACAGAGAUAAAAGUUGAGGGGUUUAUUUGCAUUUUUGCAACCCAUGGGUUAUGUUGAGGGCUGAGAGAGACUUUUUCUCUCAUUCUCUCCCUCUUACACUCUCUUCUCUCCCUCUCUCUCUCUAGAAGACAAAAGAGGAGAAGAAGAAGACAAGAAAGAAAGGAAGGAAAAGAAGGUGAAGAAGAAGAUCAAGUAGUGAGCCUACCUCUUCUUCUUCCUCCUUGGAGCAUCUUAGGGAAAGCUUUGAGGUAAGCUUUGAUCCCUAGUAUAGUAAAACCCUAGAAUGAGUUUUGAAUGACCUAGAAAUGGGUUUUAUGGAUUAUUUGGAGUCUUUGAAGCUUUCUUUUUGCUUCUUUAGAGAUCAAAACCAUGGUUUAGCUUGAGGUAAGCUUUGGCCACCUCUAAUGGUGAAAUCCAAACUAGGGUUUGGAGUGAGAUAAGAAUGGUUCUAAUGGACUUUUUAGAGUAUAAUGAAGCUACUUUUGCUUCCCAUUGAGAUCAAACCCUAGGUUUGAUGAUGUUAUGGAGCUAAGGCACCCAAAUUGGGGCUUUUGCUCAUAGGGUUUCUAAGUGCAAUUGACUCUCUAGAAACCUAAUUGCGGGUAUUUCCGACGCAUUGGUGCGCUCGGAUUAGCGUUACGAAACGCCAAAGUAAAGAUAUGAGCAAAAUGCCCUAAUAAGGCUUCGUUUUGCCGCAGGUAGUGAACCGGGUGUCUAAAAAUCUCAAGAAAAUCGUCAGAGCACCUAAAGAGACCUACAAGGUGGGUGGUGCUUCUCAAACUCAUUGAACUUCUCUCUAUGCCUAAUGUGUCAUUCAUUUGAGCAUGUGUAUAUGUAUUGUUGCAUGCAUUUUAGGGUAAAGUAAUGAUGAAAAUGUGAUGAUGCAUGAUUGUGAGUACAACUUGCAUAAUAUGAUGAAUGAGAACUAUGUGAAUGUCGAAAACCCUAUGUGUAUGCAUGAGAGAAAAGUGAGCACCCAAAGUGAGCAAAAGAACAGAGUGACACAAUGACAUAGAUCGAGUGGCAUUCGAUAAAGUUAAAGUAAAAUGACACUAGAGAUAGUGUGAGGUAAAGAACCAAUGUAAUGUAAAGAAUGAUGAAAAUGACAAUGUUUAAAGUUAAAGUAAUGUGGGGAGUAAAGAACAUGAAGUGCUAGAGGUAGCCAAAAGUAAAGAAUGUAAAGAAUAUNNNNNNNNNNNNNNNNNNNNNNNNNNNNNNNNNNNNNNNNNNNNNNNNNNNNNNNNNNNNNNNNNNNNNNNNNNNNNNNNNNNNNNNNNNNNNNNNNNNNNNNNNNNNNNNNNNNNNNNNNNNNNNNNNNNNNNNNNNNNNNNNNNNNNNNNNNNNNNNNNNNNNNNNNNNNNNNNNNNNNNNNNNNNNNNNNNNNNNNNNNNNNNNNNNNNNNNNNNNNNNNNNNNNNNNNNNNNNNNNNNNNNNNNNNNNNNNNNNNNNNNNNNNNNNNNNNNNNNNNNNNNNNNNNNNNNNNNNNNNNNNNNNNNNNNNNNNNNNNNNNNNNNNNNNNNNNNNNNNNNNNNNNNNNNNNNNNNNNNNNNNNNNNNNNNNNNNNNNNNNNNNNNNNNNNNNNNNNNNNNNNNNNNNNNNNNNNNNNNNNNNNNNNNNNNNNNNNNNNNNNNNNNNNNNNNNNNNNNNNNNNNNNNNNNNNNNNNNNNNNNNNNNNNNNNNNNNNNNNNNNNNNNNNNNNNNNNNNNNNNNNNNNNNNNNNNNNNNNNNNNNNNNNNNNNNNNNNNNNNNNNNNNNNNNNNNNNNNNNNNNNNNNNNNNNNNNNNNNNNNNNNNNNNNNNNNNNNNNNNNNNNNNNNNNNNNNNNNNNNNNNNNNNNNNNNNNNNNNNNNNNNNNNNNNNNNNNNNNNNNNNNNNNNNNNNNNNNNNNNNNNNNNNNNNNNNNNNNNNNNNNNNNNNNNNNNNNNNNNNNNNNNNNNNNNNNNNNNNNNNNNNNNNNNNNNNNNNNNNNNNNNNNNNNNNNNNNNNNNNNNNNNNNNNNNNNNNNNNNNNNNNNNNNNNNNNNNNNNNNNNNNNNNNNNNNNNNNNNNNNNNNNNNNNNNNNNNNNNNNNNNNNNNNNNNNNNNNNNNNNNNNNNNNNNNNNNNNNNNNNNNNNNNNNNNNNNNNNNNNNNNNNNNNNNNNNUGGUAUCAGAGCCAAGAGUGAAAGAAUAGGAAUGGACCUAGAGACCCUUAGGAUUGGAAGGCCUUAAGGAUCUAGGAAACGUGAGUGACGUGGGAUGAAAGUUAGCGAAGCAUAUGUUUGGGUUAAGUUGGGACGUCUCUAAUGUGAUUAGAGGCUAAGUUUAAAUUUCGUUUAUCCUCCACUUCUGGUGUUGUGUCGGGCGGCCGACGACAUGACGCUUGAGGCAAGGAUGAAUGUGCAUGUUGCUUUCGCCUAAUUGGGUAUGGUCAAGUAAUGUUGGUCAAGUGACUAAUGCGAGUUGCUUCUUUUCAGGAAGCAAUGGCACCUCGACGUCGAUCGCAGACAAGGUCGAUGCCGGAGGAAACGAAUGCGGUGCCCGAGCAAUCCGGAGCGAGUGGCGACGGGGAGCUUAGGGAGCAAAUGGCCGCGCUUAUUGACGUAGUGCGGCAGCAAGCGGAGUCUGUUCAACGCCAAGGGGAGCAGAUUCAGCGGCUCGAGGAGGCCUUGGAGCGUCAACAGUCGGCGGCGGCCCAAGUGGGCGUGGAGCCACCUGUCCCCCCUGCGGAGGUGCCGAGGGCAGUCGAGGGAGCGGCGACAGCAACGGCUGCGCCAGUCACGCUAGUGCCGGCCGGAUCGGGAACCUCAAAUCCCGAUGGUGCGGCAGUUGAUGCAGAGCGAGAGCGCACAUUGGCGGCGCUUUUACAAUUCAAGAAGUUCGACCCACCUAUCUUCGAGGGUGGAUUGGUGGAGCCAGCGGUUGUGGAGUCGUGGAUCGACUCAAUGGAGACGCUCUUCGAGGACCUAAAUACCUCGGAGAAAGAUAAAGUGUACCUUGCCACCCAUUGUCUAGGGAAGGCGGCGAUGGUGUGGUGGAAACGAGUGAGGCGGGAUUGACCUAUCGAUCUUCCGCUUAUGUUAUAGGAGGAGUUCAAGAGAACGGUGUUCGCGAACUACUUCCCCAACACGGUGAAGCGGAAGCUACAAGAAAAGUUCCGCAAGUUGAGACAGGGCGAUCGAUCGGUGGGAGAGUAUGAGCAAGAAUUCUCUCACAUUAUUAACUGCGUUCCCGAUGUUGUUCGUGAUGAUCGAGAUCGGGCUGAUUGGUUCUUGCGAGGACUCCAGCCCCAGAUAUAUGAGAAGGUGCAGAUCUUAAAGCUGUCGACCUUUGCGGAGGUCUUUGAUAGAGCUUUCUGGGCGGAGCACGGUAGCGCCCACGUACGCGAGAAACGAGAAGCUAUUGCCGAGUCGAAAGACAAGGGCAAGAAGAGAACGGCGGGCGGUGCCGUGGGCCAGCCAAAUACUAAGAAACCCCCUCGGUAUCCCCGACAGCAGGCGAGAAAUUGGAGACCACCUCGAUGUGUUAUUUGUGGUGGUGAGCACAAGGUGUCGACUUGCCCGCAGCGCGAUGGCAAGUGUUUCAAGUGUGGCCAACCGGGACAUCUUAUCCGGGAGUGCCCGACAUGGACGUCAUCUGCGCUGACGGCGGCAUCAGCACCGUCUACCCCGAAACAGCUUGCGGGGUUACCACCAGCGAUGUCGGCUCGGCGCGUGUCAUCACUACGUCAGCCGGAGGGAUCGAGAGCGCCUAGCGGUCGAGUCUUCACCGCUUAGGUGGAGGAGCAACAACCUGCAGCACCCGACGACAUCGUGGCAGGUAUAAUUGUGAUUAAAGGCACUAGAGCUAGAGCAGUGUUUGAUACAGGCGAUUAUUUUUUUAGCACGUCAUUGGCUAAGAACAUGCUAGAUAUAGUGUUACAAUGAGAGUAUGACGUGGUGAACGCCAAUGAAAUUCAUUCAGUGUUGCACACGAUAGUGUUUGGUAGUCUCCAGAACUGCAAUAGGCGAUUGAUUAUGCGAGUAUCUGCUAGUCUAGAUCAUGAUGUGGGGAUUCGAUGUUAUCUGGAGGACCAAUUGCUCUUCAAUACUAUGCGGUCAUGAUUUUGUGAAGAAAGGUUGAUCCUUCGUAGAGCUAAUCAGAAGAGUAGUUACCAACGUGCAAAAAGUAGCGCCUUUCGGGCGAAUAGAUCAUCUGUAGGUGGAAGAGGAAUGAUCUAAGGAGGGUGUAGAGCUUAUUGGCCAACCAUGGUGGAUGCUCGAAGAAGUACAGAGUGGGAGAUAUUAGGUAGCGUUGUGAGUUUUUCGAGUCGUUCCGGCGGAUAGUUACCGGAACCACCGACGGGGAAGAUUGAGUUUGUUAUUUACUAUUCAUUCGGCGAAUGGUUUCGAAGGUGUUAUGAAUGCACGUGGAGUAAAGGAUUAGAAAGUCAUCGACUUGCUCGAUAAAGGCUUCGUGGGGCGAGCUUGUACCAUGGAGCUUCCGGUUGCAUGUGAGAAGGAAGGAUGGACACUUCGGCUCUGCGUUUAGAUUCAUCGCGAGUGACAAAGUAACGAUAAAGAACAUAGUACCGUUGCAAGCGAUUGACGAUCUAUUGAUCAGUUGCAAUGGGUCAAGUCUUAUUCGAAGAUUAUCUCCAGUCGCGGUUCAUCCAAUUAAGUCAGCGAAGUUUGUGCACAAACGGCGUAUGUACGCAGGUAUGCCAUUAUUGAGUUCCGGUAUGCGUUUGGCUUCGUAAGCCGGCACAUUUAUGGACUUGCAUGAUCGAGUUUUAGCAUUUGGAUCGAGCCGUGAUGUGUUAUAGCGGUUUGGUUACUAAAGAGUGAAGAGGAUACAUGAGACAUCUGAGAUGAAUAAACAUGUGUUGCAAAUACUCAGACAAGAGUAAGCUCUAUGCAAAAGUUCAAGAAGUGUGGUUUGGAUAAAGGAAUGGCACAUUUUGGGUAAUGUCGGUAUGGGCGACGGGUAGAUAGACCGAAAAAGUAGAGGCAUAAGGAUGGCUGUCCCGAGAAUGUACGCGGGAGUUCCGCAGUUUUCUUGACUGCCGCGCUAUAUCGGGGUUCGAGGAGGGUUCGCCCAAAUAACACUCCACUAAGCGCCUCACGCAUAAGGGCGGUAAGUAGGUUUGGACGCGAUCGAUCGGAGCUUCGAAGAUUAAAGGUAAGGUUGACGUCGACCCGGUCUUGCUUUGCCGAUCCGGAAGAAUUUUGUAGUGUUUAUAGCGAGCUUUAUGUUGUGCUCGGGGUGUACUAAUUGCAAUGGGCGAUGUAUUUGCAUAUGCAUCGCGCCAAUUAAAGAGUUAUGAGAAGAACUACCCGAUUCACGACCUCGAAUUAGCCGCGGUGAUCUUCGCGCUAAAGCUUUGGAGGCAUUACUUGUAUGGUGAACAUUGUGAAGUCUACACCGAUCACAAGAGUCUCAAGUACUUGUUCACCCAGAAGGAGUUGAAUAUGCGGCAGCGGCGGUGGUUGGAGUUGUUGAAGGACUAAGAUGUCACUAUACUAUACCACCCCGGGAAAGCCAAUGUCGUGGCCGAUGCUCUAAGUAGAAAAUCUGCGGAGAACCUAGCGACGGCGAUUACGCCUCAACCGCUGUUGCAAAAGGAAAUGCAAAGAUUUGGGUUGGAAGUGGUAGCACCGGGAGUGCCGGCUACACUUGCCGCAUUAGUUGUGCAACCGACCCUAUUUGAGAGAAUCAAAGAGUUACAGGCUUCGGAUCCUUAUCUUCAAAAGGUACGAGGCGAAGUUGAAGAAGGUAGUGCCGAGGACUUUGGCAUUGGAGCUAACGGCGCACUUCGAUUUCGAAAUCGAUGGUGCGUGCCCAAGGAUGAUGAGUUACGAAGGGCGAUUAUGCAAGAAGCGCACCAAUCCCCUUAUAGCAUACACCCCGGCAGCACUAAAAUGUACAAAGAUUUGAGAGAACAUUAUUCAAUAAUAGCUACCAAGAAAGUAUAGCGAUGGCGCCUUUUGAGGCACUAUAUGGACGUAAGUGUCGUUCUCCUAUCCAUUGGAGUGACGUGGGCGAGAGAACGGCUCUUGGCCCGGAUGUAGUGCGGGAGGCGGAAGAGAAGGUUCGCCUUGCCCGUCAACGGUUAGCGACGGCGCAAUCUCGGCAAAAGAGUUAUGCCGACAAGCGGAGAAAAGAUUUAGAGUUCGCUGUUGGAGACCGUGUAUUUUUAAGAGUAUCACCGAUGCGAGGAGUAAAUCGGUUUGGGGUCUAUGGGAAGUUAAGCCCCCGAUACGUCGGACCGUUUGAGAUAUUAGAGCGUGUGGGUGCGGUGGCAUACAAGCUCGCACUACCACCGAGACUCGCGGGAGUUCACAAUGUGUUUCAUGUGUCAAAUCUUAGAAAGUAUAUCCGAAACGCGACACAUGUAUUGGAGUAUGAGCCCGUAGAGUUACGUGAGGAUAUGUCUUAUGAGGAGUACCCGGUGUGCAUCCUCGAUCGAGAAGUGAGGAAGUUGCGAAGUCGUAAGAUUCCAUAUGUGAAAGUUCAAUGGAGCAACCAUGCAGUGCGAGAAGCCACCUGGGAGCUCGAGGAGUCAAUGCGGAGAGAGUAUCCACACUUAUUUGAGUCGACGAACUAAGGUAUACGUAAUUUCGCGGACGAAAUUAUUUUAAGGGGUGGAGAAUGUAAUAUACCGAGAAUUCGGAAAAUAAAUAUCGAACUUUAGUCAAAUUGACCAAAGUGCGAGGAUGGUACACUUCGGCGGAUUCGAAAAUUAUAGAGGAUAUUCUUCAAGAAGCGCACCGAGCACCCUAUGCUAUACAUCCGGGAGGCACCAAGAUGUACAAGGAUUUAAAGUUACUCUAUUGGUGGCCCGGAAUGAAAAAGGAUGUUGGCGAGUUUGUAGCUCGUUGUCUAACCUGCCAACAAGUAAAGGCUGAGCACCAAUUACCCGCGAAAAAACUUCAGAGUUUGCCUAUUCCCGCGUGGAAGUGGGAGAAGAUCACCAUGGACUUCGUGACUGGAUUGCCCCGCUCUCAGGCCGGGCAUGAUGCUAUAUGGGUGAUCGUGGAUAGGUUGACGAAGUCGGCGCACUUCAUACCUAUUCAUACUACUUUGACUGGAGAGAAGCUCGCACAGGUAUACCUGGAUGAGAUUGUGCGACUUACACGGAGUGCCUACCUCGAUUGUAUCAGAUCGAGACACUCGGUUUGUGUCUUACUUUUGGAGGAGCCUACAAGACGCCUUGGGCACCCGAUUGGACUUCAGCACUGCUUUCCACCCUCAGAGUGACGGGCAGUUGGAGCGCACCAUCCAGACUUUAGAGGGUAUGCUCCGAGCAUGUGUGGUAGACUUCUAAGGAGGAUGGUCGCAGCAUCUACCGAUGGUGGAGUUUGCUUAUAACAACAGUUAUCAAGCAAGCAUCAAGAUGGCGCCGUUCGAAGCACUUUAUGGACGGAAGUGUAGAUCGCCACUUCAUUCGAGCAAAGUAAGCGAGAGAUUGGCUUUAGGCCCUGAUAUGCUUCAGGAAGCUGAGGACAAGGUUCGAAUUGCUCGGGAGCGACUUUUGACGGCACAGAGUAGACAGAGGAGCUACGCCUAUCGACGACGGCGAGACUUGGAGCUCCAAGUUGGAGACCAUGUUUUCUUGAAGGUCUCGCCGACUAGAGGGAUCAAGAGAUUCGGGAUUCGGGAAAAGUUGAGCCCCCGAUUUAUUGGACCGUAUGAGAUUUUGGAGCGUGUAGGUUCGGUAGCGUAUCGACUUGCUCUACCACCAAACCUAUCGGGCGUACACAAUGUCUUUCAUGUAUCGGUCCUUCGGAAGUAUAUCUUCGACCCGACUCAUGUGUUGGAUGUUACACCUGUGGAGUUGCGAGACGACUUGAGCUUCGAGGAGCAACCCGUGAAGAUUUUGGCUCGCGAGGUGCGGAAGCUGCGGAAUCUGGAUAUUCCGUAUGUGAAGGUUCUUUGGAGCAACCACGGGAAGCGGGAGGCCACGUGGGAGCUGGAGAGUGCUUUGCAGGAGCGCUACCCCCAUCUCUUUCAGAUGGAGUCUUGAGGUAUGUUGUUGCUUUGAGUUUCGCGAACGAAACUCCUUUUUAGGAUGGGUGAAUGUAACACACUGGACCUGUGCAAAUUGCGAGGUUCGAGUGCUUGACUUGGAUUCCGAGCUUUUUCACACUUGGUGGAGGGUCGUAAAUGGUAUUCCGACCUAAAAGUUCGAAACUCUGGAUUUUGGCUAAGUCCUGAGUGUUUUUACUCUCAGGGACCGGUCCCUGGUGGGAGAGACCGGUCCCCCCGGAAUAGUGUUGCGGCAGACUUGAGGCAACCGGUCCCUGGCAGUGAGAGACCGGUUCCCGAGAGCGUGUUCUGCGGGAGGGUCCUGAAGGACCGGUCCCUCUGGGCGAAAAUUGCCCAGUUUAAGCUGAUGCACAGGAUGGAUUGUUGAGGGACCAAACUAGAUUUUGUUUCUUUAGAGGGCUUUUAGAGCCAUUUCCCCUCUCUCUUUCCCUCACUUCUCACUCUCUCACACCUCUAGAAAGAGAAGAAGAAGAAGAGGAAGAAGAAGAAUGAGAGGAAGAGCUUGCUUGAGGGAGCUUGGAGCAUCAACCCUUUCUCUCUUUUUUCACCAUUGGAGGCUUAGAGCUUGGACUUGGAGCUUUGUGGAGGAUCAAACUCCAAUCCAUUAGGGUUUUGAGCUUGGUUUGGAGCAUCCUAGAUGUAAGGGAAGUGAAUUCUCGAAAUCCGAGGAUUAGACUUCGUCUGGAAUCGACCAAUUGUUGAGGGUAUGAGCUUCGGAAAGUUCGGAGGUAAUUAAAGGCAUUAAGUGCAUUAAGGAAGAGUCCGCGAAAGCAACAGUGCAAAUCUGCACUGGAGCAGAAUUUGCUCUCGGGGACCGGUCCCUGGCAGGGAGGGACCGGUCCCAUCAGGCUGGGCUGGCGGGGACCCAUGAGGCAACCGGUCUCUGGCAGGUAAGAACCGGUCCCCGAACGUUAACCCAGCGAGACAAGCCGAAAUUUGGCUAAGUCCCAAAAAUCCAGCUCUCGGGAACCGGUCUCUCGAACAAGGACCGGUCUCCCGAGGACCAGUCUCUCGAGUAGGGACCGGUUCCCGAACGCGAAAUUCCCUCUGCCCGAAUGGGAGACCUUCGGGGACCGGUCUCCCCGAGCUGGGACCGGUCCCUCACUGCGAAAAUGCCCAGUGAGAGGCUGUUUAAUAGAUGGAAAGUUGAGGGGCUUAUUUGCAAAACUGCCUAUAUGAAGGCUUGGGGACCCCUCUCUCCCUCCCAUUGCUCUCUUCCUCUCACACUCUUUAGCUCUCUCUCUCUCUAGAAAGAAAAAGAAGGAGAAGAAGAAGGAAAGGAAGAGAAAGGAGAAGAAAGAAAGGAAGAGAAAGGAGAAGAAGUAGAAGAAGAAAAAGACAUAGGUGAAGAUUGUCUUCCUCAUCUUCUUCCUCUCUUUGGGCUGAGCUUUGAAGGUAAGCUUCUAGCCCUAUGAUGGUGGAUUUCUUGCAAUAGGGUUUUAUAGCUUAGAAAUGGUUCGAAUGGAACCUAUUGAAGCUAAGGAGAAGGUUCGAGCUCGAAAUUGAAGCUCGCACCGCGGAUUUCUCCAUUAUUGAGACCUAGGACUCCGAUUUGGGAUUUUAGCAAAUCUGGGAUUUUGAUCUAUUUUGAUGGGUCGCAAACCUAAUUGCUAGGUCCCUGAACGCGUCGGCGAAGACGGUUCGUCGAUACGUCGAGAGAGUGCGGAGUUAUCGCCAAGACGAGUACUUGAGGGUUCGUUUUGCCCCGAGGAGUUGAAGCGACGUGCGAGGGCCGCGACGUCGAGUUUUCUAGCUUCACGGCGCUACCAAAAGGUUGGGGAGUGCCAUCCCGAAGCAGUCGAGCUGCUUUCUAUGUUUGAGUAUUAUUGUCGAUCAAUUACAUAUUGCAAUAUAGCAUUAUAGGGUGUUAAAUGUGAUUGUACAUAUUCUUGCAUGCUAGCGAUAGUUCGGGUUGUGGAUACAUCGAAUGAGAACUUAGUAUGCAUGAGUUGAACACUAUGAGAUAGUUAACCCUAUAUGUGAUGAAUAUGUCUAUGAGAAUGAGAACCUAGUAUAUUGUAAACUAGUGUAAUGAGAAUGAGUGGCAUCUAGUUAACCUUAACCAUUGAACGAGCAGCAUCUAGUGUCAUUAAAGAGGACCAGAGUGGCAUGAGAACACUAGUAUAGUUGAGAUACUAUGUGAUUGACUACUAGAACACUUGAUUCUAUAUUGCUAUCACCCCUGGUUGGUUAGGGUGUUCCCAGUUCAUGAGAUUGGAUCGAGCUCACUUAGCCUGUCUGCAUCUGUGGAGGUAGCUCCUCACAGGUAGUGCACUCCGGAGUUUGGCACGCGAGGGGGCCAGUGUAGUGCCCUUGGACCAGUGUAGUGUCUGCAGGCGGUCUCAGGGUAGGUGAAUAGCUAGCCUCCUCCCCUAUGAGACUUACACACGUGAGACUAUGAGCGAGCCUUGCGUUCGCUGAGAGAUUGGGUGAUCGGAUGAAUGACUUCGUUGUUGAACAUAGUAGUAUGAUAGCUGGUCUUCUUACUAUGAGCUUCAUGCAUGCAUCACAUUGGAUUGAGGCAUUGAUAGAUUCUAGUUCAUAGCCGCUUAUUACUGCUAAUGCUUUCAAUUCUAUAUACCUAUCUAUCUGCAUAUCUAUCUGUGCCUGCUUAGACCUAGUGGGGAGAUCGGCGGAGUCGGCGGCCGAACCCACUGGGAACUAUUCGUAGUUCUCACUCCACCAUGUUGCAGGUCCGAGUUCGAGCGCCCCCGGUGAGGAUCGCGGCAAGGGCGUAGCGCCCUAGUGAUGUUAGUAGAGGUUUACUUUCCUUUAUGCAUUAGUUACACCCUGUACCUAUUCUGAGAGUAGAUUGAUGUAUAGGGUGAGGUUUUGAGAGGAUUGUAUGUGUUGUACAGGUUUGGAAGAAUGCAAGUUGUAAUAAAUGUAUUAAGUUGAAUGGAUGUAAUAGAAUAGUUAAGUAUCUCUCUUUCACUCACUUAUAUGGUUGUAUUACUUGUGAUGCUUACUCUCGUAUUGUAUAGCAUUGAUUGUGCCCUCGAUGUAUUUGUUUGAUUGUGUAUGCAUUCAAGUUGUUUCCUGGGAACUUGUUGUACACAAUCUAGUUGUUUGAGCCUUGGGCGAACAGGGAAGGUGCUGUCCGUUCGGCGGUCCGUUUGCCGCGCCCGAACCGGACCAAAAUGGUAUCGGCCUCGGGGCGGGGGCGUGACACUAGAGGUAUGUGGCUAGUUUCUCUCCUCUAGAUCCUAGUUUUGGAGCUUUUUACUAGAUGAAACCCUAGAUUUGGAUUUUAGGGUUUAUUUUGGGGAUUUUCGAUUUGAGGGCUUUGAGACCUAAUUGAUGGGUUAGGACCUUGGUUUAGGUUGGAUUUGAAGGACUCUAACUCCCAUUUGGAGAUCGAGAGAGCUUCCUUCACACUUGGUGAGUUUUUCUCCACAUUAGCUUGAGAUGGUUAAUGAUUAAGCUUUGUAUUAUUCGUAAGGUCCGUUUGACUCUUGUUCCUACAUCUUUAGGGUGCUAGGAGACUAGUGGGCAUCUUCGUCGGAGCUUACGAAGAGUUGCAAGAGUUGUGGUGGGUUUGACUUCAUGAAANAGCAAUAAUAAUAAAUAAUUUGCAAUUAAGAAAGCAUAAUUAAAAUGCUAAGAUACCACACUGUGUCAAUUAAGAUGCACCUUUAUUUUAAUAAUGAACAAGUAUGUUCCUACAUGACCACAAGUGACAAUCAUAAUUUGAUUUAUGAAAUUAUGCAAACCAAGCUCUACUAUGGUACACAAUGUUUACAUGAAUGCAAUAGCAUGCUACAUGUACAUAUGUAUACUCAAGUGCCCAACACUAUGCUAGGAGCAAGUCCAAGUACUCCAACUACUACUCUCUAUCUAGUAGUGACAAAAAUCCACUCAACACUGUGUCGAUUUCCAUUUCUAAUUAAGAACCUACCCAAGGUAGUCCAGCUUGUGCCGCCUAAGUGCCUGUGGUAGCCCAACAUUCCUGCUCUUGGAAUGUGUCUGUCCCACUCGACCCCGUAGGCUUCUCAAUACCACACGAGCGAACAUAAGUCGCGUAGGCUAACUCCGGAGUGCCGGCUUGUAGGGAGCGACCCUCACAAGCAUGUGCGAAUGAGCACAAAUGGCAAGCAAGCGUAGUCAAAGGCUCAAGUAUCCAACCCUCAUGUCUCAAAUAUGGCAAUAGCCACUAGUAACCCAACGGUCUAGCUCUAUGUCACAAUGUGAUAACCCAACACCCACUGGCUUAGUGCCUCUUAAUGACACUUAAGCGUCACAACUAAUCAAGCACAAUUCAUAUUCUAUGUUCCAAUUAAGACAUAAAUACCAAUGUUCACUAUAGCCCGGGCCCAAUGCCUUUUUAUGACAUUAGCCUAAUUUCUAAAAUAGUUUAAGUCCCCAAGCCUCUCUAGGCUUCUAAAGGCUCUAAAGUCAUAAUGGGGCAUGAAGAUCAAAUGCAUGAAAGCAAUGCUCAUUCUCGUAAUGGGAAUCAUGGUUCCAAGUCUCAACUAGAAUGCUAUAUCUCACAUGCAUGCACUCUACCACGUAGAGGUCCAAAAAUUUACUAUACAAUACAUAGGAUGUUAAGCAUUCUAAAAUUCAUAAUAAAUAUAUCUAACAUGAUUACCUAUGUUUUAUAAUUUAACAAUACUUAAAUCAUCAUAAAUGAGAUUUUCUCAUUGUGUGGCUAGGUCAAACCCACCGAACCGUCGCGUAGUCCUUCGUUUCGCCGAACGGAGUUGUCUACGAGUCUCAAAAUACCCUAAAAGUAAUGAGCGAAGAGAUACACGGGCAUUACGAUCAACUAUGAGAUCAAACAUUAACCAACAAGGCAAAAGGGCUAAAAUCUCACCUAAGGUGGAGAAAACUCUCACAAGCUCCAAAAGAAGGCUAGAAUCCUUCCAAUCCAACCCAAAGGAAGAUUCUAAUCCAAGCAAUUUAGCCCCAAAAGCCCUAGAUCAAACAUGCCCAAAAUCAACCCUAAAAUUCCAUUCUAGGGUUUCAUCUACUAAAAACCUCCAAAUCAAGAAAUCUUGGAGAAAGAACAAGUUGCUUACCUUCAAGAAACUUCAAUCUAGGUUCAAAACCCUCUAGGUUCCAAGAUCUUUCCUCAACAAUGCCCCAAAUCCAAACUCCAAGCCACCAAAAGGAAGAAGGGAGGAUGUGGGUGAAGUUCCAAACCUCCACCAAGCUCUCUCCUUCUUCUUCUUCCUCUUCUUCUUCUUCUUCUCUCUCUAGGGGCAAAGAAAAUGGUGGAAUGAGGGAGAAGAGAAGAGGAAGUAGCCAUAUAUGCCCUCUAGUGUAACAAAAUCCAAAGAGACCCCUCAAAAAUCCAAUAUUGCAUCAGCCCGGUCUGGGCAAUUUUCGCCCAGAGGGACCGGUCUCUCCCUACAUGGGACCGGUCUCUCAUGGCGAACCCGAAAAACUAUCGUUCGGGAACCGGUCUCUCCCCGCGCGGGACCGAUUGCCUCGCCGGCUGCGCAACACUGCUCACUGGGGGACCAGUCUCUCCUAUCAGGGACCGGUCCCCGAGAGUAAAAACUCUCAAGACUCGUCCAGAAUUCAGGUUUUCGAACUUUUUAGGUCGGAAAACAUUCCACGACCCUCCACCAAGUGUGGAAAAGCCCGAAACACAUCCAAUCACUCGAACCUCGCAAUUUGUAAAGGUCCAGUGUAUCACAUUCACCCCUCCUAAAAAGGAGUUUCGUCCGUGAAACUCAAAGAGUAAGUACCUCAAGCCUCCAUCUGAAAAAUAUGGGGAUAACGCUCCCGCAGCGCGCUCUCCAACUCCCAAGUGGCCUCGCGCUCGUCGUGGUUGCUCCAAAGCACCUUCACGUAGGGAAUCUCACAGUUCCGCAACCUCUUUACCUCGCGAGCCAAAAUCAUCAAAGGUUGCUCUUCAAAGCUCAGAUCAUCCCUCAGCUCCACUGGUGUAGCGUCGAACACGUGAGCCAGAUCAUGGAUGUACCUCCGAAGGAUCGAUACAUGAAACACAUUGUGCACACCCGAUAGGUUGGCGGUAGAGCAAGUCGAUACGCUAUCGAGCCUACACGCUCCAAAAUCUCAUACGGUCCAAUGUAUCGGGGGCUCAGCUUACCCCGAAUUCCAAAUCUUCUAAUCCUCCUGGUCGGCGAGACUUUCAAGAAGACGUGAUCACCGAUCUGAAACUCCAAGUCUCGUCGACGCCUGUCAGCAUAACUCUUUUGCCCACUCUGGGCUGCCAACAGUCGCUCCCGAGCAAUGCGAACCUUGUCCUCAGCUUCCUGGACCACAUCUGGGCCUAAAGGCAAUCUCUCGCCAACCUCACUCCAGUGAAUUGGCGAUCUACACUUCCGUCCAUAGAGCGCCUCGAACGGUGUCAUCUUGAUGCUUGCUUGAUAACUGUUGUUAUAAGCAAACUCUGUCAUCGGUAGAUGCUGCGACCAUCCUCCCUGGAAGUCAAUCACAAAGGCUCGAAGCAUGUCCUCAAGUGUCUGUAUAGUGCGCUCUGACUGCCCAUCACUCUGAGGGUGGAAAGCUGCACUGAAGUCCAAGCACGUGCCCAAGGCAUCCUGUAAACUCCUCCAAAAGUGAGAUACAAAACGGGGUUCUCGAUCUGAUACUAUGGAAGUAGGUACCCCGUGCAGUCGCACAAUCUCAUCUAAAUAUACUUGUGCGAGUCUCUCACCAGUCCAAGUAGUGUGGAUAGGUAUGAAAUGUGCCGAUUUCGUCAAUCUAUACACGAUCACCCAUAUAGCAUCAUGCCCGGCCUGCGAGCGGGGUAAUCUCAUCACAAAGUCCAUGGUGAUCUUCUCCCAUUUUCCUGCGGGGACUCAAUGCUCAGCUUUAACCUGUUGGCAAGUUAGACAUCUAGCAACAAACUCACCAACGUCUAUCUUCAUCCCGGGCCACCAAUAAAGCAACUUUAAGUCCUUAUACAUCUUGAUGCCUCCCGGAUGUAUAGCAUACGGUGCUCGGUGUGCCUCUUGAAGAAUUUCUUCUUUAAGUGCCGAUUCCGCCGGUACACAGAUCCGUCCACGGAAGCGCAUCAGUCCAACACCGUCCUCAGAAAAGUCACCGGUGCAACCAUCAAGCAUCUUAGCUCGAUCUUUUGCAACUCCGCAUCGGAGACUUGCUUUUCUUUAAUCCUUUCCACCAGUGUAGGUUGCACCACCAAAGUCAACAGUCUCAAAGGUGUAUCAGGAGCCACCACCUCCAACUCCAACUUGCUUCAUCUGCUCGAUCAACGGCGGUUGAGUAACCACAAGUAUCGCUAAGUUUUCCGUCGAUUUUCUGCUUAGCGCAUCCGCCACCACGUUAGCCUUGCCCGGGUGGUAAAGUAUCGUCAAAUCAUAAUCCUUGAGUAGCUCCAACCAUCUGCGCUGCCUCAGGUUCAACUCCUUCUGAGUGAAUAAAUACUUUAAACUCUUGUGAUCCGUAUAUACUUCGCAUCGCUCGCCGUAUAAGUAAUGGUGCCAUAGCUUCAAUGCAAAGACCACGGCCGCCAAUUCCAAAUCAUGAGUAGGGUAGUUUCUUUCAUAAACCUUUAACUGGCGAGAUGCAUAUGCUAUCACUUUCCCAUCCUGCAUCAAAACACAGCCCAAUCCAUUAAAGGAAGCAUCACUAUAAAUCACAUACCCUGCUCCGGCAGUUGGCCAGGUAGCAUGCGGGAGCGUGUCAAAUCCUCCUGCUUCAACUCUGGAAGCUCCUUUCCGCACGUAUAUUCCAAACAACUUGGUGCGCUUUAUGCGUGAGCCUCGUGAGGGGAGUAGACAACUUCUGCAACCCCUCGACAAACUCGUCGGUAGUAGUCGCCAAAUACCAAUGAAGCUCCGUAUCUCGUCACAGGUCUCGUAGGCCUGGGCCCAAUCCUAGAUAGCUUUCAUUUUCUAGAUCCACGAACAUAUCCUAUCCGAAAUCAUCAGUGCCCCAAAACGCCACCCUCUAAGCCAAAACGCACACUUCUUUCAAUUUGGCGUAAGACUUCUUCUUUUCCCGAAGCACAUUGAAAGUACGCAAGUCUCAGUGUGCCUCGAUCCGCAAUCACUUCGGAAUAGACCAAAAUGUCGUCGAUGAAUACUACGCACGAACUGUCUAAUAGGCCUUGAAAACACGGUUUCAUAGAUCCAUAAAAUCUGCUGGGGUAUUAAGUAAGCCCGAACGGCUAUCACAGUAUAAACUCAUAAUGUUCCAUCAGCAUGUUCUAAAAGCCCGUCUUUGACACAACCUCCGCUUGGAUCUUCAAUUUGGUGUACCGACUGCAAAGUCGAUGCUUAGGAAUACCACUCCCGAUCCGCUGGAGCUUGAUCAAAUAAAUCAUCAAUCCUAUCAGUAAUGGAUACUGCUUUCUUUAAUCAUAGACUUUGUUCCCAAGUUCACGAUAGCCACGCAUAAGGCGAAGUGAUCCAUAUUUUUCUUGACAAAGCAGACCGGGCUCCCAACGGUGCACAACUCGGCUCCAACAAAACCCUUAUCAAAAGAUCCUACAACUGUGCCUUCAGCUCUCUGAAUUCUUGCUGGUGCUAUCCUACUAGGGCGCCUUUGAGACUUGGAGCACGUCCCGGGAACGAGAUCUUACGCCACAAACUCAUCCUCCCCUAAUCAGGUGCUAUGCCUGGAAGCUCAGCUAGGAACACAUCUCCAACCUCGCCGCACUAUGGGGAUAUCCCAAUCGGGGCAUCAUACAUCACCGCCAACACCACACAGAGCCAAGUCGCCACAUAGCUCUACUAAUCAACUGUCUAGCUCGAGAGGAAUUAAUACGUCAUCGCAAACGCGAACUCUGGCAUCCUCGGUAACACAACGCUCCGCGCUGCCGCCGCUCUCUAAACGUCACGCGUUCGAUCUUCCCUCAAUUGCUGGCGUAAGUACUUAGUCACCCAAAUCCAACCCAAGAUAAUAUCAAAACUUCCCCGAGUUUACUGCAAAGCUAAAAGGUCUACGGGCAUAAUCCAAUCCCAACGCCGAACAGGGCAACAUGGGGCAUGAACUCUCGAAUAUUUAAGGAUCUAUCAGGUACAACAACUCUUCGCAGGAUGCAACAAAGAGCUCAGUGCGGAUGUCCAAUGCAACUCGGUACAAAUAGACCGGUCCUAGAAUGAAUGCGAUGCAUCCGGUAUCCAAUUAAUGCUGCGUACUCGAAACAUAGAAGUUAAAUGAUACCCGCGAUCAACAUCUUGCUGCUCGUGGUGUGUCUUCAUCAGGCGCGUACAUCCCUCGUCGGCUUCGUCGUGACCCCUCCCUCUGCCGUGCGACAGGUGCCGGCCCGCCUGGUGAGCGUACACGGAAUGUGUCCCCUGCUUGAACCUCGAAGCUCGUGCCGAUGCCGGAUGAUGGCGCUGGCGGCGAACCCUCGGGCAAGUCCGACUGAAGUGCCCUCCUGGCCACAUACAAAAUGCACUGCCCGACUCGCGUGAGCACUGCCAUGGAAAAUGGGACCAGACCCGCAGAUCACGUACGCGCGGAGGCAUUGCGCGAUCAGGGUUCCUCCUCGGGGUAACUGCCAGCAGUCCCGCAACUUGCUCCGCUCUUUGGAUGCCUGCGGCGGGCUCUCCGUGCAGUGCAUCCUGACUCGCACAUCAGCCGCUGUUGCUCUUGCCCUUGCGCCUCUUGUCACUAGGGCCUCGCGUCGCUCCCUGAAGCUGCCGCUCCAGCCUCCAACAAUGAAGUGCGCGGUGCCACAACCUUCCGGUAGGCUUUGGAGGUUGAGGAUUGGCCAAACCGAGAAGACUCGACAGGCCCACAAUCACCGCGGUCAGAGAUAAAUUUCGGCCUUGUCCCUGUCUCCCGCACCGACAAAUGUAACAUGAGAGUAGCCCGAAAAAACCCCUCUCGUACUCGCCACCAGACCGCUGCCUCCUGGGCCAAGCCCGCAAGUCUGCUCCUCUUCUCCUGCUGCGCUGUAGGGGACAGUAUGCGCGCCAGAAUCAGGCUCCUGAACCUCUCGCCCGAAGAGAUGCGCGCCCGCAAAUCUGUGUUAGGGUUCUCGGAUGCCGCAACGCACCACGGUAGGCCGUCGCCGUCCAAGAGUUGGUGGGCGAGCCCACACUCUGUCGCCCUCUCCUGCUAGCUAAAGGUACGCUACGACAAUACUUUUCCAUAUCAUCCGACGCCCUUCUCCAUUAUCACCAGUUGUCACACGUCCUCCCGUCAAGGUCCGUGUGACUGCAUCUCCUGAACUCACUUGAGACGUCUUUUCCAUAACCGUCCCUCGCUCCCUCAAACCAUCUGGCGGAAACCGCCCCCGUACAUGAUCUCGCUGCGCCGGUGUGCCCAUCGAAGCUCGCCUCCCCAGGCGCAAUACCGGUGAUGCUCCGCGAUACCGUGCCUAACACGCCCGCCGUCGGUGUCCGCUAUCAUCUGCCGAUGUCUGGUGGGGGUGUGCAUCACUAGCUGUGGUCCUUCCUGGCAUUCGCCUGCGCCUAAGCAAUAUCCUCCAGUGUCCCUCCAUCUGGCCCUCCUGCCGGCGCGCCGCGAUCCGCCUGCUGUCGUGCUGCCCGCCGCCUUGCCACGCGAGCUAGUCAUGAGGCCGCCAAGCUGGCUCCUCCAACUCACAGACCGCCGCCGGAGAUCCGGAGAUAGCAGAGGGUCUUCCACCUCACCUCAAGUUCCGCAGCGCAUUGUUCCGCCGUCGAUAGACUUAGAACGAGCCGUCGGCAUUAUCACACAAACAUCAUAAAAGCACAAUUAGUAAAACCUACGCUAGAUCGGAUCGCCACCCCGGCUCAACUUAAGUACCCUAAUAUCAUGCGAAAUAAGGAAGUGUCCUUUCACUACUCAACUUCCGAUGUUAACUUGUCGCCGCCAACGUAACGCCUGCCUCGAAUUUAGAAAGGCCAUUAACUCCGAUUCAAACUCUCACUUUUUAGAGUUACCAUCAAACCCAAAUUCGAAAUACUUUCGCUAACGAAUUAAAUUAACCUCGUCUCUCACCGAGCCUACUUCCAUAUAGUCGCAACCAGGCCUAAGCUUUGCUAGUCCUCUAAGACUCAAACCCUAGCUCUAUACCAAACUAAUCUGUCCACGCCCCGAGACUGCAUAGGCCCUCCUCCCGUAGCGUGUCAGACACGCCAUAACUGUCAGCAUCAUAAUACAGGCGUCUACAACCAGACAAGCGGAAAAUAAAACAAAAGGUAACCUACAUCAAGAGAUAUCAGACACUAGAUAGAUCUAUAGCUAUUAACAAGGUAAAAAAGGUAUACAGAAACAAAAGAGUCGAACAAUAGCAGUAACAAUACAUCUAGCGCAAAUAGUACACAACCUCUCCAAAAUAAAACAUCGAGAGUAGACCACCUAUCUCACUCGUCCCUCACAGGAGAGCUAGCUCCGAAGCAAUGCUCUUCCUUACGGUCCAUCGCCUCUCCCGCGUGGAAGGCUCUGAAAAAAAUAGAUAAACAAGGGGCGUGAGAAACUAUAAUUUUAUCAGUUCCCCCAGUGGCAUUACUAACGCUCAUCUCAAUGCACCAUCUAGGCGCCGCAGAAAGGGUAAGUCAAAAAGAGAGCAAUAAUAAUAAAUAAUUUGUCAAUAAAAAGCAUAAUUUUUCGGUCAAAAUGUCUAAGAUACACACUGUGUCAAUAAGCAUGUCACAUUUAUUUUAAUAAUGAACAAUAGUGUUCCUACAUGACACAAGUGACAAUCAUGAUUUGAUUUUAUGAAAUUAUGCAACCAAGCUCUACUUCGGUACACAUGUUUAUACAUGAAUGGCAAUCAGCAACACUCCUAGCAUGUCUACAUUACAAUAUUAUACUCUCAAGUCCCCACACUAUACAGGAGCUAAAUCCAAUGUCUCCAACUACUACCUCUAUCCUAUUAGUGACAAAUCCAACAUCAAACAGCUGUGUCGAUUUUCAUUUUCCAAUUAAUAUCCACCGCAAGUAGUCCAGCUGUGGCCCGCCUAAGUGCCUGUGAGGCCAACAAUUCCUGUCUUGGAAUGUUCUGUCCUACUCACGUAGCUUCUCAAAUACCGGCAAUGACCGAACAUAAUUCGCGUAGCGCUAACUCCGGAAGUGCCGGCUUUGAGGGCAGCGACCGCCUACAAGCAUAGUGCCGAUGAGCACAAAUGGCAAGCAAUCGCGAGUCAGAGGCUCAAGUAUCCAACCCUGCAUGUCUCAAUAGGCAAUAGCCACUAGUAAGCCAAAAUGGUCCAAAGCUCUAUUCACAAUGUAAUAACCGCAACACCACUGGCUUAGUGCCUCUUUAUUACCACUUAAGGCAUCACAUCUAACAAUGGGCCCGAAUCAAUAUCUUAUUCCACAAUUUAAGACAUAAAUACCAAUAUUGCACAGUAUAGCCAGGCCCAAUGCCUCAUUUAUGAACAUUCCGGCUCAAUUUCCUCAAUAGUUCUAAGUCCCCCAUAGCCUCUCUAGGCUUCUAAAGUCUCUAAUGUCAUCAAUGCGGGCAUGAAUAUCAAAUGCAGUGAAAACAAUGCUCAUAACUCCCACGUUUAAAAGGGGGAAUCAUGGUUCCACAAGCUCAACCUAGAUAUGCAAUAUCUCAACGCAUGCACUCGUACCACAUAGAGUCCGCAAAAAUUUUACUAUACAAUACAUAGGCAUGUUAAGCAUUCUAAAAUUCAUAAUAAAAUAAUCUAACAUUGAUACAUCGUUUAUAAUUUAACAAUACUCAAUAAUCACAAAUGAAUUUCUCAUAAUGCUAGGUCAAAACACCACCGAACUGUCGCGUAGUCCUUCAUUUUGGGAGCCGAAUCCGGAGUUGUUCCACGAGUCUCAAAAUACCUACAAAGUAAUGAGCGAAAGAGAUACACGUGGCAUUACGAUCACAUACUGAUGAUCAAACAUAAACCGAACAAGGCAAAAGGGCUAAAAUCUCACCUAGGUUAGAAAACGUCUCACUAAGCUCCAAAAGAAGGCUGAAUCCUCGUCACAAACCCAAAGCAAAUCAAUCCAAGCAAUUUAGCCCCAAAAGCCUCUAAAUCAAAAUGCCCACAAAAUCAAACCCUAAAAUCGCCAUUCUAUGGUUUCAUCUACUAAACCUCCAAAUCAAGAAAUCUUGGAGAAAAGAACAACAUUGCCUUACCUUCAGAGCUUUCAAUCUAGGUUCAACCCCUCUUAGUUCCAAGAUCUUUUCCUCAACAAUGCCCAAAUCCAAGCUCCAAGGCCACCAAAAGGAAGAAGGGAGGGUUGUGAAAGUUUCCGAAGCCUCCAACAAGCUAUCUCCUCUUCUUCUUCCUCUCCUUCUUCUUCUUGUCUCCUAGAUCAAAGGAAUAGUGGAAUGAGGCGAGAAGAGAAUAGGAAAGUAUGCCAUCAUAUCCCUCUAAGUGUAACAAAUAUAUCAAAGUGGCUCGCUCUUUGUUCACGCCCCGACGACCGCCUAUUUGGUCCCGUUCGGGCACGCCCGACAGACCGCCGAACGGACAGGGUUGUCUUCCCCUGUACCGCGACUAGCGUCUCCCCUGUAACAUUCAAGCGUGCAAGUCAAUACAGUACUAAAUUCGCAGACCAUGAACACAUUUUCAAUCAAGAUUUGUAUAAGAAGUAUCAAAAUAAGCGCUACUGGCUAUUACAAGCAUUCACAUUAAUUUAGAUACAUUUUUAGAUCACAAGUACAAUAAUACAUCUUAACUUCCAAAUACAAUAUGCUUAAUUACAACCCGAUUAUUGGGCACAUCUAAUCCCUUUCAUUUUCUAGCAUUCCUAAGUAAAGCGAACUCAGGAUACCGCUAUCUCUGGUCUUCGUGUAGGCGCACACUACGGACCUACGCCCUCGCUCGCGCCGCCGCGCCGCUCACGUUGAAACACUGAUAACACCCCAAACAACGUGGGUGAUGAACAACUGCCCUGCGUUUCUCCAGUGUGGGUACGGCCCAUCCAAGGGAAAAGCUCGAGCCAAUAGGUCCAAGGAUGGCAACUGCAAUUAGUUUCAAUAAACAAUUAGAUAUAUCUUAUUAUGCAACUAAUAAAACCAUGCCUUGCCCUCACAGAAAUGCGUAUAUCACAAACCUGUCCACUCAAUUCGCAAAAGAGUUUACUUGAUUCUACUACAUAUUAUUAUCCAUUCUUUACUGUAAGGCCUGUUCUUGUUAUUAAGUAUUCAUUCAUUAGCUAUUCUUUACAUAUUUUCCCUUGUUAAUUAUGCUCAUUUUGGCGGUUCUUUAUUACUUUGACAUUCUUGAUUUGAUAUACUUUAUGCAUUUGUCCGUUCUUUCCUAAAGUUACUCUUACCUUAAAGCCACUAUGGCCACUGCGAACUCGGUCAUUAGUAAUCAAUGCUGCUGAUAAGUCCCCGCACAUGUCAUCCCGAGGUGAAGGAACUCUCUGUCACAUCACUCAGCUAACACAGCCUGAUCCGACUCCUUGAUCCUAGCCGUCUGUCGCGGAACAGCAUCGCUACCUCACCCACAACAGCCGAGUUAUGACUUAGCCACCGCGGCACAAAUGCGUCGCCACACGGGCCCGCCCACAUCGAUGUUCAGUCAAGCAGGGCGGUAAUGAUCCACUAAGCCGGCUAACAUCCGGCGCGAAAUCGUCGCAGCCGCCACGACAAUGGUAUCUAUAGCCCCUGGGCGCGAAAUCGUCGCCACACAUCACCCCACCCCUCGGUCGGUGUUCGCAUUUAUCUUGAUUCCGGAAACCAUGGUUCACGUCACAUAAAGGGUUGGUCUUAUCCUACAGGAAUAUGACCUCAGGUCCAAGCCUUUACUGAACCUAAGUUAAUACUUUAGUUUCGCUCUCCAUACUCAAUCAGCUCAGUUUAUUUAACUCUAGUUCAUUACCUUGGCCGCAUCUAGGUUUCAUGUGAUUGCUACACGUUCCGUUAUCUUAUCUCACCACCUACUGUUCUCUAACAUUAGGUUAAAAUGCACUUGAUGUCGCAGCCUAUGUUCUUGACCUAGUUCAUACUUGCAUCCAUGUUCAACUAUGUCCAUGACUCUCGGUUUAAUGGCCACUCGACUAAUGUAUACUCGAUUUGUCCAUAAUGCACAGUAUAAUACUCGUUUGCCAUGUCGAUCUCUAAUCAACCUAGAGUUUAUGCGCACCCAAGUUUAACAUCGUACAUGUCUCAGCAUCGCAUAGUUUCAUCCACAACAUGCAUCAAUUCACUAUUCCACUCGCCAUCAUGUCAAUUUACUAGCAUCUUAAUUUAGCAUCCCUAAACAUGCUAUCAUACAUGAACUUAGCAUUACUCACCACUGCAAGAUUAUCACGUAAUCUUUAGUUAUACUCAAUGCAUUCAUAUCUAGCACUAAUUUUACACUAAAAGUCAUCAUGCAUUCCCUUUAUCAUGUUCUUCAUAAUGUUAACCAUUACAUAUCCCUUUUAAUCUUAUGCAUUCAAAGCAUUAAUACCUGCAAUUUUAUCGAUAUCUAGCAUUUCUUAAUAUGUUAACCAUGCAUUCUUUUUUACAUUCUUCACAUUAUGUCAAAUGCAUUCCUCUAGCAUUUCACAUUAUAAUGUCAUACAUGCAUCAAUAUGAAAUCUCCUUGUCUCUAGACAUCAGGCCGACCUGGUCGCUUGUAAGCACAACCACCUCAUUUCGCAUUUCCGAUUGGCUUGUGACACCUUGCAAUCGGCCGCACGUGGAACCCGCACUCGUUUGGCACCGAUCUCUGCGCGGCACCACCCGAAGGCCUCCAAUCCACGAUCCGAAAAUUAAGGUUCCUUCGUAUGCGCUCAACAAUGUUCAAAUCCGUUUCAUGGUUUACGAUUCACCCACAUCGCCCUCCCAGGCAUGAAACAAGGCCUAAAACGUCCGUUUCUUAAUUAACUCACAACGGCUCGAUCAAAUCGCCGACCGUCUCGCCACUGGCGCGCAGGGCUCUACGCGUUUCGUUUUACUCAUAGGUGAAUUAGGUAUGGAGGGUCAAAUGAUAUCAAACCCUUAUAUUUAACAAAACUACAUUUGAACUUCCUAGGGUUUUUCUACUAGGUAAAACUCCACCAUAGGGCCUUGAUUUCAAGCAUCCAAUCCCUCAAUUAGCAGCUAGAAUCAUCCUCUAAACCCAUUCUAAGAGUAUUUAAACCAACCAUUAAGGAUCUACCAUUAAAGGGUAGCAAAAGCUUACCUCUCAAUUAGCUCCAAACCAUGGAGAAGAUGAAGAAGAUGAAGGCGAUCCAUCUCCAAGCUUCAAUCUCCACCAAUUUCAUCAAUUUUGGGAGAGAAUUAGAGAGAGAAAAGAGAGGUUUCUCCUUUCCUUUCCAUGCGUGUGUUGUGUGUGUGCGUGCGGGUGUGUGUGUGCGGCUGGGAGGAAGAAGAAGAAGCAAAGCUUCUUUAUACAUUAACACCCAACACUAUUCACGCCAGGCAACUUAAAAUCUGAUAACUUUCGCCGGAGCUCCCUGAACGUCCGUUUGAGCUCAAACUUGACAAUCAUGUUCGGUUUUAUGUACUGACCAAGAAUAUAUUUUAAGUUUCCAGUUUCGACCUCAUUUGGUCACCGAAAACUGUACCGAACUGUAAUCUUUAUCAGAUAACUGUCGGAUUUUAUUUCUCACUCUACGGGUGUCAGAAAAAUAUGAAACUUUAAAUCUAGCAUCAUAAAAAUAUUUCUGACUUAUCCUCCAAUUUUCAUAAUUUUCUGAGACUGUGCAUUUUCUGCUAAUUUAUCUGUCCCGUUUCCAACAGAAAAUUUUAGAUCUUCUGUUUUCAUUCCGAUUUCAGCACAAGUCACUUCUGACUUUUGUUUUACUCCUACAAAUCCAAUAAAAAUAGUUUCUCACACUAUUUUUAUUUAUUUUUAUUUCUAUACCAAAAUCUGGUAUGUUACACCCCUCAAAAAUCCAAUAUUGCAUCAGCCCGGUUUGGACAAUUUUCACCCAGAGGGACCGGUCUCUCCCUACAUGGAACCGGUCUCUCACGGCGAACCCGAAAAACCAUCGUUCGGGAACCGGUCUCUCCCCACGCGGGACCGGUUGCCUCGUCGACUGCGCAACACUGCUCACUGGGGGAUCGGUCUCUCCUAUCAGGGACCGGUCCCCGAGAGUAAAAACUCUCAGGACUCGUCCAGAACUCAGGUUUUCGAACUUUUUAGGUCGGAAAACAUUCCACGACCCUCCACCAAGUGUGGAAAAGCCCGAAAUACAUCCAAUCACUUGAACCUCGCAAUUUGCGAAGGUCCAGUAUGUCACACCCGAGGCGUGACAUAGAUCAUAUACUAAGUAGUAGCUCAUUUAUCGUUCAUUGAGGCAUAGUAGCAUGUGUAGAGACAUUACUAUGUAGUAGCUCAUUUCUUUAUUGUUUAGGCAUAGUAUCAUGUUGUAGAUUCAUACUAUGCAGUAGCUCUUGCAUUUCAUUAAAUAUGAGGCAUAGGCAUGUUGUAGAGUACAUCCUAUGUAGUAGCUCAUUCAAUUGUAUAUUGAGACAUAGUAUCAUGAUUAAUAGAAUAUCAUUGCUAUGUUCAUGCAUUCAUGAUUACAGAGACAUAGUAGCAUGUGUAUAUUUCAUUACUAUGUAGCAGCUCUUUUCGUACCUAUCUAUCUAUCUGUUGCUUAUGCCUGCUUUGACCUAGUGGGAAGAUCGGCGGAGUCGGCGGCCGAACCCACUGGGAACUAUAUUUAUAUAGUUCUCACCCCACUUUGUUGCAGGGCCUAGCGAGAGAGCACCGGCAGAGGACCGUGGUAAGGGCAUAGCGCCCUAGCUAGCUAGUUACCUCCUAUAUGCAUUAGAAUCGGGCACCAUUUUGAGAGGUUAUGUAUUAUGGUUCGAGCGACUUAUGCACUUUGAUGGUGAGGUUGCUAGUGAUGUAUAUAUUAUGAGAAGAAUAUGUAUUCAUUUUGGGAGAAGAAAGUUGUAAAUCUCUAUGUAAAUGUUGAAUGUUAAAUGUGGUGUAAUAGUUAGAACUAUCUUGCUCUUGUUGGUAUAGCACUUGUGGUGGUUCGUUGAAUCAUGUAUGUUAUUUGAGUUUAUUCUGGGCAACUCUUGUACAUGAUUGCUUGUUGAGCCAUGGGCGGAUAGAGGAGGUGAUGUCCGUUCGGCGUCUGAUCGAAUGCCUGGAUCCGGCCAAAUUGGCGGGUCGCGGGGCGUGACACACACACGCACACACACACAUUGGUAGAGAGAGAGGCUCUCUCCUCUCUCUAAAUCUCUCCCUCAUCUCUCAAGAACUCUCUCCCAAACUUUGGGAUUUGGAGGAGAAGGAAGCGAGGAGGUGGAACUUCAUCUUCAUCUUCUUUUUCCUCGCCAUUUGAGCAAGCUGGAGAGGUAAGCCUUUGUGUCCAUUAAUGGUAGAACUCUAGGGUUUCGAUGUUAAGCUCUAGAAAUGGACUAGAAGGAAUCCUAGCAUGCUAAAUAGAUGGAAAAUACUUGAUUCAUGAAUCAAUUUGGAGUAUUUUACAAUAGUAGCAUACUAGGGCUCUGAAAGGGGGUUUUUGUAAAUAGUUGAGUUUGAUCUCAAUUGACCCUCCGUAAACCUAAUUGCUAGAUAUUCUGACGCGUUUGCGAAGUCGGUUCGACGAUUCGUCGAGCCGGUGCGAAGAUAUUAAAGAAACAGACUAUUUAGCUUUGUUUCCGCCUGGAGGGCCGAGGCGAUGACUAAAAAUCAUGGAAACGAAUCUAGAGCGCCGUGGAGGCAAAUCGUAGACCUAUAAUUUUCGGAGCUGCGAUUCGGCGCACGGUUGGUGCGCAAUUGCAAAAUUGGGCCGUGCCGGAUACGGGUGCCGUGGGAGGCCGAUUGCAAGUGACUACAAGCAAUCGGAGAGCGAAUCGAGGUGGGUUGUGCUCAUCGAAGCAACUAGGUCGCCUCUAUGUCUAGGAGAAAUGUGAAUUCAUGUUGAUGCAUAUAAAUGGUAGAUGAAUGCAAGGAUUAAAUGCUAGGUGAAUGCAUAUUAUAAUUGCUAUGCUAUGACUACCAUAGAAUGCAUGAUGAGCAUGUUAUAGAAAUGCUAGCUAAUUGCAUGAUGCUAGGAGAAGCAUAAUAACAUAGUGACUCUUAAAGAAUGCAUGUUGGCAUUGAGAUGAAUGCAUGACUAUAUAUAUGCAUAUAAACUAGAUCGAUAACUCUAGAGUGAGUAGAGAACUCGAUAUUAGAAAUAGAAACACGAGAACUAUGAAAUACUCGACUGGACAACUAGGAUGUCAAGUAGAUCGAGUGGUAUUGAACCUAAUGUUAGUAAACAUAGGUCGAACACGAGUGGCAUCUAACCUAGUGUUAUUAAACAUAGGUCGGACACGGAUGACAUUGAACCUAGUGUUAGUAAACAUAGGUUGAACAAGUGAACCUAGAGUCAAGAUCUAGGUAGAGAUAACAUGUGAACCUAGUGUUGUUGAACCUAGGAUGAAUCAUAAGCGGCAUCGAACCUAGUGUUAAAGAACAUAGGUUAUGGAUUAAACCUAGAGUUAAAGUAAACCUAGGUUAUGUGAUAGAGGCGUUGAACCUAGAGUCAGCUAGACCUAGGGUGGAAAGGAUGUCGGACCUAGAUAGGUCGAUACUAUAGGGUUUGAGAUCAACCUUUGAGUUGUGAAAUGGAUUCUGGAAUCCCUAGUGAUGGAAACUUGCAGCAGAGUGCAAGAGAUGGCAUUUAGAAUCAUAACUGCAGGUAUGUGUGGUUCUCCUCGCCCGGCAAUGAUUCAACGUGUAUGUGUGGUUCUCCUCGCCUGGUAUGCCAUAAGAAUAAUGAUCCAACGAGUAUGUGUGGUUCUCCUCGCCCGGUAAAAGCUCAAAUGGGUAUGUGCGGUUCUCCUCGCCCAUUUAGCUUAUUGGAUGAUGACGCCUAGAUUGACUUGAACCAUUGCUGGGUAAGGGCGAUGUGGUCGCUGCCAGAUGACUAAGUCACGGCUUGAGCCAUUGUUGGGUGUGAUGCGAUGAGUUCGCCGCCGGAUGGCUAAGUCAUGACUUGAGUCGUUGUAGGGUUUGAUACGAUGAGUUCGCCGCCAGAUGGCUAAGUCAAGAGGUGCAGUGGGCUGUGACGGCAGCCAGGCUGGGUGCAGCCAGUGCGCGGACUAUCCUCGGAUGAUUGACUCGAAGCCGAGUCGGGUGGAUAGCUUGAUUAAGGUAGUGAAAACCUUGAAGGCUAGUGAUAGAGGCAAGAACUAAGGUGAUAGAGACCUUAGAAGCUAGUUGGACAUGAGUUAGUUAGCGUGAUAGAAGUAGAAUCGAUAGAUUUACUUCUUUGGUUGCAUUGUUGCAUAAAUUGCAUAUGGAAUGGCAUUAUUACAUUUGUGAGGCAAAGCAUGAUAUAUGUUAGUUGCAUUUAAAUUAUGAUUUUAUAUCUAUCUAUUGCACUAAUAUGUUGUUGCCUCCCUUGGACCUACUGGUCGAGCUUUUCCCUUAGGUGGCCGUACCCACUGGGAACCAUGGAGUUGGUUCUCACCCCACGUUGUUUUGGGGUGUUACAGGUUCGCACAUGAGAGGCGCGGCGGCGCAAGACAAGGGUGUAGCUCCAUAGAUAGCGCCCUACCCCGGAGAUCAGGGAUAGCGGUACCCCGAGGAGGCAUAGUCUAGGGUUAUAGGAAAGGGAAAAGAACACAAUGUAUCAAACUUGUAAAUAAAUGAUGUAGUAACUUGAUUGUAUUUGGAAGUCAUAAAAAUGUAUUAUGCAAGUGUGAUGUAAAAAUGAAUCUAAUGGGAAUGCUUGUAAUAACAUAGGAUGUGUUAUGUUGUUUGAUACCUUCCUUAUGCAAUCAUUGUACGAAUAUUGUUCCUAUUUGAAACCUCUUGUAUUGUACUGUUUGUUGAGCCNUUCGGGAACCGGUCUCUCCCUGCGCGGGACCGGUCUCUCACUGCGAAGACGCGUUCGGGAACCGGUCUCGCCUGCCAGGGACCGGUUGCCUCAGGCUGCCUCAACACUGCUCACUGGGGGGACCGGUCUCUCCCUCCAGGGACCGGUCCCCGAGAGUAAAAACUCUCAGGACUUGUCCAAAGUUUCAGUUUUCGAACUUUUCGGGUCGGGGAACAUUUUACAACCCUCCACCAAGUGUGGAAGAGCUCGAAAUACAACCAAACACUCGAACCUCGCAAUUUGCAAAGGUCCAGUGUGUUACACGAGGACUUGAGACUUGGGCGUAGUGCUGCGACGGAGGAGCAGAUCAAGGAGCUCCAUGAGUUGUUGGCACGGCAGGCUGCGGCAGCUGCGCCGGUAGCAACACGCCAUGUACCGACAGUAGUGGCGAUGGAUUCGGGGGCAGUGGCCCCUAGUUCUGUCGAAAUGGAGGCGGAGAAAGAGCGGGCUUUGGCGGCCCUUAUGACCUUCAAGAGGUUUGAUCAGCCUGUCUUUGAUGGAGAGAAUGUCGAUCCGUGGAUCGUGGAGAUGUGGAUUGACUCUAUGAAAACGCUCUUCGAGGAGCUGUACACCUUGGAGCGGGACAAGGCGCCCCUAGCUGUGCACUAUUUGAAGUUGUCGGCAAAAGUGUGGUGGAAAGGCAUUCGACAGAAUCGAUCGCCUAGUCUCCCUCCUAUGGCAUGGUAUGAGUUUCGGGGAUUGGUGUUUUCAACUUACUUCCCCGACACUGAAAAGAGAAAGCUUCAGGACAGGUUCAGGAAGCUGCGACAAGGAAACCGCUCUAUGAGGGAAUACAAACGGGAGUUUUCCCGCAUCGUGAAUUGUGUCCCGGAUGUGGUACAGGAUGACAAGGAUAGGGCCGAUUGGUUCCUGCGUGAACUUCGACCGGAGAUUUACAAGGAGGUGCAAAUCUUCAAGCUCACAACCCUUGUGGAGGUGUUGGAUCGAGCAUUGUGGGCAGAACACGGCGAAGCUUUCGUGCGUGAGGAGCAUGAGUCUUUUGAGCAUGAGCGGGGAGGGGUGAGCCCACUGUCGAGCAGUUCGGGUGGACAAUCAAGCUCUAGACGCCACUCGAAAUAAUCCUCUACCCGGUUCUCCCUAGGAUGCGUGAUUUGUGGUGGUCCCCACUGGGCUCGGCAGUGUGUACUCCGCGAUGGAAGGUGCAUUCGUUGUGGGUAGCCGGGCCAUACACGGGACGAGUGUCCGCAAGGCGAUAGUCGAGCCUUAACAUUGGCGACAGCCUUUUCCUCUCCAGGACAGUCUGUAGGUGUGCCACCUGCGGCAUGGUCGGAAGAGCGGCCGUUGAGGAUGAUGCCACCGAGGGGUUCACGGCGGGCAUCAAGUGGCCGUGGAUACGCAACCCAGGUGGAGGAACCUACUACUACCGACGAUGUUAUGGCAGGUAUGAGUUAAUUAAGCAAGCAUAUGCUACUACCUGAUAUCAAGUUGUUGCAUAGCAUGCAUUUUAUUAAGUGGUCAGUUGCUACUAUUUAUACAUUGCAUAGUAGGCACCCAUUGGACGGGUAGGUAGAUACCCGGGCAUGCUUGCAUUAUGAGAGUGUGGUGCCUGCUGGAGCAGGUAGAGGGCCAUGUGGCACUGACAAAUUGUUAGUGAUGGUUCCUGGACAAGAAAUGGGACUCGUGGUGAACGUGAAAUGGUGAAGUGACUCUUGAGGCAGCGAAUAGUGGAUUUCGAGAGUCGAGUGGUGACAGAUAAGUGGUAAGAAUACCCGAGUAGUCCAAGGAUUCGGAUAUAGUUUUGGUAGAUCAAACAGUGAAGGCGAACCACUGUUGCGAAAUUGGUUGAUUAGCGCCGAGUUUGGCCUGUGGGCCUAGUAGUACCUCGAAUUGAGGUAGGUGAGUAGUGCUCGUAUAGUCGGUGUGUAUAGGCAAGGUUGCCUAAUGCUUGACCUAGUUGGAACGCUAUAGGGGCGUGUAGAGCGCUCGAGUGUAGAUACUCGUAGAGUGCGGAUUUGAUUCAGCCGAGAGAGUGAGGUGGUAGUAGCACUGUAGCAUUGCUAAGUGUGAAGCGGGCAAUGGAUCACUCGAAGGGCUGAUGGCUCGCACUAGGUGCAUAGGAGCCGAUAGUAGCGUAUGUGUGACUCGGUAGAGCAUGUCGUGUAGGACGACGACAGCGGGUAUUGCUUGGGGAUGACCCGUGCCUAGACCAUUUGUGUACUAUAGAGCCUGGGCCCUUUGGGCAGGCGCAGUCAGCUGUGAGUGACAGCGGCCCGGUACCUACAGGAAGGGCAGAGUUUUGGUCAGGACGAUAGUCCGAGCUUAGACCUGGGAGCGUGGAAUGUCACGUGUUGGAUCUCGAAAUCGAGGAUACACCGAGUGUGUAGUGACCUAACCUGAGGAUUUGGUGAGGUUUGGGGUCUUGGUUGCUCCUGGUUGGAGUGUGUGCGAAUUCCCAAGUGAAAAUUUCGCCCAGUGCAAAUUGGGUCUACGCCAGUGAGCGAGGGACGCUAUGCGUAGUUGUGAGAGGUUUAGGCGGUAGGCCUACGUAGUAUUGGUGACCAUUGGUCCAUCUGUGGAAGCCGACGUAAUCGGUUUAGCCGAUAACUAUGUGGAUGAGUUGGGAUUAGAUUCACGAACGGAGUGUUCAUGUGAGCUCGUUGCGACAGCGAAGUUGAGUUGGUCGUGGCUUCUGAUGGCAAAGGAUGAUGUGCUCUUGUGAGACAUUGAGCUAGUGGAAGCCACAUGAGAAUUAGAGCUUGAGGAUAAUGCUCUUUUGUGGAUUGAGAUUGGAGAUGUGCCGGAGUGUGCCAUCUCGUGAUAGAGCAGGGAUCCAGUUGGGAAUUGGAGCACUCGCGAUUGGUGUCGAAAAGGAUUUACUUCUCAGAACAUGAUGGCCGCAUGCUCGUUUCACCACCAGUUUCUAUUUGUAUGCACCGGGGGGAGGGUUCUGCAGCUGAUAUGAGGGUACUGCGAUAGUGUUGCGAGAGUGGCGGUUUCGCAGUCCCGGAAGGUAAGUAAUGAUUUGCAAAUUUAUGUGUUUCUCAGCUUUUCAUUGUUCUAAUUUUCAUAAAGUGCUCUCUGUGUAAGAAAAUAUUAUCUCGUUGAUUUUGGAUAUGCGAAUACUGAUCGCUUCCUCGCACCCUAUCGAGGGGAACGAUAUCACUUGAGCCAAUUUGAUGUAAAUGCACAACCCCGAAGGCAUCGAGGACCUCGAGAUUUAUAUAAUCAUCGUCAUGCUCAAUUGCGAAAUGUAGUUGAGAAAGCUUUUGGGAUCCUAAAGCGGCGGUUCAAGGUGCUCCGACAAGCAACACCCUUUCCCUACAAGGUGCAAUGUCACAUUGCCCUCGCAUGUUGUGUCAUACACAAUUUCAUCAAAAGGCACCAAGGGACCGAUAGGUACUUCAAUAUGCAAAUGGACUCAUUGCCGAUGGACGACGCACUUGAUGAAUCAUUAGCUCCUGUUGGGCCAGACGAGUCUCGGAGAGGAGACGCCCUUCGCACUAUGAUAACAGGCCAACUUUGGAACAAUAGAUAGGAGGAAAUAUUGAGAAUGAUGUAAAUUUGUUUUUUUACUUCAUGCUUUUUCUUUGUUGUAUCAACUUAUGUGUUGUGUCUUUAAACUGAAUUUAUUGCGUGUUGUUUUCCAAAUCUUUGUAAUUGGAAGUUAUGUUAUGUUCGCACUGAUUACUUUAAGUCAUAAAAUGCUCUGAUUUAUUUUAAUAUAGAAACUUUGUUUUAGUUAAUUGGUGUGUUUGAUCAUUGGAGUUGUUUUUUAACAUUGGUUCUCUGCAUCAGUUUUGCAAACUGAUUAUGUUAGAAUAUUUUAAAUGAGAAUUAUUCUUUGUUAUUGUCGAAUGACAUAAUUAAAAAAUUUCUUCUAGGACCCUGUAGGGUUAGUGGUGUGAGAACUACAACGAAGUUUCCAGUGGGUUUGGCAACCGACCUCGCCGACUUACUCACUAGGUCUAUUCAGGCAUAAGUAUUUCAAAGAAAUGGAAACUAUAACCAAUGCUAAUGCUAAUACUAUGCCUGCAAGAAAGAUGUCAGUGGAUAUAUAAUCGAAUAAUGAAUGCCCAUGCAUGCAUGCUUGUUCCAUACUUUACUUUGGCUUUUACCCAAUCUUGCCGGUUAACCUUGUUAACCCCAAUAACUCACAAUCCGAAAUUUCUUAAUAACUGGGGACUCGAACCACCCUAGGGACCGUCCUUUGGGGGGACUUUACUACGCCCAAUGGUGACCAACUCCGGUGUGCACCGCUCGAGGGGGAGCUACCUCCCUCAAGCCAAGACUUAUCGUGAGUAUCAAUCCAACCCUCAACUUGAGGAUACAUAGCCACUAAUCACAAUGCCAUUAUCAUAAUAGGUUUCUACCUAUUUGUUCAUGCUACUCUCCAAGCCAUACUUGUCACAAUGUCACUAUGGUUAGACUAUAUUUAACAACCAAUUUCUCAAUGCCAAUCAUGUCUCUAUUGUCAAUAUCACCUUUGUUUACUAUUGUCCAAGUCCAAGUCUCACAUUCAUACAAUUUUAGGGUUCUACCAUACAUGUCCAUUAUGGUUCCAUCAUUCUCUAUGUUCAACUACGUUAGAAGCAUGUAAAUGCAAACAAACUAAGGUUCACAUGUAAUUUAACCCUACUAUGCAUGAAUGACUAUACAUCAAUAUGCUCAACAAAAAGGUGAAAUAGACAUAAAGGGAAAUUCGAUGAUUCCGGUGUGCAGCUCCCACCUUGAGUGGUAGUAGAUGAAGAAUAUGAUGACUCCCGAACUUUACGAACGCCGAAUCCGCGUCCUAUAACCAAAAUAGUGCCAAAUUAGGCCCUAUAUACACAAACUAUACUUAGACAUUUUCGUAACGUCGAACGGAGUUAUCCAACGCAUCAGGAAUACCCCCGAUUAGGUUUCCAAGUGAUCAAUUUGCCUCGGAAAAAUUCUAGGGCAAAAGCCCCAAUUUUGAGCCCUAACAAUGCCAUAUGAAGAUUGCUCCUAGAUUGAUCUUGUUGCUAAGCAAAAGAUGGCUUAGAAUCCACUAGAAAGCAUUCUAAUAAGGUUUCCAAGCCUUUAAAACCAUCCCUAGGGCAUCUACCAUGAACCCUAGAAGUUCACCAUGAGAGCACCUCAAGAAAACCAUGCAUUUCAUGGAUUCAAGGUCUCUAGGGGUUUCCUCACUUAUAGAGAGAUCAAAAUCCAAAAAUCUAAGGUCUAAACCCAAACCCUAGACUCAUGUUUGCAUAAGGACUCACCUUUGCCCAAGCUCCUUCAAAGCCUUCUUGUUAGAGAGCUUCUAGGUCUACCAAAACCCUAAAACUCCACCUUCUCCAAGCUCUUCUCCACCUUCCUCAAGCUCUAAGGCUUGCUUCUAGAGAGAGAAAGAGAGAAAAUGUGAGAAAGAGAGAAUGGAAGUCCCUGCGGUGAAGAGAGGGAAGAUGGGCUCCUAUAUGGUGUGCAACAAUUGCAACUAGGCCCUCCAACAUUGUAUCUCUCAACCUGCCCAGACUGGGCAAUUUUCGUGCACGGGGACCGAUCUCUCUAGCAGGGGACCGAUCCCCGAGAGCACAGCUCUCAGGACUUAGCCGAUUUUUUCCACUUCUAGGAUUUUACGCGUACGGGAACCGGUCUUCCUACCAGGGACCAGUCUCAGGGGGACCGGUCUCUCAACCAGGGACCGGUUGCAUCAAGGGGAUUUCCAGCUUCGGGCUGGCUACGCGUACGGGGACCGGUCUCUCCCCACAGGGACUGGUCCCCGAGAGCUCAAAAGCUGCAGUUUGCAGAUUUUUGAUUCUCUAGCACUCGAAGAUCCCCUACAAUGCACUUUUGGUCUUUUUGACGCCUUCGGCUUUUUCGAAGCGUACCAACCUUGCACUUUGGUCAUUUAGACUAAAGUUCGAUGUUCGCUUACCGAGGUUUCGGUAUGUUACAUAUAACUAGCUAUUACAUCCAUUCAUUCACAAUUUAAGGCUCUUUUACAUUUACAUCACAUUGCCCUUUUUACAUCUUUCCCAAAAUGAAUACAUAAUCAUUUUCCAGAUACAUAGGUGGCUCUCCCAAAAUAUAAAGCAUCGAGAUACAUAAGGGUACUCUAAUGCAAAAGGGAAGCUACCAAUUUGGUCAAUUUGCUCUUAACUCGCUCUGAUACCAUCUUAUCUAUCACGCCCUGAGAUCGCUAUCAAUUUGGUCCGGCUCGGGUGCGUCGAACAGACGCCGGACGGACGGCACCUCCCCUGUCCGCCCAAGGCUAAACGACAUGAUCGAGUACAAGAAUUUGCCCAGGAAAAGAAAUUCAAUACAUACACGAUCAAUAAGGAGCACCAUAAGUGCUAACAAGUAAGAGCAAGACACAAGUAUACAAUACCAGUGAAAUAAAGAGAGAUAUAACUAGCUAUUACAUCCAUUCAUUCACAAUUUAAGGCUCUUUACAUUUACAUCACAUUGCCCUUUUUACAUCUUUCCCAAAAUGAAUACAUAAUCAUUUUCUAGAUACAUAGGUGGCUCUCCCAAAAUAUAAAGCAUCUUAGAUACAUAAGGGUCUCUAAUGCAAGAGGGAAGCUACUAUACUACCUGCGUGGCGCGCUAUGCCCUUGCCGCGGUCCUCGCCGGCCGUGCUCGUACUUAGGCCCUGCCAAAAAGUGGGGUGAAAACUAUUGUCCAUAGUUCCAGUGGGUCUCGGUCGCCGACUCUCGCGAUCUCCCCACUAGUCGAGUGGCAUAAGCAAUAGAUAGAUAGAUAGAUAAAUUCGAAGCUGUAAAUGACAUAAUAGGAAAGCUAUGCUACUAUGCCCAAUCAAUAUGUUCAUAUAUGUAUGCAUCAUAUAUGUAAAUGGUUUACAUAACAUGCCACUAUGUCCACUUCCAAGUCCAACAAGCAAAUGUUCAAAUAACAAUGCCAUUUCAUGUUCAAUCAAAUCCUUGGCGAUCCACUUGGGUUCGCCCAUGCUCACCUCAAACCUCGUAUGGUAAGGAGACACACCUCGCUCUCAAACCAGAGGCCGCCUAGCAGGCAUCAACUCUUGCCCUCUCGCAGCAAACUCCGGAGUGCACGAAGACCUGAGUGGUGCGACCACCACAAGUAUGAACAGACUGUGAGUAUGAUCAAUCCUCUCAACUCGAGGAUAUCCUAUCUGGCUAGGGCUACUAAGUCACUCGGGAAUCCACCUAUCCCAAAGUCCACAAUACGAAUGUUUGGCUACACUAUAGUCGUGUCCAACGAGUCAUUUUACAGGAAUCACCUCCCUAAGUUCACAUGCACUAGUGUCAUUUACACUAAGUUAUUAUGCACUCAUUCUUGUUUGUUCAACCGUCAAUGCCACUCAUUACGUCCGUAUUUACAUCAUCGAGUUCAUCUCUGCUUCUCGGCACUAUAGAAAUUCAAUGUCUUAAGACCCAAUCCUAUCUAACAUCAUCAUUGCAUUCAAUCUUAGAUUACUAAGGGCUACUCUAAUGCAAGAGGGAAGUACUAUACUACCUGCGUGGCGCGCUAUGCCCUUGCCGCGGUCCUCGCCGGCCGUGCUCGUACUUAGGCCCUGCAAAAAGUGGGGUGAAAACUAUGUCCAUAGUUCCAGUGGGUCUCGGUCGCCGAUCCGCGAUCUCCCCACUAGGUCGAGUGGCAUAAGCAAUAGAUAGAUAGAUAGAUAAAUUCGAAGCUGUAAAUGACAUAAUAGGAAAGCUAUGCUACUAUGCCCAAUCAAUAUGUUCAUAUAUGUAUGCAUCAUAUAUGUAAAUGGUUUACAUAACAUGCCACUAUGUCCACUAUCCAAGUCCAACAAGCAAAUGUUCAAAUAACAAUGCCAUUUCAUGUUCAAUCAAUCACUUGGCGAUCCACUUGGGUUCGCCAUGACUCACCUCAAACCUCGUAUGGUAAGGAGACACACCUCGCUCUCAAACCAGAGGCCGCCUAGCAGGCAUCAACUCUUGCCCUCUCGCAGCAAACUCCGGAGUGCACGCAAGACCUAGAGUGGUGCGACCACCACAAGUAUGAACAGACUGUGAGUAUGAUCAAUCCUCUCAACUCGAGGAUAUCCUACUGCGCUAGGGCUACUAAGUCACUGGGAAUCCACCUAUCCCAAAGUCCAAAUACGAAUGUUUGGCUACACUAUAGUCUGUCCAACGAUGUCAUUUUACAGGGAAUCACCUUCCCUAAGUUCACAUGCCACUAGUGUCAUUUACACUAAGUUAUAUGCCACUCAUUCUUGUUUGUUCAACACGUCAAUGCCACUCAUUAGUCCGUAUUUACAUCAUCGAGUUCAUCUCUGCUUCUCGGCACUAUAGAAAUUCAAUGUCUUAAGACCCAAUCCUAUCUAACAUCAUCAUUGCAUUCAAUCAGUACAGGGGAAACCAUGUCCGUUCGGCGCUGUCGGCGCCGCGACCUCGGCCAAAUAGGCGGGUGGUCGCAGGUCGUGACAACUAAGACACAGAGAGGAACCCGAUUGCUUUGGGAUGACACCACCCACCUUUCGACAAUGUCGGGGUUUUAAGAACGCUAUUCGUCACUUGCUUCAAUGUCGCUUCGACCUCCUAGGUGGAAACGAAGCUCGAUCGGUCUAGUUUUGCCGAUAACUUUUUACCAACUCGACGAAUCGUCGAACCGUCUUCGCCGACGCGUUUAGACACCUAGCAAUUAGGUUCACAACCAACCAAAUAAGAUCAAACUCAUUGAUUUCUCAAAGCCCUAAGUUGGAGCCCUAGAUUGCAAUUAGUGCAAACUACUCCAUUCAAACCCUAAAUACAUGCAAUUAGGAUACCACUAGCAUCAUAGGGUUUAACCAAAACCAUUUCUAGAGUAUACGGAUCUAACCCUAGAAAUCUACCAUGGAAGUUCAUUGAGCUCACCUCAAUAGCUAGCUACAAUAGUGCAAGAGAGGAAGAAGAAGAUGAAGAUGCCCUCCUUUGCUUCCUUCUCCACCAAAACCCUCUCCUUCUUUACCUUCUAGAGAGAGAGAAAGAGAGCUUAGAGAGAGUGGGAGAGCUCUUUUAGGGCUAACUUGAGAGAAAUGAGAGGAAAAGAGAGAAACCUCCUUCUCUUUUAACCCCCAUAAGGCAGAAUUACAUUUAGACCCCUCAACUCUCCAAACAUCACCCAGCCCAUUUUGGGCAUUCUCGUGGUACGGGGUCCGGACCCUAAAGUUAGGGUCCGAGCCCCGAGAGUUGCAAAAGUAUGCAAUUUGCACACUUGAGGUUCUCAAGCCCAAGAGGGCUUUUUUCGCAGCUACGAGGUCCAGACCCUACAGCUAGGGUCCAGACCCCGAGAGUGGUAAAACAUGCAAAUUGCAGAUUUUGCAAACUCCAACUCUCCAAGGUCCUCCCUCAAUGCACUUUUCGCAUUUUUGCCACAUUCGGACCUUCCGAAGCACGGCCAAUCGACAAUAAGUCGAUUCCAAACGAAGUUCAACUAUCGGAUUUCGAGAAUUCACUUCUUUACAUUGUAACAACUAGAAUUUAUUUUAAAAAACAUAUUAAUUAACUUAACAUUAUAACCAAUUAAAUAAAAAAGUUUAUCAAAUUAUCUAUUAUUCUAAACCAACAUGUACUUGUUUGUGUAUUAUUAACCAUAUAUAUGAAAUAGCACCCAAGGGCAAAAUAGGUAUAUAAAAAAUGUAACAGUCAUCUUUUUUUACUAUUCUCAACUAUUCCACCAAAUUAACUAAACACAAUUUCAGCUAAUCCUUGGAAUACCAACUUUACCAACCAAACGGUAUUUACAUUUAAUUCCUAACUUGUCUGGUUGGGGGUUAAGGGGUGGAAUAACCCCUUAACCCCAUGUUUAAUCCCAAAUAGCAUUUAAAUGGGGUGGGGUUGCAAACCCCACCCCAUAUCGGGUUAUCCAGGAUAACCAGAUAACCCGAUAUGGGAUGGGGUUUGUUAACCCCACCCGCCCUCCCCCCGAAUAGCCCUACUCUCCCCAAAUACCCUGCAUAACACUGUUCCCUUCUCCCCAAAUACCCUACGUAAUACUGUUCGUAAAAUAUUAAAAUAGUUCGUGAAAUGCAAAUGUUCGUGAAAUUUGAACUUAGCAAAAUUUUAAAAUAGUUGUUCAUAAAUUUUAGGUAUUUUCAAAGUCACAAAAGAGUUGUGAGAAAUAUUUUUUGGUACAAAAUAACGCUAAAAUUAAUUUAAUUUUACUCCUAAAAAAUAAUUGCAAUCAUAGAAUUUUAAAAGCCAAAAAAAAUAGUUUUUAUUUCAAUAGUUUAAUGUGAGGGUAUUUUCAUCCUUUUAUCUCUUUACCAAUCACUAUCCUUCUUAUCCCACCUACUCCAACCAAACACUAUUUUUCUUAAUUCUGGACUAACUCCAAUUCUCAACCAAACAUAAAAAUACUCUAACCCCACCUUAACCCUGAACUUAACCCUAUCCCUGAAAUAACUAGGUUUUUCUUAACCCCGAACCAAACGGUAGCUUUUUAAGUAUUCCGGAAUAACAAACUAUCCUAGGGUUAAAAAAAUUUAUACCAAAGUUUUUAAUUCCCCAACCAAAGGCAACCAUAAAAGAAGGCAUCAAGAAAAUGAUUCUUAUUCUGAACGUGGUGUGUCUGUUGGGCAACCCCUCUUUUUAUUUUUUAGAAAAACUUCAAAAACCCCCCUUAUGGUUUCAAUUUUUUUCACUUUAGUACCCUGUGGUUUAAAAUGUAUCAAGUUAGCACCAUGUGGUUUCUCACUUUAUCACUUUAGUACCCUGUGGUUUAAAGUGUAUCAAGUUAAUAUGUCACGCCCCGAGACCCGCUACCAAUUUGGUAAGGUUCGGGCGCGUCGAACAGACACCGAACGGACAAGAACUCCCCUGUCCGCCCAAGGCUAAACAAUGAGAUCAUGUAUAACAAGUUUCCAGGAAACCACUUGAAUACAUACACGAUCAUACAACAAUAGCGAGAGCACAACCAGUGCUAAACAAUCGAGAGCAAGCAUCACAAGUAAGAUACAGACAAGUGAAUAAAAGAGAGAGACUUAACUAUUACAAACAUUCAACCUUAUACAUUUGAUUACAUUUAAACUUUCAAAAUACCACAUAGAGUUUACAAUUCUUCACAUCACCUCACCCUAUACAUCAUCGACUCUCAAGUACAAAAGGGUGACUACUAAUGCAAAAAGAAUGUACUACUAUAACCUCUAGGGCGCUAAGACCUUACCGCGAUCCUCGCCGGGUGUACUCGAGCUCGGUCCUACAACAAAGUGGGGUGAGAACUACGAAUAGUUUCCAGUGGGUUCGGCCGCCAACUCCGCCGAUCUCCCCACUAGGUCUAAGCAGGCAUAGAUAGAUAAACAGAUAGAUAGAUAACUGGAAAGCGAUAACAAUAAGUAGAUAUGAAAGUAAUCUACCAUGCCUCAAUCUGUAAACAUGCAUGCAACAUAAGUAAAGGCUAACUACUAAGCUAUCAUGCUCAAUAAUGAUGUAAUUCAUUAGAUUACCCAAUCAUUCGGCUAACUCGAAGGUUCGCCGCCAUCUCACGUCUCGAAGUCUCAUAGGGGAGGAGAUUUUGAUCACUCGCUACCUCCGAGACUGCCUGCGGACAGCUAGCUACUGUCCGGGCAGCUCACGACUGCCCCUCUAGUGACCAAAACUCUGGAGUGCACAACUUGUGUGGAGCUACGACUACAAACGCAGACAGGCUAUGUGAGUCGAUCCAAUCCUCGCCAGCUGAGGAUACCCUACCAACUAGGGUUAUCACCAUCAGGGAAUCAAUGUGUUCCUGUACUCAAUCUCAUAGUGUUUCAACUACACUAAGGUUCUCAUGCCACUCGUUCAUGUAUUUAACAUUAACUAGAUGUCACUUAUUCUCGUUACAUGUUUCCAAUACACUAGAUUACACUUUACUAGGUUCUCAUCUACCUAGGUUCCAAUCCAUUACAUAUCAUCUCAUAUAGGGUUCUAAGCCACAUCACACUAAUUUCAUGCAUACUAGAUUUAAGUACGAAACCAAAGGAGCUACUACUAGCAUGCAAGAAUAAACACAAGUAUUAAAACCCUAUGUGCAUCAUGCUCAAUAUGCAACAUAAUCGACAACAACUUAGACAUAGGGAGCAGUUCAACUGCUUCGGGAUGGUCACCACCCACCUGUUGGUGAUGCUACAACUCAAGGAACGGAACUCGGCAAUCUUACGACGGCGUCUCGACCUCCUAGGUGAAAACGAAGCUAGGAAGGUUCCUUUUGCCGAUAACUUCGCACCAACUCGACAAAUCGUCGAACCGUCUUCGCCGACGCAUCCAAAUACCUAGCAAUUAGGUUUACGACCAACUAAUUUAGAUCAAAACCCUCGAUUUCCCAAAACCCCACUUUGGAGCCCUAGGUUUCAACAACGAAAAAAUACUCUGACAAAACCCUAGAUUCAUGCGAUUAGGAUACCACUAGCAUCAUAGGGUUCAACCACCACCAAUUCUAGAGUAUUUAAAUCUAACCCUAGAAAUCCACCAUUAAUGGGUUUAGAGCUUACCUCCAAGAACUCCUCCAACUUGAGGAAGAGAUGAAGAAGAUGAUCCUCCUCUUCUUUGUCUUCUUCUCCUUCUACUCCUUCUCCUCCUUCAACCUUAGAGAGAAAUAGAGCAAAAGCUUAGAGAGAGAGAAAGAGAGAGAGCUAUUAGGGCUCUUGUUGGGAGGAAAUGAGAAAAGAGAGAGAGCAAGAGCUCUCAUAUAGCUCCACUUAUGCAACAAUUGCAUAAAAACCCCUCAACUCUAUAAGUAUGUAACAGCCUAUUCUUGAGCAUUUCGAGCUACGGGGACCGGCCCCUCUAAAAGAGGACCAGUCCCCGAGAGCAAUUCUUACCAGGUGAGCUUCAGCUCAACCUUUGCACGCAUACGGGGACCGGUCCCUCUUAAGGAGGACCGGUCCCCGAGAGCACUUAGGCAGGUUGAGCAUGAGCUCAACCUCCACAUGCUUACGGGAACCGGUCCCCUCCCAGAGGGACCGGUCCCCGAGAGCACAAAAUCUGCCAUUUGUGCAGAUUUUACACAGCUUGCUCUCGCGGGUCCUCCUCAAUGCACUUUAUGCAUUUUUGAUGACUUCGACUUUUCUGAAUCACACCAAGUCGACAACAAGUCGAUCCUAAUUGAAGUCUAACUCUCGGAUUUCGAGAAUUCACUUUCUUACUUCCUCCCCACCUUAAAAGAGUUUCGUCCUCGAAACGAACUCAGCUUAACUAAACUUAAUCUAAACUCAAACUUUAAACCCAUACCUCGUCUCAAUCCUAAAACAAGUGAGGAUGAUGUGCCUUCAUCUCGGCCUCGAGCUCCCAAGUGGCUUUGCGAUCGUCGUGAUUGCUCCACCGAACCUUAACAUAGGGAAUCUCGCGGUUUCUCAACUUACGCACCUCCCGAGCAAUAAUCAUCACAGGGAACUCCUCGUAGCUCAUGUCUUCUUGAAGUUCCGGCGGCUCGUACAACAAUGCGUGGUCGGGGUCAUGAAUAUACUUACGAAGGUUGGAGACGUAGAAUACGUUAUGCACAUCUGCAAGUUUCGGCGGCAAUGCAAGCUGGUAAGCCACCGUUCUAAUCCGCUCCAAUACCUCGUAGGGUCCAAUGUAUCGGGGACUCAACUUCUCCCGCACCUCGAACCGCUUCACACAUCGCAUGGGCGACACCUUCAAAAAGACCUGGUCGCCCACCGCAAACUCCAAGUCUCGCCGGCGCCUAUCUGAAUAGCUUUUCUGUUGAGACUGCGCCGUGAGCAAUCUCUUGCGAGCAAGACGGACCUUUUCUUCCGCCUCCCGCAAAACGUCGAAACCGAAUUCCGUAUGUUCACCUAUAUCGCUCCAAUGAAUGGGAGAUCGACACUUCAGCCCAUAAAGAGCUUCGAACGGUGCCAUCUCCACGCUAGCAUGAUAACUAUUGUUGUAGGCGAACUCAGCCAUCGGCAGGUGCUUACACCAUCUCCCCUUGUAAUCAAUGACACACGCCCGCAACAUAUCCUCCAGGGUUUGAAUGGUCUUUUCCGUUUGCCCAUCUGUCUGAGGAUGAAAUGCAGUACUGAAAUCGAGCCGUGUGCCCAAAGCUUCCUGCAGGCUCAUACAAAAGUAUGAAGUAAACCGGGGGUCUCGAUCCGACACAAUUGACUUCGGUACCCUGUGCAGCCUCACUAUCUCGUCAAGGUAUACCUGUGCUAGUUUAUCACUUGCCCAUGUAGUGUGGAUCGGCAAAAAGUGUGCCGACUUCGUUAAACGAUCCACAAUAACCCAAAUUGCGUCGUGGCCACCUAUCGAGCGAGGCAAGCCAACCACGAAAUCCAUUGAGAUAUCCUCCCAUUUCCAAACGGGGAUAGGUAAACUUUGAAAUUUUUCCGCUGAGAAUCGACGCUCCGCUUUCACCUGUUGGCAUACUAAACACUUCGCCACGAAGUGCUCAAUAUUAGCCUUCAUUCCCGGCCACCAAUACUGCAUCGUUAGAUCAUGAUACAUCUUGGUGCCGCUCGGGUGAAGACUAUAAGGAGACCAACAAGCUUCUUGCUGAAUCAGCUUGCGAAGCUCCUCAUUCUCGGGUACACACCACCGGUUUCGAAACCGGAGUGCACCAUCGGCGUCUACACCAAAAUCUCCGCCACGUCCCUUUUAAGGAGGACCGGUCCCCGAGAGCACUUGGGCAGGUUGAGCAUGAGCUCAACCUCCAUAUGCUUACGGGAACCGGUCCCCUCCCAGAGGGACCAGUCCCCGAGAGCACAAAAUCUGCCAUUUGUGUAGAUUUUACACAGCUUGCUCUCGCGGGUCAUUCUCAAUGCACUUUAUCCAUUUUUGAUGACUUCGGCUUUUCUGAAGCACACCAAGUCGACAACAAGUCGAUCAUAGACGAAGUCUAACCCUGUGGUUUUGCACUUUAUCACUUUAGUACCCUGUGGUUUCACACUUUAUCAUUUUAGUACCCUGUGAUUUAAAAGCCACAGGUACUAACUUGAUACAAAUUGAAACCACAGGGUACUAAAGUGAUAAAGUGCAAAACCAAAGGGUACUAACUUGAUACACUUUAAACUAUAGGAUACAAAAGUGAUAAUGUGAGAAACUACAGGGUACUAACUUGAUACACUUUAAACCACAUGAUACUAAAAUGAAAAAGUGUGAAACCACAUGGGUUUUUUUUUGAAGUUUUCCUAUUUUUUAAGUUCCUGCGGCCUCUUCGAUGUUCGCCGACGCGUCUGUUCAUUGCCUGACAUUCAGCGCUCUAGUCUCCGUCCUCCCGUCGCCAUUUUUUUACUUAUUCCAGUCCAAAUAGCCGAAGGCCGGCGGAGCGGCAGAGCCCGUGCAUAAUAAGUAAUAAAAAUAAAUAUUAAAGGGAGAGAGAGCCGAAGGCCGGCAGAGCGGCAGAGCGAAAGAAGAUAAGAUGAAGGUGAUGCUAAAGGGCAAGUACGGGACAGACAAGUCGGCGGCGGCGUCGGCCUCCGCCACGCUCUCCGCCGCACCCGCUGGCGACCUCCGCCUCAAGGCCUCCGUCACUGACGCCACCUUCCUCCGCUGUGCCUCCUUGGACGGUCUCUCCUUCUCCCUCGAAAAGCCCGGCUCCUUAAUCCUCGACUUCAACGUCCCCAAAAGGGUAAUCCAUUCCUUCCGUCCCUCUUCCCCAGAUCUCGUUUCUCUUUUAGUCAUCAAUAUUAUUAUUGUUGUUGUGCGGAGGCCUGGAAUUACUAGUUCCGCAGGAUGUGACGUUCCAAUUCAUGAACUCCGUGUGCCUGGCGGAGAAGCUGGUGAGCCUGACCUACAGGCACGCGUGGCGGGAGAACCGCACCGCGCUGGACUGCUCCGUGGAGUUCGACCCGGCCAACAAGCUCGCUGUGAACUACGCCCUCCCAACGGGCUGCAAGGUCAAGUACGUGUACGCCCAUGGGGAGAUGCCGCGGCGGACGGUGCUAGAGCCGUCCUACGACCUUUCCAAGAACGCCUGGGACUUUGCGGUCUCGCGCAAGUUCGACGGUGGGGACUCCCUCAAGGCCACCUACCUGACCUCCACCAAGAUCCUCGGCGUCGAGUGGAGCAGGGACUCCAAGAUCAACGGAUCUUUCAAGGUGACUGAUUCACUUCUUGAAUUUCUCUCUUUGUUUUUCUGGGUCUUUUGUUAUUGUUUUUGUUUUUUUGUUGUGUUGGGGGGGUGGGAAUCGAUUGUUUUUUGCUUUUUGUUGCUUGUUUGUUGGAAAGAAGAUAUUGCAGACUGUAGGAGGUCAAAAAAUUUUGAGGAUGAUGAGAGAAAGAAUGCUAUAGGAGAUGGAUUAAUAUAAUAAGGUUAGUAUGCGAAUCCCAAAGUUUCUUUACGUUGUUUAGCUCAAAUUUGGCACAAAUUAAGACUUUAUAAAAUCCUUAUUAGUAGUGAUUGUAUGAAGGCUUGUAUUGUAAAUAAAUUUAUAUUUCAAAAACUAAUAUCAGAUCCUAUGGCUUUGGUACCCUCUGAAUCUGUGGCAUCAGGACAUUCUUUGAGUGGUCUUACUCACCUGGUAAUACCGGCUUGCCACAGCUGACUGAUGUUCCGUUCUUCUACUAGGGCUUACAUUAUCCUGCUUCUUCAUGCUAUGAUGUUAUCGUGAUGCAAUUUCAAUUUAGAAUUUGAAUUUUAAAUUUGUUUAAAUUUUGAAUUUUUAGAUAGUUUGUUAGUGUUGAAGUAAUAGGGCGGUGAAAACUUAAAACUGGAUGGUCAAUGUAUCCGGAAAUUGAAAUUGGGUUGGAUUACUUGUUUUACAAGCCUUCUUGUAUCGUUCUUGCCUUUAAUGCUUUUGGAUUUUCUAUAUAUCUCGUCUUCUCUUACGCAUUGCAGAUUAGGUGUGAAUCGGAUUGCUUGUUUUACAAUCGUUCUUGGAUCGUUCUUGCCUAUGAUGCUUUUGGAUUUUCCAUGUAUCUCAUCUCCUCUUACGCAUUGCUGAUUGCUUUGAAACUUGAAAAUAAAGAGAGGAAGAAAGAAGGAAUUUUUUAUUUUCUCUUUUCGUAUAUUUUCAUGUCUCUCCAAACAAAUCUAGUAGGUACAUAUAGAGCCGAAGGAGGUCUAUAUAGAGCCGAAUGAAUAGGCUUUUGAGUUCAAAUCUAUUUGAAUUCAAUCUUGUUUAUAUCUUCCUAAACAAAUCAAGAAGAAAUAUGAUAAACGAAGAGAUAGGUAUGAAUUUGAACUCAAUCUUAUCCACUCUUCGCUUCGCUCAACCUUAUCCGGAAUAUAGUUGAUCCCGAUAUGGACGAAGCAUAUUGGGUCAAAUCCAAAUCGAUUUGGUUUUAUCGAAUUGAUGUGGACAUACACCAGAUAGCAUUAUCUCCCACUUGGCCACAUUGGCUAUCUGUCUCUCUCAUAUUCUACUCUUCAUACAAUUAAUGUUGUGUGACUUGACGAAAAGCACCACACAACUCAGGUCAUCACCAAACUGACAUAACACAUCACUAACUUGAUCGUCUAUGCGCUAGAUGUUUUAACACGCUCCGGAUCAAGCAAUGUCCUUUUUCUGUAAUAACAGGGUUCGACCUUACAAUCAUUUCUUCGUACUCAUAAUUAUUUCAAGUAAUACAACCGAGUUAACCACCAAGAGAACGGGUCAUAAGCUUACAUGGUGUGUUAUCUAAACAUCUUUCUCAACCCUUUACAUUAAUUUGUAUCGGUACACGCACUUUAUUAGACAUGCUUCGUAAGCAGUGUUUGAAAAGGCGCAAGGCGCAAAAAAGCGCAAAGGCCUUCUGGAGCCUAGGCGCGAGGCGCACCGCGAGGCGCACCGCGAGGCGUGUGCUUCAAGAAGGCGAGGCGCACAUUUAAAAAAAAUAAAACACUCUUAACAAGACUAAUUUAAAUGGAUGUUUUAUGUUAAAAAAAUUCAAAAUAGCUAUACAAAAACCAAAUAAUCAUAAAAAGUAAUGAAAUCAUAUAUAUAUAAAUGUUCUCAAACUAAAAGGAAAAAAAUAUAUUUCAACUUUCAACUUAAAAGUGCUUGUUGCUGGUUCUUGCUUUUUGUUUCUUGCUUUUUUAUAGCGGCUGCUUAUUGCCAUUAGAGGGUGGAAGAGAGAACGACCAAGAGAAAAGGAGAAAAAAGCCGUUCAAAUUAGGAAUCUUCUUUUCAAUUCCUUAACAUUUUAAAAUAUAUUGAAAAAUCCAAAACCCCAAAACCCAAACCCUAGACACAUUAAACGUAAGUAUCAUGAGGCGCGUCUGAGGCGCGCGCUUCACUUCCUGAGGCGCUGAGACCUGUGCCUCACGCCUAGGCGCUGAGACCUGUGCCUCGCGACUAGGCGCUGAGUCGCGCCUAGGUGCUGAGGCGCGCCUUUUCAAACACUGUCCACAAGAUAGUAUUUUAUCAUGAUCUUGAGAUACAUGCUAAGUUAUACCCUCUAUUUCAUAAUGUAGUUCUAAGUCAAAGGCAAAAAGGGGUUGGUGUGCACACAGUGACAUAGAGGGAUAAACAUAUGUCACUGUACUAACUGAUCGACAAACAUAUGUCACUCUACUAACUGGUCGACAAUCACAUACAGUAUAAUAUGUAUACUAUGGCAGAGCCCGCAUUCCAUGGGUCCUGUGAUGCUCUCUAACGCCAUACAAAUCUUGGUCGCAGCACCACUAAGGUACCUAAUCCUUGCAAAACUCGGGUCAUCUCUCUAACCCAAUUACUUAGAUUCGACUACUGUACAAGCUCGAUAUGGAAUUUCAGAAAAGACUUCUCACAUCCAACUCAUAAUCUCAUCUUAAACUAACUAAGGCGACUUUAAAAUUAUGUCAAAACUUUAUUUAUAACGUACAUGAACAAAGCAAUUUAUUACAACUAUCAAGGUUUAAUAUGAUUAUCUAGCCUCAUGAUUAUGUAGUCUCAUCCUGCUCACCAUCUAGGUGCCAAGGCGGCAAACCGUCGUGAAAUUAUCGCAAUAUAUGCCUAUUAGUAUCAAUUAUGCAAUCACAUAAUGGAAAAGUAUAUUUCCAUUAAGAAACUAUAAGAUACAAAAGUAUUAAUAAUGUCCAUACAUCAAAAUUUGUGAAAAUUCAAACUCCUAAUAUAGGUUUGGAACACAUUCCUAGCUAUCGGUUUGGUCAACGGAUCAGCCACCAUCCUAGUAGAGAUGUCUAUAGGUGACCUCUCGUAGCCUAAAAUCUCUUGAGUGUAGUAAAAACGAAUAUCUAUAUGCUUGGUCCUACUAUGAUAUUUAGGAUUCUUUAAGUACUCCAGGGCAGUCAUCCUGUUGGAGAAUAUCUCAAUAGGCUCUGCUCAAGUCACAACAUCGAGGUGCUGGAGAAAUCUCCUCAGCCAAAGAGCCUCCUGAGCAGCUGCCGAACAAAUAAUGUGCUCCACNUAUCUAUAUGCUUGGUCCUACUAUGAUAUUUAGGAUUCUUUAAGUACUCCAGGGCAGUUAUCCUGUUGGAGAAUAUCUCAAUAGGCUCUGCUCAAGUCACAACAUCGAGGUGCUGGAGAAAUCUCCUCAGCCAAAGAGCCUCCUGAUCAGCUGCCGAACAAAUAAUGUGCUCCACCUCAACCAGCUCUGUUUCUUACUACACUAGGAAAUUGCCAACCUCCAAACAAAAACAUAUAACUUGAAUUGGACUUGCGCUCAUCUCUAUCACAGUCCUAAUCAGCAUCACCAUAUCCUUUUAAUCUCGUCCCUAACUUGAAAGUGGAGAACAAGAUCAUUGGUUCCCUCUAGGUAUCGAAGGAUCCUUUUGAUUGCUUGCUAAUAAGCAUGUCGUGAGUUGCUUUACUAAUGACUUACCAAGCCAACAACGAAGUAGAUGUCGGGGCGAAUAUACAUCAUAGCUUACAUCAACCUGCCAACUUUAUUUGGCGCGUAAGGAACCCUACUCAUUUGCUCUUUCUCUUUAUCCGUUUUAGAGCAUUGAUCAAGACUCAGGAGAUGAUUUUUCUCCACUGGAGUGUCAAUGGGUUUACAAUUAUGCAUCCUAUUGCUCCAGGACUUUCGUAGUACAAGUUUCUUGAGACAAAUCAAGAAAUCUCCUAGAGACCGCUUUGAUGAUCUUCACUUGGAGCACAUAGCUCGCCUUACCCAUCUUUUAUCUCAAAGUUGAGAGACGACGACUCCUUAGUGGUAUGAUCAACUUUAUGUCAUUUUUAGCAAAUAGUAUGUUGUCGACAUAUAGGGAAGAACAGAAUCCCUUUCUCUAUCUUCUUAACAUAUACGCAGUUGUCUUUCUUUAUUAUGGAUACACCAAUAAAAGUGAUGGCUUCAUGAAAUCUGAAAUACCAUUGCUUCGUCGACAGCUUGAGACCAUCAAUGGAUCUUUAGAGACGAUAAACUUGGUCUUCUUGACCUUUAAGUGCAAAACCCUUGGGAUGAUUUCUGCUAAUUCUCCAUUAAGGAAAGUUGUCUUGACAUUCAUUUGGAAUAAUUCUAAAUUCGGAUGUACUAUUAAGGUUAAAAUCAGACGUAUAGAGGCAAAUCUCAUAACUGGGGCAAAUACUUUUGUAAUUAACCUCUUGCUUUUGAGUGUAGCCUUUGGCCACAAGUCGAGCCUUAUAUGUGUCGAUUGACCCAUUCGCUUUGCGCUUAACCUUUAAAAUUCAUUUAUUUUCAAUAGACUUGCACCGAGGUGGAAGGCCAACCAACUCCAACACUUUGUUCUUCCUCAGAGUCCAUUUCAUUUCUCAUAGCAGCCAUCCAUUUACUGCAAGCUGGCAUUUACGACGUUUUUUUAAGAAGUUGACUCAUCAUCAUUGAGCGGAAUACACAUGAAAACAUCCCCUUCAAUCCCGAAAUACCGACGGGGAAUAUUUCCACAUUCACUUCUACGCAAUUGAGGGCCUAGACUGUUAGCUUUCAAGGGUAUGCUCCCGCUCAUGGAAGCGCUCCCACUAGUAGGAGAAUCGCUACCACUUUAGCAAUUUUAAGAAGUGACCGAUCGCCCUCACCAACAGAUUGGGUGGGCUCAUCAUGUAACCACUGUUUAAAAAAGCGCGCCUAGGCGCUGCGCCUAGGCGCCUAGGCUCUAGGCGCACAGGCCAGCGCCUAGAGCAGCUCUAGGUGGGCGACAUGACUCAGGCGCGCGCCUAGGCAGCCUAGGCGCGCGCCUGGGCCUAGGCGCAAGGUGCCCUCAAGGCGCGCCUAGGUAAUAUUUAUAGUAAUGGGUUUGGAUCCAGAUUUUAUUGGUCUAACGGGUUAAAAUAUUUAAAAUAAACCCAAUACCCUAAACUAAACCCUAAAUAAUCAUCAAUUAUCUCUCUAUUCCCCUCUCCCUGUCCGCUCUUCCCUCUCCCUGUCCGCUCGGCCCCUCUCCCUGUCCGCUCGCCCCCUCAGCCAUCUCUCUCUCUCCGGCGCUCCCUCUCCGGUUGUCCUUGCUUCCGGCACUUCCUCCUUGCUUCUUCAACUCAAUCGCCUCUUCUUGUAAGGUUUUUUGUCUCUCCCUUGGCCUCUCUCUAGUUUCUCUUUUAAUUUUUUGUGCGCCCGACCUCUCUUGGGCGCGCGCCUGCGCCUUGCGCCUUGCGCCUAGGCUCCAACAGGCCUUUGCGCCUAGGUGCGCCUUGGGCUUUUUUAAACACUGCAUGUAACUUACAAAAUCGGAUGUCUCUCCGCACCAAUGCUUGAAAAUUCCUUCUCAAGGAAUGUCACAUUACACUAUCUUGAAUUCUCGAUCAUCCCACCAUCUGGGUGUUCACGAUACAUCACAUUGCAAUUUGAGUUUUUAAGGUACCUGAUGAACAUAUGUUUGCUUGCUUUAGGGCCAAUUUUUUUGAAUCUAUGUGAAAAGCUGUGAACAUAUCCAACCCCAAGGAUGUAAGUAGUGUAAAUUUAGUUUCCUACUACUCCACAACUUAUAUGGGAUAGAAGGCACUGAUUUACUAGGGACUUGAUUAAGGAUGUAAGCUACAGUCAAAAAGUAUCUUCCCCAAAACUUAUGGGAAGAUGAGCCUGUGCCAUUACCGACCUAGUCAUGUCCAAUAGGCAACACCAUUUUAUUGCGGAGUAUCAGGGAUAUUGAGUUGUCUACUAAUGUUGUUUUGCGCACAGUAUGUCUUGAAAUAAUUAGACAAGUACUCACGAUCUUGAUCAGUACGAAGCGCCUCAAUAUUUCUUUUUGUUUGAUUCUUAGCCUUCGCAACAAUGUGUUUAAAGCAAUGUAAAAGCUUUAGAGCGGCGAAAAAGCAAAUGCAUAUAACUUGAGAUAAUAGCACGCAUUAUGUCGGGUCCUCACAUUCACUGACCAACAAAUGUCCAAGUGAAUAAGCUCUAGGGGAUGAGAGGUAUAAGUAGCCUUACCAAAAGGCUUUUCACAUGCCUUCCCAGCCAGACAAGGCUCACAGACAGAUAAGUCAACUUUGGUGAGAGACUCCAAGCACCGGUUUGGUUCGGGGUUAAGGGGUGGAAUAACCCUUAACCCCGAAGUUAUUCCCAAACACCCAAUUUGGGGGGUGGGGUCCCCACCCCACCCCACUACUCCAACCAAACAAAACACUAUUUUACCCACUAUCCUUCUUAUCCUAUCUACUCCAACCAAACACUAUUUUACCUAUAUCUGGACUAAACCCAAUUCUCAACCAAACACAAAAUUACUCUAACCCCGCCUUAACCCUGAACUUAACUCUAUCCCUGGAAUAACAAGUUUUUACUUAACCCCGAACCAAACGGUGGCCAAAAGGCUUUCUCGAUCCAAUCUAUUCAUUCUUUCUUUAUCUAUAUGGCAUAAUCUGACAUGCUAUUUAACGGAUUCAUCACAGAUAUUAGAAAAAAGAAGAAAUAGAAGCAAAUACAAACAAAUCAUCUUCCAAAUCCAAGUUAAGAAACCAUCCUCUGAUGUACCAUAUUCAAAUAAAAUACUAUAAAAUGAAAUGUCUAGACGGUCAUUGUAAAAAUUGAAAGGAAUAGCCUAAACGUAGUAAAGCUAAAACUGAAUAUAGAUUAUAUUGAAUUCCGGGUGCAUAUAGCGCUUUUCGAAGAAGUGUGGCCGCCACAUAACUUGAGUCGGCCCGAACCAACUCCGAGGACUUCCUCUGUCAUGCCCCGGAUCCGUUUGCUCGGAUCUGAACUACAACAACCGGCCACGAAUCCGGAGGAAGAACCCCCGAAAAUGGAAGGCCUUAAAUAGAUCCAAAGCCACCAUCUCAAUUAAAGACUAAAUAAAAUAAUUUAUUAAGUAAAAAUAAAACCGAGCGAUAACCACAACAAUUGGCCACGAAUCCGGAGGAAGAACCCCCGAAGAUGGAAGGCCGUAAAUAAAUCCAAAGCCUCUCAAUUAAAGACUAAAUAAAAUAAUUUAUUAAGUAAAAAUAAAACCGAGCAAUAACUACUAGAUGUCCAAUUAAUCAAAUCUCAAAUCAAAAUAAACUAUAUGUCCAAAAGAUAAAAUCUAUCUAAUGAGUCCUCAUUGACUAAUUGUCUCACAAGCCCCAACUCUCGGUACAUGAAACGGUAGACAACAAAAGUAAAGCGCAAUGUUUAACAAAAAAUCUAAUUCAAAGGAUAACGAUAAUUUUUAAUUUGAAAUCACAACAGUCAUAAUUUGGAGCAUCUCCGCCAAGGUUUUAAGUGCCCGUCAGCACGGGUAGUAUCCACCAUGCUGUACCGUGCCAACAAGAUAUCGACAUGAUACAGACCCCAUGCCGAUGACACAGCUCAAAACCCUCUAUUCUUUAAAUUAGUAAGUAAUUUUCUCAAUAAAGUUCAAAAGAUGUGAUAAAAAGACAUAAUAAAUAGUUAGAAUAUUUUGUUGCUAAAGAAAAUAAAUAUUUCAUGCUAUUACGUGUCGGCACACAAGAAUUUUUUUGACCGACAUCCAUCGGCACGGCUCGGCACACACCGUGCCGUACCGUGCCGGCAAGUUUCCGGCACAACCCGUGCCACGGCACUUAAAUGCUUGAUCUCUGCUCCCUCGCUGUAACCAUGAGAGCUACAAUUACUCAUCGUUCCUCCUCCCGAACAGUGUACAGAAUAAAUUCCUCUCCUCCGAGGUAUCCGACCGAAACGGUCGUGGACGGUAGAUUAUUUUAACAACAAUAAGAAUAUGCAAAUAAAUAAGCCAUACCCAACAAUAAUUAUAAAACCCACUCGGCUGUAUUGGCAACUAGUAAAUAAAAUAGAUAAUUAUGGUGCCUCGGACCCACUCGGAUUUGCACAAUUUUUACUGUUUACGAAAAAGUAGCUUAACCAUUAAGUGCUUCGGAUUCUUUGUGCUUUGCUGAAACUUCAAAUUUAAAGCCCAGAGCCUUGUAGUUGAAGUUUGCCCAAGACUAAUAUUCAGGUUGUCCUACAUGUCCUUCGUAGUUUUGUAAGUCUCAAAUUGUCCAAUAAGGUCAUCUUGCAUGGCACACAACAUAAUGUACCUAACAAUUCGAUCCUCAUUGAACCACUUAUCAUAGACCUCCCUAUCACAUCGGAGCUGUGUAGAGUGCCUAUCAAAGGCACAAUGAGGGUUUCCAUUAAUCCUUUGUUCGUUUAGCAGGUAUUGUAUUUUCCUGUGACGAAAGUCAUUGUACUUUUUGUCUAGCUUAUUUUCUCUGGUGCGAUCAAUUGUGACGUUUUUGGAAGCCAUUUCACUACAUUCAAAAGUAGGUUUGGACAUUAGGCACAUUUCAAAAAUUAGUAAGAUUGAAACAUUAUCCCAAAAACUUUGCCAGGCUCGUGAUCAUCAUCCAUUGUUGGUUUAAAAAUUACAUUCUUGUUAAUUUUUCUAUUAAUUGCGAAACUUAUCCAAUAUGUAUAUGUAAUUUUUAAAAAUAGGAACAUGUCCAUUUUAAAGGAACACAUCUUUAAUCAUGUAUAAGAAUUUAUCCUGAUAAAACCAUCACGCAGAUAAAAAAAAGGUACUCGUGCCAAAAUUUAAUUCGAAUAACAUUGAUGAUGCGCGAAAACAUUUUCUCUUAUAUAACUUUAAUUAUUAUUAUGUCACUUUUUGCAGAAUAAAAUCUACUACACCAUUACAAAAGAUGCACAAAUAAAAAAGAACAAGAAAAUACCGUACACGUUGAAUCCGUUUUUCCAAAAUUAAAUUUUGUUAAAAAAUGCCGAAAGAACACAAGUACUUAAGUGCCAUACAACACAUAAAAAAAACGAACUUUUUUUUAAAAAAGUAGGAAGCAGCCCACUGUCCGGUCCAGCGCAUGAGCUAGGCCGCCGUACGGGCAUGACCUGCCUACUUGCUCGCCUUACUUUAUUUUUGGGAUUGUAAGAGGCGAAAAGCCACAACAGAUGUAAAAAAAGAGUAAAAAAUAUAUUUGCUGGCGAUAUUUGUAUUUGGGAAGUUCCUAAGAUGACCUCGCUUUCUCUUUCUUUCUUUCUUUCUCUCUCUUUUUCUCACUCAUUCUUUUUUUUUCUUUUCUUAUCUUGUGCUGCAAUACCAUGGUGCUGGAAUAUUGUUGCAGGAAUUGUGCUACAUACCUGCACUACAGUACUGCAACAAUAUUGCUAUAUCACUACUUGCAUCAAUUUAGUAUCAGAGCAAGUUAGAAACCUAGGACUUCUGCCGCCAUGAUUUUAAUCCUGAAUUAAAUAGUCGAUUUGGAAGUUUUCCCCAAUAUUAGAGAAACACUGGACAUGCUGUCCAAAAAUUGAAUGAAUGUGUGUAACUUUUGGAGAAGCCAACUCUAUUCUCUAUACAAGCUAUGUGAUUCAGGAUGACCGAAAUUCUGGAUAAGAUGGUUUUAGUUCCAACUGUUGCAGAUAGGAUGGAGGUGGUUCCAACUACUUCGGUUUUGGAUAAGGAUCAAGAAGAUGGUUUCAGCUGAUCGGAAGAAGGAUCAAACUGUUUAAUCAAUUUGGAUAAAGAUAAAACCAAACUUGACCGAAAUCAAAGGAUAAUGUUUGUAUCAAACCGAACUCUUGAAACUUGACUGGGUCAAGCUGUUGACUGAGUCAAAAGUGCCCUUGAAGUUGUGUCUCGGCUCUCGAACGACCCUCGAAUGCGCCACAAUCAAGCGAUUUGGUUGAGGGGUCAGCUCAACUGGGUUCUUCCUCAACUAUUAAACUUAGAAAACUUAAACAAACAGACUCGGCUGAAUGCUCGAGCCGAAUUGAUUAUGUUUGAUUAUGUUUCACUAAUAAAAUAGGAUCUCCAGGGAUUAAAGAAAACUAAAGUUUGGAUUACCAGAAAUUAAAAACUACACCACAAGCUGAGGGCUAACAACUACUCCUAGAAAGCUAUUAAAUGCUGGAAAUGGAAAGACAAAAUAAAGGCAGUGGUCUUUUAUGUGGGAAAAGACUUAUUGUGGGCAACCUUUCACUAUUUAUAGUGGUUUUCAGUUAGCCUACGGUUUUCGAAUGGCUAACGUUGUGGAGAGUGCUCUAGCUACAUUCCUGUUGGUUACGGCACUGUUCCCACAUUCUCAACCGUUCCCGCUCAAAGCUCAUUCAUCUUUGGGUGUUUCUUUAUCAGCUCCUAGUGCACCAUCUGUUAUCUUUUCAUUCGCCCAUGAGAGCAAGUCAUGUGAGCCGAGCCGUCUAUCAGUUGGCGCUAUUUCUCCUGCGCCAACUAUGACUCCCCAGUAGUUUUUCUAAUAGACGUUCGGAUGACUAGCGAUGUCAAAUCCACGGCUAUGAUCAAACUGUGUCUUCUUACCUAGUCAUUUCACAAUUAAUACUGCCGUCAUUAUUAAAACCCUUUCGACGGCAAAACCCUUCGUCUUCUCAAAACACUUCGUCUCCUCUGUUACUUUUAAAUUUUCGAGUUCUCUUUUAUUCCAUUAGAAUUCUCCGGCCUAUUGCUUUUUUCCUUCUAAUGGCCCCUACUCGGAUUCCCCUUUUUUAUUAAACCUCUAAGAUCGCCUUCCGUCUUCUUAAACGUUGGAGGCAGACUCUUCUUGCUUCAUCUUAGGUCCUUCCAUAGAAAAUUCGGAUAAAGACAUUUUCCCUUUUUUAGUCGAUGGCAUUCCCCUGACAGCAGAUAUCUUCUUUUUACAGUCUUGAUCCUCUUCCAAGUCCUCAAGAAAGAGCCUUCACACCUGGCCCACAAUUUCAGAUGCAUACAUUACUUGGCUCGACUGGUUCCAAGAGGUUUAUGAUGUCGUAUGGAAGAAGAUUAGGAUUUUCGAGGUGAUACAACUUUUCAGGACGCCUCUUCAAGCUAAUAACCUUUUUUUUUUCUCCGCCUUAAGCUUUUGGUCUUCUUCAGCUUCGAACACCUUCCUCUUCAAAUCAAGGCCCUUUACUUCGAUACUGUUUGAUAUUUGCUGUGAUUAUCGGACUUUGCUCUCAUGGCACUAUUAUCUCUUUGGCUCUCAGCUUGGCCGUGUAGUCGAUUUUGACCUAAUCCUAGACCCGAAAGUGGAUCUCGCAUUGGUAAUUCAUGAAAAGCUUUGUGCGCAAGGGUCGAACACUAUAGAAUAUGGUGCGUAAAUAGGAGCACAUUGCCUUUCUGCUUUAUUGGCUAUACUGCAGUUUUUUCUACAUGGUCCCAAAAGAUCAAUUGAGACUUUGUGCUAAUUGCCCUUGCUCUGGCUAACGACGAAAAACUCUCUCUCGAUCCUUACUUUCCUUUUUAUAUCAGGAGAAUUUUUAAUUGAUCAAGUCGUUGCACAAGAAGGUAAGCGACGUGGUCAUUAGUGCUAGUUGCAGGAUAUUUUGGUUUCUCCAGAUUUGCCUCUAGCUAUGCUACCCUAUCUUUACCGAGCGCUCCCCCUUUCGAGUCCGCUUCAACGAUUCAAUACCUACGGGCUCGCCCUCUGUUGUUAAGACCGUUCACCCAAGGUCAACCCUCACACUUCCCCACAUACUUCCAAGUCUUCUACUCCGAGGAGAGCCGACCUUUAGACUGCUGGGCGCUCCCCGAAAACCGAUCAGUUGGUCCUGACUCGUUCAAGGAACACUUUGAAUAUAUCCGGAAUCAGAUUGACUCGUUGGAGGUUUCCAAACACAUUGAGAUGUGGUGUUUCUUUCUGGCCACCUGAAAUAUUCACAUCGGCUUGAAGAGCCAAUCGAAACUUGCGUUGAGCACAGAGGUUUAUUGCCCGUAUUUGUAGCUCGGCAAUUCGUUUUGAUAAAAGCGCUACCGGCCUUGCGAAAAUUGUUCACCGCUAACACCUCUCGGUCUCGCCCAACUACUAAAAGGGUGGCCAAGGUUUAUUGGAUAACGGCUAUGGGGAGCUUGAAGUGCGAUUUCAUCCCGUCAUGUUUCAACCCACUAGACGGGGAUUGUCUCAUAACUUUUACAAACGGUCAUGGAGGGAUCUCUAUAAUAUUCUAUUUAUGUUGAUCCCGAGGAGGUGCCUUUGUAAGCUCGACUUCGAUUCAAAUCCCAUUCUUAAGAAAGGCAAAUCUGAAGGUACCACUUAGGUUUCUUUCUUUCGGCUUCUCAUACUCAUGUAUAACUCGCAUUUCAUUUUAUCUCAGCCGAACCGUACAAAGGAAAAAAGGCUGAUGCACUCAAGAGUGAGGCCUUAGGUGAAUGCUCAGAUGAAAAGGCGACUCCUUCGCCCAAAUCUUUACCAAUAAGCUUCUCAUAUUUUUCAUUUUUUUAAGCAUACAAAGCUUUUAUUAUUAUGUUUGUAUACCAACCGACUCGUAUCUAUGACCAGUUGGUUUGGAUUUUCCAUGGCAGGCUGCCAAACGAGCUGAGGAAAUUGCUCUAUCCCCACCAACCUCCAAGAAGCAACAAAUUACAACUGCCGAUCCUUCUUGGCAAGCUUCAAAAUAGAAAAUUCAUGCCUGAGAGCGGUGAGAAGCCCAAGCUUUAGUCGAUCGGCUCCUACCAGAGAGCCCAAAGCAAAGGGAAAAAAACUCCCUCUCAAGUUUUGACUAGGGAUAGCCCAAGGUUAACUCUGACAGAAAUGGUGGCUCAACAACAAAGGCUAGAAGCCGAGCGGUACCAAGUCAAGAAGGAGGUUGAAACAUCCAGCAAAACCCAGGAGGAGAUUACUGAGGCUGAGCUUGGCAUGAAAACUCGAGAAAAACUCCACAUAAAGGAGUAGUGGGCUCGACAAGAAGCUCAAAAACUGGAAAAGAAAAAAAAAGAAACGUUAAAGAAAAGGAGGAACAAGCGGAGGCUAGAAAGAAGGAAGAAAAAAAAAGAAAAGAAAAAUGAAGGAAGAGGAAGCUAAGAUGAGAAAAGAGGAGGAAAAAACAAAAAAAGAAGAAGAGAAGAAGUAAAGGAAGAAGAGCAGAGAAGGAUGAUGGAAUAAGAAGACAGAAGAAAAACAGAAGAGAAAGAGAGAAGGAAAGAAGUAGAAGAGGCCUUGGCUGCAGCACCUUCAGCCAAGGUUUUAAGCAAGCAAUUAACUGCCGCCCCGUGCCGUACGGGACGAGUUGUGCCGUAUCGUGCCCCCAAGAAAGGGGCACGGUACAGGGGGGGUUUCGCACCCCCUAGAGUCUCGCGGCACGCUGGUGCAUGCUGCUCGAGACAAAGUGGCACGUAUCGGCGUGCUGCCUUUGUUUUUUUGGCGUUUUUUUGGUUCUCUUUUUUUUUUUUGUGGCUCUGGGAUACAGAAGCGCCUCCGCCCCCCUCCCCGCCCGCCGCCCCCGCCCCCCGCCCGCCGGCCUCAUGCUAUUUCGCAUUUUUUUUUUUCACUUCUUCUCUUAUUUCUAUUGACAUCCGUGUAGUCUUUUUUGUGUCAACUUUUUUUUUUUUUUGGCUUUUUGGCUGAUGCUUUGAUGCCUUUUUAUUUUGCCUUUUGGCUUUUUCUUUUGUCGAAUUAAAAAUUUAUAAUUUAACUUCUUAUUUAUUAAUAUAAAAGCAAAUUUUUAGUUGACAUAUCCAAUCCAUUCCGCGGGGGGCGAAGCCCCCCGCACCCCUCUCGGAUGUUAGUGGUGGGCUACGGGCUCGGGGCCCUAUCGACCCGAGCCCUUCGCUUCCACCACAGACAUCUAUUUUUUUUUUCGCAAAUUAUUUUGUCAAAAUUUGUCGCACCGCGAAGCUUUCAGUGAAUCAAGGAAGAUCAAAUAUUUUUUAAAAGAAUAAAAAAAAAUAUGGAUGUAAUUGCGGUACUAUUCUGGUUGUUCUAGUCAUUAUAUGCUUCUUAAUCGAGUCAAUAUAUAGAUCUUGAAAUAUUUUUAGAAAAAAUAAAAUUUUCUAUCAUUUUAUCUGUUAUAAUUUUUUUGAUUCUAAAAAAAAAUAAAAACAAAAGAAUUUUCAAAUGUUACAACAUGGAUAGUUGUAUUUUUCAAAUAAAAACAAAAAAUAAAACAAAAGAAUUUUAAUUUCUAUUCUACAUCAGAUAUAGUUGUACUUUAUAUCAAGGAUUUAAGUGCCGUGGCAUGGGGUGGUGCUGGAAACUUGUCGGCACGGUACUGCACGGUGCGUGCCGAGUCGUGCGGAUGUGUGCCGGUCAAAAAAAUUCUUGUGUGCCGACACAUAAUAACAUGAAAUACUUAUUUUCUUUCGCAACAAAAUAUUCUAACUAUUUAUUAUAUCUUUUUAUCACAUCUUUUGAAUUUUAUUGAGGAAAUUACUUACUAAUUUAAAGAAUAUUGGGUUUUGAGCUGUGCCAUCGGCACGGGGUCUAUAUCGUGCCAGUAUCUUGUUGGCACAGUACGACACGGUGGAUACGGCCCGUGCCGACGGGCACAUAAAAGGCUUCAGCCGAAGCAGUAGAGACCGCACCUACUGUUGAAGUACCUUCGCAUUGUCGUUCGGCCCAAGUGGUCAUUGGUUCGAGGUCUUCUUCAGAGGAGACUUCUUCUACUUUUGAACCAGAAGAGUGUCCAAUAGCGGCUCUACAAGAACUAGUCGCUCGAAGCCCUUUGACUGAUGACUCGAUCUCCUAUUGUUGAAGUAUCAGCCUAGAUGAAGGGGAAAAUGGAGGCUCAAAUAUGCCAUGGGCCUUCCUGUAGAAUAGGCUUAAAAGGUUGGAAAACCUUUUAUGAUCCUGCGGCUUCAUCUGAUCGGCUAUCUUUCCCUCUAGAGUGAUGCUUCGUGGUUGACUUUCAGUUCGCCUAUUGGCAUUCAUUUCUUGGCAACAAACUCUUCUAGCUGAGAGCAACAAUUUGGACAUGCAUUUUUGUUGAUCAGUUCUUACAAGACGAAGGCCACCAAAUUGAUCGACCCUUUCGCUGACCUCCAAAAACAAAGCGAUGUCCUGAAGCAACAAGAGACAACCUUUCGGUAGAGAGUUAACUUUCUUCGACAGUAAUUGGCUGAAGUAGACUAAGCCUUCGCCAAUACUUCCGAUCAGCUUAAAGUUGUUCGAAGCCAAUAUAAGGCUAUGGCAAAUGAAGGGGAGGAAAUUUAUAUUGAACUUUCUAAUCUCUUGAAAGCCCAUUCCAUAGAAUGAAGUAAGUUGUUUGCCAAGCAAGCCCAAGCUGCGUUGGAAACCGAAUGGCGACAACUUAAAGAUCUUCUAUCUUAGUCAUUCGGAUUAUGUAUAUUCGGCUUUGUAACAUAACUGUCACGAUCUGACGCCUCCAAUUUGGAUAGCUCGGGCCCCAAAACAGACCUGCCGAACGGACAGAGUUUCCCUUGUCUGCCCGAUGCGUAACAAAGUCUAUCCAUACAUAUCCAAGUAAUAGAUAUAAGAAUCAAACAUUAAGAGAGGCAAUCACAGAUACAAGAGAAUUUAAACUAUCUAUUACAUUUCUUUUACAUAUGAAACAUUGCAUUCUUUUUAACAUGUUACAACUCCUUUAUGCACAAAAGGGUAAUCUCACAUUUCAUACAAAAUGACCACCUCACAUAUAUAUACAUCACAUAUCCCAAAAUGGCUUUACAUUUCAUUAACAAAAGGGUUUUACAUUCUUUUCUUGCUAUAUACGAGGGUAGUGAGCUAAUGCCGGUGGUCCAGUCUAUCUAGGGCUCGAUGCCCUUGCCGCGAUCCUCGACGUAAGCGCUCGUGCUGGGCUCUACAAAACAGGGUGUGAGAACUAAACAAAGUUUCCAGUAGGUUCGACCGCCGACCCCGCUGAUUUUUCCACUAGGUCUAAAAAGAGAUAGAAACAAUAGAUAGGUCAAUAUGACAACGAAAUGAUAGAUAGAACAAUAAGCCUAACAUGCUUCAAAUGAUAGAUAGGCAUAUACUUCUAUAUCAUGCUUCAAAUGUGUAGCUAUUUCUUUACCAAACAUAUUAACAAGUAUAAGUUUUACUAUGUCUUUAACAAUGUCAUCUAUCAAUGUUCUACUAUGUAUGCAUAUAUAUGAAAUGCCAUGCUCAUGCCUUGAUCCAAAUCCAAUCGGUUCGCCCAAAGGUCGAACCACAACUCGCUACACACACUGUCACGCCACCGUGACCGUACCUCCCGUCACUAUCUCACUGUGAUACAACCCCGGAGCUCACAACAUGGCAUGGGAGGCGCGACCUCCACAACCACAACAGACGACGCGAGUAUGAUCAUAGUCCUCCCGCCCGAGGACCGCAGGAAUCCCACAUCCCUAUCCAUCACAAGGCAUGUAAUGCUCACCAUAGGCUACAUAUGUAAUAUGCUCAAGUCCUCCCGCCCGAGGACCGCGGGAAUCCCACUCCCUAAUUCUCAUAAUGCCAUAAGUUCACAAUUCUCAUGAGUGAGGAUAUGCUACAUAUGCAAUAAUUUUCAAUUAUCAUAAUAGGUCCACAUACAUAUGCCUUCUAGCAUCUCAUGCACAUAUCUAGCAUAUUCUCACAACAUGUCCACAUGCACAUAUCCAAGUGGCCAUAAGCCCACAUAUCUAGUUAACAUGAAUCUAGCAUAUUCUCACAAUAUGUCAACAUGUAUAUAUCCUCUAGCAUUUCAUGCAUACACAUAUAUACAUCUAUCUCAACAUCAUGCAAUAAUGCACCUACAAGUAUCAUGCAACAUGGAUCAUCAUCCCUCUCACUAAGCAUGAAUUUACCAAGACUCAUAGGUGUCCCACAUAACUCAAUGCAUGAUGAUAUAUGAUCAUAUAAGUAGAACUUAGACAUAGAAUGACAUCCGGCUAUUUCGGAUAACAUGGAUUAAUAAUCGUCGUGGCGUCGUCACGAAGCGGGUAGCCAAGCAGCGCGAUUUAUAAUCGUCGAUUUUACCCGACUAUGGCAAACGAAGAUAAAACGACAACUUCUUGCAAUUGACCACCACCGGCUCAACGAAAUCUCAAUCCAAGCGAUCCUCCGCGUCGGUUUCACCUUCAAUUGCAGAAACAUAGGAUCAAUUGAGAUCAAAACCUAUCAUGAUAAAAAAUCCUCUUCUGAAACCCUAAAAUCCCUUAUAUUGCAAUAAAUCCAAAUCUCAUGAUAGUUUAUGCAAUAACAUGGAUUAAACUCAUCUAGGGUUCCAUUUAUAGUCAUUUCUAAGGGAUUUAUACACAACCCUAACCAUAAGCCCUCAAAUCUCUUGAAGCUUACCUCUAAACCAAGCUUCUCCUCAAGCCAAUGGUGAAGAAGAAGGAAGCUUUACCUCCAAGCAAGUUUCUCUCCACCAAACUCCACUUCUUGGAGCAACCCUAAGAGAGAGAGAGGUUUCUCUUUGUUGGUUCAAGUGGAGAGGAAUGAGGGAAAUGACAUAACACCCUCAUUAUAUACACUUCCAUUUGCAACAUUUACACUUUAGCCCCUCACAUAACAGGGUUUAGCUGAACCUACGCUUUCACGCGUACGGGGUUCGGACCCUACAUGCAGGGUCCGGACCCUGAGAGCAUUUCUAACGCGACAAUUUUCGAAAAUCUCACAUCUUGCUCUCCAAGGUCCUUUGUACCCCUAUAAGCCAUUCCGAUCACUCGGAACACUCAACGGACCUCUCUAAAGCGUCCAAUACCACACUUUGGUCAAUUUCGACUAAAGUUUGGUUUAGCGCACCGAGGACUCGGUACACUACAUCCUCCCCUCCUUUAAAGAAGUUUCGUCCUCGAAAUUUGAAAUCAUACCUUAAUUAGAUUCCGGGAAGAGGUAAUGAUACUUGUCACGCAUCUUGCUCUCGAGCUCCCAAGUAGCCUCUCAUUCGUCAUGAUUACUCUAUUGGACUUUGACAUACGGAAUCGAACGAUUCCGUAGCUCUUUUUCCUCACGAGCUAGUAGGCACACCGGGAACUCGUACGUCAUAUCCUCCCGAAGUUCGGGUGGCUCGUAUUGGAGCACAUGCGUGGAAUUGGAAACAUACUUGCGGAGUGUCUACGCAUAGAACACAUUGUGCACUCUCGCAAGUCGAGGUGGCAACGCUAACCGAUAAGCCACGGGGCCAACCCGAUCCAAAAUCUCAUACGGUCCAACAUAGCGAGGACUUAACUUUCCUCGCAUUUCGAACCGCUUAACGCCUCGCAUAGGGGAGGCCUUUAAGAAUACCUUGUCUCCAAUUGCAAACUCGAGGCUGCGACGACGCUUGUCGGCAUAACUCUUUUGCUGAGACUGUGCCGUCAACAUCCUCUGUCGAGCAAUGCGAACUUUGUCCUCGGCUUCGCGUAGCACAUCCGAACCCAACUCAAGUCGUUCUCCGACCUCACCCUAAUGUAUCGGGGACACUUUCGUCCAUACAAGGCCUCGAACAGAGCCAUUCCGAUGCUCACUUGAUAACUAUUAUUGUAGGCGAACUCCGCCAUAGGCAAAUAACUAUGCCAACCUCCCUUGAAGUCAAGAACACACGCUUGCAACAUAUCCUCAAGGAUUUGAAUUGUCCUCUCCGACUGACUAUCGCUUUGAGGAUGAAACGCGGUACUGAACUUGAGUCAUGUGCCAAGAGCACUUUGCAAGUUCUUCCAAAACUGGGAAGUAAAUCGAGGGUCCGGAUCUGACACAAUUAAUACCGGAACUCCAUGUAGUUGGACGACCUUAUCCAAAUAAACUUGCGCUAGUUUGUCACCUGACUAUGUGAUGUGAAUUGGCAUGAAAUGCGCAGAGUUUGUAAGGUGAUCCACCACUACCCAUAUUGCUUGCAUCGUGACUACCUUGGGAACGGGGUAACCCCAUGACCAAGUCCAUAGUCACGUCCUCCCAUUUCCACACGGGGACUCGUAAACUUUGCAACUUUCCCACUGGGAGUUGAUGUUCAGCCUUAACUUGUUGGCACACUAAACAUUGCGCUACAAAGCGACCAAUGUCUCUCUUCACCCCGGGCCACCAAUAAUGGAUCCUCAAAUCCUUAUACAUCUUGGUGCCACCCGGAUGUAUGCUAUAAGGGGAUUGAUGCGCUUCUUGCAUGAUCUCGCUCCGCAUUCCCUCAUCACUAGGAACACAUAAUCGGCCUCGAAACCGGAUUGUGCCAUCGGAGCCAAUGCUGAAAUCACUCGCACGUCCACCCUCAACGUCACGUCGCACCUUUUGGAGAUAAGGAUUUUGUAACUGUUGAGUCUUAAUUCUCUCCAACAAGGUCGGUUGCACUACUAGGCUUGCAAGAACAAUUGGGACGUCCGGAGCUACCACCUCCAAAUCAAAACGCCGUAAUUCUUCAAGCAAUGGCGGUUGGUUAGUAACCAACAUCGCAAGAUUUUUUGCCGACUUCCAACUUAGUGCAUCGGCAACCACAUUAGCUUUUUUCGAAUGGCAAAGAAUUGUGACAUUAUAGUCUUUCAACAGUUCUAACCAUCGGCAAUGCCUCAGAUUCAACUCUUUCUGUGUAAACAGAUACUUGAGGCUCUUGUGGUCGGUGUAGACUUCGCAACGCUCGCCAUACAAAUAAUGUCUACACAACUUGAGUGCGAAGACCACAGCAGCUAACUCUAGGUCAUGAGUGGGAUAAUUUUUCUCAUAGCUUUUCAAUUGCCGGGAAGCAUACGCAAUGACUCGCCCGCGUUGCAUUAAUACACACCCAAGACCCAGUCGUGAAGCAUCACUAUACACCACAAAACUCUCACCGGGAGUGGGUAAAGCAAGGACCGGAGUUGUAGUCAAUCUCUUCUUUAAUUCUUCAAAGCCCCGAGCACAAUCCUCGCUCCACGCAAACUUAACUCCUUUCUGAGUAAGGCUCGUGAGUGGAAGAGAGAUCUUAGCAAAUCCUUCCACAAACCGUCGAUAAUAGCCGGUAAGGCCCAAAAAGCUUCUGACCUCGGUCACAUUCGUCGGGUGAGGCCAAUUCCUUAUUGCCUCCACUUUUCCCGAAUCAACCGAAACUCCAUCAGCCGAGAUCACAUGCCCUAAGAAAGCAACUUUCCAAAGCCAAAAGUCACAUUUCUUUAACAUGGCAUAAAGCUUCUCCUGAAGUAGCUGUAGCACAACUCUCAAGUGCUCUAUAUACUCAUCGUCGCUCCGAGAGUAGACCAAGAUGUCGUCUAUAAAGAUUACGACAAAUCGGUCCAAAUACGACUUGAAAACACGGUUCAUUAAGUCCAUUAAAGCCGCCGGGGCAUUCGUAAGUCCAAAUGGCAUAACCGUGAAUUCAGUGCCCAUACCGUGUUCGAAACGCGGUCUUAUGCACAUCCUCCGGUUUGAUCUUCAAUUGAUGAUAGCCCGAUUGGAGAUCAAUCUUGGAAUACACCUGCGACCCUUGCAACUGAUCAAACAAGUCGUCGAUACGGGGCAACAGGUACUUGUUCUUAAUUGUGACCUUGUUCAACUCGCGAUAAUCUACGCAGAGUCGAAACGAUCCGUCUUUCUUCUUCACAAACAACACCGGGGUUCCCCACGGGGAUACACUUGGCUUAACAAAGCCCUUAUCGAGAAGGUCUUGCAACUGUGCCUUCAAUUCUCUCAAUUCCGCUGGUGCCAUAUGGUAUGGAGCUUUAGAAAUCGGUGCCGUUCCGGGAACUAAGUCUAUCACAAACUCGAUCUCCCGGUCCGGUGGAAAUCCCGGUAAUUCCGCGGGAAAUACAUCCGAAAAUUCACAUACUACCGAAAUGUCCCUAAGAGCUGGGAGCUCCUUCUGAGUCUCCACCACCGAUGCCAAAUAAGCUACACAUCCACUCUUGAUCAACCUUCUCGCUCUUGACGUCGACACCGUCAUAGCAAAGAGCGAACUCUUGCAUGCACGAUAAACCACUUCUUUCUGACCAGGCUCACGAAAAGUGAUCACCUUGCUUUUGCAAUCUAUGGUGGCAUAAUACUUCGAGAGCCAAUCAAUUCCAAGGACUAUGUCGAAGCCUUUCAUCCGGCUCAACACAAGCAAGUUCAUUGGCAAAAUCCAAUCGCCAAUUUGCACUGGAUAAGCUAUACACGCUCAUCCUUGAUACUAAAGGUGUGCUCAGGUGUAUCCACCCACUAAGAAUCUGCACACAACGAAAUCUCAAUGUCAUGAGCUUUAGCGAAAGACAUGCUAACAAACGAGUUUGGUGCGCCAAUGUCAAAUAAUGCUCUAGCUCUAGUACUAUUAACUAGGACAAUACUUGCCACGACAUUGUCGGCUAUGGCAGGCUCCUCCACUUGAGCAGCAAAAACUUGUCCACUUGGCGCCGCACGAGAUCCCUCGGCCUGACGCGGCACCAUGGCGCGUCGAGUAGACAUCGCGGGCGGAUGUCCCUCAAACUGUCCUGCUUGCCCACAUUGGAAACAUUUAUCACGCUGACCACAUUCGUGGGGUGGAUGAUUUCCCCCACAAAUGUAGCAGUGAGGAGGUCCACGAUCCUUCCACGGCUUCCGCGGAUACUUCGGAGGCUUCUUGAACUUCGAUGGCCCACCGGGGCCACUAGCCGUUCGCUUCUUCUUCGCACCCUUAUCACUUGGCUCGCACUCCGCGUGCAUCUUAACAAUUCCUUGCUCCACCCAAAGAGCUCUAUCAAACACCUUGGUAAAAGUCUUUAACUUUAAGGGUUGCAUCGCCGCAGACUUACCGCCGAAGUCCACGCUCGAUGCAUCCCGCCUUGUCCUCAUCAUUCCGAACCACAUGCGGAACGCAAUUCAUGAUAUGAGAGAACUCCCUCUCGUAUUCUCGAACAGUGCAAUUCCCUUGCUUAAGACCUCGAAAUUGCUCUUCCAUCUUUUUCUUAUCAUUGUCCGGGAAAUUAACGCCAUAAAGCAACCCUCGGAACUCCUUCCACAUCAUCGGGGGUAAUGUAGGGGAGUGAUUCCGAAGAGUCGCCUUCCACCACACAUGGGCGGACUUCUCAAGGCAAUGCACAUCUACCUUGCACCUUAUCUUGCUCAAGGGUGUAAAGAUCCUCGAACAAUUUCUCCAUAGUAUCCACUCACGACUCCAUUUCCCACGGGUCACCCGACUCCCCGUUUAUGAUGGGCGGAUUGAACUUCUUGAAGGCGGUGAGGCAAGCGAGAGCUCGAUCCUUCUCGGCCUCCAAUGUCAGAUCAAUAGGAGUCGAAGUACUUGACAUCGCUGGACAAGUGCCCGCCGCAACACCUGGCAGCGCGGGAUAUGUCGUCGGCGGUGCUGCCGUCGCACCCUCCCUCUCUGCUCCAGAAAGGGCGCGCACAGGUAAGGCGGGCGGCUGCUGGGUGACAGGUGUCGCCGCUACCUGUCGGGAUACCAACUCCCGAAGUAGCGCCACCUGUCUUUCUGUCGCUGGGAGACCUCAGCCAACUACUGAGAAGCUUCAGCUUGCCUCCGCACCACUCCAACAAAAGCGGCAACUUGAUCCCGCAAGUCCUGAAUCUCGACGGACAUCGACGACUCAGGCACCUCAGGAGGCGGUGCCGGAUCAGGAGUAGGUACCAUUGGAGGUGGCCUUCCACGUCUCAUAACGUCCUGAAAGAAAAUAACAACCCCUGGUUACACUCCACGAAUUCGCAACUAACAUAAGUUAGCAACACAAACAGGACAACCCAAUUAGGCGAAAAUAAGACAAGGGUGCUUAUUCUCAUCUCUCGGCAUCAUGUUGUCCGACGCCAACAUUACCUCCUCAAGUUUAAGAAUAAAUCACACUUGAAUCCGUCUCUAAGGCCCAUUAGAGACACAACACCACUUGACCUAAUUAUUUCACUUCCGCCAAUACCAUAAGUCAUCGUCUCUCACGUCCCUAAAUCCUUAAGGCCACAAGUCCUAAGGUUUCCUAGGUCCUCCUAGACCGUUCUCCGCUCUAAUACCACCUCAAUCUGUCACGACCCGAUGCCCGCCAAUUUGGACAGCUCGGGCCCCAAAACAGACCCGCCGAACGGACAGAGUUUCCCCUGCCCGCCCGAAGCGUAACAAAGUCUAUGCAUACAUAUCCAAGCAAUAGAUAUAAGCAUCAACAUUGAGAGAGGCAAUCACAGACACAAGAGAAUUUAAAUUAUCUAUUACAUUUCUUUUACAUAUGAAAUAUUGCAUUCUUUUUAACAUGUUACAACUCCUUUAUGCACAAAAGGGUAAUCUCACAUUUUCAUACAAAAUGAUCACCUCACAUAUAUAUACAUCACAUAUCCCAAAAUGGCUUUACAUUUCAUUCACGAAAGGGAUUUACAUUCUUUUAUUGCUAUAUACGAGGGUAGUGAGCUAAUGCCGGUGGUACACUCUAUCUAGGGCUCGAUGCCCUUGCCGCGAUCCUCGACGUAAGCGCUCGUGCUUGGCUCUACAAAACAGUGUGUGAGAACUAAACAGAGUUUUCAGUGGGUUCGGCCGCAGACCUCGCCGAUUUUUCCUCUAGGUCUAAAAAGGCAUAGAAACAAUAGAUAGGUUAAUAUGACAACGAAAUGAUAGAUAGAACAAUAAGCCUAACAUGCUCAUAUACUUCUAUAUCAUGCUUCAAAUGUGUAGCUAUGUCUUUACCAAAUAUAUUAACAAGUAUAAGUUUUACUAUGUCUUUAACAAUGUUAUCUAUCAAUGUUCUACUAUGUAUGCAUCUAUAUGAAAUGCCAUGCUCAUGCCUUGAUCCAAAUCCAAUCGGUUCGCCCAAAGGUCGAACCACAACUCGCCACACACACUGUCACGCCACCAUGACCGUCUGCCGGGGAUGCACUGUCGCGCCUUACCCCCCGUCACUAUCUCACUGUGAUACAACCCCGGAGCUUGCCGGGGAUGCACCGUCGCGCCUUACCCCCCGUCACUAUCUCACUGUGAUACAACCCCGGAGCUCACAACAUGGCAUGGGAGGCGCGACCUCCACAACUACAAUAGACGACGCGAGUAUGAUCAUAGUCCUCCCGCUCGAGGACUGCGGGAAUCCCACAUCCUUAUCCAUCACAAUGCAUGUAAUGCUCACCAUAGGCCACAUAUACAAUAUGUGUCACGCCCCGCCCCGAGACCGCUACCAAUUUGGCACGGUUCGGGCGCAUUGGACGGACGCCGAACGGGCAGCAACUCCCCUGCCCGCCCAAGGCUCACAACCUGAUCAUGUACAAGAAUUUACCCAGGAACAUUAAAUUCAUACAUACACGAUCAACGGGGCACAAAUAGUGCCAACAACGAAGAGCAAGUAAUCCACAAGAUACACGAGUGAAAUAAAGAGAGAACUAUUAACUAUUACAUCACAUUUGCAUUCUUUAUACAAUUACAUUUUUCAUGAAACGAAAACAUGUCUUCUAAUUUCAUCAAAUACAUAGCUCUCCGAAUCCUCACCUAUAUAAAUCUCUCUCAAAUACAUAGGUGUGCUAAUGCAAAAGGAAAGCUACUACAUACUACUGCUCGGGCGCGAUGCCCUUGCCGCGGUCCUCGCCCGGCGAACUGGUACUAGGCUCUGAAAUAAAGUGGGGUGAGAACUAUCUUCCAUAGUUCCCAGUGGGUUCGGCCACCGACUCCGCCGAUCUCCCCACUAGGUCCGAGUGGGCAAAAGCAGAUAGAUAGAUAGAUAUUAAAGCUGUAAAUGCAAUAGUAGGAAAGCUAUGCUACUAUGCCCAAUCAUAUGUCAUAUAUGCAUGCAUGAAUCAUAUAGUGAAAUGUCAACUACUAUGCUACCAUGUCCAACCAUAAUGUCCAAUAAGCAAUGUUCAAUUAACGAUGCUAUACUCUUGUUCAAUCAAUCCUUGGCCAUCCACUUGGGUUCGCCCAUGACUCGCCUCAAACCUCGUAUGAUAAGGAGACGCACCUCGCUCUCAAACCCGGGGCCGUCUGCAGGACAUCAACUCGUCCCUCUCGUACCAAACUCCGGAGUGCACGAAGACUCGGGUGGAGCGACCACCACAAGUAAAAAUAGACUGUGAGUAUGAUCAAUCCUCUCAACUCGAGGAUACCCUAUCAACUCUAGGUUUACAAGUCACUCGGGAAUCCACCUAUCCCAAUGUCCAAAUACUAUGUUUGGCCUCAUCAUGUGUUUAUGCAACAAGUCAUUUUCUAGAGAAUCCAUCUAUCCCUAAGUUCACAUGUCUCUAGUGUUAUUUACACUAAGCCAUAUACUAUUUUUCAUGUCUUUACAUUCAUCGAGUUCAUCUCUUUUCCUUGGCACUAUAGGAUUCAAAUGUCAAGACCCAAUCCUCAUCUAGCCAUAAUCAUGCACUUCUACUCAUACAUCGAUAUCAAUAGUAAGCAUAAGAAAUGGAAACUACAAUGCAAUCCUACAAUGCAACAAUGCAAGAGAUGCAAUCAUAAAUGCUAUGACAUAGAAAGGAGUCCGGUUGCUUAGGGAUGACACCAUCUACCUUUUGAGGGUACGAAGGUUCUAGAAAUGCUUCUCGCCGAACGUUACGACGAGGUCUCAACCUCCUUGGUCCAAAACGGUGCUCAAUCGGCUAUAUUUCACCGAUAGCUCUUCACCCGCUCGACGAAUCGAAAAUCCAACUUCGCCCCCGCGUUUAGACACCUAUCAAUUAGGUUUACAAGCCACUAAAUGAGAUCAAUCUCAUCAUUUAUCAAAAACCUCCAUUUGGGUGCCCUAAGGUUCACAUCUUGCAAUUUGCACCAUGAAACCCUAGCCUCUAGCUCUAAUCCACCAUUAAUGGUGCUAGAGGUCUAUUUGACCUCAUUUCCAAAGCUCAAAACCCAAAACCCUAGGUUCUACCAUUGUUAGGGCUCAAGAGCUUACCUCUAGGUUAGCUCCAAUGAAGAGGAAGAGGGAGAGGAAGAUGCUCCAAGCCUUCUCUAGCUUGCUCUUCUCCUUCUUCUUCUUCUCAUUCCUUUCUUCUUCUUCUUCUCCUUCUUCUUCUCCUUCUAGAGAGAGAGGGAGAGAGAAAUGAGAGAGUGUGAGAGUGAGGGGUGACAGAGAGGAAAGGGGUCAGUCCCUCUAUACCCCUCUAACUAAUGGCAUUUUUGCAAAAAACUCCACUUUAUUUCUCUCAACCCAGGCUGCCUGGGCAAAUUUCGCACGGAGGGACCGGUCCCUGGUCGGGAGGACUGGUCCCCGAGACAAUUCCUCCAAUUCUCACGUACGGGAACCGGUCCCUGCCCGAGAGACCGGUCCCUGGGAGACCGGUCCUUGCCUGAGAGACCGGUUCCCGAAAGUGGGAUUUUCAGGACUUAGCCAAAUUUUCCUCUGCUCGUUGAUUUCACCUACGGGGACCGGUCCUUCAGCCCUGGGGACCGGUUGCAUCAAGCAUUUCCGCAACCACCAGCUACGGGGACCGGUCCUUCCCUGCCAGGGACCGGUCCCCGAGAGCAGAAUCUGCCAAGUGCCAGAUUUUGCACUAUUUGCUCUCGUAGACUCGACUCCAAAGCACUUUUUGUGUUUUGGACAUCUUUAGCUUCUCCAAAGCAUACCCACUCGACAAUUAGUCGAUUCUGGACGAAGUACAACUCGGGUUUCGAGAAUUCACUUCCUUACAAUAUGCUCCAGUCCUCUCGCCAGAGGACCGCGGGAAUCCCAUAUCCCUAAUUCUCAUAAUGCCAUAAGUUCAUAAUUAUCAUGAGUGAGGAUAUGUUACAUAUGCAAUAAUUUCCAAUUAUCAUUAUAGGUCCACAUACAUAUGCCUUCUAGCAUCUCAUGCACAUAUCUAGCAUAUUCUCACAACAUGUCCACAUGCACAUAUCCAAAUGCCAUAAGUCCACAUCUAGUUCACAUGAAUCUAGCUAUUCUCACAAUAUGUCAACAUGCAUAUAUCCUCUAGCAUUUUAUGCAUUCACAUAUAUACAUCUAUCUCAACAUCAUGCAAUAAUGCACUUACAAGUAUCAUGCAACAUGGAUCAUCAUCCCUCUCACUAAGCAUGAAUUUACCAAGACUCAUAGGUUUCCCACAUAACUCAAUGCAUGAUGAUAUAUGAUCAAUAUAAGUAGAACUUAGACAUAGAAUGAAAUCCGGCUAUUUCGGAUAGUACCCCCCACCUUUUGGCGUCGUCACGAAGUGGGUAGCCAAGCAGCGCGAUUUAUAAUCGUCGAUUUCACUCGACUGCGGCAAACGAAACUAAAACGGCAACUUCUUGCAAUUGACCACCACCGGCUCAACGGAAUCUCAAUCCAAGUGAUCCUCCGCGUCGGUUUCACCUUCAAUUGCGGAAACAUAGGAUCAAUUGAGAUCAAAACCUAUCAUGAUCAAAAACCUUCUUCUGAAACCCUAAAAUCCCUUAUAUUGCAAUAAAUCCAAAUCUCAUGAUAAUUUAUGCAAUAACAUGGAUUAAACUCAUCUAGGGUUCCAUUUAUAGUCAUUUUUAAGGGAUUUAUACACAACCCUAACCAUAAACCCUCAAAUCUCUUGGCUAGUGUUUGGUUGGGGGUUAAGGGGUGGAAUAACCCCUUAACCCCCAACUUAUUUCCAAACACAUCAAAUAAGGGGUGGGGUUAGCAAACCCCAUCCCAAAUAGGCUAUCCCGGAAUAGCCCAUUUUGGGGGGUGGGGUUAGCUAACCCCACCCUAUCCCUAUCACGCCCCAAGACCGCUACCAAUUUGGUCCCGUCCGUGUGCGUCGAACAGACGCCGAACGGACAGGACCUCCCCUGUCCGGCCAAGGCCAAGCAAACUGAUCAUGUAUAAGAAUUUAUCCAGGAGUCCAUUCAUAAAUACACGAUCACAAGGAGCACCACCAGUGCUGACCAAUAAGAGCAAGAUACAAGUAUGAAGCAUACUAGUAAAUCAAGAGAGAAAGUUCUAUCUAUUACAUUCAUUCAACCUCUUUGAUACAUCGAUUACUUCAAGCAUAAACAUAAAUAAAACAUGCUUUUACAUCCUUCAAAAAGCCUCACACCUAUACAUCAUCUACUCUCAAAUACAAAGGGUGACAGCUAAUGCAAAAGGAAGUAAAGCUAGCUAUGUACAUAUACCAAUAGGGUGCUAUGCCCUUGCCACGAUCCUCGCACUCGCCGGGGACACUCGAACUGAGACCUGAAAAGAGUGGGGUGAGAACUAUCUUCCAUAGUUCCCAGUGGGUUCGACUGCCGACUCCGCCGGUCUCCCAACUAGGUCCAAGUGGGCACAAGUAGAUAAACAGAUAGAUAGAUAUGGAAAGCUGUAAUGACAGAAUAGUAAAGCUACACUACUGUGCUCGAAUCAUGAAUAUGGAGAAUGCAUGCACAAUGAAGUAGAUAAUCAACUAGCUCGUCAUAUGUCCAAGAAGUAAGGCUAUUUACUUGUUCAUUAACCCCGUGGCUCACUCAAGGAUUCGCCUACUACUCACAUAGCCAUCUCGACGCGUAGGGAGACUAGACUCAAACUACGAAUCCGAGACCGUCUGCGGGACCCCACAUAGGCCAUCCCUCGAGACCCCAAAUAGGCCAUCCCCAUCCCACGGGACCCCAAAUAGGCCAUCCCUCGUGACCGACUCCGGAGCGCACUACUUGUGUGGAGCGACCAUCACAAGUCGAGAACAGACAAUGAGUAUGAUCCAAUUCUCCCACAUCAAGGGUACCCUGUCCUCUAGGGUUACUAUCACCAUAGUCAAUGGGUUUCAUAUACGCUACGACUCACAUAUGCCACUCGUUCUUUGUUUAAUUAACAACUAGAUGCCACUCGUUCUUUUGUUUCAACCAUUGCGUCAUUCUUUUACCGCUGCACUAUAGGAUUACAAGUCUCGACCCAAUCCUCAUCAAUCCCCUAUAUCCAGCAACUAAUACAUAAUAUGAUAUCAGCUAGGAAAACAUAAGGAAAGGCAAUGCACAAUUAUCCUACAAUGCAUGUGAACACAAGAUGCAAGGUCUCAAAAUACUAAGACAUAAGAGGGAGCCCGAUUGCUUCGGGAUGGUCACCACCCACCUUUGGUGAUGCCGCAAUGGUAGAAACUCGACUUCGUAGUCCUUGGUCGACGCUUUGGCUCCUCGGGCUGAUUCGAACCCUUAAGCGCUUGAUUCGGCGAUAUCUUCACACCCGCUCGUCGUAUCAACGAACCGUCUUCACCGACGCGUUCCGAGACCUAGCAAUUAGGUUUACAACCCGUCGAAAUAGAUCAAGACCUCACAUAUCCAAAAAUCCCAAAAUGUGCCCUAAAAUGGCAACGAGGGAGAAAUCCGUGGUGCGAGCUUCAAAUGCGAGCUCGAACCAUCACCCUAGCCUCCAUAGGUUCCAUUCGAACCACCUCUAAGCAAUAAAACCCAAUCUCAAGAAAUCCACCAUGGAUGGGUUUGAAGCUUACCUCUAUACCAAGCUCCAAGCUUGUUCUAGCUUGAAGGAGAGAGGGAAGAAGAUGAUCCUCUUCUUCUUCUUGGUCUUCUCCUUCCUCUUUCUCUUCUUUUCCUUCUUUCCCUUCUCUUCUUCUUUUCCUUUCGUUCUAGAGAGAGAGAGGGAAAGAGUGUGAGAGGGAUAGAGAGCAAAUGAGAGGGAGAGAGAGGUCCCCCACCUCUCAUAUAGGCCAUUUUAUAGAUAGCCCCCUCAACUUUCCAUCCUCUGCAGCAGCCCUCACUGGGCAUUUUCGCAGUGAGGGACCGGUCCCAGAUCGGGGAGACCGGUCCCCGAGAGCCUUCCAUCUCGGGCAGAGGGGAUUUCGCGUUCGGGAACCGGUCCCUGCCUGAGAGACCGGUCCCCGGGAGACCGGUCCUUGUCCUGAGAGACCGGUUCCCGAGAGUUAGAUUUUCGGGACUUAGCCAAAUUUCGGCCAUUUCUCGCUGGGCUAACGUUCGGGGACCGGUCCUCCCCUGCCAGGGACCGGUUGCAUCAAGGAUCCCCGCAAGCCCAGCCUGAUGGGACCGGUCCCUCCCUGCAAGGGACCGGUCCCAGAGAGCAAAUCUGCUCCAGUGCAGAUUUUGCAAUGCUGCUCUCGCAGACCCUUCCUUAAUGCACUUCAUGCAUUUUAAUCACCUCCGGACUUUCCGAAGCCUACACACUCGACAAUUAGUCGAUUCUAAACGAAGUCAAAUCCUCGGAUUUCGAGAAUUCACUUCCUAACAAUCCCACUACUCCAACCAAACAAAACACUAUUUUACCCACUAUCCUUCUUAUCCCACCUACUUCAACCAAACACUAUUUUCCUUAAUCCUGGACUAACUCUAAUUCUCAACCAAACACAAAAAAUACUCUAACCCCACCUUAACCCUGAACUUAACCCUAUCCUUGGAAUAACUAGUUUUUUUUUAACCCCGAACCAAAAGCUUACCUCUAAACCAAGCUCCUUCUCAAGCCAAUGGUGAAGAAGAAGGAAGCUUCACCUCCAAGCAAGCUUCUCUCCACAAAACUCCACUUCUUGAAGCAACCCUAGGAGAGAAAGAGAGGUUUAGAGAGAGAGAGAGGUUUCUCUUUGUUGGUUCAAGUGGAGAGGAAUGAGGGAAAUGACAUAACACCCUCAUAUAUACACUUCCACUUGCAACAUUUACACUUUAGCCCCUCACAUAAUAGGGUUAAGCUGAACCCACGCUUUCACGCGUACGGGGUCCGGACCCCGAGAGCAUUUUUAACACGAAAAUUUUUGGAAAUCUCACAUCGUGCUCUCCAAGGUCCCUCCCUUGUACCCCUAUAAGCCCUUCCGAUCACUCGGAACACUCAACGGACCUCUCUAAAGUGUCCAAUACCACACUUUGGUCAAUUUCGACUGAAGUUCGGUUUUGCGCACCGAGGACUCGGUACACGACAAUAACUUUUGUAUAUAAAGUAUUCAUUUUAUGCAUUUUUCCAUAUAGUGGGAUAGUACAUUUUUAAAUAUGUUUCAUUGAUUGACUUGUCAUUUUUCAAUUCUUCUAAUGUCUUUGGAUAAUACACAUUUCCUCUCAUGACUCUAGUUACUUGAAAUGGUCCUUCCCGAUUUGGAGACCACUUUCCAUGCAUUCGGCUCUUUUUUUCAAUUGGCAAUAUUAGUCUUAGUAGUAAGUCCCCAACCCAAAGUCUUAGAUUUCACUCUUUUGUUGUAUGCUCUCACGACUUGGUUUUGAUCAGCACUUAGAUGAUCAAGUGUCUCUAACAGAGUUUCAUUUACUUAAUCAAGCCCAUCAUAUAUUAAGAGUUUGUAUUUUUCGGGUGAUAGCUUUUCUUAAUUUUCCACUCUUAAGGAUGUGAUAAUGAUUUCGGCCGGUAAUACCGCCCUUAUGCCCAUAAACCAACCAAAAGGAGUCGUUCAAGUCGCAGUCUUAAUAGACGUACGACAUACCCAUAAUACCUCCGACAGCUUGUCAUCCCAUUUUCUCUGAUGUUUCUCAAUGUGCUGCUUUAUCAUGUAUUAAUAAUAAUCUUGUUUAUCGCCUCGGCCUGUCCAUUGGCCUGAGCAUAGUAGGUGUAAUAGUUUUCGGAAUUAUGAAGCGAUGUAUAAGGGAAUCCUCAACAAAGUUAAUUAUAUCUUUUUUAGUGUCCUAUCUUGUUGGUUUGGCUUCCACCAUUUACUAAAAUAGUCAACGACCAAACCCUCUAUUUAAUAUUUAUGACCUGCCGAUGAAUUCAGUUGAAUCUCUUCAAUUAAAUCUAUGGCCCAAAUCCUAAAAGGCCAAGUUUGAGUAUUGUAGGCAUUUUGGACGUUGGAGCCCUCUGAACCAGCCCAUGGAGUUGACAUUCUUGACAACCCUUCAUAUAUUUUAUAUAAUCCUCAUGCAUGGUCAGCCAAUAAUAUCCUAGGUGCUGAACUGUCCACCUCAACUUUCUUUGGCCAAGUGUGCUCCACACAACCCCUCAUGAAUCUCUCACAUAACUAACAGAGAUUCUUCAGGUCCUAGACACUUUAGAAGUACUUCUUCAGUAGUCUUUUUAUAUAAUUGUUUCAUCUAAUGGACAGUAAUCAACUGCCUUCUUUUGAAUCUGAUAGUUAACUCGGCUGUUUGGAUUAUUUAAAUAAUCAAUUAAAGUUUUCCUCCAAUCGCUUUCUGCUAUUACUGGCGCAACCAUCAUUGGUUCCGCAAGUGAACUGAUGGUAGUAAUUUUCUCUGAAUUUCAACUUGGCUUUUUCUCAUCGGAUCCUUGUACCCCGAAGCCACUUGAGCCAACUCAUUAGACAUCUUCUCUCCACAGGUGCGCUAGUUACACAUCUUUAAACCUACUAAGCAAAUAUAUCGUUUAUGUAGAUAACUCCGAAGAUUAGGACUUUCACAUCGGUAUUCUCCUGUCACUUGUUUUAUCACCACUUGUGAAUCACUGAUUGCCUUUAUGUAGUUUGUGCUCCUAAUUCAUUCAAGAUUUCAAGGCCGAUUAUCAAAGCCUCAAACUCGGCCUAAUUGUUUGAACACUCGAAAUCCAAUUCAAAAGAGAAUUGUAAACUCCUAGCUUCAGGCAAUUUUACCACAAUCCUAGCUCCCGUCGAAUUGGAUGUUCUAGACCCAUCAAAAUAUAAUGUCCACCACGGUUGAAGACUGACAAAACUCAAAGUCGGUUCCUCGACCUCGACCUCGACGCAUGGGUAAUCGGCUAGAAAGUUGAGUAUAGCCUGACCCUUAACAGCUCUAGCUGGAACAUAGUUGAGAGAGAGCAUGGAUAACGCCAAAACCCAUUGCCCUAUUCUUCUGCUUAAAAUUGGUUUUGACAACAUAUGUUUGAUAAGAUCGGUCUUGCAAACAACUAAUACUUCAACCAUUAACAUGUAAUAUCUUAACUUGACAGCUCUUGCUGGAACAUAGUUGAGAGAGAGCAUGGACAAUGCCAAAACCCUUUGCCCUAUUCUUCCGCUUAAAAUUGGUUUUGACAACAUAUGUUUUGAUAAGAUCGGUCUUGCAAACAACUAAUACUUCAACCAUUAACAUGUAAUAUCUUAACUUAGUGCAGGCGUAGAACAAUGCUAAACAAUUUUUCUAUUGCCGAGUAACGUUUCUAGGUGUCAAGUAAACGCCAAUUUAAAUAAUAAAUUGUUUGCUUUUCUUUAUGCUCAUUCUUCUGAGUCAGCAAACACCCCAAAUUCUAUUUUGCGGGCGAAACGUAUAAUUUUAAUGGCUGACUGCGUCGACGUGGGAUAAAAACUGGAGGCUUUACCAAAUGUUCCUUGAUGUUUGAGGAUUCAUUUUAAGAUUAUACUUCCUCAUCCAUUUGAAGGCUAAUUCUAAAUUAGUCCAAUGAUCGACUUUAGACUUAGAUUUGACUACGAUAUCGUCUAUGUAUACUUCUAAGAUUCUACCGAUCAAAUCAUGAAAAAUAAAAUUCAUUGCCCUCUGGUAGGUGGCCCUGACAUUCUUUAAGCUGAAGGGCAUCACUACCCAUUUGAAGGUUCCAAUCGAACUUGGGCAUCUAAAAGCUGUUUUGAUAUAUCUUCUUCGGCUAUGAAAAUCUAGUUAUAAUCAGUAUGCCCAUUUGGGAAAGAUAGGAUUUCAUGACGGACUGCGGCAUCUAUUAACAUAUUGGCUGUCGGUAUAAGAUAUUUAUCCUUCGACAUAGCUGUAUCUAAGUUUCUAAAAUCAAUGCAAAUUCCUAGUUAUUCAUUUUUCUUAUGUACAGGAACUACAUUAGUAAUCCAAUCAACAUAACGAGCCACUCUAACAAAUCCGGUUCUUAAAUGAUUUUUAAUUUUUAUUCUUAAUUUGCAUUACAAUAUCUGGCUUAAACAUAUGAGUCGGUUCUUUAUAAGGCCUAAUUCCUUUUGCCCAUAAGAAUUUCGUGGGUUAGAAACUUUUAAACCUUUCCAAUACACAAAAAUCCUAAUUUUAUCUGGGAUUCCCAAAAACUAUGGCAAAAUCCAAAUCCAAUAGCCAAUCUUUAUAAUUUGUGGUCUAGAUUAGCUUAGGACUUGAUAAAAAUUCAUUUGUAAGGGUUAAAUCCAAAACCCUAACUCAAAACCCUAAAAAUUCACCAAUGCCCUGGCUUCCUCUAACUUUUUCUUGCUCCAAGAAGCUUACCACCUCCAAAGCUCUCUCAAGCUUGAUUUCCACAAAUCUCCUCGUGUUGGAGAUGAUCUAGAGUGAGAGAGGAGCAAAGAGUGAGAGGGAGAGAACGGUGUGUUUUCCUCUUGUGCACAAGUGAGGGGAAAUGGCUGAGGUUUCCCCAAUAUAAAGGGGUUGCAACAAUUGCAAGAAACUCUCCUACAUUUUUCUAUUUGCGACCGGUCAAAAUUGGACUUUCACAGCAUUGAGUACCGGUACUCGAACUUUAGUACCGGUAUAUGGGUUUUUAGUUCCGGUAUCACAAGCCUAGUUCUGCAAAACCUGAACGAUAGUUUUUUGAGUUUUCUACUGCGUACCAGUAUUCACCCAAAUCAGUACCGGUACUCAAAUGAAUCAAUGCCGGUACUCGAGAAGAGUUCCGCAAAACCCGAAUGUUAGUUUUCUGUCCUUUCAACAGAGUUCCAGUACUCAAUUUUAGUGCUGAUAUUCAAUAUAAAAUUUGUUGUUUCCAGCAGAUUAACUUCCCGAAGUCUGUUUUUGCACUGAGUUCGCAUCGAAAACACUCGACUUGUCCCCAAAUCUCGCUGAAACUAUUCAAAUAGCCUUCUAAGCUACUUUCCACUAAAACUCCAUAAUUUGCAGAAUUCAAUGCACUACAAAUUAGAUUUAAUAUACAAGCAUUGCAUGUUGUUAGAUUUUUUGGCUUGCUUGUAUGAAAGUUAAAGUCCCUUACAUUACUAAUUGCUUGUGAAAAGUCUUAUUUUGUGAAUAUACUCUUUCUUUUCAUCAACAAAUUGUGGGACCCUCAUCUUUUUGUUGCUUUGUUCUUGUGGUAUCGAAUAGAUAAUAACUUUGAUACUCCUGCACAUACACUUAUAUUUGGGUUUGCUUGGUCUAGUUGUUGUUCUUACACUGCUAAAAUUGUAUACUUAUAGAAAUAUCAUUAGUAUCAUGUAUCUCGAACAACUCCAGCUAUUUGGUCGUAAUUUUUGGAAACUCCGGUGGACUUCCCAUUUGUCAUUGCUGCAGUUUUUAACAUUAAUUAUGAUGACUGAAUUUGGGCCUUCACAAGCUUUUAUUACUGAUUAUCUUACGAAAAUCACUGAUCUAAGCAAGUUUUUCUAUUUAUUUUGAAUUAUAGGAUGGCUCGUAAUAUUGUCUAUAUUUUGUUAAUCUUUUUAAGUUGCUUGGUUGAUUUUACUUAUUUUUUUCAGCGUAUGAAGAUGGAUAAACUUUUCUAAAUGAGAAUCUGGCUUGAUUAGUAAACCAUCGUUUUCUAAUAUGAACAACAUGACAUUGAAAUGAGCUUAAGUGCUUUUAUAAAUUGUUUGUUCUUAAUGUCUUUUUUCAAUGUUCAUUUCCUUUCAAUCCGAAGCAAAUGUGAUAGGUAGGGAAGGAGUUACUUUUUGAGACAAUAUUUUGGUAAAAUGAGUGUAGCAAGAUUGAAGAUCAUCAUUUGCACUUUGAUAACAUUUAUAUCUAGGUUUGAAUUAAGUGGACAGCUAAGUUUCAUCAUUUAUAGAUGCCAUCUUUAUACUACUUCGCACUGUAUUGAUUACUUUAUACAUAAGUCAACCUUGUUAUUAGUUUUUUUUUUUAUUCAAAAUCAUAUGCAUUUUCUAUAAGAAACAUAAAUAUAUUAAGUAGUUUUUUGUGAAACUUGCUAUGGGUUUAUAUCGCCCUCUAUGGCAUCGCUGUCCACUUUCUGCUAUGAGACACCUCAAAUGCUAUGUACUCGCUAUCCGCUAUUUAUAACCGUACUCAUUUGUAUUCUGAAUGACUGCCAUUGCUUAUUUAGGUUUCUUUUAUCCAUAUAUUGUUUUCUUUGGGCAAAUUGCACCACUAUGAAGUUUCAGUCAAUUUUGAUUUUGGUCCUCGAAUUUGUAAGUUUGACAUUAGAGACCUUAAACUGUUAAAUAACUUUCACUUUAGUGUUUGUACAUAUUUACUAUUGCGGGGCAAAUCAUUGCCACGCUUAGUGAAUUUGUGCACCAGUGCCUACACACUGCAUUUUUACACUACGUUAUAUGUAUUUAUUUACUUCCUAUUCCAUCUUGUAAUUGACCCUCUCAUGUAGUAAGUUACACUCUUUUCUCUAGUUAGAAAUUGGGCCAUUGGGUUAAAAAUGUGACAUGGUUGAAAGACUAGUGUACUUGUCAUGUACUGAUUUAUAAAUGAACAAGGUACUCAAAUUUCAGGGAGUAGUACUGCAAUUUGCCCUAUAUUAUCUAAAACGCCAUUUGGGCAUUGUGCAUUACCUGUGUUUAAAUCACCUUAAAUGAAAACGUGGUAUUGAAAAGAGUAGUGAAAUCCUUGCACUUAAGAAUCCGAAGAGAAUGGUCGCUAACCACAGAAAACAGAAACUUCAAUUACACAGAAAAUGUACUAAAUUGUAUUUCUAACUAUUGGAAAUCGAAGGUGCCCGAGGAGUAUAUACUGUGAACUCUGGGGAAAGAGUUGAAGAACGUUUAGAACAAUCCACUAAGACAAACAUCCCUCGCUGGAGGAAGGAUUUUUUUUUUUAAUUUUUAUUUUUUAUUAUUACUCUUAUAGUCAUCUCAAAAGCUCUUGUGGUCUUACCAUCUUGUUUUACUCUUUCUAUGUCUGGACAAAGUUUGUCCUACUUUUUGGCUGCUUCCAUAAUGUUUUUGUUUUUUCUGUAAAAUUGCUGCAUUUGAUAUCCUGGGAAAUUGUGUAUGAAACUUGAAUGACAGCUAUAAUGGGGCAUUUGUUUUGGCAUAACUAAAUAGCAGAGGUGGUAAUUUAAUGUUAGUCCUCUGUUUCAGUUGAAAUUUAGUGUUGAGUCCUCUGUUUCGGCUGUUUUGUUUAACAGCAGUGCGUCAAGUUGGCAUAAUCCGGUGCUGUUAGCCCCUCAAGGUAGUGUAACUUACUUUGUCUGUUCAUAGAUCUGAAUUCAUUUACACCAAAUUUAGGUAUGAAUAACUAACAUAAUAUUGAACAGAUUAAAUAAAGCGAGUCUAUGAUUUUCUUUUUAUUUUAUUUUUUUAUUUUUUCAGUAUGUGAACUUUCUUUCAAAUAAGCUAAGCUGAAAGAGAUACUGCUUUUUUACUUCCUCUAAGAUAACCUCUUCUGGUGAUUGGUGACUUCACCCACUUACAUUGUGUUGGUUCCUCACUCUACUACUCUUCUCAGCGUAGUGUUGUGAACGUGGUGCUUCACCAUUUGUAUUAGGAUGAUGUAUUUACAGGUUCUGCUGCCUAGUUCUUCUCACCUUAUCUCAUCAUCCACUGGUGGAGAGAUUAGGAACAUCUUUCACCUUUUAUUCCGCACCUCAGCCCCCACAUAAUAAUGUGUGUAAAAUGAUAUUAUCUGCCGGUGGUGCUUGAGGUUAAGAAAGGUGGAAUAUCUCAUUUGAGAAGUGUCAUUUGUGAAAAACUUUUGAAAUCUCUUUCCUUUAAUAUUAUCCUCACAUUUUUAGCUAUUUUAAAUACAAAAAGUGUGAGGUGGUACUGACAUGUCAAUUUUGUACAAAGAUUCUUAAAUUCUCAAAAAUGUUAAAUUGCUAGCCAAUGCAUAGAAGUACAUUAAAUAUAUAUUAGGAGUAUGUCUCAUGUGGAAUGUGCAUAUAUCAGUUGUAAAUACAGUGUUGCUGUAUAACUGGACUAAGGAAAUGUGAUCAGUGCUAUGAUAAUUUAAUUUCUUAUCUAGCUAGUGAUAGAACGUAAUGAGCGCUUGUGAACUGUGAAUUAAGAGUAUUGUCUUGUGAACUUUGAAUUAAGAGUAUUGUCCACUUUACCUCUGUUUGAAGAGCUACCUUAUGAAAUAGACAAAACUUGUGGGUUUUUUAGUAUUUAAAAAAAUAGGGGUAUGAUAAGACUCGCAUGGAAAUAUUGACCUUGGAUGGGUAGUAAGGUGGACGAUUACGCCCACUUUUAGAUGUAUAGGUGGCACUGCUAUGUGAAAUAAUAAAGAGCAUAAUCAUGCAAAUCUUUCAUAUUAAUUUUACUAUUUAGCUAAUCAUGGUAAAUCUUUUGUAUCUUACGGUUCAAUGUUUUCUACAGGUUUCUGCUUCACUUAAUCUGGCAGAACAAAAGAAAAAUCCAAAAUUAAUAGCUGAGAGUACCUGGAAUUUUGAAAUAUGAGACAGGUGAACAGGUGAGCAAAUACCGCUUGCAAUAUGAGAUGUUGCUUUAAACAUCAAUUGUUGUUUUAAUUUGCUAUAUUGCAUUCUUGGCCAUGAGAGGCUGUUCCGAACAAACUAAGUCUAUUGUCCAAAAUGUUCAUCUUGUAACAGAAUUGCCGCGUAUAAUUUAAUGAGGUUAUAACAAGGCAACUGGCAUUUGAUCAUUUAGUUUUCAAUAUUUGAAUACUCAAAACACUUUCGUUUUGCGUCUCCUUUCAAUUACUUUCUUGCUCAGUAUGGAUUUCCAGGAUAAUUGCCUCCUGAGCGAGACCUCUGUACUGGCAGGGAAAUUGCCCCCUUCUUUUUAUCUUUUCAGUUUUAGGUAAAGUGAGCUUUCACGAGAAGAUUAUGAUUUUCUUAUUUUUAUAUGAAUAGAAAAUUGGAUGUGUAAGUUGACAAAACUGAAAUAUGAUUAUGAUUUUCUUCUUCUAGCUUUUGCUUUUGGCAUGCGGAGUACUUUGUUCUUAACGAUUCAUUUUGUGGCAUUUUGAUGCACUCAAUGAUAAUUUUCGAAAAUUAUCAUAUUUAAUUUUUAGAUGUUUCAAAUAUUACGGAUUGUGUUUAACAUUAUAUUUCAUGGUGUCGAUCUCGAUCCAAAAUUUUUCAUUGUCAAAAAAUAUGUUUUAGAAUGGAGGGCUUCGUCCUAUUUGUGGCUAUAUAAUGUGCGUUGUAGAUUGUUUGUCUGAUAGAUGAACAAUGUCACGCUCCAGGCUAUAGCGGAAGCUUCGGGUGCUAGGGAUGUCAAUAGAUUGGAUUCGGGGUGGAUUUUCAAAAUUCGAACCCAAACAUGACUGCCAAAGCCGAUCUCAAAUCCAAAUCCGAUAGAUUUUAAAAAUUCUUUUCCGAACCUGAACCAACCAAAAUUUCGAAACUUGAUCCUGAAAUAAUUAUUUCUCUUUACCAUAUUGUACAAUAUAUUAUAUUAAAUUUAAAUUUUUAAAAUACAAAUUCAAAUAAAACAUCGCACAUUUAUAUAUAGAAUAGAGCUCCUAUGUUUUUAAAAGUAUCAACUUGUAAGUUUUAGGCUCAGAUUAAGGGAUGUGCGGUUAUGAUGAUAGUGGUUUCUUAGGGUUGAGUGGGUGGUUGAACAGUAUGAUCUAAUAAGUGUAUGAUCUAAUAAGUGAAAAUGAUCAAAUGGUAGAUAUAACGGUGAAAAACUUAAAAGCGUCAAGUGCUUGGUGCUUUUAAAAGCACCAUAGCCGAACUCUUUAUAUAUAUUAUAUGAUGUAAAAUCUAUAUUAUAUGAUGUAAAAUCAAUACGUGUUUGGAUUUUGGUUGGGUUCGGGUUGGGUACAAAUAAAUCCAUACUCGAAGCCAAAUCCGUCGGUAUUUUCAUUUUUUAUAUUUAUAUAUGAAACUAUAUCCGUUUGGUAUUGGGUAAAUUCGCUCUGUUGGAGUUCAGAUUCGGAAAAAUUUUUUUGGGUGUCCGUAUACAUUGACAUCCCUGCUGGGUGCACCAACGGACCCGUCUUAGGCACGAAGUGUCUAAACAAAUCCAUAACAAAACAACAUGAAACAAGAGUGUUGAACUAAAACAAGUAUCAGAAUCUACGAAUAAUAAUAUAACAGGUUUAGUAAACAUGUACAUACAACAUUCUCACAACUCCAAAAUAAAAUAUUCAUACAACUUCUAACAACUCCAAAAUAAAAUAUUCAUAUACAACUUCUAUUAGUCUCGCCGGUUCAUACUUCAUACAUGUACAAGCUGCUGUACAAAAAUAAACAUAUACUGGUGGUGGUCCUCCUCUAGCCCGAAUACCACAGGAAGGAGAUGGUAACAUAGUAUAAACUGAGUUGAAAUAAAGAAUAACAACCAUGCAUCUAUACUAACUAAUGAAAUCAAAACUAGAUAUCUGCAUCAACUAGCAUACUAGAAAAAGGAAUGCUGCAUAACCCAAUCAUAACAACUAAUUCAUAAGUCCAGUCAAGCUUGCAUUCGCCAAGUGCCCGGUGUAACGACCCGACCCCUAGCAAUAAUAACUCGUCGGACCCAAAACUACUAGCUGAAAACGCUUAAGCUUAGUUAUUAUUACUACUGUGUUCGUCAUUUAUAAAUCUCUCUUCCGUAUUAUCCGAUGUAGGACUAUUGUGAUGUUUCCCCUCGUUUAGGCCUUGACGUCCUCGUCAUCCCGACCCAAUCAUACACAGUCCUAGAUUCACCAGGCGAUGUGAGAUCCAUCUCACACUUCCGACUGGUUAUCAGGCUCUGAUACCAAAUGGGAGAAAGAUUUAUAAGUAACAGACACUAGUAAUAAUAACUAGGUUAAAGCAUUUUGGGCUAGUGAUUUGGGCCCAACGAGUUAUUCUUACUAGGGGAUUGGGUCGUUACAUUAGGUAUCAGAGCCUCAUAACUAGCCAGAAGUGUGAGAUGGAUUUCACAUUGCCUGACGAAUUUGGGACUGUGUAUGAUUGGGCAGGACUGACAAGGAUGUUAGGGCCUAAACGAGGGGAGUAUGUGACAUCCAAUAGUCCUACAUCGGAUAAUAUGAGAGAGAGAUUUAUAAGUGAUAGACACUGUAGUAAAUUGAACUUUGGCAAAUUGCGAAGUUUGAGUGUGGGAAUAUCAAUUGAAACUAUUCCACAUUUUUUGAGGGGUUGUAGAGAGGUUUUCGGCAAGUUAGUGGAGUGAUCAAAUGGCCGAAAGCGCAAAAGUGCAUUGCAAAAUACAAUUUCAGCACUUUGCAUUGAGUACCAGUACCAGCGCGGGUACCGGUACCCAGCACAGCAGCAGCUGCAUAGCAGUAAGGCUGUUUUGGUCACUUGGCAUUCAAUACUUAUCUCUUAAGGGUUAGCACGACUCCUGCAUCUGGUUAGGAGGUGUUGGAGCAUAGAGAACCAGGUUUGAGCCUUUCCCUUUCUCUCUCUAGGGUUUUGGAGAUUUGAGAAGUAGGAAGUUGUGGAUUUGAGUUCAUUUUCUUCCCCUCUCUUGUAGCUAGCUGAUUUGGAGGGCUUGGGGGCUGUUGUUUGUUGUUGGAGAGAGAGAUUUGGAAGUAUUUUGCAGACUAAACUGUGAGGAAGUGAAUUCUCGAAAUGCGAGAGUUAGACUUCAUGCAAAAUCGACCAAGGGUCAUGUUGGUGAGCUUUAGAAAAGCCAAAGAUGUCAAAAUCACCAAAAGUGCAUUGGAAAUGAGUCCAUGCGAGCAAACAGUGCAAAACAUGCACUGGAGCAAAAUUGCUCUCGGGGACUGGUCCCUGGCAGGGAGGGACCGGUCCCAUCGGCUGGGGUUGCGGGGAUCUUUGAUGCAACCGGUCCCUGGCAGGGAGAGACCGAUCCCCGAGCGUGAUCCCAGCGAGAAAAGCCAAAAAUUUGGCUAAGUUUCGAAAAUCCUACUCUUGGGAACCGGUCUCUCAGGAAGGAACCGGUCUCCCGAGGACCGGUCUCUCUGGGAGAGACCGGUACCCGAACGCGUGACCCGAGCUGAAGCUCUCGGGGACCGGUCCCAAGUCGGGGAGACCGGUCCCUCUGGGUGCAGAAUGCCCAGUGAGGGGCAGUGCACAGAGUGAAAAGGUGAGGAGCCUACUGGGAUAUUGUUACAAUAUGAGGCAUAUGGGACCCCUCCUCUCUCUCAUCCCCUCAUUUCCCUCUCUCCCUCUCUCACACUCCCUUGCUCUCUCUCUCUCUAGAAGAGAAGAAGAAAAAGAAGAAGAAGAAGAAGAAGAAAAGAGAAGGAAAAGAAGGAAGAAAAGGAAGGAGAAGAAGAAGGAGAUCAAGGAAAAGAAGCUUUUGGAUUUCUCCCUCUUCCUCUCUUCUCUCUAUUAAGCUAACCUAGAGGUAAGCUUUUAAUCCUAGCUUAUGAAAUUUAGGGUUUUUGGGUUUUAGCUCUUUGGAUGGGAUCAAAUGAAUCCCUAGCACCAUGAAUGGUAAGAUUAGAGCUAGAAUCUAGGGUUUUGAGAUGGGUUUAACUUGGUGCUAAUCCUAGGGCUCCAAAAUAGGGUUUUUGGUAAAGUAUGAGAUUGAUCUCAUUUGAGACCAUGUAAACCUGAUUGCUAGGUAACGAAACGCGGGGGCGAAGUCGGAAUUUCGAUUCGUCGAGCGGAUCAAGAGCUAUCGGCAAAAUAAGGCCGAUUGAGCAUCAUUUGGACCAAGAAGACCGAGGCUUCGUCGUAAAGAACGCCGAAGCACAUUUCUAGAGCCUCCGUAUACACAAAAGGUGGGGGGUGUCGUCCCGAAACAUCCGGGGUUCUUUUUAUGUCUAAGUUAAUUAUGUUGAUCAUAUUGCGUUAUAGGAGUAGUAGUUGUACAUUUCCAUUUCCUUGCAUGCUUUCUUGGUAGUGUAGCGGGGUGAGCUUGACACGUGGACUAGGAUAGUAUGAGGAUUGGGUUUUGUGACAUAGAAUCCUAUAGCGGCAUAAAGAGCCGAACUUGGACAUAGCCUAGUAGAGUGGCAUUGAACUAGUGUGGUAGAAGCACUAUGACAUGAACGAGUGACAUGUAGAAUAACCGAGACAUUUACUACAGUGACUGAAUGAGUGGCAUCGAGUCUAGUGUAGUAAACUUGACCUGAACCUAGGGAUAGUUGUAAGGAGGUGAAUUCUCGAAAAUCGAGGAUUGUACUUCGCCCAGGAUCGACUAACUGUCGAGAGUGUACCCUUUGUGGGAGUUGGAGAUGUCCAAAACACAAAAAGUGCUUUGGAGUUGAGUCCGCGAGAGCAAAUAGGCAAAUCUGGACUCAGCAGAUUUUUGCUCUCGGGGACCGGUCCCUGGAGGGAAGGACCGGUCCCCGUAGCUGAUGGUCGCGGGGGAGGUCGAUCGACCGGUCCCUGGCUGAGGGGACCGGUCCCCGUGCGCGACACCCGCAGGAGAAAGCCAAAAUUUGGCUAAGUCCUGAAGGUUCCCCGUUGGGGAACCGGUCUCUUAGGAGAGACCGGUCUCCCAGGGACGGGUCCCUCAGGUGAGGACCGGUUCUCGAAUGCGAAAAGUCCCCAGACUGCAGGGAGAGCUCUCGGGGACCGGUCUCCCCGACCAGGGACCGGUUCCUCUGGGCGAAAACUGCCCAGUGACAGCUGCGUGAGAGAUGAAAAGCUGAGGGGUCUAAAUGCAAAAUGGCCUUUAUUAGAGUGGGCUGGGCCCUCUCUCUCCCUCACACCCUCUCAUUCUCUCUCUUUCUUACACUCUCUCUUUCUCACACUCUCUCUUGCUCCCCCUCUCUCUCUCUAGGAAAGAAAGAAUAAAAGAGAGGGGGAAGAAGAAAGAGAAGAAGAAGAAGGAGGAGUAGAGGAAGAAGAAGGAGGAGAACAAGAUAGAGAAGGCUUGGACCAUCUUCCUCUCUUUCUUUCCUCUCUGUUGGUGUAGCUCAAGGGGUAAGCUACAAACCCUAGCUUGUAGAACUUAGGGUUUUGGGUUUUUAUGCUUUGGANUGUUUACUAUUCUAGUCAAAGUCCAAGUAAUAUUCUAAGUCAGUAUCUGUCCACAUGUCAUGAUGAAUGCUCAAGUCAAAUCUAAAGAGACCCACCCGAAGGCUGUCUAUGGCCCUGAGACCCACCCGAAGGCUGUCUGGCCGGUGCCGAGCCUAAUGGCCCCGUGGUAGUCAACAUCCCCACCCUAGGAAUGAGCCUGGCCCACGGCAAUCCACUUCGGCGCCCAAUCCCGCACGGCGAAUAUGUAUCGCGAUGGCUAUCUCCGGAGUGCCGGCUUUUAGGGAGCGGCCCUCACAAGCAUGUGCGAAUGAGCACAAUGGCAAGUAGUCAAACGAGCUGUCGCAAGUACCAAGUCCUCAUGUCUAAUAACAUGGAACGUAUCGAAUGUCUCAAAGGCCUAUCUCUACGUCAUCAUGUCUCUAACAUGGAAUAUAUAUAGUAGAUGUACAAUGGCCUAUCAUCAUGUCUCUAAGUUGCAUUUUAUAGUUUACUAAUUCCAAGUGCCUCUUUAUGACACUUUUGUUCAACGAGUCCCAAGCAUGGCAUUAACAUGUUCAUAAUGCAUAGUUCUCUCAAUUCUAGCAUGGAGACAUGUUCUCAACUUGCGAAACCAAGUACUGUCCACAAUGCAUGCAAUCUACACAUAUAGCUCUACUAUAUGGAGUACAAAUUUUUUUACGAUACAUGAGGCAUGCAUGUUAAGUGUUCUAAAAUUCAUAUAAAUCAUGUUUAGCAUGAAUUUGCAUUCAAAAAUACUUUACAAACGUUUAGAAGGCAUAGGGGCCAUUUUGCCCCAUUUUCAUGAAGUCAAACCCACCAAAAGAAUCGACUUAUUCGUUUCGCCGAACGAAGAUAUCCAUAAGCUCCCUAGUACCCUAGAAACAUCAAAAAUAGGGUCACCCAAACGAAACGAAGAGCGAAUAGCUCAAACAUUAACCAACUCAAGCUAAGGUUGGGGAAGACUCACCUCAAGUGGAAAACCCUCUCUAAAUCCUCAAAUGGAAGGUAGAGGUCUUCCAAUCUAACUUAUAUAACGGUUCCAAACCCAUCAAAAGAGAUCAAGAAGCCUCAAAUCCAAAACCCCCAAAAUAAAUCCUAAAUUCCAAAAUCUAGGGUUUCAUCUAGUAAAACCUAGAGAAUUAAGUAUGCAACAAAUGGGGAUUACAAGCUACCAACCUCAAGAGAAACCCCAAUCCAAGCUCAAAACCAAGUAGGGUUGAAGUUUGAUCCUUCACAAUACUCCAACCGCAAGUUCAAAGCCACCGAAGGUGAGAAAUGAGGAAGAAGAUGAUGCUCCAAGGCCUCUAUGCAAGCUCCUUCUCCUCUUCUUUUCCUUCUUCUCCUUCCCUUUCUCUCUCUAGAAGUGUAGGAAGAGUGUGAGGGAGAGAAAAUGAGAGUGAGAGGGGAGGAGAGGCUGCUUAUAGCCUCUAAAGUAACAAAAUCCACAUAAGCCCCUCAAAAACUCAAAUUUACAUCAGCCCGGACUUGGCAGUUUUCGCCCAGAGGGACCGGUCUCCCCGACCUGGGACCGGUCUCUCAGCCUGCCCCCGAAAAUCCAACGUUCGGGAACCGGUCUCUCCCUGCGCGGGACCGGUCUCUCCCCGCGCAGACGCGCUCGGGGACCGGUCUCAACUGCUAGGGACCGGUUGCCUCGCCUGCUACGCAGCACUGUUCAUUGGGGGACCUGUAAUAUACUGAAUCUGGGCCUAUUGACAAGUUCGAGGGUUGGAAUAGUGAUUGGAACUUUUCUACAACUUUUGUAGGAUUCUUGAGAGGCUUCAACAAAUUACUGGAGCAAGCAGAUAACUGGAAAUGGAAAAGUGCAUUGAAAUUGCAUUAUUCUAUUGCAAUGUUCUGAAAUUGGUCAAUUACGAAUUUCGAUUGUGGGAAAUGGUAAAUGAAACUACCCUACACAUUCUAAAGGGUUUGGACAAAUUUCUGGAUAAGUUAGAGGGUGAUUGGAAGGUAAAAAGCAAGAAAGUGCAUUGAAUGGCGAAAUUCAGCAUUUUUGCAUUGUGUACCGGUACAGACAUUACCCUGUACCGGUACAGCAAGCAGCAGCAGCAGCAGCUGCGUGGCAGCAGGCCUAUUUUAGUCUUUUGACACUCAGCCUUAUCUCCAAAUGACCCAGCUCGACUCCUGAAGCUGCUGGAGGGUCCAUGGAGCUCAGAGGAAGGGUUUUGCACCUUCCCCACUUUCUCUCUCUAGGUUUUCUCUCUCUUCGAGUAGAAAUUGUUGAUUUGCGCCUAUUUCUCGCCGUUCGUCGCGCUAGCUGGUUUGUGGACUUCGGAGCAGCUACGAGUGGGUGGAAAGGACUCGCAUGAGAGGUAUUUUCGCAGCUCCAACUUUCAGGGAACCUGAAUUGAAGUCUAGUGAGGUAAACAAGCUAGUUUCUCUCUUUAGGUUGAGAUUAGUGAUAGUUUUUGAUGUUGGUUCUCAAUUCUUGCUACCAGCUGGUUUGAGAUGGUUUAAAGCACCAAUUGAGGAGUGGUUUUGCUGUAAUUCUUCACCCCAAAGUCAGAGUUAAAGCCUUCGAGGUAAUUAAUGAGUUUUUCUCUAUUUCGAUGAUGAAAACGAUGAUAUUAGCGAAGUCAUGAUGCGAUUUUGGGAUGUUUGCUCACAGCAGGUUUCCAAAUUAAUUUGAGCUGAAUUUGUGACCUUGGGGACUGGUUUAGAAGGUGUUUCAACCUGGGGUAAGUUGAAAUUUCAGUUAGAAAUUGGAUUAUGUAAGAUUCCGACAAUACUACCUAGUAUACGAGUAUGUUGAUGUCGUUUUGAUGAAUGUUCACAGCGAGGCUGCGAUUGACUUUCAGAUUAUCUUUGGCUGAUAUGUGAGGGCAAUUAGAGGCUUAACUUGAGGUACUAAACUAGCCCAAAACAGGGAUUCAAACUAUUAUUUUGUACUAAGUGCAAUUUGUGCCGAAAUUGGACAUUUCGGUCGUAGUUUUGAUACGCUUUUCGUGUUUCGGUUUCAGCAGAGUGGGGCACCGUUGAGUUGAGUUUCGGGACUUCUUGUGGCUGGAUUGAGCUUAGGGAUAGGUGGGUUUGACCUUCUCGAAAUGGGCGAAUUUCCUCUAUGUUUCCUUUGACAUCUGAGUUGAAGUUAUUCCAUAUUCAUGUGAAUAUAUGUAUAGUUCAAGGCAUUGAGAUGUGCAUUAAUGUGUAGGUCAUAUUGGAUAUGGCUAUGCAAUGUUAUAUAGCAAGUAUAGUUGCUAUACUUUGAAAGAUCAGGUAAAGGCCUUUGUUUGGCAUAUGCAAUUCUAAUUGUGGAAUGAAUGGCAUAGAGAUCAUGUGAAGAGUGUUUUAUCGCUUGUUUUACUUGCUUGCAUUACCCUGUUAGUUUCUACUUUCACAUGGUAGACUUGUAUUAUGGUAUAUGUUCUAGUAAGUAACUAGAAUUUCAUAUGAUGGCAUAAUUUGAAUGAUUAUUCAACUGAAGAUAAUCUAGCAAAUAACUAGAUUUGGAUAUGAUAACAUACUUGUAUAGUCAAGUAGAGAUUUAUAUUGGACUAAAGGAUAUGUGCCAUGAGUUUAUGAACAGAACCUUAGUAAACCACUUUCUUUAUGUGUAAGGAGUAGUGAGAGAUUGUGAGUGACUGACCAGGUAUAGCCUGAUAGAAUCACUAGUGUGGUGUAAAGCUUUAACUUGUUAAGUUAUAUUGAAUCUUGUCAACAAGUUGUUGAUAGUGAUUUGUGAUUGGGUACUACAAUGUCGACUUUGGGUCGAGUUGAGAUUCCAUGUCAGAGACAUGAUGCUGUUUAGAUAUUUGUACCCUGGACUAUAGCUAGCAUGCCAUUAUGCUCUUUCGUACAUGCUUGCGGGGGUCGCGCCCUCCCAAGCCCCGCGUUCCGGAGUGGCUUGAGUUAAGAUCCCAUGUCAGGGACAUGAUGUUGUUGUGAGAUUGGUACUGUGGACUACGGCUUGCAUGCCAUUGUGUGCGUUUGCACACACUUGCGGGGUCGCUUCCCCCAAGCCAGAACUCCCGAACAGCUUAGCGACAGAUGCUCGCAAAUGUACGAAGUGAGCGCCGAAAUGGAAUGCCGUGGGGGAGGCUCAUCCCUAGAGUGGGGAUGUUGACUACCACGGGGCCAUUAGGCACGGUGCGGCUUGAAUUUUCCUUGUGUAAAUCCAUUGGAAAUUGGGUUAUGUCAAGUACUUUAACCUUAGCUGGACAGAGUAGUAAAGUUACUAUAUGUCUUGGGUUAAGUGAACUGAUUGAUGAACAGACUAGAAAGUUGACAUCUAAAGUGAGCUUAGUGCGGAAUAACCUAGAAGUUGACAUCAUGUUUGACUAGCGACAAAAAGAACGUUUCAUUCUUGCUAAUGUAGAAGGUAAUUAGAUGAUAGUACAUGCUAUUAUCUGUAAUUCCGGUAAGAAUGAAUUAUCUUGCUUGCAAUCUGCUAUAUGUUUGGUUAAAUUGCCAAGAAUAUGAUUGAUAGAAUUCAUCGUGAUAAUUGAUACCUGCAGUCUAUUGACAUUUAUUGAUUGUUGAGCAAAUAGCAUGAGCAGUUUACUUUUACAUUUGCUUAUUGCAUUGACUAGCUUAUUGCACUUACUUGCUUAUUGCAUUUACUUGCUUACUUAUUACUAUCUACUCAUGCCACAGUUGACCUAGUGGUGUACUUCGCCACUCUUGGCGGCUUACCUACUGGGAACUAUUGUUUAAUAGUUCUCACGCCCUCUUUGUUGUUGUUUUUACAGAGCCUUCCACAGCGGGAAAGGCUAGGGUUCCUGGCGAGGGGUCAGCGGCUAGCUAGAGCCUUUUUGGACGUGUACUACAUCACCUUCAACAGUUUAUAUAGUUUAGCACAGAGAUGUAUAUUAAGUUUUUUGUUAAUUGUACGCUCUUCUUAUUUCUUGUAUUAAGGUUUGGUUUGUAUAAGUUUAACUUAAAGACUUGCUCUGAUUACCUGGUUAGAAUUGAAUGUUUUCACUAUAUGGUUUGUAGACGCCUUGUGUAUACUUGAGUUGUGGUAUACACGGCGGGUCUGUGCACAAGCCCGGAUAUGCUUCCGCUGGUACCCGGGCGUGACAGGACCGGUCUCUCCUAUCAGGGACCGGUCCCCGAGAGUAAAACUCUCAGGACUCUGCCAAAACUCUCGAGAUCGAACUUUUAGACCGGUAUACCAUCGACGGCCCUCCACCAAGUGUGGAAAAGUUCGGAAUACAAAUCGAACACUCGAACCUCGCAAUUUACAAAGGUCCAGUGUGCUACAGAAGAAGAAAAAGAAGAAGAAGAAGAAAAGAGAAGGAAAAGAAGGAAGAAAAGGAAGGAGAAGAAGAAGGAGAUCAAGGAAAAGAAGCUUUUGGAUUUCUCUCUCUUCCUCUCUUCUCUCUAUUAAGCUAACCUAGAGGUAAGCUUUUAACCCUAGCUUAUGAAAUUUAGGAUUUUUGGGUUUUAGCUCUUUGGAUGGGAUCAAAUGAAUCCCUAGCACCAUAAAUGGUAAGAUUAGAGCUAGAAUAUAGGGUUUUGAGAUGGGUUUAACUUGGUGCUAAUCCUAGGGCUCCAAAAUAGGAUUUUUGGUAAAGUAUGAGAUUGAUCUCAUUUGAGACCAUGUAAACCUGAUUGCUAGGUAACGAAACGCGGGGGCGAAGUCGGAAUUUUGAUUCGUCUAGCGGAUCAAGAGCUAUCGGCAAAAUAAGGCCGAUUGAGCAUCAUUUGGACCAAGAAGACCGAUGCUUCAUCGUAAAGAACGCCGAAACACAUUUCUAGAGCCUCCGUAUACACAAAAGGUGGGGGGUGUCAUCCCGAAGCAUCCGGGGUUCUUUUUAUGUCUAAGUUAAUUAUGUUGAUCAUAUUGCGCUAUAGGAGUAGUAGUUGUACAUUUCCAUUUCCUUGCAUGCUUUUUUGGUAGUGUCACGCCCCGGGACCCAGCGGAAGCCCGCCCGGCGCGUGCCCAGACCCGCCAUAUGUCUACAACAUAUAAGGCGUCUAAAAACAACAAUAAUAAAAGCAAUAAUAAAAGACAUCUAGGAGUAUCAGAGCAUAGUAAAUGUCUAAUUGCUACAACAAGGGAUAAAGUUAAAACUGUAAAUCCUCUAAAUAAAAUAUAAAGUAAGUACAAUAGGGAUCCCAAAUACAAGUGCUAUAAGUAGGUACACAGGUGGUCUCUAUACAAGGAUACAAAAGCCUCACACUCUCUCAAAAGAUAAAAUGGAGAAGAAGCAACCACCUAGCGCAAAAGAAACUCUCCCGGGCUAGCUACGCGACACCCUUGCCGCGAUCCCGUGCCUCCGCCGGUGCCGAAGGCUCUGAAAAGGAAAUAAGAAACAGGGGCGUGAGAACUAUUAAAUCUAGUUCCCAGUGGGCAAAUUUCUGACUCAGUGAAAGUGCACCACAAGCCCAAAAAGUACAAAAGAUGUCCGUGACUAUAAUAUGAUAAAAGCGAAAGUAAGUAAAAUGUAACUUACUACAGACAUGAUAUCUCUACUUAACCUAAAUAACAUAAGUAGAAAAACAACUAUUGCAAUGAAGUAAAAGUCUCAACUAAUCAUAAUUUAAACAAUGCGAAUACGUAUAAGUUCCGUUGUUUUACUAUUCUAGUCAAUGUCCCAAAUAAUACUCUAGUCAUUAUCUGUCCACCUAUGGUCAUAAUGAAAUACUCCCAGUUCAAAUCUGAAGAGAUCCACCCGAAGGCUGUCUAUGGCCCUGAGACCCACCCGAAGUGUCUGGGCCGGUGCCCGGAGAUAAUGGCCCCGUGGUAGUCACAGCCCCCCUAGAAGUGAAGCCUGGCGCCACGGCAAAUCGCACUUGGCGGCGCCCAACCGCACGGCGAAUAUGUUAUCGGCGAUGGACCAAUCUCGUGAGUGCCGGCUUUAGGGAGGCGUACCCUGCACAAGCAUGUGCGAAUGAAGCACAAUUGGCAAGUAAUCAAACGAUAGUCGCACAGUACCAAAUUCUCAUGUUCAUAAUCAUGUAUUAUAGCAAUGUCCUGCGUGGCGCAAUCACUAUUUCAUCAUAUCUCAAAUAUGGAAUAUAGUGUGUCAAUGGCCUAUUAUCAUAGUCUCUAUGUUGCAUUUAAUAAUCUGCUAGGUCCAAGUGCCUCUUUAUGACACGUAUGGCUUCAUUUGUCCCAACAUGGAUACUUAAGUUCAAGAACUUAUAAAUUUCUAGUCAAAAUCGAGGCAUGAAACUUUAUUUCUAUCAUUCUUCAUAGAAUAUUCGUUCAUACUAGCAUUAUUAACAAGUCACAUUUGUCUCUCUACUUAUAUAAGUAACUUUCUGAUGCAUAAUAUAAUGAGUUUCAAGCAAUUCAAAAUUCCCAUAGAUCUACUAAACAUUGAAAUAUGCCUGAAUUUGCACAAAUAAAGCAUUUAACACACUAGGAGGAAUUUCCUCGCGAUUUCGAAGAGCCCAACCCACUCGUCGUCAACGAAAGGCUCAUCGUUUUGUCACGCGAAGGGCGUCCACCACACUCCUAGUCCCGAUUGCGAAGGCAGCUCUCGACCAAUCUCCAAUGAGCUAGAGUCCUCCAAAAUCUAACCUAAACAAAGGUUCAAACCCAUCAAUAUUGGUACAUAAACCCUCAAAACGAAAUCCCCAAAUUUAACUCAAAAAAUUCCAAAUCUAGGGUUUGAAUCUAGUAAAAUUCAACAAAAAUUAGAUCCUAGAGGAAAGGAUCUAGUUACUAACCUCUAUAGAACUCCAAACUAGGCCCCAAUACCAAAUGGGGUUUGAAGAUUUUCGCCUCCCACAAAGCUGCCCAAUCCCAGACUCAAAGACUUCUCUCAUGAGAAACCAAAAAGAACAAGAAAAGCAAGGAGGAGCAAGAUCAAAAAACUCACCAAAAAAUCCCAUCAAAAAUGGAAGAGAACUCAAGAAAGGGAGUUUUACCUUGUCUCCUCAGGUUAGGGCUCAAAGGACUCUCAAAGGGCUGGGUUGUUAGAAAGGGUUGUAACAAGUUCUGCAAAAAACAGCACGUAGGCUAGCCCUCCACGAAAACAGCACCGCUCUGCACUGUGUAGCCGGUACACGGGUUUGUGUACCGGUACACCACCCACGAAAGAGCCCAAACCCGAGCCUCGGUUUGCUGAAAAUGUCUGGUGUACCGUACACUACCACGUACGCGUACAGCAAUCGAUCAACCUACGGUACAUGCAAGCUGAUAACGCCGUACGGUUACGAACAGCCGCAGCUGAAGGCAAACCCGAGAGCUAUACAAUAAAUCCAACUUUUUGAUUUUGGUAACCGUUCAAACCACAAUUCUCGACUUUGUCGAACCCAUGGGUCGGAAACACGUUUACGACCGCUGGUCAGAAAGUCUGACGAAAAUGGCUCGUCACACCAGAUCAACAACUCGAACCUCGCAAUUUGGCAAAAGGUCGCAGUUGGGCGGCCCCCCGCCCGUCACAUUCACGCCCUCCUAAAAAGGAGUUUUCGUGCCGCGAAACUCGAAAGCAACGUCAUAGCCCCAGAACUCGCAUCUGAAAAAAGAUGGGGAUAACGUGUCUCUGCCAAGCGCUCUCCAGCUGUCCCACGUGGCCUCCGCUCCCCGUUGGUUGCUCCAAAGGAUCGCUUACAUACGGAAUAUCCGCGAUUCCGCAUGCUUCUUCACCUCCGCGUAGCCAAAAUCUUCACGGGUUGCUCCUCGAAGCUCAAAUCCGUCGCCGCAGUUCCACUGUAACAGCUUUUCCAAAACAUGAGCUGGAUCAAUGAAAAUGUACCUCCGAAGGAAAACUCGAUACCUGAAGACGUUUGUGCAGCGCCAGAUAGAGGUUUCGUGUAGAGCCAAUCGAUAACGCUACCCGACUACACGCUCCAAGAAAAUCUCAUACGGUCUCAAUGAAACGGGGGCUCAACUUUCCCCGAAUCACCCUGAAUCCUUGAUUCUCUCUAGUCCGGGCGAGACUAUCGAAAGAAAACAUGUCCCCAACUGGAACUCCAAGUCUCGGCCCGUCUGUCGACUUCGGCGUAGCUGCUCUGUAUACUCUGCGGCCGUCAAAAGUCGCAUCCUAAGGAGCAUUCGAACCUUGUCCUCAAGCUCCUGGAGAACAUCGGGGGCUAAAGCCAAACUCUCGGCCAACUCGCUCCAGAUGAAGUGGCGAUCUACACUUCCGUCCAUCAGAGUGCUUGCGAAGGCGCCAUCUUGAUGCUUGCUUGAUAACGUUGUUAUAAAGCAAACUUCUGGCCAUAGGUAGGUCUGGCGAGCCAUCCUCCCUGGACAGUCUAUCACACAUGCCCGGAGGCAUAUCCUCCAAGUCUGGAUAGUACCUCCGACUGCCAUCACUUCUGCGGGUGAAUGCUGUAACUGAAAUCCAAUCGGGUGCUAAGGCGUCCCUGCAGACUCCUCCAAAAUGAGACGACGAAGAAAACGUGUCGCGAUCCAGAUAAAAUGAGGUAGGCACUCCAUGAAUUCGCAUCCCAAUCCAUCAAAGGAUACACUUGUGCGAGCUUCUCGUCCGGCCAAUCGAUGAAUAGGUAUGAAAGCUGCCGCGCGACUUCGUCAACCUAUCCACAAUCACCCAAAUACGUCAUGCCCACGCCUGUGACUUGUAAUCCUGUUCACAAAAUCCAUGGUGAUCUUCUCCACUUCCACACGGGAAUAGUACCAGUGAAGUUUUCACGGCGGAAACUCGGGUGAGCUCGCUUUCACAUCGUUGCAAGUUAAGCAUUAGCGACCAACUCGCCACAUUCCUUUUUCAUAACCCGGCCACCAAUAAGCAACUUCCAAGUUCUUGUAGCAUCUUGGUGCCUCCGGAUGUAUAGCAUACGGUGGUCUCGUGUGCUUCGUUUGAAGAAUAUUUCUUUAAUUCCCAGAAUCCAGCCGGAACACAGAGUCGUCCUCCGGAAAGCGCAUCAAACCGCUCGGUCGUCCACAAGGAAAUCCGCCGGUGCAACAUCAAUCGUCAUUUUUCUCGAAUCUUUUGGCAAACAUGCCACAUCGGAAGCUUGCUUUUCUGUGAAUUCAUCCAAAGAGUGGGUGGCACUACCAAAGUCUCAAACGGCUCAUAGGCGUGUCAGGAGUCACUUCCCAACUCCAAGGAACCGCUUCAUCUGCUCGAAGUCAACUGCGGUUGAGCUCCACUAAUAUGUCAUCGCUAUAGGGUUCGCCUACGGGGCUUUUCCAUCGAUUUCGCUACUUAGCACGUCAUCGCGGCCACCACGUUAGCCUUGCCUGGUGGUAAUAUGAAAUCGUCAGAUCAUAAUUCCUUGAGCUAGACUCCAAACCAUCCUGCGCUGCAUCAAGUUCAACUCCCUGAUCUGAGUAAACAGGUACUUUAAGCUCUUGUGACCGUGUAUACUUCACAAAUUACGCUCGCCAUAGAGGUAGUGCGGCCAUAGCUUCAAUGCGAAACUACAAGCCGCCAAUUCCAAAUCAUGCGGUCGGGUAUUCUUCUGCAUAAUUCAUUUAGUUGGCGAGCAGCAUACGCGAUCACCUUGCCAUCGCUGCAUCAAUACAACCCCAAACCAUUAAGUAAAGCCAAUCACUAAUAGAACCACAUAACGCCAGAUGCCAGCUACUGGUAGGCGGUCAAGAUGCGGGUGGUAGUCAAUCGCUGCUUCAACUCUGAAAGCUUCGCUCGGCUAUCACGCGUCAUUCCAAAUGAACUUGACUCCCUUGUCGUGAGCCUCGUGAGGGGAGUAGACAAGUUUAGCAAACCCCUUCUACAAAUCUCCGGUAGUAACCGGCCAAUCGCAGGAAGCUACCUAUCUCCGUGACGCUCGUCGGUCUCGCCAAGAUCCUUGAUUGCUUCAAUCUUCUUAAGGAUCCACCGUGGCUAUACCCGAUCCGGAAUAAAUGUCCGCAAGGAAAGCUACCUCUCGAGCCUAAUAACUCACGUUAUUCUUCAACUUGGGCAUAAGCUUCCUUUCCCGAAGUACAUGAGCCACAAUCCCUCAAUGCUCCGCUCGUGAUCUGCAUCCUUCGCAGAGUAAGACCAAAAAAUCGUCGAUGAACACCACGACGAACCUGUCUAGAUAAGGCUUAAAGACACGGUUCAUCAGAUCCAUAAAAGCUGCCGGGCAUUAGUGAGGCAGAACGGCAUAAUGUGAAACUCAUAAAUGUCCAUACCGUUCCUGAAAACGUCUUUGAUACAUCCUCGAUCUUAUCUUUAACUGUGUAUCCCGACUGCAAGUCAAUUCUUUGGAAUACCACACGAUCCCUGAAGCUGAUCAAAACAAGUCGUUCGAUCCUCGCGAACGGAUACUUGUUCUUGAUCGUGACUUUAAUUAAGUUCAUGAUAUCCAUCAGCAAAGGCAAGUGAUCGCUCUUCUUGUCUGACGAACAAAACUGUGCCCCAAGGCAGAAACGCUCGUCGAAUGAAGCCCUUGUCCUAACAAAAUCCUGCAGCUGUGCCCAUCCUCCCUCAGCUCUGUCACGUGCCAUUCUAUAGGGCGCCUUUGAAUUGGUAUCCCAGGGACGAGAUCUUACCACAGUAACUCAAUCUCCCUAUCAAAAGGAGCAUACGCGUAAUAGCUGUCGAGGCUGGAAAGCACAUGGCCUGGAAUUCCCCGCACGCCGGGAUAUCCCGAGUCCUAGGCAAUGUCAUCCUCACCCCCAGCACAAACACUAUGGCCAAAUAGGCUACGCACCUCUGCUAUCAGUACCUACUCCGAGACGAGCUGAUCGUCAUCGCAGCAACUACGAACCUCGCGCAUGCCACUAAAUACCACUCAGUCUGCCACAGGUUUUCUCUAAAUAACCGUGCGAUCUAUACCAAUCAAUCGUGGCAUAAUAAAUGUUCAACCAAUCCAGGCCAAACCACAUCAAAAUCCCAGCUUGCGCAAAGCUAGCAAAUCUACGCCUACCAAUCUCCUACCCGAACAGGGCAACUGGGCCUAUACUCCUCUUAAUGUCCCAAGACGUGUCGGGUACUAAACAUGUCGCCGUAUGCAAGCAAAGGAACAAGCAAGGAGCCAUGCACACCCGGCAAACAGCCGAUCUAAAAAUGAAUCGAUGUCACCCCGGUAUCAAAAUAAAGCACGAACUCUAAUGCCAUUCAAAAUAAACAUGAACCUGCAAACACAUCCUCGCUGCGGCCGCCUCCUCGGUCUGAGCGGCGUACAAUGCGCACUCGGGCCUGUCGAGAGUCACCUCGCUUCUGGCGGCUGGACGGGUGGCCGCCCAGGCUGUACGUGGCGGACGGAGUCCCGUGGUGACGCUGGUAGAGCCGGCUGCCGAAUGAGUUCCGACGGUGCCAGUGAAGAACCUCUCGAGACAAACCGGUAGCGACGGGCCCUCACUGGCCACACUGGACACAACUGCCCGCUAUCCCUGUUGGACACACUGGCGUGGAAGUAAUGGUGACCACCGCAGAUCACACAACGGGAAGGCCGCGCGAUCCGGAUCCUCCUCGAGCGCGCUGUGCCGCAGUCCACGCUGCUGGCUCCUCGAUGCUUCGGCGGCUACCUCCUAGAGUUGCGUCCUCGCACCCUCAGCCGCAGGCCUCCUUGCCUUACCGCUUGUCCCAACCUCUGCUGGCUCCUGCUCAGGCUCCCCUCUUCCGUGCUUAAACACAGAUGCGCGCGAUCCACAGCACCGUCGAGUUUGGAGGUUAGAGGAUUGCACAAACACGGUAAAAUCGACGGUCGCCAACGCCUCGCUCGAAGAGCGCGCCUUGUCCUCGUCGUCCUCGCACGGACGAAGGCACCGCAAUGACAGAAGGCGAGAAAAAACUCCCUCUCGUACUCAGGCUACAGGUCCGGUCUGGCCCUGGCGCAAGUUGCGGCAGAUCCUGCCCAUUCUUCCUCUUGACGCUGGUCGGAAGUAGUGCGCUAGAAAUAAGCUGCCUGAGCCUCGUCCAAGUGAUAGAUGCCAAGAUUCAGUGCUGGGUGCUCUGAAAAUCCAACGCCAGCGGUAGGCCCUCUGCCGUGCCAAAGUGGUGAGUGGCGAGCAAAAUCUGUCCCUCUCCUCCACGAAGGUCGCGGAAGCUUCUCAAAUAUCACAACCACUUCUCCACGAAUCAGUGUCGACCAUUUCUCGCCUGUCGAAGACUUCGGGCGACUUGCACCCUCCUGAACUGCUUGAGGCCUCCAUACAUGUAACACACUGACCUUUGCAAAUUGCGAGUUCUGAGUGUUUCAGCUGUGUGCUAGUCAAUUCCAGAUUUCUGGUGGUCGUUGACAGUGUCCGACUAAUGGCUCGCAUCCGAAGAAGUGAGUUUAAAGCCGAGCACUGAAAACGGCGCGAGAAAAUGGAUUUUUGGUUAGUCUCUUCGGUUGCCUUCAGAGGGCUGUGUAAAGCCGGUACGCGGAGUGAUGGCUUGUACCGGGUACAGCAUCGACCUUGGCCGCUGUUCAGCCAAGCUCGAGCUCGGCUGGGCGUUUUCGCAGAUGGCUGUAUAUCCGUACCGGGCCGCGUGUACCGUACCAGUGCAGAUUUUCGAACUGUCGAAGCUGCAGGGUUUUUCCGGCAAUUUGUAGGACUCUUAUAUUGUCCCUACGCCUGCAUGAGCCUCUCCCUGAGCUGGAAAACCCGUGGAAGAAGUGCAAGGUAGGAAGGACCUCUUCUCUUCCCUUGGUUUUGAGCACGCUUGUGUUGCUUGUUUUGAUGGGUUUUCCCCCUCUGUUUUUCCCUUUUGGAGCUAUUUCUCGCAUUUUGUGAAGCUUGGAGGCUUAGGUUUGUGUGUUGAUUGAGGAAGAUACUAGAAGUUUGAGAAACUUUGAGCUGAUUUUGAGCUUCUAAGAGUAAGGUGGGCAAGACGCCGUUUCCUCUAAAUACUUGUUUUUAAAGGUUUCCAUUGAGAUGAAACCUAGAUUUGGGAUUCUAUGGUUUACUUUGGGCAAUGUUUCGCUUUUAGGGUUUUUUGACGUCAAAUUGGUUGAUUAGAACCUUUCCUCUAGCGUAGAUUUGAAGGGUUCUAGCUCUCUUUUGGAGCAUAGGAAGAGAUUUUUCCUCUUGAGGUGAGUUUUGGCCCAUAUUUUUGCUAGAUGCUUAAUGUUUGAGCUUUUCGCUCUCACGUUUCGGUUUGGAUGACACUCCUUUUGAUGUUGCCUAAGGGUGCUAGAAAGCUUGUAGAAACCUUCGCGGUUGAGCAAACGAAAACGCUUCGUUGUCUGUCGUGGUUGACCUAAGCCUAUAAUAAUGAGAAAAUCUCAUAAUUUGGUGAUCAAGUGCUUUGUAUUACUUAAUAAUCAUGUAUUUUCAUAUUAAAUACAUUUAUAUGAGGAUUUAGAAUGCUUAAAUGCCAUAAGUUAUUUAUGAUGAACCUUUCUGGGACCUCUAUGAUAGUAGAUGUUGCUUGAGAAUUUUGGUUGCAUUUACAUUCUAUAUUAGGCUUGAUUUCAUGAUUCUAGAAGAGUAUUAUGAGCCUAUGACAUCAUGCGUUUAAAAACAUAAACGUGAAUUGGGGCAUGAGANNNNNNNNNNNNNNNNNNNNNNNNNUAGACACACUGCUCGGUAGAGUCUGAAAGACUUCCCAGCAUCUGUCACAAGGCUGGGUACCAAGCUCAGGGCUCUUAACACCAAACUUUGCCACAUGGUUUUAGGUUUUUCAACCUAAAAACCAAUCGAGAGCCCAACGGAAGUCGCCCGACGCAUGGCCAUGCCCAAGCGAACGACAUGGCCAUGCACUAGCUACCGACAUGGCCAUGCACCACCACAUGGCCAUGUGUCUGGUAAAGGGGUCGUUUGGGCUCCGAGCCCAAACCCAAAAGCACCCGACACAUGGCCAUGCGCUAGGGUAUGGCCAUGUCGGUAGCUAGUGCAUAGCCAUGUCGUUCGCUUCGGCAUGGCCAUGUGUCUGUCAGACGUGCGGUUGGGCUCCGAGCUCAAACCGAAAAGCACCCACCACAUGGCCAUAUGUUUGGGCACAUGGCCAUGUGUUACGUCUCACCCGACAAAAGCACCUCCCCACAAAAACGUUAACAACGUUGGAGAAAUAUUUGUUGGGGUCGGGGAAACUCUCGAGGAAACUCGGGAUUUGGACUCCUCUGUUCCAUUCUUGAGGGAGAGAACUCAAGAGAAGGUAAAAACUACCUAAAACCACCCAAAACUAGAAGAGGAGGAACGAAAAGAACGAAGAAAAACCCAAAGGAGGUACUCUCUUCGGAACUCGAGCCCUAACCUCGAAACACCUCCCUCUUAGAAGUUGGGGUCAACCUAACCCCGGAUCAAACCUCGAAGAUUCUCCAAUCAUUGAUCUAGGAAAGGAGAUCUAGAUCAAAAACAACCUAAAAUGAUCUAGUUUGGGAUCUAAAACCUAAAAUCCUAAUUUAAACCUCUAAAAGCAAAACUCCCGAAAACAUAGUUUAACUACCCUAAUCUUGGAAACAAAUCCAAUCUAAUCUUCCUGAGAUCGAGGGUAAACCUCUAAUCCUCUCGAAGGAAGCGUUAGCCACUCGAAAAGCAGUUGGGAUCGGGAUAUACGAAUUUCUAACUUACAAACACUCGAACCUCGCAAUUUGCAAAGGUCCAGUGCGUCACAGGUAGUGUAGCGGGGUGAGCUUGACACGUGGACUAGGAUAGCAUGAGGAUUGGGUCUUGUGACAUAGAAUCCUAUAGCGGCAUAAAAGGCCGAACUUGGACAUAGCCUAGUAGAGUGGCAAUGAACUAGUGUGGUAGAAGCAUUAUGACAUGAACGAGUGACAUGUAGAAUAACCGAGACAUUUACUACAGUGACUGAACGAGUGGCAUCGAGUCUAGUGUAGUAAACUUGACCUGAACCUAGGGAUAGUUGUAAGGAGGUGAAUUCUCGAAAAUCGAGGAUUGUACUUCGCCCAGGAUCGACUAACUGUUGAGAGUGUACCCUUUGUGGGAGUUGGAGAUGUCCAAAACACAAAAACCGCUUUGGAGUUGAGUCCGCGAGAGCAAAUAGGCAAAAUCUGGACUCAGCAGAUUUUUGCUCUCGGGGACCGGUCCCUGGAGGGAAGGACCGGUCCCCGUAGCUGAUGGUCGCGGGGGAGGUCGAUGCGACUGGUCCCUGGCUGAGGGGACCGGUCCCCGUGCACGACACCCGCAGGAGAAAGCCAAAAUUUGGCUAAGUCCUGAAGGUUCCCCGUUCGGGAACCGGUCUCUUAGGAGAGACCAGUCUCCGAGGGACCGGUCCCUCAGGUGAGGAUCGGUUCUCGAACGCGAAAAGUCCCCAGACUGCAGGGAGAGCUCUCGGGGACCGGUCUCCCCGACCAGGGACCGGUCCCUCUGGGCGAAAACUGCCCAGUGAGGGCUGUGCAAUGGAGGAAAAGUUGAGGGGUCUAAAUGCAAAAUGGCCUUUAUUAGAGUGGGCUGGGCCCUCUCUCUCCCUCACACCCUCUCAUUCUCUCUCUUUCUCACACUCUCUCUUGCUCCCCCUCUCUCUCUCUAGGAAAGAAAGAACAAAAGAGAAGGGGAAGAAGAAAGAGAAGAAGAAGAAGGAGGAGUAGAAGAAGAAUAAGGAGGAGAACAAGAUAGAGAAGGCUUGUACCAUCUUCCUCUCUUUCUCUCCUCUCUGUUGGUGUAGCUCAAGGGGUAAGCUACAAACCCUAGCUUGUAGAACUUAGGGUUUUGGGUUUUUAUGCUUUGGAUUGGGUCAAAUGGACCCUAAGCAUACUUCUAAAUAGAUCAAUCCCAAGAAUCUAGGGAUUUAUUGGGUGGUUUGCUAUAUGUGCAAAUCUAGGGCUCUAAAAUGGGGUUUUUGUAAAAGUAUGAGAUUGAUCUCAUUUGAAGCCUUGGAAACCCUAUUGUUAGGUCACAAAACGUGGGGGCGAAGUCGGUUUUAGCAUUCGGCGAGCCGGCGUGAAGUGUUUGGCAAAAUAGGACCGGGAUAGUGUGGAAUUGGGCAAGGAAGGCUAAAGCCUUUUCGUAAAGUUCGCCGAGAAGCUUUUCCCAAGCCUCUACAUCGAUUAAAGGUGGGGGGUGCCAUCCCGAAGCUUUCGGACUCCUUUCUAUGUCUUAGAUUGCAUUUUAACCUCAUCUCUUCAUGUUGCAUUGUAGGAUUGCAUAGUAGCUCCAUUCCUUAUGCUUUCUAAUUGAUAACCUAGUGUACUUGGAACGCUUGGUAAAAUAGAUAGGUGAGGAUUGGGUCGGAACGUGGAUCCUAUGAUGCGAAAGAUAGAGAUGAACCCGAUGGGGGUGUUGAUGACAUAGAAAGUAGUGUUAUUGUUAAAGAACAAACGAGUGGCAUCCAAACAUUGAAUGAUGACGAGUGGCAUUAAUGUAGUGUAAAUGACACUAGAGGUCGAUGGACCUAGGGAUAGGCGGAUCCCUUAGAAAAUGCCUUGUGAACAAUGAAUUUAGAAAAGCUAAAUAGCAUUGCAUGAAUGUCGGGAACAAAUGAUCCCGCGAGAGAUGUUGACUCUAGUUGUAGAGCAUCCUCACUUGGAGAGAACUUGAUUGAGUUGUUGACCCUAGAUGUAGGGCAUCCUCACUUGGAGAGGAUAGAUCUAGCUCACAGUCUGCGUUUGGGAUGGUAUAGCCAUCCAAUCCCCACAUGGAGGGGAUUGUCGUCGAGUACUCCGGAGUGUCGCGCGACUAGGACCACUUGGAGGUCCGGACCACAUGGAGGUCCGCAGACGGUCCCGGGCUUGGGUGCACUUGGAGCUCCCUCCCCACUUUGGGAUUGAAAGGUGAGUCAUGGGCGAGCCCUAGGGCCUCGCCACAGAUUGGGUAAAUGGAAAGGUUAAAGGUUUAUUAAUGUCAUUGAACAUUGCUAUUCGAACAUGGAUCGAAUUUGUUAGCAUGAUAGCAAACCUUUAUUAUAUGAUGCAUGCAUUCAUAUUCAUGAUUAUGGGCAUAGUAGCAUAACUUUCCUACUAUCGCAUUUACAGCUUUCAGAUACAUAUCUAUCUAUCUAUCUAUCUGUUGUUACUUGUGCCCACUUGGACCUAGUGGGGAGAUCGGCAGAGUCGGCGGCCGAGCCCACUGGGAACUAUGGAAGAUAGUUCUCACCCCACUCUAUUUCCAGUGGUAGGUUCAGGGCUGCAGAGAGAGGACCGCGGCAAGAGCAUCGCGCCCGACCAGUGAGACAGUGGUAGUAUAGUAGCUUUCCUUUUUGCAUUAGUCACCUAUGUAUUGAGAGAGAGAUUUAUUGUAGGUGAGGAUCUAGAGAGCUAUGUAUUUUGGAGAUGAAAAAUGUACUCAUUUAAAGAAAAUGAUGUAAAUGAAAAUGAUGGAACUAAUGUAUUAGUUAGCAAGGUACUCUCUUUAUUUCACAUGCCUUAUCUUGUGGAUCGCUUGCUCUUUGUAUUGUUGGCACUGUUUGUGCCAUUGUGAAUGUGUACGUUUAGAAUUUGAUUUCCUGGGUAAAUUCUUGUACACAUUCUUGUUGUUGAGCCUUGGGCGGACAGGGGAGGUGCUGUCCGUUCGGAGGCCCGCCGCCGCGGCCGAACCAUGCCAAAUUGCUAGUGGUUUCGGGGCGGGGCGUGACAGCCUUUGUGGUAUCAGAGCCAUAAAAGCAAGUAAAGAGAGAGUCUAGGAUGUCCUAGGAGACCGUAGGUUGGUCAGCCCUAAGGUUAUAGGUGCGUGAGCGGAACGUGAACCUAUAGCGAUGGCGGAAGUUAAUUCGAUUGGGUCGAAGUUGGUAACAUGUCUCUAGUUGUGAUUAGAGACGGAUUCAAGUUGUAUGAGUUCUUGUCUUGAGGUGGUUGUGUCGGCGGCCGACGACAUGAUACCAAGAGCCUAGAACAAGUGCACUUGUGUGCUUCCGCCCGAUUUUGUGGUUGAGUUGUCAUGUGUCGUAAUUGCGACGAGGUAAAUGGUUAAGAUGACUGACCAAGUAGUUGCAUUUCAGGGGCUAACGAAUGUAGUAUCUUGAACUUUGCAAAAUUAUAGAAGUUGGAAGUGGGGCUGAGGAUUGGUAUGUGACCAUAGGUCCUAAUAUUUGUAAAGGUGUGUGGGUCAAUUUUGAGAGUUAUUAAACUUUUGGAUGUAAGAAAGUGCGUCGUUGAAGCGACUCCUAAACUUAUUGUAUAUUAGUAGACUGAACUUCAAUAAAUUGCAAAGUUCGAGCGAGGAAUGACAUUUGGAACCUUCCCACAUGUUCUAAAGGGUUUAAAGAUGUUUACAAAUAAGUUUGAGAGUGAUUGGAAAGCUAGAAGUGAGAAAGUGCAUUGCUAGUGCGAAAUCUGCAAAUUUUGUAUUGGUGUACCGGUACAAGCCUAAUGCUGUACCGGUACAGCAAGCAGCAGCAGCUGCAGCUGCGUGGCAAUAAGGCUGUUUUGGUCUUUUCACCUCCUGUACUUAUCCCUAUCCUUCCAGCUCGACCCCUGGACCUCUUCAGAUGGUGCUGGUGAUCAGAGGGAGCUUCUCCCACCUCUUCCGCACUCUCUCUCUAGGGUUUUUCUCUCUCUACGAGAAAACCGUCGAUUCGAGCCGAUUUCGCGCCGGGUUCGUCGCUUGCUGUUUAAGUAGACUUGGGGCCAGCUUCUAAAAGGUAAAAUGGAUUGUUUUGACAGUAUAAUUCGUAUCUCAUGCUGGGAAUCACUGAAAGAGAGUUUUAGAAAGCUAUUUAACUUGAUCUCUCUCUAAUUCAUAGUUUAGCGUCGGAUUUUGACGCGUUUUGGUUUCGUUGCUUCCAUCUGUGUGUAAUAGGGAUUCCAGCAGCUAGAGGAGAGAUUUUUAGCUGUGAAUUGACCCCCUUAGACCAGGGAUGAUCUAAUUUGAAGCUUGCUUGAGGUAGUUAGCUACUUACAAAGCUAAUUUGGAACUAAAUGCGAAUUGUUGAAACAACUUGAUGCAGUUUUGUAUGAUCUCUUCGCAGCAGGUCUUUGAGUCUUGUUGAGCUGAAUUUGUACUCUUAGAAACUGGUUUAGAAGCUAUUCUAACCUGAGGUAAGCAGGAGUUUCCAUUCUAAAACUGAUUUCGCAAGAAUUUGGCUAGAUUUACUAGUAAACAUGAGCGUUGACGUCGUGUAAUGAUUGUUCGCAGCGCGAGUGCAAUCGACCCUUGGAUCAAUUUCAGCUGAUUAGUGAAAGCUUCUGAAGGCUUAAUUUGAGGUAUUAAGCUGGCCUAAAACAGGGAAUUACCUUACUACCUUGUAUGAAGUGCGAAUUGUGCCGAGUUCGAACAUUCCGACUGUAGUAAUGAUGCCACUUUCGUGCUUUGUUUUUCAGCAGAAUUGAGACCUUGGGAAGCUGAUUUUGGGACUUCCUUUGAACUGAUUAGAGCAUUAGUUCGAGGUGGAUUUGACCUAACCAGAACAAGUGAAACUCUCCUAUGUUCUAUAUGUAUUAUAGAAAUGGUCUUAUUGUGUGCUUAUGUGAUUAAUAAAGGGCUUGAAAUUCGUCAUUAUAAUGUUGAACAUAUUCGAAAUGAAAUCUCUAUGACAUGGAGAACACUCAUGCCUAAAGUAUUUAUCCUCAUUUUGACUAGUAUAUUUCUAGCAAGAAGGAAACAAUGAUAUGCCUGGUGACUAUAGUGAUAGUACCAUGAUAAGUGCUUGAUAGUGGAAAGCUGUUAAUAUCAGUGUAAAGUAGCAUUACUUUCACAUAUUUAUUAAUCUAGUGGAUACUAGUUGUUGUCACUAUUCAUUAUAUUAAAAUGCUGAUCUGAUAGUAAGCUAAAACAUGAUAGUUGAGACAUGUUGGGCUGUGAAUCAUGCUUGUUUGCCAUCGUGCUCAUUCGCACACGCUUGUGAGGGUCGCUCCCUAUAAGCUGGCACUCCGGAGUUGGCCUACGCGACAGUUGCUCGCCCGUGCGGGAUUGGGUGCCGACGUGGAUUGCCGUGGGGAGUGUUUACUACCACGGGGCCACUAGGCGCGGCGCAAGCUGGACUACCUUGGGUAGGUCCCUGUGAAUGAAAGGAAAACUCUAUUGAGGUGAAUGUACUAAAUGACAAAGGACAGUAAUGAAUGCUAUUAAUUUAAGUGUACAGUAGUCACUUUCAUGCUCGUGCUUAUAUUCAUGUCCAUAUUCAUGAUUACAGAAAUUGCUAUAUCUCUUGUAUGCAAGUGAUUCAUUACUGUAGAAAGCUAUUACAUGUUGAUUACAUGCUUAUUACUUAUUAGCAUCAUGUUUAUAAAUUAUGCAAUUAUCGUUAUUGCUUUCAAUUAGUACAUCAUGAGCCUAGUGGUGUCAUUCGCCGAGGCUGGCGGCUUACCCACUGGGAACUAUUGUUUAUAGUUCUCACGCCCUUUUGGUGGUUGUUUUUACAGAGCCUGUUACAGGAGAGGCUAGGGAUCGUGGCAAGGGAGUCGCGCCUAGCUAGGGACUACUAGGAGCGUGCUAGUCGAUCACCUUGCUACUCGGGCUACGGCCGAGGGUGAUGUCCCUACAUAUAGAGAGACCACCAUUGUACCUAUUUUUUUGUUUACCCCAUGAUGUAUAUUUACUCUUUGGACAGACUCUAUAGUUGUGAUACUCUCUCUUUAGUUGAGAUUUUGGAUUGUAUACUCUUUAUUCCUUUACUGAUAGUAUAUCGACUUGUAUUUUGCUCUGAUAUCAGAAUAGGAUCUUACUAUACUUUCCUCCUAUCGACUUGUUUUCUUGUAGACGCCUUAUAUACUGCAGGUGUAUGGCGGGUCUGCGCACGUGUCGGAUAUGCUUCCGCUGGUACCCGGGCGUGACAGUCUCCAAGACGCUACACGCGUAGGACUGCCCCAGCACCGACUCCUGAGGUGCCCGAGCAGGAGGAACCGAGCGUGAUCGAUCGGUUGCAAGCGCAAAUGACCGCGCUGACCAGCGUGGUGCAGCGCCAGGAGACCAGAUUCGAGCGGCUCCAGGAUCUAUUGGAGCAGCAGAUCGCGGCGGCGGCUGCGACGGCAAAUGAAGGCGGUGGUCCGCCCGCACCCCCGACUCACGUACCUAGAGUGGCAGAGGGUGAGGGCAUAGCGGUGGUUCCGGUGACGGCACGCCCACCGCCAGCGAUCGCACCACAGGCGGCAUCGGGAUUGGCUACACCCGAUGUGACGGCCGAAGACGUGGAGGGAGAGCGCGCAUUGGCGGCUCUUAUCAAGUUCAACAAGUUCCAUCCGCCAACUUUUGAGGGCGAGAAGGUGGAACCGGAGAUGGUCGAGUCUUGGAUCGACUCGAUGGAAACCCUCUUCGACGACUUGCGUACCUUGGAGAGGGACAAGGUGUAUCUCGCCACCCAUUGCUUGGAAAAGGCGGUGAAGGUUUGGUGGAAGCGCGUUAGACGGGAUCGGCUUCCUGGUCUUCCGCCGAUGCUGUGGGAAGAAUUCAAGCGGGAGAUGUUCGCCAACUAUUUCCCCGACACACUGAAGCGGAAGCUCAAGGAGAAAUUCCGCAAGCUAGAGCAAGGGGACCGCUCAGUGGCGGAGUAUGAACAAGAAUUCUCCCAUAUUAUCGACUGUGUCCCGGAUGUUGUGAAGGAUGACCGGGACCGGGCCGAGUGGCGAGGACUUCGGCCAGGGAUCUACAAGGCCGUGUAGAUACUCAAGCUUACGACCUUUGCGGAGGUCUUCGAUCGAGCCCUAUGGGCAGAGCACGGAGAUGCCCACGUGCAGGAGAAGCGUGAGGCGUUGGCCGAGUCUAAGGACAAGGGCAAGAAACGCCAAGGCGGCGGUAGUUCGGGAGGACAGACACGUUACAAGAAACCCCCGAAGUAUCCGCGCACUCAACAGAAGGGUGGUGGAGUGCAGCGAUGCAUGAUAUGCGGUAGAGACCAUCCGGUCUCGCGCUGUGAACAAGGUUGAGGCAAGUGCUACAAGUGUGGGCAACCGGGGCACUUCAUUCGAGAAUGCCCGGGAGGAGGAGCCUCACCUGCCCCCUCAACUGCAUCGGCGCCGGCGAUUCCGGCUCACUAUGGAGGAGCUCCACCGACGGCCGCGUCGACUGGACGCACGUUGACGCCGCGUCAACCUGAAGUGGCGCGAUCAGCCCCGAGCGGAUGGGUGUUCGCCGCUCAGGUCCAAGCUUAGGAACCUGCGGAGGCGGAGGAGCAUCACCUUGUGGCAGGUAUGGUUUUGAUUAACGGAGUUUGCUCCAGGGCCUUAUUUGAUACAGGAGCCACACAUUCAUUCAUAAGUAGAUCAUUUGCACGCAUGCAUGGCAUACAUAUAGAGGCGAGUGACAAGUGGCGAGUGGAGGGCCCUGGGUCGACGUUUAACACUUACUCGGAGUGUGCGUCGUGUCCCGUACAAAUAGGCGACUGGAUUAUGCCUAUCCGGACACUGGAACUCACAAAGCUUGAGGCUUACGAUGUCAUUCUGGGUAUGGACUUGCUCUCGAAGUAUCACGCAACGAUCGACUGCAAGAGCAGGGUGAUCACAUUCCGUGAGCCAGGACAAGAGGAGUUUACAUAUCGAGCUUCCCAAAGCUCGUGCUUCGUCGCGACGGUGUCGGCGACAAGAGCAAGGAAAUUAGUAAACAGCGGUUGCACGGCAUUCUUGGCAACUGUUGUGGAAGUGGAGCGAGUAGCUCCAACGUUAGAGGAGCUAUCGGUUGUGCGGGAGUUCCCGGAUGUAUUUUCCACGGAGUUGCCAGGGAUACCACCUGAUCGGGAGAUCGAGUUCGUUAUAGACUUGGUUCCCGGUACCGCACCGAUUUCGAAGGCUCCGUACCGAAUGGUACCGGCGGAAUUGAAGGAGUUGAGGAGUCAAUUGCAAGACCUUCUUGACAAGAAAUUUAUCCGGCCAAGUGUGUCUCCGUGGGGAGCCCCGGUGUUGUUUGUGCGGAAGAAGGAUGGAUCGUUCUGACUCUGCGUGGACUAUCGAGAAUUGAACAGAGUCACGAUCAAGAACAAGUACGCACUACCCCAAAUCGACGACUUGUUCGAUCAGUUGCAGGGGUCGUGUGUGUACUCAAAGAUAGAUUUGCAAUCUGGCUAUCACCAACUGAGAAUCAAGCCGGAGGAUGUGCAGAAAACUGCGUUUCGCACACGGUAUGGACACUACGAAUUCACCGUCAUGCCGUUUGGACUCACGAAUGCUCCAGCGGCGUUCAUGGAUUUAAUGAACCGUGUCUUCAGGAGGUUUUUGGAUCGAUUUGUCGUGGUCUUCAUAGACGACAUAUUGGUCUAUUCUCGUAGUGACGAGGAACAUGCUGAGCAUUUAAGGAUAGUGCUUCAAGUCCUUCAGGAGGAGAAGCUAUAUGCUAAGCUGAAGAAGUGUGACUUCUGGCUCCGCGAGGUUGCCUUCUUAGGGCAUGUGAUUUCCGCAGGUGGAGUUUCUGUAGACCCGAGGAAAGUUGACGCAAUCAAGGAUUGGCCGCGCCCGACGAAUGUCACGGAGGUUCAAAGCUUCGUGGGCUUGGCGGGCUACUAUAGGCGGUUUGUGGAAGGCUUUUCCAAAAUAGUGAUUCCACUUACCCGCCUGACUCAGAAAGGCACCAAGUUUGUUUGGAGCGAAGAAUGUGACCGGAGUUUCAAAGAGUUGAAGCAAAGACUGACUUCGACUCCGGUGCUCACUCUACCGGUGCAGGGCGAAGACUUCGUGGUCUACAGUGAUGCCUCCUAUCUUGGGUUGGGGUGUGUAUUGAUGCAAAGCGGGAAGGUGAUCGCUUAUGCAUCCCGUCAGCUGAAGAGCUAUGAAAGGAACUACCCCAUCCAUGAUUUGGAGCUAGUAGCGGUGAUUUUCGCCUUGAAGCUGUGGGGGCACUAUUUAUAUGGUGCCCAUUGCGAGAUCUAUACCGACCACAAGAGCUUGAAGUACCUGUUUACACAGAAGGAGCUCAAUAUGCGGCAACGGCGGUGGUUGGAGCUGUUAAAGGACUAUGAUGUUGAUAUCCUCUACCACCCCGGAAAGGCAAAUGUGGUUGCGGAUGCACUAAGUAGGAAGUCGGCGAAAAAUCUCGCCUUUGAUGUUACCCAGCAAACACCUCUGUGGCUGGAUAUGGAGCGAUUGGACCUUGAAGUGGUCGCUCCCGAGGUCCCGACUCAGUUGAUGGCACUCGUUGUCCAACCGACCUUGUUGGAGAGGAUUAAAGAUCUGCAACCCGCAGACCCAGAACUCCAAAAGGUGCGGCGAAACAUCGAGAAAAGGCGUGGCGGCGAUUUCAAGGUGGACGCCAAUGGUACGCUUCGGUUUCGAAACCGAUGGUGUGUGCUGAAAGAUGGAGAGCUUCGUGAAUUAAUUCUGCAAGAAGCACACCGAUCUCCAUAUGCCGAUCACCCGGGCGGAACCAAGAUGUAUCAAGGACUAAGAAUCCAUUAUUGGUGGCCGGAAAUGAAAGGUGAUAUUGGACGCUUUGUGGCAAAGUGCCUAACAUGCCAAUAGGUAAAGGCCGAGCGUCGAUUUCCAGCAGGAAAGCUUCAAAGCCUACCAAUCCCCGUAUGGAAGUGGGAGGACAUAUCGAUGGACUUCGUGGUCGGUUUGCCUCGCUCAACGGGUAGCCACGAUGCAAUUUGGGUAAUUGUGGACCGAUUGACAAAGUUGGCUCACUUCUUGCCGGUCCACACCACGUGGUCGGGCGACAAGUUAGCGCAGGUAUACCUUGAUGAGAUAGUGAGACUGCAUGGGGUGCCGAAAUCGAUCGUGUCGGAUCGUGACCCCCGGUUCACUUCACAUUUCUGGAAGAGCCUGCAGGAAGCCCUUGGCACACGACUCGAUUUUAGCACCGCAUUUCAUCCUCAGACCGAUGGGCAAACAGAAAGAACUAUUCAAACUCUGGAGGACAUGUUGCGAGCGUGUGUCAUUGACUAUAAGGGAAGUUGGUGUGACCAUCUAUCUAUGGCCGAGUUCGCCUACAACAACAGUUAUCAUGCUAGUGUGGAGAUGGCACCGUUCGAGGCUCUCUAUGGGCGGACGUGUCAAUCUCCUAUACACUGGAGCGAUGUUGGCGAGCAUGCUGAGUUCGGCCCAGAUGUGUUGCGAGAAGCGGAAGAGAAAGUCCGCCUUGCUCGCAAGAGAUUGCUCACGGCGCAGUCGAGACAGCAAAGUUAUGCAGAUAGGCGCCGUCGAGAUAUAGAGUUCGCGGUAGGUGACCGCGUAUUCUUGAAGGUUUCACCAAUGCGGGGUGUGAAGCGGUUUGGAGUACGGGGAAAGCUGAGUCCCCGGUACAUUGGGCCAUAUGAGAUAUUGGAGCGAGUCGGCACGGUGGCGUAUCGACUUGCUUUGCCGCCGAAACUUGCGGAUGUGCACAAUGUGUUUCAUGUCUCCAAUCUCCGCAAGUACAUUCACGACCCCGAGCACGCAAUGCUAUAUGAACCGCCGGAACUUCAAGAAGACUUGAGCUAUGAAGAGUUUCCGGUAGGGAUUAUCGCCCGAGAGGUGCGAAAGUUGAGGAAUCGAGAAAUCCCCUAUGUGAAGGUUAGGUGGAGCAAUCAUGAUGAUCGCGAAGCCACCUGGGAACUCGAGGAUCUGAUGAGAAAACACCAUCCUCAUCUAUUUGAGGAGUAAGGUAUGAGUUUAAAUAAAAGUUAGGAAAAUUGUUCGUUUCGAGGACGAAACUCCUUUUAAGGAGGGGAGGAUGUAAGGAGGUGAAUUCUCGAAAACCGAGGAUUGUACUUCGCCCAGGAUCGACUACCUGUCGAGAGUGUACCCUUUGUGGAAGUUGGAGAUGUCCAAAACACAAAAAGCGCUUUGGAGUUGAGUCCGCGAGAACAAAUAGGCAAAAUCUGGACUCAGCAGAUUUUUGCUCUCGGGGACCGGUCCCUGGAGGGAAGGACCGGUCCCCGUAUCUGAUGGUCGCGGGGGAGGUCGAUGCGUAGGUCCCUGGCUGAGGGGAACGGUCCCCGUGCGCGACACCCGCGGGAAAAAGCCAAAAUUUGGCUAAGUCCUGAAGGUUCCCCGUUCAGGAACCGGUCUCUUAGGAGAGACCGGUCUCCCAGGGACCGGUCCCUCAGGUGAGGACCGGUUCUCGAACGUGAAAAGUCCCCAGACUGCAGGGAGAGCUCUCGGGGACCGGUCUCCCUGACCAGGGACCGGUCCCUCUGGGCGAAAACUGCCCAGUGAGGGCUGUGCAAUGGAGGAAAAGUUGAGGGGUCUAAAUGCAAAAUGGCCUUUAUUAGAGUGGGCUGGGCCCUCUCUCUCCCUCACACCCUCUCAUUCUCUCUCUUUCUCACACUCUCUCUUGCUCCUUCUCUCUCUCUCUAGGAAAGAAAGAACAAAAGAGAAGGGGAAGAAGAAAGAGAAGAAGAAGAAGGAGGAGAACAAGAUAGAGAAGGCUUGGACCAUCUUCCUCUCUUUCUCUCCUCUCUGUUGGUGUAGCUCAAGAGGUAAGCUACAAACCCUAGCUUGUAGAACUUAGGGUUUUGGGUUUUUAUGCUUUGGAAUGGGUCAAAUGGACCCUAAGCAUGCUUCUAAAUAGAUCAAUCCCAAGAAUCUAGGGAUUUAUUGGGUGGUUUGCUAUAUGUGCAAACCUAGGGCUCCAAAAUGGGGUUUUUGUGAAAGUAUGGGAUUGAUCUCAUUUGAAGCCUUGGAAACCCUAUUGUUAGGUCACAAAACGUGGGGGCGAAGUCGGUUUUAGCAUUCGGCGAGCCGGCGUGAAGUUCUCGGCAAAAUAGGGCCGGGAUAGUGUGGAAUUAGGCAAGGAAGGCUAAAGCCUUUUCGUAAAGUUCGCCGAGAAGCUUUUCCCAAGCCUCUACAUCGAUUAAAGAUGGGGGGUGCCAUCCCGAAGCUUUCGGACUCCUUUCUAUAUCUUAGAUUGUAUUUUAACCUCAUCUCUUCAUGUUGCAUUAUAGGAUUGCAUAGUAGCUCCAUUCCUUAUGCUUUCUAAUUGAUAACCUAGUGUACUUGGAACGCUUGGUAAAAUAGAUAGGUGAGGAUUGGGUCGGAACGUGGAUCCUAUGAUGCGAAAGAUAGAGAUGAACCCGAUGGGGGUGUUGAUGACAUAGAAAGUAGUGUUAUUGUUGCAGAACAAACGAGUGGCAUCCAAACAUUGAAUGAUGACGAGUGGCAUUAAUGUAGUGUAAAUAACACUAGAGGUCGAUGGACCUAGGGAUAGGCAGAUCCCUUAGAAAAUGCCUUGUGAACAAUGAAUUUUGAAAAGCUAAAUAGCAUUGCAUGAAUGUCGGGAACAAAUGAUUCCGCGAGAGAUGUUGACCCUAGUUGUAGGGCAUCCUCACUUGGAGAGGAUUUGAUUGGGUUGUUGACCCUAGUUGUAGGGCAUCCUCACUUGGAGAGGAUUUGAUUGGGUUGUUGACCCUAGUUGUAGGGUAUCCUCACUUGGAGAGGAUAGAUCUAGCUCACAGUCUGCUUUUGGGGUGGUAUAGCCAUCCAAUCCCCACAUGGAGGGGAUUGUCGUCGAGUACUCCGGAGUGUCGCGCGACUAGGACCACUUGGAGGUCCGGACCACAUGGAGGUCCGCAGACGGUCCCGGGCUUGGGUGCACUUGGAGCUCCCUCCCCACUUUGGGAUUGAAAGGUGAGUUAUUGGCGAGCCCUAGGGCCUCGCCACAGAUUGGGUAAAUGGAAAGGUUAAAGGUUUAUUAAUGUCAUUGAACAUUGCUAUUCGAACAUGGAUCGAAUUUGUUAGCAUGAUAGCAAACCUUUAUUAUAUGAUGCAUGCAUUCAUAUUCAUGAUUAUGGGCAUAGUAGCAUAGUUUUCCUACUACUGCAUUUACAGCUUUCAGAUACAUAUCUAUCUAUCUAUCUGUUGUUACUUGUGCCCACUUGGACCUAGUGGGGAGAUCGGCAGAGUCGGCGGCCGAGCCCACUGGGAACUAUGGAAGAUAGUUCUCACCCCACUCUAUUUCCAGUGGUAGGUUCAGGGCUGCAGAGAGAGGACCGCGGCAUAAGCAUCGUGCCCGACCAGUGAGACCGUGGUUGUCACGCCCCGGGACCGAUACCAAUUUGGGCCGGUCUGAGCACGUCAAACAGACGCCGAACGGACAGAGUUUUCCCUGUCCGCCCAAGGCUCAUCAUAUGUAAAUUUUCAAACAAGAAGUGCACUAGCAGAAACAUACGAAUACGGCUUACACGAGGGUAAGCAAUAGCCACGAGUGAAAGAUAAGAAAACUAGCAUUCAUUUGUACUAUGAUUCAAUUUAGAUCAUAUACAUUGCAUUCAUCUUGUACACUUUCGAAUUCCUUACAUUUCAUUGCAUCAUUUCAUCAUUUCUUUCUUAUAUCACAUUUACCUCAAAAGAGUGCUUUACAUUCUCUUCUUUCUUUGCUUAAUACAUCAACAUUCUAAAUUAUCAAAUACAAAAGAUGAUAAAAGGGAAUGCUACUACAAAAUGUAGACCCAACUUUGGUGGCCUCUCACUAAGGCGCGAUACCUUUACCUCGGUCGCUCGCCGGCUCGCUCGGUCCCGGCUCUGUGGAAAUAGUGGGGUGAGAACUACAACAAAGUUCCCAGUGGGUUCGGCCUCAACUUCACCGACUUUCCCACUAGGACUAACUCAGGCAUAAUAGAAGGGAAAAGCUACAUAUAGUAACCAAUGUAUAACAUGAUGCUAAUAUGCCUGAACAAUAAGCAGGAAAUAUGCUCAACAUUAACAUAUGCAGAUUAUGCAAGUUCUUUUGUUCUUUACACUUUACACUUUGUCUUUAUUCUUUGUUCUUUGGUUUUUUGUUCUUUGCUCUUGUUCAUUAAUCUCAAGCUAACGCUGUGGGGUUUCGCCACAAUUAACUGCUUCACCAUUACAGUCCAUCAUUCCCGCGAGCCCCUCAGCUUCCUCCGCGCUAAGACCGUCCUCGGGUUACUCCAACCCGGGAUGCAAAAACUCCGAGUCGCAUCGCCCGAAGGGACGAUAUUCGCUCGAGCACGAACUCAUAGCAGUAUGAUUCGAAUCCUUAACUCAAAAGGAUUGUAUGUUCAAUCUGAACUUUACAGCCUAACUUAGUGUUCUUUACAAUCACUGUUAUGUUGGCCAACAACCUAGCAAUCAUCAUGUUCUCUAGCUUUUCUUUUACGUUUUGCUAACUCUAGCAAUCAUUGUUUCUUAACUAUUUCUUACCUUUUGGCUAUCUUAGCAUUCAUGAUCUUACCCCCCACUUUGUUUUUCUUUAGUCACUUACGAAUUAUUUUUACAUCACAUUAAUCUUUGGCCUCACACAUACCUCUAGGUGUCCACUUUAGUUUACAUUAUCCUAAUGCCUAGCUGCGAUCUGAAUGUCUUAUUGUGUCUACCUGUUUUUUCGGCUCUCGCUUUUGGUACUUACACAUUUCUCUCAUAACCAUACAUAAUAGGCGUUUAGACACUUCAUUAAGGUUCUAACCAUCUCAUCAUGGCAUUGUACUCACAAUCCAUGCCUAACACAAUUUUUUCUCAUUACAUUACCCUAAAAUGCAUGCAACAAUGUAUAAACAUAUGCUCAAUUGAAUGACACAUUAGGCAUAGAGGGAAGUUCAACGAGUUUGAAAAGCACCACCCACCUCGUAGGCUCUCAAAGGUGCUUCGAUUAUUUUCUUGAGAUUUUUAGGCUUUUCGUUCCUUACCUGCGGCAAAACGAAGCCCUAUUAGGCCAUUUUGCCCAUAACUUUACUUUGGCUUUUCGUAACGCUAAUCCGAGCGCACCCACGUGUCGAAAAUACCCCCAAUUAGGUUUCUAGAGGGUCAAUUUCACUUAGAAAUCUCCUUGAGCAAAAGCCCCAAUUUGGGUGCCCUAGCUCCAUUGCAUACAUCAAACCUAGGGUUUGAUCUCAUUGGGAAGCAAAAGAAGCUUCAUGGUACUCUAAAAAGUCCAUUCUAACCAUUACUAGCUCAAUCAAAACCCUAGUUUGGGUUUCACCAUGAGAGGUGUUGAAGCUCACUUUCAAGCUUCACCUCUAUACCAAACCAUAGUUUUGAUCUCAAAAGAAGCAAAAAGAAAGCUUCAAAGACUCUAAAUACUCCAUUAAAACUAUUUCUAGAUUAAUCCAAACCCUAGUUUGGAAUUUAGCAUGAGAAGGGGCAAAGCUUACCUCUAAGCUUGCUCCUUUUCCAAGCUAGAGAAGGAGAGGAGAGGUUUUCUUCUUCUCCUUGUCUUCUUUUUCACUUUCUUCUUCUUCUUUUUCCUUCUUUUCCUUCUCUUCUUCUCCUCCUUCUUGUCUUCUAGAGAGAGAAAGAGAUAUGAGAAUGUGAGAGGGAGUGGAAUGAGAGAAACAUCUCAUUUUCCCCCAUACUAUACUCUAUAGGUUGCAAAAUUGCUAUUAAACCCCUCAACUUUUACUCUUUGAUGCUGCAUGGACUGGGCAGUUCGCGCACGCGAGGACCGGUCUCUCCAUCAGGGACCGGUUCCCGAAGCUCGUCCCAGCGCAGCCAGAGCUGCCUCGCGCGAUGCGACCGGUCUCUCUCUGGGGGGACCGGUCUCUUGGGGACCGGUCUCUCAGGGAGGGACCGGUUCCCGAGAGCUAGUUCUCAGGGACUUAGCCGAUUUUUGGCUUUUCUCAAUUCUUGCACGUUCGGGGACCGGUCUCUCCCACCAGGGAUCGGUCCCCGAGAGCUCAAAAACUGCAGUUUGCAGGUUUUUGAUUCCUUAGCUCUCGAAAACCUUUCACAACGCACUUUUACUCAUUUUAACACCUUCGGACUUUUCGAAGUGUACCGUCCUCGCACUUUGGUCAAUUUGACUAAAGUUCGAUAUUUACUUUCCGAAUUUUCGGUAUAUUACAGUGGUAGUAUAGUAGCUUUCCUUUUUGCAUUAGUCACCUAUGUAUUGAGAGAGAGAUUUAUUGUAGGUGAGGAUCUGGAGAGCUAUGUAUUUUGGAGAUGAAAAAUGUACUCAUUUAAAGAAAAUGAUGUAAAUGAAAAUGAUGGAACUAAUGUAUUAGUUAGCAAGGUACUUUCUUUAUUUCACAUGCCUUAUCUUGUGGAUCGCUUGCUCUUUGUAUUGUUGGCACUGUUUGUGCCCUUGUGAAUGUGUACGUUUAGAAUUUGAUUUCCUGGGUAAAUUCUUGUACACAUUCUUGUUGUUGAGCCUUGGGCGGACAGGGGAGGUGCUGUCCGUUCGGCGGCCCGCCGCCGCGGCCGAACCGUGCCAAAUUGGUAGUGGUUUCGGGGCGGGGCGUGACAAUAGUAGAGGUCCCAACGUUGAUUAUAUAUCAUGAUUGUGCAGCAGAGGCACAUUGACCCUAGUAGACAGGGUAUCCUCUUGAGAGGAUUGGAUCAUACUCACUAGUCUAUUUUGCUUGUCGGUGGUCGCUCCACCGAGGCACGAGUCUCCUGAGUACUUCACUAGGGGCAGAUGUAGUUGUCCCGCAAACGGUCUCGGUGUGCGAGUGCAGCUUCUCCUCACCUAUGAGAUUGAGAGUAAGUCGAUGGUUUAACUUUCGGGUUAACCAAGUGGAUUGGGUAAUAAACAUGAAAUGCAUAGUAGACUUGCAUUAUUACCUUGAGUAGAUAUAGUGUAUAUUGUAGAUUACAUUGCUAUAUAUCUUUAUAUACUCAUGACAUGAUACUAGCAUGAUAGUAGUUGUUGCAUACAUGAUUAUCAUUGAUGGCAUGAUAGAGUAGUUGCAGUUCAUUUUAUAUAUAUCUAUCUAUCUCUCUAUUCGUGCCAGCUUAGACCUAGUGGGAAAACCGGCGGCGUCGAUGGCCGAACCCACUGGAAACUAUAUUUAUAUAGUUCUCACCCUAUGUGGUUUUGAGGUACAGGUACACACAGGGGGGAGCCGAGCGAGGAUCGCGGCAAGGGCAUAGCGCCCUAAGUGAGCCUAGUUAGUAGCUUUUCCUUUAUGCAUUAGAGUACCCUCGUGUACUAGAUGAUGUUUUGGAUAGUCAUUGGAGAGCUACUUGUAUUUUGAGGAAAACAUGUAUUUACAUUUUGGAAGAUGAAAAUGUAAUAUAUUCAAAUGAUGUAAAGGUUGAAUGGUUGUAAUAGUUAGACUAUCUCUCUUUAUACACUUGUACAUUCACUUGUGGUUCUUCCUCUUAGUUAUAGUGCACUUGUGUGCAUCGUAUCGAUCAUGUAUGUUAUUUAAGCAUUCCCUGGGCGCUUAACUGUACAUGAUCUGGUUGCUUGGCCUUGGGCGGACAGGAGAGGUGCUGUCCGUUCGGCGGUCCGUCCGGCGCGCCCGAACCGUGCCAAUUGGUAGUGGAUUCGGGGUGGGGCGUGAAAUAAACUCAGCAAACAACUGAGUUGUAUCUUAGUAAGGUGAGUAAUACCAUUUCUCUCUCUAGUUUGGUACUAGUAGUGGAUUUAAGCUUGGUUUCUUGCUUCCUUGUUACCAGCUGAUGUGAGGGAAGUUAUAGCAGCUAUAGAAGCAGAGUUUUGUGGUGGUUCUUCAACUCUAAUCCAGGGGAAAAGCUGGAUUGAAGCUUUGAGAAGGUGAUUAGCUAACUACUUGUCUUAUGUUGAUGCUAUAAUAGGUGUAUUCGUGAAGUUGUCACGCCCCGUGCCCCACCUAUUUGGUUGAGUUCGGGUACGCCGAAAGACUGCCGAACGAAUAGAGUUUUUCCUGUACGUCCUAGGUGUCGCAAUCAAUACAAUACAAGGGUUCCAACCAUGAACAGUAUUCAACAUACAGAUUGCAUAAGGAAGUAUCAAAAACAUAAACAACUAACUAUUACAAGCAUUCACAUACAUGCUUUUACACUUCAAUUACAUAUUUCAUUUAACUUCCAAAAUACAAUCUAAGUUAUUACAAGUUUAUUACAACUUUUACUUCUUCCUCCCCUCUAACCCUAGGCUAUGCCGACUCGGGGUAUCUUUAUCUCUGGUCUCUGGGUAGGGCGCUAUCUACGGAGCUAUGCCCUUGCCUCGCGCCACCGCGUUGCUCACGUGUAAACCUGUAACACCCCAAAACAACGUGGGGUGAGAACCAACUCCAUGAUUCCCAGUGGGUACGGCCACCCAAGGAAAAAAGCUCGACCAAUAAGUCCAAGGAGGCACUGCAAUCAUGUUAGUCCAAAAACAUCUAUAGAUAUAUAUAUCAUCAUGUUAUUAUGCAACUAACAGAUAACAUGCCUCGCAAUAUGCAAUAUGAAUAUAUGCAAUCAACUAGUAAAUCUAUUAAUUCUACGUUCAACUUUGCUAUCUUUAGCUCAUAUCAUUCAUCUCUAAGGUUUCUACUACCUUAGGUUCACGAUUCAAGUUUCACUUGCUCCUAAGGUUUCUAUUCCCUUAGCUCAUGCCAUCUAUCUCUAGCUUUCAAGGUUUCCACUACCUCAUCUAAGCUAUCCACCCAACUCGGCCUCGAAGUCAAUCAUCCACAGAUAAUCCACGCAUUGGCUGCACCUCAGCCUACCGCCCUCCAUGACUUAGCCUUAUAGUGGCGAAAUCGUCGCACACGCUGAAUAGGCUCAAGUCACCUGGCGGCCUAAUUCACAAUCGGCUUAACCAUCUGGCGGCGAAAUCGUCGCACACGCCCAACCAUGGUUCAAGCCUCCGGGUGGCGAACACUGUACACACACCCAAUCCACCUUGGUAUCAAUCUCGGCGGCGAAUCGUCGCACACGCCCUAUGUAACAUACCGAAAUCUCGGUAAUUAAAUUCGAAUCUUGGUCAAAUGGACCAAAGUACGAGGUGGUACACUGUAAUGCACUGGAUCUUGCAAAUCGCAAGAUUCGAGUGUUUGAUCUGUGUUUGGAGCUUUUUCACAGUUUUUGGAGGGUCGUUGAUAGUGUUCCGACCCCUGGCACGCAUCCCGAGGAUGUUGGAGUGAGACUUGGCACCAAAAUUCUAAAAUCGAAAUUUUUGGACAGUUCUCGGGUAGCCUGCAGCAGAGCUUGUACCGGAACAAGACUGAUCUUGUACCGGUACAAGGUUGAUGGUUGUACCGGUACAGCCAUCGGGCUUAUACCGGUACAGAGCUGCAGACCCCGCGACCCGAGCCUCGGGUUUGCACUUUCGUGGGCCUUGUACCGGUACAAGAGCCCGUGUACCGGUACAAGAAGGCAGUUUUCGUGCAGUUUGGUCUGCAGGGGGUUUUUCGCGUUUGUAGCCUUCUAUUAGUGCACCCCACGCCCCUUAGGGCCUCCCAUGUGCAGAGACCAGCAGGAGUUGAGGUAGGAGGAGCUCUCUCUCCCUUCCUUUGCAUUUUUUUUUACUCAUUUUCUUGGUUUUUAUUGGGUUUUCUCUCCUCUAUUUGCAUCUUGGUGGCUUCUCCACCAUUGUUGAUGGCUUAGAGCUUGGAGAGGAGCUAGUGGCUGCGGAGAUCUUCAACAUCGCUUGGAUUGGAGCUAAGUUUGGAGCUUCUUGAGAAGUUAGAGACUUGAUUUCUCCCUUUGAUCCUUGAUUUGAGGUUUUUGUAAGAUGAAACCCUAGAAUGAGGUUUUAGGGCUUAAAUUGGGCAUUUUGAAUCUAGGGCUCUUGGAGCUAGUUUGAGUGGAUUAGAGGCUUUCAUUUGGUUGGAUUGGAAGGAUUCUAACUCCCUUUUGAAGCCUUAGAGGGGAUUUUUGCACUAGAGGUGAGUUUUCCUCACCUAUGCUUGAUUAGCUUAAUGAUUGAGCUAGGUAUUGUUCGUUUGGCUCGUAUGACACAUGUUUCUAUACCUCUAGGGUACUAGGAGACUAGAGGACACCCUCGUGGGAGCGAACGAGGAGUUUCGUUGUCAUCGGUGGGUUUGACUUCGUGGAAAUGGGGCGAAAUGGCCCCUAUGCUCUUUGCACUUGUUGUAAAAUAUUUUUAAAUUCAUUUCUAUGCUAAAUAUGAUUUAUGUGAGUUUUAGAACACUUAACAUGCAUGCCUCAUAUAUCGUAAAAUUUGUACUCCAUAUAGUAGAGCUAUAUGUGUAGAUUGCAUGCAUUGUGGAUAGUGCUUGGUUUUGCAAGUUGAGAACAUGUCUCCAUGCUAGAGUUGAGUGAAUUAUGCAUCAUGAACAUAUUAAUGCCAUGCUUGGAACUCGUUGAACAAAAGUGUCAUUAAGGGGCACUUGGAACUAGCAAACUGUUAAACUGCAACAUAGAGACAUAUUGAUAGGCCACUACGUAUCUGCUAUAUUCCAUGUUAGAGACAUGAUGACAUAGAGAUAGGCCAUUGAGAUACUUGAUAUAUUCCAUGUUGUUAGACAUGAGGACUUGGUUCUUGAGACGGAUCAUUGCUUGCUUGCCAUUGUGCUCAUUCGCACAUGCUUGUGAGGGUCGCUCCCUACAAGCCGGCACUCCGGAGAUAGCCAUCGCGACAUAUGCUCGCCCGUGCGGGAUUGGGCGCCGAAGUGGAUUGCCGUGGGGGAGGCUCAUCCCUAGAGUGGGGAUGUUGACUACCACGGGGCCAUUAGGCACGGCGCAGGCCAGACAGCCUUCGGGUGGGUCUUAUAUGAUUGGGACUUGGUGACAGAACAUGCUAUGUGAACUUUAUAACUGUUAAAGUGGACUUGGACUAGAAUAGUAAACAAUGACAUCUUUACUAUUACAUUGUGGACUUUGGGUAGUUGCAUAAUCAUGCUUUAUAUGUUGGGUGUUCAUGUGCAUAUAGCUAGUAGUUGCUUCCUUACUUAUGUAAAUUAUGCUAAGUAGAGGUAUCAUGAUUAUUGGGUACUCGUUUAUUUAUUUACUUACAGUGCAUUUAUCGCUUUUGUUAUAAUGUACACUGACCCUUUUUCUAUAGUUUCGGGCCUAGUGGUGCAUUUCACUGAAGUCAGUAAUUGCCCACUGGGAACUAUUAUUUAAUAGUUCUCACGCCCCUGUUUCUAUGUUUCCUUUUCAGAGCUUUCGGCACCGGCGGAGGCACGGGAUCGCAGCAAGGGUGUCGCGUAGCUAGCUCGCGGAGAGUUCUUUUGCGCUAGGUGGUUACUCCUCCAUUUUAUAUUUUGAGAGGGAGAGGUUUUGUACCAUGUAUAGAGAGACCACCUUGUACUCCUUUUAGCACUUGUUAUGGGAUCCCUAUUGUACUUACUUUAUGUUUUUAUUUAGUGGACUUUCAGCUUUAUGUCCUUUCCUUGUUAUAGAACUAGUUAUACAAUGCUCUGAUAUCACUAGAUCUCUUGUAUUAUCGUUUUAUCUAUCGAAAUUUUGUAGACGCCUUAUAUGUUUUAGACGUAUGGCGGGUCUGGACACGCGCCGGGUAGGCUUCCGCUGAGCCCCGGGGCGUGACAUACACUUCGGAAAGGCCGAAAAGGCCGAAGGCGUCAAACAAUGCAAAAAUGCAUUACUAGGGAUCUUCGAGAGCUCUGGAAUCAAAAUCUGCAAAACUGCAAGUUUUGUGCUUCGGGUACCGGUCCCUGGUGGGAGAGACCGGUCCCCGAACGCGUAGGCAGCGAAUGGCCGAAAAAUCGGCUAAGUCCUGGAAAACCAGCUCUCGGGAACCGGUCCUUGCGAGGAGAGACCGGUCCCCAGAGACCGGUUCUAUUGAGGGAGUGUAAUACACUGAAUUUUUACAAAUUACGAAAUUCGAGUGUGAGGAACGAUAUGUGGAUCUAUCCUACAUGUUCUAAAUGGCUUGGACAAGUUUUUGGACGAGUUAGAGUGUGAUUGGAGGGUUAAAAAUAAGAAAGUGCAUUGAACUGGCGAAAUCAGCCUUUUUCUACUUGCUGUACCGGUACAGCCAUCACCUUGUACUAGUACAGACUGGCAGAAACGUGGCAGCAAGGGUAUUUCUGUAAUUUCACACUUGAUACCUAUCCACUUGACCCCAGCUCGACCAGGAAUGCUCAGUGGAGGAUGCUAGAGCUCUGGAGCUUGUUCUUCCACCUUCUCCACUCUCUCUCUCUAGGAUCUUUCUCUCUCUACAAGGGUUCGACGAAUUUGUUCGUUUUCGUCGCAUCGCGCGUUCUUCGCUGGUGGCGAGCGUCGCAGAGCCUACGUGGACGUGUGGGGGAGUGUUUUGGAAGAAUUUUCGCAGCCCUGGACCAGUGAGGUGCUGGUUGGAAGCUUGAGAAGGUAAACGACUCGAUUUUUUCGUUAUCGGCGCUCUAUUAGUCGAUUUGGGUAUUGAUUUCAGGUUUUUGCUUCCAACUGCUUUAAACUGAGAUUUCAGCAAUUAAAGAUGAAUUAAUUAGCUGUGAAUUAAUCUCCUUAGACCAGGGAUAAGCUUCUUUGAAGGUUAAUAGAGAUAAUUAGUUCAUUAUGAAGCUAGUUGGAGCUAUAUGAAGUUUAAUUGGAUAACUAAUGCAGUUUGGAAAUUGUUCUCUUCGCAGCAGGUUGUUGAACCAAAUUAAGCUUAAUUGGUGACUUUGGGGACUGAUUUAGAAGGUGUUCUAACCAAGGGUAAGCAGGAAUUUCAGCUAGAAAUUUAAUUCCGCAAGAAUUCGAUUGUAAUAGCUUAUAAUCGACUAUAUUGAUGCCGUUUCGAUGUUGUUCGCAGCGAGAGUGCGAUCGAGCCUUGGAUCGUUUUAGUUGACUUGGGAGAGCUCUUGGAGACUCUUCUUGAGGUAUUACACUAGCCAAAACAGGGAAUUAAGCUUCCAUUUUGUAUUAAUUGAGAAUUUUGCCGAACUUAGAAUCGAAGUGAUCGCUUCGGUGCGACUUUCGUGUUUUGUUUUCAGCUAGAUUGGGGCCUAGUGGAGCUGAGUUUUGGGACUUCUUACAAUUGGGUUGCGCUUAGUAAUAGGUGGGUUUGACCUAACCAGAGCAAGUGGAGCUCCCCUAUGUUCUAUAUGUAUUAUAGAAUUGAUACAGUUGUAUGCUUUUGUGAUUGAUAUAGAACUUGAGACGAGUCACUAUAUUAUAGUGUUGAUAUAUAAUUGAAUUGAAAUCUCUAUGAAGUAGAGAACCCUCAUGCAUAUAAGUCUUUAUAUACAUGUUUAAUUUAGUUGAGUGAUUAAUGGACAAGUUAUCAUGUUUCUAGAAAAUAGAAAACCGUGACAUCCUUAUGACACUUUCUUGACUCUAAAGUAGAGAAUGAUGACAUGCUUAUGAUUAUGUUUAUAGUGCCAUGAUCGUGAAAAGAUUCUAAUGCCAUAUGGAAAUUAGCAUUACUCUUGCAUGUUUAUUAAUCUAGUGGAUACUAGCUGUUAUCAAUACUUGUUAUAUUGAGAUUCCGAUCAAAGGAUCGAGAGCAAGAACAAUGCAAGUUGGAAAGUGAUGAUUGAGACAUAUUGAGCUUUAGAUUUGCUUGCUGCCAUUGUGCUCAUUCGCACACGCUUGUGAGGGUCGCUCCCUACAAGCCGGCACUCCGGAGUUGGCCUACGCGACAGUUGCUCGCCCGUGCGGGAUUGGGUGCCGAAGUGGAUUGCCGUGGGGAGUGUACACUACCACAGGGCCAUUAGGCAUGGCGCAAGUUGGACUACCUUGAGUAGAUCCCUGUGAAUGAAAGGAAAGUGCUAAAGAAAAUUGGACAGUAAUGAAUGAUUACCAGUUACAGUGUACAAUAGUUACUUACACAUUUAUGCUUAUGUUCAUGCUUAUAAUAGUUGCUAUGCUUCUAUUAUUCAGUUGAUUCAUUACUGUUGAGACUAUGAUUACAUGUUGCUUACAUGCUCAUUACCUGUUAGUAUUGCAUAAUUAUAUAUCAUGCAAUUACUGCUUUCGCUUUCAUUUAGUACAUCAUGAGCCUAGUGGUGUAAUUCGCCGAGGCUGGCGUCUUACCCACUGGGAACUAUUGUUUAUAGUUCUCACGCCCUUUUGGUGGUUGUUUUUACAGAGCCAUUUACAGGAGAGGCUAGGGAUCGUGGCAAGGGAGUCGCGUCUAGCUAGACAUUGCUAGGAGCAUACUAGUCGAUCACCUUGCUACUCGGGCUAUGACCGAGGGUGAUGUCCCUAUGUAUAGAGAGACCACCAUUGUACCUAUUCUUUUUGUAUUCCCUGUGAUGUAUAUUUACUGCUGAACCAGAUACUAUAGUUAUGAUACUUGCUCUUUUAGUCAAGAUUUUGGAUUGUACACUCUUUGUUCUUUUGCUGAUAGUAUAUCGACUUGUACUUUGCUCUGAUAUCAGGAUAGGACUUUCUUUGUUUUACUUCCUAUCGACUUACUUUCUUCGUAGACGCCUUAUAUACUACAGGUGUAUGGCGGGUCUGUGAACGAACCGGAUAUGCUUCCGCUGGUACCCGGGCGUGACAGAUUAUAGUGGUAUCAGAGACUAGGGUUCAGUCUUAGUAGACCUAGAAACCUUAGGCUGGUUGGACUAUAAGAAUAGGCUCGUGAGAGACGAGGUCUAGUCGAGGUUGUUGUUAGCGAAAGUACUUUGAUUGUGUAUUUAUAAACUCCGAAUAGUAGGAGUUUGAUCGGGAUGUGCAAUUACUAACUUUGCAGAGGGUCACGUUGGCGGCCGACAACGUGACAUCGGAAGUUAGUACGCGUUACAUUUCAUUACUUUCGCUUCAUUAGCUGGUUUAUAUCCUCAAUGAGGGUUCAGUAGUAUAGGUUUUAUUAACCUAUGUUUGUUUUUGUGUUGCAGCUUAAGAUGCCUACGACUCGUUCGAGAGCCGCCGGGGCGGCUGAGGCAGCUGAUGCGGAGGAAGUGGAGACCUCCGUUACUUCCGGAUCUAGGGGGAUCCACGAGUUACAGGAUCAGCUUGCGAUGCUGAGGGAUCUAGUGACUCAGCAGGCUGUAGCAGCGCGACAGCAGAUGGUCGCUGCACGUCGACAGGAGGACAGGAUGAAGAGGUUAGAGGAUCUGUUACUGCGGCGGACGACCGACAGAGAGAUUCCAGAUUCUGUACUUCCAGAUUCUGUACCUACAGCACCAGAGAGGGGCACCACUGCGAGAGCACCGUCACCGGUACCUGAUACACCCCCAAUAGCCCCGAGGGUAGAGCCCCGACUGCAGACAGUAGCACCACCACCAGUACCUUUAGCGGCAUCAGGGACAGUGUUACCUGAGAUGGUGGGGGUUGAGGAGCGAGAGCGGAUGAUGGAACGACUGAAUGAAUUCCGUCACUGCAACCCUCGUAUCUUUGANNNNNNNNNNNNNNNNNNNNNNNNNUCGAUUUGAGUGUUGCUUUUGAGUUUGUUGCUUCCAACUGACUUAAACUGAGAAUUCAGCCAUUAAAGAUGAGCUAAUUAGAUGUGAAUUAACCUCCUUAGACCUGGGAUAAGCUACUUUAAAGCUUAAUUGGAAUUAUUAGCCAUUUAUGAAGCUAAAUUGGAACGAAAUGCAAAUUGUUGAGCGGAUUGAUGCAAUUUGGAAUUAUUUCUUCGCAGCAGGUCUUCGAGUCUCGUUGAGCUGAACUUGUACUCUUAGAAGCUGGUUUGGAAGGUAUUCUAACCCGAGGUAAGCAGGAAUUUCAGUUAGAAAACUGAAUUCGCAAGAUUCCGACUAUAUUUGCUAAUAUAUGAUGAUUUUGAUGUCGUGUUGAUGUUGAUCGCAGCGGGAGUUCAACCGACCUUUGGGUCAUCCUUGGUUGGCUUUGAGAAGCCUUUAGAGACUUAAUUGGAGGUACUAAAGGGAACCAAAACAGCGAUUUAUGUUACUACUUGAUACGAGAUGUGAAUUGAGCCGAAAUUGGACAUUUCGGCCAUAGAUUUAAUCCGAUCUUGAUGUUUGUUUUUCAGCGGGAUUGAGACCUAGUGGAGCUGAUCUUUGGGACUUGCCUUGGACUGAUUGGAGCCUAGUACUAGGUGGGUUUGACCUAACCAGAGCAAGUGAAGCUCCCCUAUGUUCUAUAUGUAUUCUAGAGAUGGCCUAAUUAUAUGCUUAUGUGAUUGUUAAAGGGCUCGGAAUUCGUCAUUAUGACGUUUAUCAUAUUUGAAAUAGAGCGAGAGAGCGUUCAUGCAUAAAAGUGUUCUUGCAUAAAAGUAUUCUUGUUUAGUUCAGUAGAACAACCAAGAGAUCAGUUUAUUAUGUUUCUAUGAUAGAGAAAGCAUAUAUACAUGAACGUAUUUAUAUUCAAUUCAGUUGAAUAACUUAUGAACAAGUGUAGGAUGCACUUAUAAAAUAGAAAACGAUGACAUUCUCUUGACUCUAAAGUAGAGAACUAUAACAUGCUUAUGCCCAUGUUGAUAGUGCCAUAAUAGUGGAAAGAUUAUAAUGCCAUGUGAUUUAGCAUUAUUUUUACAUGUUUACAAUCUAGUGGAUACUAGUUUUGGUUAUUAUUUGUGUAUUGAAUUUUCGAUCGGAGGAUCGAGAGUAAGAACAUUGCAAAUGAAAACAUGAUAAUUGAGACAUGUGGACAGUGAAAUAUGCUUGCUUGCCAUUGUGCACAUUCGCACACCCUUGUGAGGGUCGCUCCCUACAAGCCGGCACUCCGGAGUUGGCCUACGCGACAGUUGCUCGCCCGUGCGGGAUUGAGUGCCGAAGUGGAUUGCCGUGGGGAGUGUUAGUACCACGGGGCCAUUAGGCGCGGCGCAAGCCGGACUACCUUGGGUAGGUCCUGAUGAAUGAAAGGAAAACGCUAUGAGGUGAAAUGUAACUAAAUGACAAAGGACAGUAAUGAAGCUAUUAAUUCCAGUGAUACCAUAGUCACUUUCAUGCUCGUGGCUUACAUGUACUGUCCUAUAUUCAUGAUUACAGAAAUUGCCAAUCUAUUCUUUUAUGCAGAUGGAUCAUUAUGUAAAAGUUAUUACUAUGUUGCAUUACAUGCCUAUAUUACUUAUUAGCAUCAUGCUUAUAAUUAUGCAAUUAUCGUUAUUGCUUCAUAUUAGAUUACAUCAUGACCUAGUGGUUAAUUCGCGAGGCUGGCGGAACUACCACUGGAACUAGUUGUUAUAGUUCUCACGCCCUUGUUGGGUUGUUUUAACAAGAGCCUGCUUACAAGGAGAGGCUAGGAUCGUGGCAAGGGAGUCGCGGCUAGCUAAGGGACUACCUAGGCAGGUGUAGUCGAUACACCUUGCUACUCGGCUGACGAGAGGUGAUGUCCCUAUGUAUAGAAGACCACGUCUAUACCUAAUCCUUUGUAUUAUCCUGCGGCAUAUAUGUAUUGUUUGAGAUAAGAACUCUAUAGUUGUAUACUUUCUCCUUUUGCUGAGAUUUUUGGAUUUGUAUACUCUUUGUCGCUUACUGAUAGUAAUAUCGCUUGAUAUUUGCUCUUGAUAUCAGGCAUAGGUUCUACUAUACUUCCCUCUAUCGACUUGUGUUCUUGUAGACCGCUAUAUACCGCACUGGUUGCGGGUCUGUGCACGUGCCGGAUAUAGAUUGCCGCUAGUACGCCGGCGUGACAAUGGUCAGCAAUCUUUCAGGAGCAAGCAAAGACCAAGGCAGUCAGUGUCAGUCGAGGGCAUGGUUCUUCAGAGCCCUAGUGGAGCACCCGGCGUCGUCGGACACCCGCGUUGUGUUACUGUGGUGCGGCCUCAUGUCCGCCACAGUGUCCACAGCGUGGGGGCAGGUGCUUUCUUUGCGGCCAGGAGGGCCACUUUCGUUCAGAGUGCCCGAGAGGUUCUUUGCCUGCACCCUCGUCAGCGUCUGCACCUGCAUCUUCAGCUCCGAGCCAGGGGACCCCGACAGCACCCUAUCAGUGUAGGCGACCACCAGGACAGCGGCAGUCGGAGAGUUCGCAGCAGGGUUCGAGUGGGCGGAUGUAUGCCGCCCAGACUGAGGGCGCUGCAGCAGCACAGGAGGUCGUAGUAGGUAUUAUUUUGAUUCAUGAUGUGCGUGUUCGUGCAUUAUUUGAUACUGGUGCAUUACAUUCCUUUAUUGAUCGGCUAUUUGCCGAGUUGCAUAGCAUACAGUUAGUACCUACCCUGCAUUCGGGACGAGUGAUCGUGCCCGACCAUACCCUGGAUAUUUGUGAGUAUUGCCCUCGCUGCCCAGUUAGGAUAGGCGACUGGAUUAUGCUAGUAGAUUUACUAGCACUACACAAACUAGGUGAGUUUGAUGUAGUAUUGGGUAUGGAUUGGUUGACACAGUACUAUGCCACUAUUGAUUGCACGAACAGAACGGUGACCUUUAGGGAACCGGGUCAACAAGAGUUUGUUUAUAAAGGGUGUGUUCUAAUGCAGAAUGGCAGAGUAAUUGCUUAUGCUUCUCGCCAAUUAAAGGAUUAUGAAAAGAAUUACCCUACACAUGAUCUUGAGUUAGCAGCUGUGGUAUUUGCUUUAAAGCUUUGGCGCCACUAUCUCUACGGCGAGCGUUGCGAAGUGUACACAGAUCAUAAAAGCUUAAAGUAUCUGUUUACUCAGAAGGAAUUAAACUUGAGACAACAUAGAUGGUUGGAGUUACUCAAGGAUUAUGAUUUGACCAUCCUCUAUCAUCCUGGAAAAGCUAAUGUCGUAGCAGAUGCUUUAAGUCGAAAAUUGACGAAAAAUUUGGCAAUGUCGAUAACUAUGCAACCCCUAUUGGUAAAGGAAAUGGAGCAAUUGAAUUUGGAAGUUGUAGCUCCCGAUACGCCUUGGAGACUUAUGUCAUUAGUGGUGCAACCUACCCUGAUUGGUCGAAUUAAAGAAAAGCAAGCUCAAGAUGAGUUCUUGCAAAAGAUUCGAGCAAAGAUCACUGUUGAUCCAAUUGGCGAUUUUCGAGUGGAUGAUCAGGGAUUGCUAAAAUUCGAUGAUAGAAUUUGUGUGCCUGCCGAUCCAGAUAUUAAAGAGGAGGUUUUAAAGGAAGCACAUCGGGCACCGUAUACUUUACACCGUGGGAGUACAAAAAUGUAUAUAGACCUGAAGUCAAUUUACUGGUGGCCUAGAAUGAAAAAGGAAGUUGCUGAUUUUGUGGCCAGAUGCUUAACCUAUCAGCAGGUUAAGGCUGAACAUCGACUUCCUUCAGGGAAACUACAAAGUUUACCCAUACCAGUGUCGAAGUGGGAAAGGAUCACUAUGGAUUUCAUUGUUGGAUUACCUCGCUCAUAAGUAGGUCACGAUGCCAUUUGGGUAAUUGUGGAUAGAUUAACAAAAUCUGCCCACUUUAUCCCAAUCCAUACAGUCUGGUCAGGGGAGAGACUCGCACAAGUGUAUCUUGAUGAAAUUGUGCGAUUACACGGAGUACCUACUUCUAUUGUUUCAGAUCGAGACACCCGAUUUGUUUCACAUUUCUGGAGAAGUUUACAAGGGGCCAUGGGUACCCGAUUGGAUUUUAGUACUGCUUUCCACCCCCAGAGUGAUGGGCAGUCCGAGCGUACUAUCCAGACCCUUGAGGAUAUGUUGAGGGCCUGUGUGAUUGAUUACCAGGGCAGUUGGCCACAGUUCCUGCCGAUGGCUGAAUUUGCUUAUAACAAUAGUUAUCAAGCAAGCAUUCAAUGGCACCUUUUGAAGCCCUUUAUGGUAGAAAGUGCAGAUCACCACUUCAUUGGAGCGAAGUGGGAGAAAGAUUAGUUUUGGGUCCAGAUGUACUGCAAGAAGCUGAAGCUAAAGUUCGACUGGCACGAGAACGUCUACUGAUAGCACAAAGUCGACAAAAGAGCUAUGCGGAUAAACGUCGGCGAGAACUGGAAUUUCAAGUUGGCGAUCAUAUAUUCCUAAAGGUUUCCCCGACGAAAGGAGUUAAGAGAUUUGGCAUUCGAGGAAAGUUGAGUCCUCAGUUCAUUGGACCCUACGAAGUGUUGGAGCGGAUAGGCCCCGUAGCAUAUCGGCUUGAUGCUCCAAAGCCUCAAGAUCUUGCUCUCUUCCUACUCCUUCUUCUUCUCUCCUUCUUCUUCUCUCUCUAGAGUGAGUGUGAGGGAGAGAAAUGAGGGAGUGAGAGAGUGGAAGGACCAUAAAAGCCCUCUCAAGUAACAAUAUGUAAUAAGCCCUCCAACAAUCCAACCAAAGCAUCAGCACGGACUGGGCAAAAUUCGCCCAGAGGGACCGGUCUCUCCUUGCCUGGGACCGGUCUCUCGGUUCGUCCCGCAAAACCAGCGUACGGGAACCGGUCUCCCCAACCGGGGACCGGUCGCAUUGCCAUGGGGGACCGGUCUCCUCAACCAAGGACCGGUCCCCGAGAGUGAAAACUCUCAGGACCGCCCAAAACUCAGAUUUUUCGAGCUCUUUAAGUCGGAACACCUUCCACGGCAUUCCACCAAGUGUGGAAAAGCUCGGAACCCAAGUCAAACACUCGAACCUCGCAAUUUGCAAAGAUCUAGUUUGCUACAUUCACCCCUCCUAAAAAGGAGUUUUGUCCGUGUGACGCACUAGACCUUUGCAAAUUGCAAGGUUCGAGUGUUUGUUUCAUGUUUUGAGCUUUUCCACACUUCGUGGAGGGUCGUUGAUAGUGUUCCGACCCAUGGUUCGAACCCCGAGAUUGGAGGUUUAAAACCUAGCACCAAAUCCGAAAAGUCGGAUUUUUGGUCAGCUCUCGGGUAGCCUCAGCAGGGCUGUGUACCGGUACAGGGUUGAUGGCUGUACCGGUACGCGUUGAUGGCUAUACCGGUACGGGGCAGGUGUACCGGUACACAGACGGAUUUCGUGCGAACCCAAGGCUCGGGUUGGGCUGUUUCGCAAGUGUUGUACCGGUACGCGAGCCCGUGUACCGGUACACAGUGCAGUGCGAGCAGUUUUCUGGCAGGGGUGUUUUUGCAAUUAUUACAACACCUAUAUAUGUUACCCCAGCCCCCUUAGACAGGGUUUUGAGCCCUAGAUCAGUGGAGAACAAGGUGAGAACUCCCCCUCUUGAGUUCUUUUUUAUUUUUUUGAUGAAUUUUUGUGGGUUUUGAUCUCCUCCCCUUUGCUCUUCUUUGCUUCUUGUUGGAUUCCUCCAUGGGAGAAGCUUGGAUUUUGGAAUUGGAGCUUGUUUGAGGAUCAACCUUCAACCCUAGAGGACUCUAGGCUUGGUUUGGAGCUUUCAAGAGGUAAGCAACAAGUUUCCUUCCUCUAGAUUUGUGUUUUGUUGAUUUAUGCUAGUUGGAACCCUAUGUUUUGAGAUUUAGGGUUAGAAAUGGAGAUUCUUGAGUUGAGGCUUUUUGAUCAUGAUUGAUCUUAUUAGAACCUUCCUUUAGAUUGGUUUUGAAGGAUUCUUACUCCCUUUUGGAGAUCAAGAGAGAUUUUCACCAUUUUCGGUGAGUUUUUAGCCUUUUCCUUGAGUUUCUUAAUGUUUGAACUCAUGAAUUGUCGUUUUGAUGUUCUAACUCCCCUAGCCUAUCUCUUAGGGUGCUAGGAGUGAUUAUCGAAACUUCGUUAACGUUUCGGACGCCCGCGCGGAGCUUUUGGUGGGUUUGGCUUCAUUGAAAUGGGAGGAAAUGCCUUCUAUAUAGUUAAAUAUUUUCGUAUACUAUAAUUACAUGCAUAUUCAUAUUAAAUAAAAUUUAUGUGAAUUGUAGAAUGCUUAAAACCAACCUAUGUUAUGCAUCAUGAAAAAUUGACUCUAUAUUGUAGAAAGAAGCAUAUGCAUUGUUAGUAUGCAUGAGUUUAAUGUUCUAUUGAAUGAUGUAAGAUCAUGUUUCUUGUGUGGAAAAUGAUUUGAAUGACAAGCUUUUAAACUUAUUAUUCAUAUUGGAACAUAAUAAGCAAAAGUGUCAUAAAGGGACACUUGAACUAGAAAAUUGUUGAACUACAACUUAGAGACAUGAUGAUAGGCUACUGGAAAUCUACUAUAUUCUAUGUUUUAGACAUGAUGACAUAGAGAUAGGCCAUUGAAACUGUAAUAUACCGAAAAUUCGGAAAAUAAAUAUUGAACUUUAGUCAAAUUGACCAAAGUGCGAGGAUGGUACACUUCGGAAAGUCCGAAGGUGUUAAAAUGAGUAAAAGUGAGUUACGGGAGGUUUUCGAGAGCUAUAGAAUCAAAUUUGCAAAGCUGCAGAUUUUGAGCUCUCGGGGACCGGUCCCUAGUGGGAGAGACCGGUCCCCGAACGCGUGCAGAAUGAGACAGCCGAAAAAUCGGCUAAGUCCUGGAAGGAUAGCUCUCGGGAACCGGUCUCUGCCUGAGAGACCGGUCCCCCAGAGACCGGUCCCACAAGGAGAGACCGGUUGCACUGCGCGCAGCAGCUCUGGCUGCGCAGGGUGGACGUUCGGGAACCGGUCCCUGCUCGGGGAGACCGGUCUCUGCCUGCGCGGAAUGCCCAGUUCGGGCAGUGUAUUAAAGUGAAAGUUGAGGGGUUUAGCUGCAAUUUUGNNNNNNNNNNNNNNNNNNNNNNNNNNNNNNNNNNNNNNNNNNNNNNNNNNNNNNNNNNNNNNNNNNNNNNNNNNNNNNNNNNNNNNNNNNNNNNNNNNNNNNNNNNNNNNNNNNNNNNNNNNNNNNNNNNNNNNNNNNNNNNNNNNNNNNNNNNNNNNNNNNNNNNNNNNNNNNNNNNNNNNNNNNNNNNNNNNNNNNNNNNNNNNNNNNNNNNNNNNNNNNNNNNNNNNNNNNNNNNNNNNNNNNNNNNNNNNNNNNNNNNNNNNNNNNNNNNNNNNNNNNNNNNNNNNNNNNNNNNNNNNNNNNNNNNNNNNNNNNNNNNNNNNNNNNNNNNNNNNNNNNNNNNNNNNNNNNNNNNNNNNNNNNNNNNNNNNNNNNNNNNNNNNNNNNNNNNNNNNNNNNNNNNNNNNNNNNNNNNNNNNNNNNNNNNNNNNNNNNNNNNNNNNNNNNNNNNNNNNNNNNNNNNNNNNNNNNNNNNNNNNNNNNNNNNNNNNNNNNNNNNNNNNNNNNNNNNNNNNNNNNNNNNNNNNNNNNNNNNNNNNNNNNNNNNNNNNNNNNNNNNNNNNNNNNNNNNNNNNNNNNNNNNNNNNNNNNNNNNNNNNNNNNNNNNNNNNNNNNNNNNNNNNNNNNNNNNNNNNNNNNNNNNNNNNNNNNNNNNNNNNNNNNNNNNNNNNNNNNNNNNNNNNNNNNNNNNNNNNNNNNNNNNNNNNNNNNNNNNNNNNNNNNNNNNNNNNNNNNNNNNNNNNNNNNNNNNNNNNNNNNNNNNNNNNNNNNNNNNNNNNNNNNNNNNNNNNNNNNNNNNNNNNNNNNNNNNNNNNNNNNNNNNNNNNNNNNNNNNNNNNNNNNNNNNNNNNNNNNNNNNNNNNNNNNNNNNNNNNNNNNNNNNNNNNNNNNNNNNNNNNNNNNNNNNNNNNNNNNNNNNNNNNNNNNNNNNNNNNNNNNNNNNNNNNNNNNNNNNNNNNNNNNNNNNNNNNNNNNNNNNNNNNNNNNNNNNNNNNNNNNNNNNNNNNNNNNNNNNNNNNNNNNNNNNNNNNNNNNNNNNNNNNNNNNNNNNNNNNNNNNNNNNNNNNNNNNNNNNNNNNNNNNNNNNNNNNNNNNNNNNNNNNNNNNNNNNNNNNNNNNNNNNNNNNNNNNNNNNNNNNNNNNNNNNNNNNNNNNNNNNNNNNNNNNNNNNNNNNNNNNNNNNNNNNNNNNNNNNNNNNNNNNNNNNNNNNNNNNNNNNNNNNNNNNNNNNNNNNNNNNNNNNNNNNNNNNNNNNNNNNNNNNNNNNNNNNNNNNNNNNNNNNNNNNNNNNNNNNNNNNNNNNNNNNNNNNNNNNNNNNNNNNNNNNNNNNNNNNNNNNNNNNNNNNNNNNNNNNNNNNNNNNNNNNNNNNNNNNNNNNNNNNNNNNNNNNNNNNNNNNNNNNNNNNNNNNNNNNNNNNNNNNNNNNNNNNNNNNNNNNNNNNNNNNNNNNNNNNNNNNNNNNNNNNNNNNNNNNNNNNNNNNNNNNNNNNNNNNNNNNNNNNNNNNNNNNNNNNNNNNNNNNNNNNNNNNNNNNNNNNNNNNNNNNNNNNNNNNNNNNNNNNNNNNNNNNNNNNNNNNNNNNNNNNNNNNNNNNNNNNNNNNNNNNNNNNNNNNNNNNNNNNNNNNNNNNNNNNNNNNNNNNNNNNNNNNNNNNNNNNNNNNNNNNNNNNNNNNNNNNNNNNNNNNNNNNNNNNNNNNNNNNNNNNNNNNNNNNNNNNNNNNNNNNNNNNNNNNNNNNNNNNNNNNNNNNNNNNNNNNNNNNNNNNNNNNNNNNNNNNNNNNNNNNNNNNNNNNNNNNNNNNNAUCACCAAGUAGUGACAAAGUAGCUUAGAUUUUGGGCCUUAUGUCGUGUACAGUGUUUCCGGACGGAGAUACAGUAGCACAGAUUUUGUGCUUUAUAUCAUUGACAAAGACAGUGCGGGGCCCUGGCUACGGUUAAACCGGGCUGGGCUCGUGCAGUUUGUCUGCGGCUUGCCUGUCUCAAAGGGGAUAGGCGGGUUCCGAGUAGUGUGGACCUGAGACGGACUUAUUCGCUUGCAUGCCAUUGUGCUCAUUCGCACAUACUUGUGAGGGUCGCUCUCUACAAGUCGGCACUCCGGAGAUAGCGAUCGCGACAUAUGCUCGCCCGUGCGGGAUUGAGCGCCAAAGUAGGAUGCCGUGGGGGAGGCUCAUUCCUAGAGUGGGGAUGUUGUCUACCACGGGGCCAUUGUUCGCACGGCGCAGGCCGAACUACCUACGGGUAGCUUCCACAGGAUUGGGUUACUGGUGACAUAUUGUACCUUUUUGGACAAUCACUAGAAUAGUAAACAAUGACAUCUUUAUUAUUUACAUUGUGGAUAUUGGGUUAGUUUCAUACUUAUGCGUUUACAUGUUGGAUACUCUUGUGCACAUACUUGUAGUAGUUGCUUUCUUAUGCAAAUUCAUGCUAAGUAGAGAUCAUGUGAUAGAUUAUUACUCAUGCAAAUCCAUGCUAAGUAGAGAUCACGUGGUAGAUUAUUACUGAUGAAAAUAGUGACUUCAUGCUAUAUUGAGCUUCCAUUUCAGUGAGUUAUUUGUUCAUAUUAUUCUUACCUGCCUGACUUACCUUACUUGCUUAGUUUUGGGCCUAGUGGUGCAUUUCACUGAAGUCAGUAAUUGUCCACUGGGAACUAUUAUUUAAUAGUUCUCACGUCCUCUGUUUUAUGUUUUUCUUUCAGAGCCCUCUGCAUCGGCGGAGGCACGGGACUGAAGCAAGGGGAUCGCUAGCUAGAUAGCGAGGACUUACUGUUACUCUUAAGUAGUUUUCCCUCUUUUUAUGUUUUGGGAGAGCGAGAGAUUUUGUUUACCAUGUAUAGAGACCACCUAUGUACUCUUUUAGUUCUUGUAUUUGGAUCUUUGGUUGUACUACUUUAUGGUUUAUUUAGUGAUUUUAGCUCUCUACUCUUCACAUUGCUUUAGUUUCUAGAUGAUGUAUAUUGCUCUGAUACUUCUAGUUGUUUUUUUUUAUUUUCUCAUUUAUCGUUUUGUUUUAGACGCCUUAUAUGUUUUAGACGUAUGGCGGGUCUGUGCACGUGCCGGGCGGGCUUCCGCUGAGCCCCAGGGCAUGACAGAUUAAUUUGGUAUCAGAGUCUAGGGUUGAGUCUUAGAGGACCUAGCAAACCUUAGGCCGGUUGGACUAUAGGAAAUAGGCUUGUGAGAGACAAUGUCUAUUUGACUUGUGAGCGAAAGUAUCAUGAUUGGGUAUCUUGAAAACUCUAAAAGGUUGGAGUUGAUCGAAGUGUAUGGCCUCUAACUUCGCGGAGGGUUACGUUGGCGGCCGACAACGUAACAUCGGGAGUUAGUGGUGAAAAACACUUCCUUACUUUCGCAUGAUUUGGGCAUUGUCGAUUUGAGCGGGGAUGCGAUAGCGUAGGUUUUACUAACUUGCGCUCUUAUGAUGUUGUAGUGACGAUGCCGAUUACACGCUCUCAAUCUGCUGGAGCGGAUAAUGCGGCAAACUUGGAGGAGGUCGAGACCUCCGCUACCUCCGGAUCCGGCGAGGUCCGUGAGUUGAGGAGCUAGCUUGCGACCCUUACUGAUCUCGUGGCUCAGCAGGCGGCGGCAGCCCAACAGCAGGCCGAUGCAGCGCGCCGACAAGAUACCCGGAUAAAGCGCCUGGAGGACCUUCUUCUACAGCAGGCGGCAGCUUCCAGGGAGACCCAGGCCCCUACACUGCCAGCACCAGUUGUGGACGUCGCGCCGAGAGCGCCGUCCCCUGCGCCCAGUUCGUCGCGUGCGGCGCCCGUGGCCGCACCUCAGGAGGAGGGUUUGGCGGCGCCACCUGUUCAGGCACCCCCGAUUGGAGCUGUUUUCCCCGUGAUGGUUGAGAGGGCGGAGCGGGACCGACUGAUGGAGCGCCUCAACGAGUUUAGGAGGUGCGGUCCCCGGAUCUUCGAUGGCUAGACGGUCGACCACUGGAUCGUGGAAAAGUGGUUGAUGCAUAUGAAGAAGCUCUUCAGCGACACCUUCGUGGAGGAGAGAGAUCGAGUUUGGCUAGCUACUCACCAUCUGGACGGCGAGGCCUAUCGCUGGUGGUUGGAUCUUCAGGAGAAUCCUAGCACCGACUUGGCGGCUAUUACAUGGAAGAAGUUCAAGGAGCUUCUGUUGGCGCACUACUUCCCGACCAGCGUCAAGAGGAAGAUGGAGCAGGACCUGUGCAGCUUGCGCCAGGGAGACCGCACUGUGGUCGUGUACAAGAGGGAGUUUUCUCGACUUCUCCACUGCGUGCCUUUCAUCGUGCAGGACGACGAGGACAAGGCCCGCAUCUUCGAGCGAGGGUUGCGACCGUCGAUCUUCCGGUUCAUGUAAUCCUCUAACCUCCAAACCUACCGGGAGGUGGUGGAUCGCGCGCUUAUCGUGGAGAGCGGCGCGGCAGAGAUGGAGGAGCGGCGAGAGGGCUUGGACAGGGGUAAGGCCAAGAGGCCUGCGGCAGAGGGUGCGAGCCAGAUGCACUCUAGGAGGCCGCCGAAACACCCUAGGAGCCAGCAGCGUGGGCGCGGCCCAGCAGUGUGGGCGCGGCCCAGCAGUGUGGGCGCGGCCCAGCAGCGCAGCGAGGAGGUCCUGAUCGACGCCGACCUCCCCAGUGCGUGAUCUGUGGUGGUCCUCACACUCCACCGUAAUGUCCACAGCGGGGAGUUCCGUCGAAACGAGCGGAACGCGGAAUUGAACGAGUUACAGUGGACCCUAAGUGCAUUGGACGUUCAAAAGGAGCAAAAGGGACCCGUAAGAGAGAGCAAAUCUGGAAAUCUGGCUAAGUCCCAGAUUUUGAGCUCUCGGGGACCGGUCCCUGAAGGAGAGACCGGUCCCCGUGCGCGUAGCCUGCCAGGAAAUCCUGAGGCAUCCGGUCCCUGGUGGUGAGACCGGUCCUCGGGAGACCGGUCCCUGACGGGCAGACCGGUCCCUCGCUGCGUAACAGCCGAAAAUUCGAAAAUUUGGCUAAGUCCUGGAAAACCCCCGUUCGGGAACCGGUCCCUGGUCGGGGAGACCGGUCCCCGAAGGCGAAAAUUGCCCAGUCUGGGCAGAUCAAGUAGAAACAAGUAGAGGGGCUUAAGUGCAAUUGUUACAACACUAUAUAUGACUCACCCCCUCUAUUCCACAGCCAUUUCCACCCUCUAACCCAUUUUCCUCUCUUUCUCUCUCUAGAACCCAUACUCUAGGACUUGGAGAAGAAGAAGAAGAAGAGAAGAGAAGGAGGAUUUGGAGGCUUUGGAGGUUCUAGGCGCUCUCCAACAAGGAGAAUCUUGGUGAGGCUUGGACUAGAGGUAAGUUUUGUAAGGUUUUCCUCUAGGGUUUGGAUUUUGGCUUAGAAAAUUGGAGCUUUGUGCUCCCUAGAGGCAUUGAUGGCUCUUUUGAGCUAUGUACACCAUGGUCCCCAUGAGAGCUUAAAGUGCUCUCAUGGUGAAUCCUUGGAAGUGAUGUUUGGAGCCUUAGGGUUGGUACCAAAGGUCUAGAAACCUUACUAGGAUGCUUCUUAAUUGAUCCUAAGCUAUUCUUUGCUUAGGGUUGGGAUCGAUUCAUGGGAAAACCCUAAAUGGCAACAUUAGGGCUUGAAUUUGGGGUUUUUGCCCUAGGAUUUUUCGGGGACAAAUUGACCCCGUAGAAACCCAAUUGGGGGUGCCCUAAACACGUUGGACAACUUCGUUUAAUAUUUCGAAAAUGUUAGAGUAUGGUUCAUGUACAAAAAGGCCUAAUAUGGCACUAUUGUGAUUAUAGGGCGCGGAGUCGGCUUCCGUAAAGUGCGGGGGCCUUCAUAUUCUACACCCACACGACCAAUAGAGGUGGGGGGUGCACGNNNNNNNNNNNNNNNNNNNNNNNNNNNNNNNNNNNNNNNNNNNNNNNNNNNNNNNNNNNNNNNNNNNNNNNNNNNNNNNNNNNNNNNNNNNNNNNNNNNNGUAUACCAUCGACGGCCCUCCACCAAGUGUGGAAAAGUUCGGAAUACAAAUCGAACACUCGAACCUCGCAAUUUGCAAAGGUCCAAUGUGCUACAACUACACUGCCUGGACUGGGCAGAUUUCGCAUGCGGGGACCGGUCUCCCCGACCAGGGACCGGUUCUCGAAGCUCCUCCCUGCGACAGCCAGGGCUCCCGCGCGAUGCGACCGGUCUCACUUUGGGGGACCGGUCUCUCGGGGAUCAGUCUCUCCAGCAGGGACCGGUUCCCGAGAGCCUAAUCUCAGGGACUUAGUCGAUUUUUCAGCUUUCUCAGUUUUCAUGCGUUCGGGGACCGGUAUCUCCUACCAGAGACCGGUCCCCGAGAGCUCAAAAUCUGCAGUUUGCAGAUUUUUCAUUUUCAAGCUCUCGAAAACCUCCCAUAACGCACUUUUGAUUAUUUUAACACCUUCGGAUUUUUCGAAGUGUACCAUCCUCGCACUUUGAUCAAUUUGACUAAAGUUCGAUAUUUAUUUUCCGAAUUUUCGGUAUAUUACAAUCGUAGAACCCAAACUAGGGAUUUGAUUAACCUAGGAAUGGUUUUAAUGGAGUCUCUAGAGUGGAUUGAAGCUUCUUUGCUUCCGAAGGAGAUCAAACCCUAGGUUUGAUAUAUGCUAUGGAGCUAGGGCACCCAAAUUUGGGGCUUUUGCUCGGGAGGAUUUCAAAGUGAAAUAAACCCUCUAGAAACCUAAUUGGGGACCAAACGAAUGCGUUGGUGCGCUCGGUUUAACGUUACGAAAAGACUAUGCGAAGUUAUGAGCAAAAUGGCCUAAUAUGGCUUUGUUUUGCCGCAGGUAGCGAACUAGGCGGCUAAAAAUCUCGAGAAAUUCACCGUAGCACCUAAGUAAGCCUACAAGGUAGGUGGUGCUAUCCAAACUUGUUGAAAUUCCUCUAUGCCUAAUGUGUCAUUCAAUUGAGCAUAUAUUUAUAUUGUUGCAUGCAUUAUAGGGUAGAUGUGAUGUUAUAUAUGUGAAUGUUGCAUGAUGUGAGACACGUGCUAUUCGAAAUGUUUGAGAACCUAUUAAACCCUAUAUGUAUGCAUGAGAUAUAAUGUGAGCGCCCAAUGAGAUGAAAGAACAAAGUGACACAAUAAAACAUAGAUCAAGUGGCAUCCGACAAUGUAAAGUAAUGUGACACUAGAGUUAGGGUGUGGCAUCAAGGAGAAAUAUGACGCAAAGAACAAUGAUAAUGAUUAGAGACAAGUAAAGAAAAUGAAAGUGGCAUAAAGAACGAGUAAAGUUAAAGAACAAUGAUUGCUAGAGUUAGCAAAAUGAAGUGAUGUAAAGAACACUAGAGUUAGUGUAAAGACAAUGAUUGAACUAUAUAUCCUUAGAGUUAAGGAUCGAUCAUACUUGCUAUGAGUUCCGUGCUCGAGGGCGGUAGCUCCCCCUCGAGCGAUGCGUUCCGAAGUUUUGCAUCACGGGUUGGAGUAAACCCGAGGACAGUCUUAGCGGGAGGCAGCUGAGGGCCCGCGAUGAUGGACUUAAUGUGGGCAAGUUAAUGUGGCGAAACCCCCGGGUUAGUCGUGAGAUUAAAGAACAAAGAACAAAGAUUAAAGAAUAAAGAGUAAGCAACAAAGAACUUGCAUACUUGCAUGAUUUACGUUGAGCAUAUUUCUUGCUUUGUUGUUCAGGCAUAUUAGCAUCAUGAUUAUAGUUUGGUUACUAUUCUACUUAUCCUUUCUAUUAUGCCUUAGUUAGUCCUAGUGGAAAAGUCGAUGAGAUUGGGGCCGAACCCACUGGGAACUUCGUUGUAGUUCUCACCCCACUAUUUCCACAGAGCCGGGACCGAGCGAGCCGACGAGCGACCGCGGUAAAGGUAUCGCGCCAUAGACAGUGACUACCCGAGUCGGGUUUGCAUUUUGUUAGUAGCCUACCAUGUAUCUUCUUUUGUAUUUGAAGAUGUUUAUGUAUAAUGCAAAUGAGAGAAAAGAAUGUAAAGCUUCAUUUUGAGUAAAUGUGAUGUAAAAAGAAAUGAUGAAAAGACUAUGUAAGAAAUUGUGAAUGAAAAUGUUGGUGACAAUGUAUAUGAUCCAAAAUGAAUCAUAGUACUUGUGUAGUUGUUCAGUUUCCUAUCUUUCACUCAUGGCUAUUGCUUACUCUCAUGUAAGCCGUUUUUGUAUAUUUCCGCUAGUGCUUUUCUCUACUUGAAAAUGUACAGGUGAUGAGCCUUUGGCGAAUAGGGGAAACUCUAUUCGUUCGGCGUCUGUUUGACGUGCUCGGGUCGGCCCAAAUUGGUAUCGGUCCCGGGGCGUGACAGAUCGAGAAGGCAGGGAUAGUGUAUCGGCAAGGAGGAGGCCCGCGGUGGAUCUUGCGUCGUAGAGAAGAAGGCACGGAGGGCAUACUUGCGAAACACAUUAACUUAAUUAUUACUACUCACUCUCCGAAAGCUCACUAAUUAAUUAAUUAAUCGAUAAGAUUCAAGUUGGGAGCCACCGGCUUAGUUAGCUCUUUAAUUAAUUAGCUCGUAUGUAUGCUGAGGAUCCGACUGGUGGCGGAGAAGGAUGCGGAUGAGGAUGAGAGGAAGGAGGAGGUGGAAGAAGAAGAGGAAAAAAAUAGUGUAAAGUUCACCUAAAGAGUACAAUUUUGGCCUAAAGAGUGUAACUCUCAUCCUAAAAAGUGUAAUUUUUGAAUGAAAGAGUGCAAUUUCCCUUAAAAUAGUGCAAAAUUUUUUUUAAACAGUGUAAAUUAAUUUUAACAAUGUAAUUUCAUCAUCUUCUUCCUUAUAUGAUUUUUGGUCUUUUCUGUAGGAAAAAAAAAAUUUUAUUUUUAUAUUUUAUUAUUCUUAUUUUUAUUCUUAUUUUUUUCUCUAUAGUUUUUUUUUGUGUCACGACCUCUCCCUUGUCCUCUAUCGCAACCAUCGCUAUCACACCCUGAGACCCGCCUAUUUGGUCGGAUUCGAGCGUGCCGACAGACCGUCGAAUGGACAGAGUUUUUCUUACAUGUCCAAGGCAUCGCAACAGUACAAGUCAAGUGGUUCCAAACAGGAACAGAUUUCACAUACUGAAUACAUAACAAAAAGUAUCGAAAAAAUAAAGUACAAACUAUUACAAGCAUUCAGUUCACUUAACAUUCAAUUUACAUUUUCGAUUCUUUUACUUACAAAUACAGUCGACUAUUACAAAUUAUUACAACUUGGUUCUCUCUCUCCAUUCUCAUACCCCUAUGCUAGACCAACUCAGGGUACUACUAUCUCUGAUCACAGUGGUAGGGCGCUAUCUACGGAGCUAUGCUCUUUCCUCGCGCCGUCGUGCCGCUCUCGCGUGGACCUGGAAAAACAUGGGGUGAGAACUAUUGUCCAUAGUUCCCAGUGGGACGGCCACCUAAGGGAAGAGCUCGACCCACUAGGUCGAAAAGGGGCAAAAUAACAUGUUAGUCCAACAGAUAUAUAUCAUCAUAUAAUUUAUGCAACUAACAGCUAUCAUGCUUUUGCCUCACAACAUGCAACAUGCAAAUCAUGCAACAAUGCAAGUAGAUCUACUUAUUCUACUUUCUACCUCGCUAUCCACAGCUCAUACAACUAGCUUCUAAGGUUUCCUCUACCUUAGAUCCAUAUCAUUUACCAUUUGCUCCUAAGAUUUCUUCUACGUUAACCAAGCUAACCACCCGACUUGGUCUCGAGUUAAUCAUCCGUGGAUAACAGCGCACAGCCAGGCUCGAAGUGAAGACGUCUCACAUGCACCUCAGCCUGACCUCCCAACUAUGGGUCAUCCAGCGAGGGAGGAAAUACCGUAAACCCCGUGACCACCUGUCGCAUGGCAUACCGGGCAAGGAGAACCACACAUACUCGUUAAAUCAUUGUCGGGCAAGGAGAACCACACAUACCCGCAGUUAUGAUUCCAUUUGCCAUUCCACUUGCCAACACAAUUGCCGUGCGAGGAGAACCACACAUACCCACAAGCAAACAAUCCUAGGAAUUCCGGAAUCCACUUUCCACAUUUCAAGGGUUAGCCUCAUACCCUAUAAAAUCGACCUCUCUAGAUUCGACUCAUACACGUCCUAGUGGCCCUUUUACCACUAUAAUUCACGACCUAGGUUCAACCACGCUAGGUGUCACUACAUGUCAUAACCUAGGUUCAACCACGCUAGGUUUUAUGUCAUUUCCACCUAGAUCUCGACUCUAGGUUCACUGUUCAACCUAUGUUCAAUAACACUAGGUUCAAUGCCACUCAAUCUACUAGUUAUUCUAGUUGUCCACACCUAGGAUUCGUAAUCUACAUGUCCUUGUUUUCCAACUAUCGAGUUCUCUAAUCAGCCUAGUGUCACGCCUCGGGACCCAGCGGAAGCCCGCCCGGCACGUGCCCAGACCCGCCAUACGUCUAAAACAUAUAAGGCGUCUAAAUACAACAAUGAUAAAGGCAAUAAUAAUAAAGGACAUCUAGGAGUAUCAGAGCAUAAUAAAUGUUUAAAUGCUACAACAAGGGGUAAGGAUAAAACUGUAAAUUCACUAAAUAAAACAUAAAGUGAUACAAGAAAAUCCCAAAUACAAGUGCUAUAGGUAGAAACAUAGGUGGUCUCUAUACGUGGAUACAAAAACCUCUCACUCUCUCAACUACAAAAAGAAAGAGUAAACCACUUAGGCAAAGUACCGCUCCUCGCUAGCUAGCUAAGCGAUCCCCAUGCCGCGAUCCCGUGCCUCCGCCGGUGCCGAAGGCUCUGAAAAGUAAACCAUAAAACAGGAGCGUGAGAACUAUUAAAAAUAGUUUCCAGUGGGCAAUUACUGACUUCAGUGAAUGCACCACGAGGCCCAAAGCUACAAAAGGUGUCAGUGACUAUAAAAGUAGAAAAGCGAAAGGUAAGAAAAAAUGUAACUUACUACAACAUGAUAUCUCUACUUAGCAUAAUCAGCAUAAGUAUGAAGCAACUAUGCACGAAGUAAAAAUCUCCAACUACCAUAAUAUUCACAAUGCGAAAUAGUAAAGUUCCGUUGUUUACUAUUCUAGUCAAUGUCCAAGUAGUACACUAAGUCAUCAUCUGUCCACAUGUCAUAAUGAAUACUCAAAGUAAAAUCUGAAGAGACCCACCCGAAGGCUGUCUAUGGCCCUGAGACCCACCCGUAGGCUGUCUGGCCGGUGCCGAGCCUAAUGGCCCCGUGGUAGUCAUCAUCCCCACCCUAGGAAUGAGCCUGUCCCACGGCAAUCCACUUCGGCGCCCAAUCCCGCACGGCGAAUAUGAAUCGCGAUGGCCAUCUCCGGAGUGCCGGCUUGUAGGGAGCGACCCUCACAAGCAUGUGCGAAUGAGCACAAUGGCAAGUAGUCAAACGAUCUGUCGCAAGUACCAAGUCCUCAUGUCUAAUAACAUGGAAUGUGUCAAGUAUCCCAAUGGCCUAUCCCUAUGUCAUCAUGUCUCUAACAUGGAAUAUAGUGCAGAUAUCGUAAGUGGCCUAAUCAAUAUUCUGUUAUGUUUGCAAGUUUCAUAUUUUACUAAUCCCAAGUCGCCCCUUUAUGACACUUUUGUCAACCGAGUCCAAGCAUGGCAUGCAAAUGUUCAUGAUGCAGAGUCACUCAAUUCUAGCAUGGAGACAUGUCUCAUCCUUGCAAAACCAGAGCACUAACAUCCACAAUGCAUGCCAAUCCUACACAUAUAGCCCUACCAUAUGGAGUACAAAUUUUUACAUAGCAGAGCAUGCAUUUAAUGUUCUAAAUUCAUAUAAAUUCAUGUUUAGCAUGAAUUUACAUUCAAAAUACUUACAAAAAAGUCUAUGAACAUAAGGACGGCAUUUUGCCCGCCGCAAUUUUCAUGAAGUCAAACGCCACAAAAAUCGUGACUCUUCAGUUUCCUGCCGAACGAUAGGUAUCCCACAAGCUUCCUAGUACCCUAGAACAUCAAAAAAUAGGGUCACCGCCAAACGAACGAAGAGCAAAUAGUCUCAAAGCAUUUAACGCUUCUUAAUCUAGGUUGGGAAAAACUCCACCUCAGUAAAACCGCUCUCUAAUCUUCAAAUGAAAGGUAGGGUAGUCUUCCCAAUCUAACCCUAAUAUACAGUUCCAAACCAUUGCAAAAAUGAGAUCAAGAACGCCUCAAUCCAAAAAAAACCACCCAAAAUAAAUCCUACAUUCCAAAAAUCUAGGUUUCAUUGCUAGUAAAACUAAAAGAAAACAUGUAUCAAAUGGGGAUUACAAGCUACCAACCCCAAAGAGAAGCUCCAAUCCAACUCACAAAGCCCAAGUAGUAGUUUGAAGUUGAAUCCACACAAAAGCUCCAAAGAGCAAGCUCAAGCCUUCAAAGGUGAGAAAAUGCAGGGAAGAAGAUGUGCUCUAAGGCCUCCAAGCAAGCUCCUUCUCCCUUCUUCCCUCUUUUCUCGCUUCCCUUCUCUUCGCUCUCUGCUCUAGAAUAUAAAGGGUUAAAAGAAUGAAAAGGAAGAGACGAGAAGAAAGCUCUCUAUAUGCUCUAAAAGUAAGCAAAUCCUAGAUAACCCUCAAAAUCCAAAAUCACAUCAAGCCCGGUCUGGGCCAGUUUCGGCACAGCAGGAUCCAUGUUCUCCCGACCUGGAGCCGGUCCCUCUCACCGCCCCCGAAAAUCCAACAUUCGGGAAACCGGUCUCUCCCUGCGCGGACCGAUCUCUCCCCGCGCAGCACACGCGCCUCGGGGGACGCGGUCUCUGACUGCCAGGGCACCGCUUGCACUCGCCCGACUGCGCAGCACUUGUUCACCGGUUUAGGACGCGAUCCAUCCUAUCAGGGACCCGGUCCCGAGAGUAUAACAUCUCAAGGACUCAACCAAAACUGCUCGGUCCGAGAUCUGAACUUUUGGCCGGUAUAAUCUCCAUCGACGUGCCCUCCACCAACGUGUGGAAAGAGGUUGGAAAUACAAAUCGAACACUCGAACCAUCCGCAAUUGCAAAGUCAUGUGCUAUCAUCUCACUCCUCUAAAAAGAGUUUUGUCCGCGAAACUCGAAAGCAAAAAGCAUACACUCAAGGCUGCCAUCGAAAAAGAUGGAUAUGCGCUCCUCUGCAGGCGCUACUCUCCGAAGCUCCCACGGUGCCUCGCGCUCCUCGCGUGGGUUGCUCCAAAGAACCUCAACAUACGGAAUAUCCCGAUCGCACUUUAUUCACGCUAGCAGCCAAAAUCUUCACGGUUGCUCCCUCACGCGAUCUUCAGAUCCUCCAGCGCAGGCUGCCAACUGUAUAAGUUCCCAAAAGCAUGAGGCGGAAUCAUGAAUGUACUUACUUCCGAAGGACUGAUACAUAAAGACGUUGGCACGCGGAUGUUCGGUGGUGAAACGCAUCCGUACCUACCGGAGCUAACACGCUCCAAUGAUCUCAUACGGUCACAAUUAAACAGGGAACUCAACUUUCCUCGAACCCCAAACUCUUGAUCCUCUAGUCGCGAGACGCUUCAAGAAAACAUCGGUCCCAACUUGAGAACUCCAAGUCUCGCCGUCGUCGAUCGGCGUAGCUCCUCUGUCUACUCUGCGCCCAAGUCGCUCCCGGGCAAUCGAACCUGUCCUCAGGCUUCCUGGAGCACCAUCGGGGCUAAAGGCCAAAACUCCUCGCCACUCGCUCGGCAAUGAAGUGCGAUCUACAAACUUCCUUGUCCAUAUAAAGUGCUUCGAAGGGCGCCCAUCUUGAUCUUACUUGAUAACAUGUUGUUAUAAGCAAUCUUCCGCCAUUAGGUAAUGCAGCGACCAAAUCCUCCUUGGAGUCUAUCAACGCAUCUUCAGAGCAUAAUCCUCUCAGGUCUGAAUAGUCGGCUCCCGACUCGUUCCAUCAACUCUGGCGCCUGUGGAAUGCUAUACUGAAAUCCAAAUCGGUGCCUAAAGUGUCCUGUAAGAGCCUCCUCCAAAAGUGGGACACGAAGCGCGUGUCGCGAUCAGAUACAUCGAUGCUAGGCCACUUCCAUGAAAGUCGCACAUCUCAUCCAAGUACACUUGUGCGGAUCUUCUCCUCAGCAGGUCCAAGUCGUAUGAAUAGUAUAAGUGCUGCCGACUUCGUCAACCAUAUCCAGCGGACACGCAAUAGCGUCAUGCGCCCCACCUGUGAGCGUGCAAUCAAUGUCACAAAGUCCAUGGUGAUCUUCUCCCAUUUUCACACACCCGGAAAUCAGGCUCAAACUCUAAAGUUUUCCCCGCGAAAACUCGCUGCCUGCAGCCUUUUACUUGUUGACAUGGUUAGAGCAACGAGCACACUCGCCAACGUCUCUUUCAUCCGGGCUACCACAUAAAGCACUUUAGAUCCUUAUACAUCUGCGUGCCUCCGAUGUAUAGCUAGCGGCGCUCGUGCGCUUCUUGAAGAACAUCCUCUUAAUCCCGAAUUCGCGGGUAUACACAAUCCGCCACGGAAACGCAUCAAUGCCCUGAUCGCCAAAAGGAAUCCGCGCGUCGCAACAUCAAAACCCGUUUUACAAUCGAAUCUUUUGCAACUCCACAUACGGAAUCUUGCUUUCUUUAAUUCUAUUUCCAAAAGAUAGAUGCACUACCAAAGUCAUCAAUCUCAAGGGUGUGGUCAGGAGUCACCACCUCCAAACUCCAUCGAUUUCAUCCUGCUCGAGUCACUGCGGUUGAGUCACAAACAAUGCAUCGUAAGUUUCUAUCGAUUUCCUACUUAAGCGCAUCCGCACACCAGAAUCAACUUAGCCUUGCCCGCCGGUGGCAAAGAACUCUCAUAAAUUAUCCAAGGGAAAGAAAAAAAGAUCAUCACAGUCCUGAGGGCAGCUCCAAACUAUCUGCGCUGCCUCGAAGUUCAACCCGUUCUGAUAAUAGGUACUUUACGAGUCUCCUUGUGAUCCGCCCGUUAUACUCACGACUGACGUUCGCCCAUAAAAGAUAGUGCGGCCAUAGCUUCAUUAUGCGAACACUAUCGGCCGCGCAACUCCGAAAUCAUGGCGUACGGGUUAGUUCUUCUCAUAUUCCUUUAGUUCUGCGAGAAGCUCAUACGUCCGAUCUACCCUGCCCUUCACUGCAUCCAAUACAGCAACGUGCCUCAACUCACACUUAAAGUGAAGCAUCACUAGAGAACCCAUACCCUGCUUGGGACCACUACUGGUAGGGCGUCAGAUCGGGCGGUCGUCAUUAUCUCGUCUUCAACUCUUGGACAGCUUCGCUCGCACAGCUGCAUCCAAAUGAACUCCUGAACUACCUUUGUGCGUGAGCCUCGCUAGGGAGGGAGAGAGAGCGCGUUGCCAAACAGUGCCGAGCUGAGCAACGAAUCCUCCGACGUCAACCGCCCCAAACUCAAGGAAGACUCCGUAUUUCCGUGACGCUCCGUCGUCCCUCGCAACUCCUUGAUUGCUUCAAAUCCUCCUUGGGAUCCACCGCUAUACCCCGGAAAGCGGAGCAUCCGCAGAAUCAAGUGCCAACGGAAAGCUACUCUCCAAAAGCCAAAAUUCACAUUUCUUCAACUUGGGCAUAAAGCUCCUUUUCCCAGAGUACUUGAGGUACAAACCACUCAAAUGCUCCUCGUGAUCUGGCAUCACUUCGAGAGUAAGACCAAAAUAUCGUCGAUGACACCUACGACGAACUGUCUAGAUAAGGUCUUGAAAUACGAGCUGAUUUAUCAAUCCAUAAAAGCUGCCCGGGCAUUAGUGAGCCCAAAGCGCAUAAAACCGGUGGAUCGAUAAAUCCCAUAACUCGUGUGUGCUAAAAGCCGUCUUCGUGAUAGCAAUCCUCCGGGUUGAUCUUCCAAUUCGGGUAUCCGACCGACUAAAGUCUAUCUUGAAACGACACAAAAUAAGAUGCCACCGAGCAUCCCUGACAGCUGAUCAAAAAGUUCGUCGAUGCCUACAAAAACGGAUACUCUGUUCUGAGAUGUGGACUAAUUCAUAAAGUUCACGACAUCAAUUACCACCGCAAAGCAGAAUGAUCCGCCUUUUCUGAAAGAAGCCUAAAACUGUGCUUGGCCCCACAAAGGCGAAGCUCGUCGAAGAAGCCCUCGUGUCCAAUAUUUCCAUCUUACUUGCAGGCUGUGCCCGUCAGCUCCCUCAGUUCUGCCGGUGCGCCAAUCCUAAGGUGCCUUUGAGAUUGGUGUAGUCCCAGGACGAGAUUCUACCACAAACUCAUCCCCUAUCAGGAAGGCAUACGCCGGAGCUCAAGCUGAAACCAACAUCCUCGAAACUCUCAGCACGGGCCACGGCGGGAUGUCCUCGAUCCACUAGGGUGUCAUCCUUCACCUGAGUCAGCACAAACACUACCAAAUAGGCUAAAGCAACCUACCCCUCUGCUAAUCGCUAGCUGCCUAGCUCAAACGAGCGAUCGUCCACGUCGCAAACCAGCGAACUACCGGCAUCUCAACCUAAAUACCUACCUCAUCUGCUCAGGUUCUCCUAAAAUAACCGGGGCGAUUCGUUGCAACUCAAUCCGUCAUAUAUCUUGGUCAAACCAAAUCCAUGCCCAAGACCACGUCAUAAAUCCCACAGCUUUGCGCAAAGCGUACGGUAAAUCUACAGGAAAUAACCCAUAUCCAACUCCCUACCCGAAAUAGGCAACGGGCUAUAGUUCUCUAUACUAAUAUCGCAGAGAAUAGGUCGGCUAUCAACAACAUGUCCGUAGCAACAAAAGAAAUUCCAAGCGGGCGAUGCCAUGGUCAACUCGCAAACCCCAGCCGAUUCUAUGAAAUGAAAUGCGAGCUCCGGUAUUAAAUGAAAGGCAAUGAACUCUAAUCCAUCAAGUAAAAUGAUACCUGCGCAAUACCACAUCCCCUCGCUGCCGCCAGCACUCCUCGAGUCUGAAAGCGCGUAAGCAUACCCAAAGUCGGACCGCUGUCGAGAAUACCUCGCUCUUGGGCGCUGUACGGGUGCCCGCAACUCAAAGCUGGUACUGUGUCGACGGAGUCCCGUGGCUGACGGCUGGUAGAGCCCGUGCCGAUGCAAUCGACGGUGCCGGUGAAGAACCCCUCGAGCACUCGGUACGGACGUGGCCCUCCUGGCCACACUGGAAGCACCUGCCCGGCUGCUGUGGACACUACGGUGGGUAAUGGGGACCACCGCAGAUCACGCACGGGGAAGGCCGGCGCCGAUCGGAUCCUCCUCGAUGCACUGCUAAGCCGCGUCCACGCUGCUGGCUCCUCGGGUGCUUCGGCGGCCUCCUAGAGUGCGUCUGGCUCGCACCCUCAGCCGCAGGCCUCUUGGCCUUACCCUUGUCCCUAGACUCUCGCUGCUCCUGAACCUCUGCCGUGCCGCCCUCCACGAUGAGCGCGCGAUCCACCACCUCCCGGUAGGUUUGGAGGUUAGAGGACUGCAAAAACCGAAAAAUCGACGGUCGUAACCCUCGCUCGAAGAUGCGGGCCUUAUCCUCGUCGUCCCGCACGACGAAGAGCACGCAAUGCAGAAGCCGAGAAAACUCCCUCUCGUACUCGGCUACAGUCCUGUCACCCUGGCGCAAGCUGCACAAAUUCUGCUCCAUCUUCCUCUUGACGCUGGUCGGGAAGUAGUGCGCCAGAAGGAGCUUCUUGAACCUCGUCCAUGUGAUAGAUGCCAAGUCAGUGCUGGGGUGCUCCUGAAAAUACAACCACCAGCGGUAGGCCUCGCCGUCCAAGUGGUGAGUGGUGAGCCAAACUCUAUCCCUCUCCUCCAUGAAGGUGUCGCGGAAGAGCUUCUCCAUAUGCAUCAACCACUUUUCCACGAUCCAGUGGUCGACUUUCUCGCCGUCGAAGACUCGGGGGCUGCACCUCCUGAACUCAUUGAGGCGCUCCAUCAGUCUGUCUCGUUCCGCCCCCUCCACCAAAGUAGGGAAUGCAGCUCCAACCGGGGGCCUCUGCACAGGCGGUGCUACCAAAACCUCCUCCUGGGGUGCGGCCGCAGGCGCCGUACGUAAAGAACUGGGCGCGGGGGACGGCGCUCUCGGUGCAACGUCCACAACUGGUGCUGGCGGUGUAGGGGCCUAAGUCUCUCUAGAAGCUGCCGCCUGCUGUAGGAGCAAGUCCUCCAGACGCUUCAUCCGUGCCUCCUGCUGGCGCGCCGCCUCAGUCUGCUGUCGGGCCGCCUCUGCCUGCUGAGUGACCAAAUAAGUGAGGGCCGCAAGCUAGCCCCUCAACUCACGGACCUCGCUGGAUCCGGAGGUAGCGGAGGUCUCGACCUCCUCGAAGUUUGCCGCAUUGUCCGCCCCGGCAGAUUGGGAGCGAGUAAUCGGCAUCGUCACUACAACAUCAUAAAAGCGCAAGUUAGGAAUACUCACGCUAUCGCAUCCCCGCUCAAAAGACAAACCCCGAAUAAUGCGAAAGUAAAGAAGUGUUCUACACUACUAACUCCCAGCCCGAAAAACUGCAUUUCAUCGAAAUGCUUCAUUUCGCUUCUUGAGCCUCUAAUCCAUUUUUAAACAUUUCAAAACCCUCAAAAUACAUUUUUGAGCGGGUUUAGAUCAUCUUCUCACUUGUACUUUGCCUGAUCUAGGCCAAAGUCGAAUAUAGCUUGUCGAGUUUCGUUUUCGUGCCUAACUUGCACCGAAAACACUCGAAUGCUCCUGAACUUCACCGGAACUAUUUUACAAGCUAGUUCCCACCGAAAUUCAUAACUAUAGAAGUUUGGUAUAUUACAAUCGCAACAUCAUCGGAGGCGAGCUCGCCACCUCCGACGAUGUCGCGAUGUUACGGCGAAAGAUGGAGGAGGAGUGCCUGCGCCUAGACGUCGCCGUGCCCUAGUGGAGAAGGAGAGUCACGGCGCGGCCUCAGCGGGGUCGAAGGCGAGGAAGGUGGGGGGGAGGGGGGGUGCGUGGGUGAGGGUGAGAGCAGAGGCGAGGCGGCUAGUUUUCGCCUCUGCCUCCGUCGCCUUCGGAGAGCAAAAAAAAGAACGAGAGAAAAAAAAGAGAGAAAAAGGAAUAUAGGUAUUUUGAUCAGUUUGCUGAAAAUCUGGACCGAAUCUACAAAAUCAAAAAAAGACGGCGAAGUUUUGCAAAAACUCUAAACUUGUGAAUUUUUUUAUGCAAAUUGGCCUUAUUCAAAGCCAAACUAUUGGGAGAUUUUAUUGCUUUGUUUUUUAUUUCGACUGCUUUUUAUUUCCACUCCAGUUUCGGUUCUUAUUUUGAACCAAAUGCGCUGUCAGUGCUCGGAUCUGACGCUCCAAAUGACAUAUUUGAAAUUAUUGAAGUCAGGUAGUCAACCCACUUAUCAGAUUACGUCCAAGUACAGCCAACUGGUUAAUGACUUGCCGUAAUGCACACUGCAAAGUCGGCGAAGUGGAAAAAGUCAUUUUUAUAAAAGUGACUUUUCAGUUCUAUUGUUUCGUUGCUAUAAAGUAAAAAAUUAAAACUAUAAAUUUAUUAUUUUUUAUUAUUAAAUUAUAUAUAAAGAGGUGAAAAUAUAAAUAAACGACUUAUACUUGCAAUUUAAAUUAAAAUUUAAAUUUAAAUUAAUAUUUAGAAUUCAAAGUUAUAUUUUAAAAUUUAAAUUUAAACUUAAAUCUGAGUUGAAUUUAUAAUUAAAAUUUAAGACAUAAAUUUUAUUUACAAUUUGAAUUUAAAAUUUUAGUUAUAACUUAUAACUGAAAUUAAAUUUUAAAAUAAAAAUUAGAACAUUUAUUCAAAUUUGAAUUUAUAAUUUGAAUCAUAUAUUAAUUUACUCUUUGAUCUUAAAUUUUGAAUUCAAAUAUGAAUUCACAAUUUAAAUUAAUAUUUAAAUUUAAAUUAAAAUAUGAGUUUAAAUCACAAUUCAAAUCGAAAACAUUUGAAUUCAUAAUUCGAAUUCAAAUUCAGACUGAAACUCAUUAUUGAAAUUGAAUGUAAAUAGCAAAUUUGAAUUUUGAAUUUGAAUUUGAACUUGAAAAUUUAAAUUUUAAAUUCAAAUUUCAGUCAAUAAUUUGAAUUUAUAGUUGGAACAAUUCGAAGUCAAAUUUCAAAUUGAAGUUCUUAACUAAAAAUAAUUUGAUUAAAAUUUAAAAUUUAAAAUUUAAAUUUAAAUUCUAGAAUUAAAAUUUAAAUUAAAAUAAUUUUAAAUUUUAAAUUUAAAUAUAAAGUCAUAAAAUUGAAUUUAAAAUUUCAUGUUGAAUUUUAAUUUACAAAUAAAAUUCAAAAUGUGAUAAUAAUUUUAAUUCAAAUUUAAAAUAAAAUUGAACUUUAAAAAUAAAUUUACGUAUUAAAGUUAAUACUAAAUAUAACCUCUUAGCUAAGCUCUCUACUUCCGGUGACUUUCGAAUUUUUUGAGCCGAAGUCAAAAAAGUGAGAUUUAGUUAUAACUAAACUUUAUCGGCCUAUUUUCAUGAAGUGAUUUUUAUAUUCACUUUCGAAAAUAAAAAAAUCGGUAAAACGUAAUUUUAUAAAAAUACCACUUUUGAUGCUCGGUGAACCAAACUUGCUAAUAUAUAGAGUAUAUUAAUAUUAAUUAAUCUGUUUGCAAGCAUGAUUUACAGUAUUUUAAUUGGUUUGUGCCUGCAAGAGCUAAUAAACAACCGCAAUUUUCACCUUACAGGAACCGCUGGCGGUGGGCCGGCGGACAUGGUCAAGCGUGGACUUGCGGGGUCGCUGUCGACUGUCUUUUGACGACGUGGCGUCCCUUUGGCCGGAUCGCCCUUCUGCGUUUCCUGGGGUCCCCUUCGCGACUCGCACGUCAGCCAUGGAUACAAAUCGGCAGAUACACGAGCGAGUGGAGCACCGGCGGAGACAGUGUUACAUCUAAACAGGCGGAGUCUUGGAAAGGUACGAGCAGCACUUAGUCGGAGUCUCGGAGAGAGGCGAUCGAUCGGAAUUAAUGGGUGUGGAGGUGUCGGACGUGGAGUUCGUGAAAGCACGCACGGACAAGCGGGAGUAUCGGGGGAUCGUCCUCCCCAACGCUCUCGAGGUCCUCCUCAUCAGCGACCCCGAAACCGAUAAGGUCUUCUCCUUCUACUUUGACCUUCUCCCGCACACUGAUUCUUCGCUACUAUGCUUUCCAUUUUUGGUACAGUGCCCUGCUAUCUAUUACCUCGCCUUUCUAUGGUCAAUUUUUCUUUUCGGUCGAGUUUCAUUUUAGUUCCUCCGACUGUAAAAUUUUAAAAAUGUUUUACUUAAUUGCGUUUUCUCCUAAUUUGCCUUUAAAAGAGAUAUUGUGGUAUCCCAUACGUCUAUCCUACCAAGUAUUGAACUGAAAUCUUUUCUAUAUUUAUAUUGUUGAUCAUCGAACUAAAAAUAUCAGAUGAGCGUACGAAUGAGCUAGUUCAGGGUCUCGAAUGAUAUAUCUCUCCUCCGUAAGGAACAUUUUUUUUUUUUUUGCAAGGAAUAAGGAACUAUUUUUAUUAAUAGGCUUGUAAAAUAUUACAACCAUAAACAUAAUAGUUCUUUGAAAAAUUUAUUUAUAAAAUUAGGAUAAGCGGUGAAUAAAUUACCACUCUCUAAAUGCAGCAGGUCGUUCACUACUUGUUCAAAAUAUUAAAAUUGUUUGUUGUGCUUAUAAAAGUGGUAAGCCAUUUACCACUUUUUAAAAAUGGUAAAUUAUUCACCACUCUCUAAAAACGGUAAAUUAUUCACUGCUCCAGCUUGGCUGCCUAUAUUUGCAUUAAAAAUUGUUAUAGGAUUACUUACGGAAAACUCCCCUCUACAAGGGCUAUAGUGAAAUCAGUUUAAUAGCUUGGGGUCUCGAAUGUCAAACUAAAAGUUUGAGGACCGAAUGAAACUCUGAAGUUAGGAGGUACUAGAACAAUUUACUCUGGACAUUCUAAGUAAACAUUUAAGGUUCAAAUUAUUUGUAGCGCUUUACUUUAGUCCCAGAAGAAGAAUCAUUUCCACACCUAGUGCAUCUGUAUAUAUGGAUGGCUGGUGCACAAAAUUUGAAACCAAGAAAGUUUAAAUACUCUUAGAUCAUAUGGAUGUUCCAUAAAGAAAGUUUAAAAAGUCUUUAGCAUGAAGAGCUGCAUGCUAUUAACAGCAUUCUAGCUUAACUGUCAUUGUUAUCUUUUCUUAAUUAACUCAAUUUCAACAUAUAAUAUAUAGGCUGCUGCUUCCAUGGAUGUUCGUGUGGGUUCCUUCUGUGAUCCAGAGGGGCUUGAGGGCUUGGCUCAUUUUCUCGGUGAGUGUUUUGUUCUGCUCCUGUGUGUUGUUCAAUCAUUUAGUGAGGAAUAGAUUUGGUUUAUAUACUUGUAUUCGUUCAUGCUUUUAGACCAAAUUCAAAUAUGAAUGCAUACUAGUGACAAGAUAUCUUACAUUGUCUCACCUAAUAAAUUGAAGAAAAGAGAGCUUUUAAAAUUAGUUGGAGAGAAUACAUUGGGACAAUAAGGUCCUUUCCGGUUGAAUUAUUCAAUUCUACUUGUUCUCUCUCUUCCUCACCUAAAUAUCUUUCAGAAAACUAGAGAUUGCUAAAUGGCGAAAUUUAUCGAGAGUUUCAAAAGAUUCUAAUUAUAAAUUUAUAUCGCUAGAUUUCUAUCCUCUCAGUUGCGUUUGCGGUUUCUUGCAGAGCAUAUGCUGUUUUAUGCUAGUGAAAAAUAUCCAGAAGAAGAGAGUUACGGAAAGUACAUCACAGAGGUAUUAUACAGUUAUUGUGACUUAAAAUAAAUUAUUUUAGUUUGUGAAAAUUAUUGGUCAAUAUUUUUAAAGGUCCGUUUGGCCUAGAUUAUGAAAAAGUGAUUCUUGAAGAAUAAAUUUUGGUCUGGAGAAUAAAUUUUGGUUUGGAGAAUUGAUUUUGGUUAAAAGCUGUCUAGUAUUUGGCUAAGCGGGUGUUUGGCCUGACUUUUGAAAAGUGAUUUUCAGUCCAAAAGUGAUUUUUGGCUCAAUAGAGCGUAUGACAACCUCAUUUUCAAAAUUUGAUUCUAAUUUGUAGAAUUAGUUUUCUAAUUUUGAGGCCCAAAAUCAGAAGAGCUAAAACCUGCUUCUUGAAAUCUGAUUCUGAUUUUGGACUCAAAUUUUAAAUUUUAGUUUUGAUUUUAGGUUCAAAUUUUAAAUUUAAAUUCACCUAGAUCUUUCUCCCUCUUUGUCAUCAUGAUUAAGAAAUAAAUCAAAGUAAUGCAUAAAGAAGAAAGAAACAUAGCCAUUAACUAAAGAUAAAGUAGCAAUACCAAAGGUUAAAAAUAGUAAAAGCAACAAACAUAAGCAAACAAAAAAGUGUCAAUAGGCCACAACUAAUCCUAAGAAAAGCAUAAAACACAUUAGAUCCUAAUCUUCACCAUUCGUCUUGAUUAUCCUUUGGGCCCAUUGUAGCUUCGGGUGGUGGCGCAAUCAAUGAAGAUGGUUGAUUGUUCGGGGCCCAAAAGGAAUAUAGAAGUGUUAAGAAAUAUAUGCCUUUUUUUGUUAUUAUUGGUUUGGUGCAUAUAGAACUGGUUCAUGAAAAUUUAUUUAGCAAAUUAAAGUUAGAUCCUAUUUGCUGAGUCCUUCAAGAGAUCUAAGUAGACUCGGUUCAGUUUUCCAUGCAUAACUCUAAUUCAUGUUAAUUAUGAAUUGGAGUAGGAUAAGGAAUUAGCAUUAUACCUAUAUAUACAUGCCUGUAUGGACACAAAUAGUGUGCAUAUGUGGGAAAACUAAUUAGCGUACAUAGGCUAAUUAAUUCACGAUGCUGGGUAGCCAUACGAUGGCAGAAGAGAGGCGGCCUCGCAUGCAACGUUUGGAUCAGAGUGGACGGCAAAAUGGCCGUUCUCGACCAAUUGCCUAAGUAGUUUGGAUUCUUCGAUGAAAGAAGGGCAAAAGAUCAUACCCUAUUGGAUUGUAUUGAUGCAAAUAUAUAAUACAAGAGAUAUAUCAAGUAUAGUAACAAAGCGUAGUAUAGUAAGAAUUUAAACGGGAUUAGAUACUAUAUAAUCCUACUCUGUAUAUAAUUGUAAUAUACAGUUUCCUAAUAUAAAGAAUAAUGCUAAAUAUGUCGUAACAUCCUCCCGCAAGCUAAGCAUCCAUCGGACGGAUGCGAAGAUUGAGCCGCAAUAUGGAAAAACGAGAUGGUGGUAAAGGCUUGGUGAAAAUAUCAGCAAGCUGCUUAUCGGAAGAGAUAUGAACCAACUCCAAAUCACCAGUCUGAACUUUUUCGCGCAAGAAUUGAUGGUCAAGUUCAAUGUGCUUUGUGCGAGCAUGAAGAACAGGAUUGGCCGCAAGAUAAGUAGUGCUAAGGUUAUCACAAUAAAUACUGAUGGGUAGCCAAAGGAAAACACCAAGGUCGUGAAGUAGACGACGGAUCCAUAUUGUCUCAGCAAGCGCGUAGGCGACAGCAUGAUACUCCGCUUCAGAAUUAGAGCCAGAAAUGGUGGGAUGCUUCUUAGUGGACAAGGAGAUAAGAUUGGGCCCCAAAAAUAUGCAAUAUCCGGAGGUAGACCGUCGGGUAUCCGGACAACCAACCCAAUCAGCAUCGACAAAUGCUACAAGAGAAAGAUUAAUGCAGCGAGAUAUAGGCAGGCCAUAAGUCAAUGUGCCCCGAAUAUACUAUAGAAUACGCUUAACCGCUUGCAUGUGAAGUUCACGAGGAGCAUGUAGAUACUGGACAACGGAGUUGACGGCAUACGAUAUAUCUGAACGGGUGAAGGUAAGAUACUGAAGAGCACCAACAAGCCGACGAUAACUAUAGAGAUCCUCAAGGGGACGUCCUUCAUGAGAAGAGAGACGAGAAGUCGGAGAGAGAGGAGUAGAGACGAGCUUACUAUCAAGAAAACCAUGUCGCUCAAGCAACUGAUACGCAUAUUUGUGCUGAGUCAGAUGAAAACCAGAAGAUGAGCUAUUUACCUCAAUGCCCAAGAAAUAAUGUAACGACCCGAGAUCUUUCAUGGCGAAUUCCCGCUGUAAGGUGGUAAUAAAAGCAUCUAAAAGAGAGGAGGAGCUGCCGGUGAUAAUAAUAUCAUUAACAUAUAAUAGAAGAACAAGAGUGCCAAAAAAAGAGCGACAAAUGAACAUUGAAGGAUCAGUAGAGCCUCCAACAAAACCUAUUUUAGAGAGAAAAUAAGUAAACUGCUGAAACCAAGCCCGAGGUGCCUGUUUUAGACCGUAGAUUGCUUUGCGGAGACGACAAACAUGAUGAGGAAAAGAAGGAUGCACAAAACCAGGUAGUUGUUGCAUAUAAACCUCUUCAGAGGGAGUGCCAUGAAAAAAAGCAUUCUUCACAUCUAGUUGUCGAAGGGACCACCCGGAGGAAACAGCCACCGAAAGAACAGUAUGAAUAGUGGUCGACUUGACAACGGGAGAAAAGUUCUCAUCAAAAUCAAUGCUUUGUUGCUGUUUACUGAGCCACAAGCCGAGCUUUGAGACGCUUGAGAGAACCAUCCGCCUUUUGCUUUGCUUUGUAGACCCAUUUACAAAUAAUGAGAUUAAUGGGAAAGGGAGGAAGAACAAGAUCCCAAGUAGCAUUGGUCAGUUGGGCAUCAAACUCUUCAGCCAUGGCAGCACGCCAACCUGCAUCUUGAAAAACUUCAUGAAAAGAGUAAGGUUCAAUAGGCAGAGGAGAACACGCAGAGGCCAGUAAGGAAGUAGACUCAGCUAAACCCUUAGUCAUGGAUCGAGUGAGUAUAGAGUGUUUGCGUGGAGGUAAAAAAGGUUCAGUAGGAGAAGAAGAAGGCACUACAACAGGCUGAGGGGAAGGUGGACGAUCAGAGGCCGGUGGUGGCAGUGCAACAUGAACAGAGGAAAUAGCAGUAGGCCGGAGGUUGUGUCGUUUGGUAUAGACCUAGAGUUUUGAUGGACCAGCGGCAGUGGCAUCAUUCCCAUUCCUAACCUGUGAGGCAUCAGAAUUCGAGGUGGAAGGAAAUGUUGAUGAAUCCUCAGACGGUGAAACAGGUGUAUGUGCAUCGGAACCAGUAUCAAGAGAGAAGCGUGUGAAGGAGAAGCCAAAAAUAGCGUCAAUGGUAAAAGGACUCACCAGGAAAGGAGGAUUAGAUAGAAAUUGUUGAAACAUAUGAAAGUUUGAAAAAGUGGAGAACUUAGAGAGACAAGAAAAUAGAAAAACAGUUUCAACAAAGGUAACAUGCCAAGAGAUAAAAACUUUACCAGUGCUUGGAUGGAGACAGCGAAAACCUUUAUAUUUAUCAAAGAGUCCUAAGAAGACCCAAGGAAGUAAUCGAGGAGAAAGCUUGUGAGCUGCAAUGUCCUAUAUAUCGGGAUAACACAAACAUCCAAAAACUCUGACAAGUUGCAAGUCGGAGGAUGAACAACCAUGCAGAAUUUCAUAUGGCGAUUGUUCUUUUAAAAUAGUAAGAGAAGGAAUUCGAUUCACGAGAAAUACAAUAGUUUGGACGGCAUCAGCCCAGAAACGAGGAGGCAUGCAGGCUUGAAACAACAAACUUCUAACAAUGUUAGUUAAAUGUCUAUGCUUCCUUUCGGCGAGAUCAUUUUGUUGUGGAGUAUAAGGACAAGAAAAGCGGUGAAGAAUUCCAUUUUGUGAACAAAUGGUAGAAAACUUAUCAUUUACAAACUCCGUACCAUUGUCAGAUUGCAAAAUUUUGAUUGCGCUAUGAAAUCUGUUUUCUACCAUUACUUUAAAUUCGAGAAAUUUGUCAAAACCUCAUGUUUAAAUUUCAAAAGAUAAAGGCAAGAAAAUCGAGAGUAAUCAUCUAUGAAUAUAACAUAAUAUUUGUAGCUAGAAACCGAUGGAACAGGUGAUUGCCAUACAUCAUAAUGCACAAUAUGAAAGGGAAACGUAGAUUUGGAUUCAGAAUCAUGAAACGAGAGUUUAACAUAAUUUUUCAUAUUACAAGCAAUGGAAAUAGAUAAUGUCAAAGUAGAAUUAUCAUAAAAAAUAAUAUUAUUGUUUUUAAUAAAUGCAGAAAGAACGGAAAGAUUAGGAUGACCUAACCGUCUCUACCAAACAUCACCACUAAACCUAGAUGCAACAAGACCUAUCUGUUGCUUAUUCUGUCACGCCCCGCGACCGCAACCAAUUUGGCCGGUCCGGGGACGUCGAACAGACGCCGAACGGACAGCACCUCCCUUGUCUGCCCAAGGCUAAGCAUCAACAAUCAUGUACAAGAGUUGUCUAAGAAAACUCAAUACAUACAUGAUCAUAAGCGAAGCACCACAAGUGCUAUGCAAGUAAGAGCAAGAGUCACAAGUACAUACAAGUGAAUAAAAGAGAGAACAUUCAAUCUAUUACAUCACAUUUGAUUUACAUUUACAACUUCCAAAAUAGGGAUACAAGUUCAUCUCAUCAUGAUAUAAAUAUGAAUACAACUCUCCAAAAGCAUCUCACUACCUAUACAUCAUCUACACUCAUGUACAAAGGGUGUCACUAAUGCAAAAGGAAAGCCUCUACUACUAGGGCGCUAUGCCCUUACCACGAUCCUCGCCCGGUGCGCUCGCACUCGGCCCUGCAACAAAGUGGGGUGAGAACUAUAUAAAUAUAGUUCCCAGUGGGUUCGGCCGCCGACUCUGCCGAUCUCCCCACUAGGUCUAAGUGGGCAAAAGCAGAUAGAUAGGUAGAUAGAUAUGAAAGCAAUAACGACAUAGUAAGAAAAGCUAAACUACUAUGCCCAAUCAAGUACAAUGAAUGCAUGCACUACAUAGUAAGAGAUCAACUAACAUGCUACUAUGUCCAAUAAGCAAAUGUCCAAUAAGUAAUGCUAUUCUCUUGUUUACCCAAUCAUUGGCUAACCCGAAGGUUCGCCUACGACUCACAAUGCCAUCUCGUAUGGUAAGGAGACGCACAUCGCUCACAAACCCGAGAUCGUCUGCGGGACAUCAACUCUGCCCCUCGUGUGACAAAACCUCCGGAGUGCACGCUUGUGUGGAGCGACCACCACAAGCUCAAACAGACUGUGAGUAUGAUCUAAUCCUCUCAACUCGAGGAUACCCUACUAACUAGGGCUAACAAUCACUCGGGAAUCCACCUAUCCUAAGGUUCAUAUGCAAGUGUUUGACCAUACUAAGUUCUUGUUCAAUGAUUCAUCACUAGGGAAUCCGCCUAUCCCUAAGUUCAUAUGCCAUAAGUGUCACUCUACACUAAGUUGUAUGCCACUCGUCCUGUUAUUAUUUAUUGUUUUCAUGCCACUCAUUAUGUCACUAUGAACCAUCAAGUUCAUCUCUUACCUCGGCACUAUAGGAUUCAAUGUCACGACCCAAUCCUUAUCUAUCCACUAUAUCAAGCAUUCGACUCACACUAUGAUAUCAACUAGAACGCAUAAGGAAUGGAAAUGCACAUUAACACCCUACAAUGCAAGCUAUAUAAGAGAUGCAAGGUUCCCAACGCGCUAAGACAUAAAGAGGAGCCCGGUUGCUUCGGGAUGACACCACCCACCUUCUAGCGAUGUUGCGACCCAAGGUAUGCGAUUCGGCGAUUUUAGGACGUCGCCUCGGCCUUCCAGGCAGAAACGAAGCUACGACCGUCCCCUUUGCCAAUAACUUCGCACAGGCUCGACGGAUUGCCGAACCGACUUCGCCAACGCGUUUAAACACCUAGCAAUUAGGUUUACACAUGCUUAAUUUAGAUCAAACCCCUUAUUUCUCAAAAACCCACUUUUGAAGCCCUAGAUUGCAACUAUGCAAGAAUCUAUCAUUUAGCCUCUAGAUUCAAGCAUUAUUCACCUAUUAGGCAUGCUAGGGUUCCAACUAAUCCACUUCUAGAGCAUAUAAAGCUAACCCUAGAGAUCUACCAUGAAUGGACCACAAGCUUACCUCCAAAAGCUUGCUCCUUGGCGAAGAAGAAGAAGAAGAAGAUGCUAAUCCUUCUCCUUGACUCAAUCUCCACCAAAUCCUCCUCCUUCCCCACCUUGAAGAGAGAGAGAAAGCUUUAGAGAGAGAGAGGGAGAGUUUUAGGGUUAGGUUAGAAGAAAAGUGAGAGAUGAGAGAAAGGCCACCCUCCACUUAACCCCACACAUGCACAAUUGCUCAAAACCCCCUCAACAAUGCAAGUUAUGCACAGCCCAUACAGGGCAUUUUCGGGUACGGGGACCGGUCUUUCCCUAGAGGGACCGGUCCCCGAAAGCAAACUUUGCGGGCAGAGCUAUUCUGCCCAUUCUACGCGUACGGGGACCGGUCCCCUCCUCCUGAGGGACCGGACCCCGAGAGCAAUUUUCGUACGCAGCAUUUUUCUGCCACACACCAUACGUACGGGAACCGGUCCCUCCCGUCAGGGACCGGUGUUACGAUAUAUUUUAUCUAUAUUAGGAUGUUACGAUAUAUUAGGAUAUUGUGUUUUAUUGCCUUAUAUAGAGUAGUAUCAUUGCCUUCUAUAGAGUAGGAUUAUAUAGUAUGUAAUCCUAGUUAUACUCUUACUAUAGUAGUCAUUGUUACUAUAGUAAGACAAUCUCUUGUACUAUAUAUAUUCAUUAAUACAACUCAAGAGGGUAUGCACUUUAGCCCUUCUUUCAUGGUAUCAGAGCGGGAACCCUAAUGUGGGGAUAUCGAUCCAUAGCCACCAUCCACCAUUAAUCUCACCUUUUUCUAUAGGUGUCUUUUCUUUUGGUUUUCUAUCUUCCCAAUACUGCUACAGUACUGCUACAGUAUCAUCGCUACAGUACUGGCGCUACAGUAACAGCGCUACAGUAACAGCGCUACAGUAUUUCUGCUACAGUAUUUUCAGCCUUUCUGUGAUUUCUCUUUGCUCCUCUGGUGCCGCUCGGACUGUCCUACUGUUGGUUGCUCGUAUCACUCGGUUCUUUCCUUGGUGCGGUCGAUCUUAUUUGGUGAUAAGUGGUUCCUCUCAUGUGAUAGAAUUCAGGUUUUUUUUUUAUUCACAUCCGCUACAUUCCGAUUUAUCUUUCUUUCUUAUCUAGUGGUGGAUCCUUAUCUUAAGGUAGUAAACAUGUCUUCUUCUACCUCAAAUUUGCCAAUUGUUAAUAUCAAAACUCUCAUACCACUAGAACUCACCGAUUCUACAUAUCUUGUGUGGAAACAAGUCUUUCUUAAUGUUCUAGAAAGUUUUGAUGUUACAAAACAUGUGGACGGAACUAGUGUUGUGCCUUCUCAGACUAUCGAUACUGCUGAUAAGAAGGAGGUUAUAAAUCCUGAAUAUGUGAGUUGGAAAAAGAACGAUACUACUAUACUUUCAUGGAUUAAUGCCACUUUAUCUCUUAGCAUAUUACAUAUGGUUGUUUCUAGCUCACCUAAAACUGCAUAUGAUGCUUGGAGAAUUAUUGAGGCAUAUUUUCUUGAUAAGACUGCUUCCACGGCUUUUUCUCUAAAAUCUGAAUUGCGGAGCAUCAAGAAAGGCUCAAUGAGCAUGAGUGAUUACAUGCAAAAGAUCAAGACGAUUGGUAAUGCUCUUCAGGCGAUUGGUGAAAUCGAGUCAGACCAUAAUUUGGUCAUGACUGUUCUUCUAGGGCUACCUGAGGAAUAUCGAGGUUUUGUUAGUGCUCUAAACACACACAGAAAUAAGCCAACUUUUGAACAACUUCGUCCACUCUUGAUGCAAGAAGAAACAGAAGUUCAGCGUCGCACUAGUGUGACUACGUCCUCUGCUAUUCCCACUAUUGACAGUGAAGCUCUUUAUGCCAAUCGUGGACGUGGUAAUCGUGGAGGCCGUGGAGGUAGAUAUCGUGGAGGCCGAGGACAACGUGGUAGACACUAUUCUGGUCGUGGAUCUCCUGAAAUCUACCCACAGUCUCAACCUAAUUAUCCUCAACAAUCUUACACUCCAAAUCAACAACCAUAUAUUCCGAAGUCCGGCAUACAAUGUCAGAUAUGUGGAAAGUUCAAUCAUUCUGCUCUUCAGUGCAGACAACGCUUCAAUCAUUCUUUCGCUGCUGAUGAAGUUCCUCAGACCUUUGCUGCUAUGAACCUUCACGAACCCGGUGAGGAAGUCUGGUAUCCGGAUACCGGAGCAUCAAAUCAUAUAACCGCAAACUCUGGUAUUCUCUCAUCUUCUAAACCUUAUAGUGGGCAUGAAAAAAUUCUUGUUGGUAAUGGAAAUUUACUUGAUAUUACUCAGACAGGUGAAACUCAAUUGAAUACAUCUUCUAACUCUUUUGCUCUAAAAAAUGUUCUUGUUGUUCCUACUAUUAAGAGAAAUUUACUUUCAGUGCGUAAAUUCUGUCAAGAUAAUAAUUCUCUUUUUGAAUUUGACUCUACUGGUUUCUCUGUGAAGGACAAGGAAACAGGGAAGGAGCUUCUUCGAUGUCCUAGCUCGGGAACAUCACUUUAUCCAAUUUCUUCUAGACUUGCAAGUGUAGGGAAUAAGCAACAACUAGCUCUUAUUGCAUCUAGAUUUAGUGGAGAUGUCUGGCAUAGACGGUUAGGUCAUCCUAGUCUUCCUGUUCUUUCUACAUUUAUUAAAAAUAAUAAAAUUGUUUCUGAUUCUGCACUGAAAUUAUCUGUCUGCAAUGCUUGUAAUAUGGGAAAACAUGUUAAACUCUCAUUUCAUGAUUCAGAAUCUCAAUCUGCUUUUCCUUUUCAUAUUGUUCAUUCUGAUGUUUGGCAAUCACCUGUGCCCUCGGUUUCUGGAUACAAAUAUUAUGUUAUUUUUAUCGACGAUUAUUCUAGAUUUUCCUGGCUUUAUCUUUUAAAAUUUAAACAUGAAGUUUUUGACAAAUUUUUCGAGUUCAAGAAGAUGGUUGAAAAUAUAUUUCAUAGCUCAAUAAAAAUUUUUCAAUCUGACAAUGGUACGGAAUUUGUAAAUGACAAGUUUUCUAGUUUUUGCUCACAAAAUGGAAUUAUUCACCGAUUUUCUUGUCCUUACACUCCUCAACAAAAUGGCCUUGCUGAGAGAAAACAUAGGCAUUUAUCUAACAUUGUUAGAAGUCUACUAUUCCAAGCUGGCUUGCCUCCUCGUUUUUGGGCUGAGGCCAUUCAAACUGCUGUUUUUCUUGUAAAUCGACUUCCGUCUCUUACUGUUUUAAAUGGGCGGUCACCAUAUGACAUUCUCCAUGGUUGUGCUUCUCCUGACUUGCAACUUAUCAGAGUCUUUGGAUGUUUGUGUUAUCCCGAUGUUCAGGACAUUGCAGAUCACAAGCUCUCUCCCCGAUCACUUCCUUGUAUUUUCUUGGGUCUUUCUGACAAACAUAAGGGCUUUCGCUGCCUCUAUCCGAGCACUGGUAAAGUUUUUAUUUCUCGCCAUGUUACUUUUGUUGAAACUGUUUUUCCUUACUCUUGUCUGUCCAAAUUUUCUUCCUCAUCUUCCCCCACUACCUCAAAUUUUCAAAUGUUUCAACAUUUUCUUUCUAAUCCUCCCUUAUUGGGCGAAAGUCCUUCCUCUCUUGAUGCCAUCUCUGGUUUUUCCUUCACACGCCUUUCUCCGGAUGUUAGUUCAAAUGCAUCUGUUUCACCAUCUGAGACUGUAUCGACUUUUCCUUCCACCUUGAAUCAUGAUGCCACACAGGUUAGUGAUGAACAUGCUGCCACUGUUGCUGGUCCACCUGAACUCCGAGUCUAUACCAGACGACACACCCUCCGACCUUCUGCUGCUACAGCUUUACCUUCUCCUGUUGAGUUGACGCCUUCCACAUCGGACAGGCCACCUUCACCUCAGCCUGCAGAGCCUUCCUUACCAAUCCGGACACACUCUAUGCUUACUCGAUCUAUGGCUAAGAAUUUUGCUGGGUCUACCUCCUUCCUAGCUUCUACACAUACUACUCUUCCUACUGAGCCUAUCACUUUUCAUGAAGCUUUUCAGGAUGCAGAUUGGCGUGCUGCCAUGGCUGAAGAAUUUGAUGCAUUACUCACCAAUGAUACUUGGGAGCUUGUUCCUGCUCCUCCUUCUGUCAAUCUUAUUGGCUGUAAAUGGGUCUACAAAGUCAAACAGAAGGCGGAUGGCUCUCUUGAGCGUCUCAAAGCUCGACUAGUGGCUCAGGGUUACAAACAACAACAAGGCAUUGAUUUUGAUGAGACUUUUUCUCCGGUUGUCAAGUCGACCACUAUUCGUACUGUUCUUUCAGUCGCUCUCUCCUCUGGAUGGUCUCUCCGACAACUUGAUGUGAAGAAUGCCUUUCUUCAUGGCACUCUCUCUGAGGAGGUUUAUAUGAAACAACCACCUGGCUUUGUGCAUCCUUCGCUUCCUAGUCACGUUUGCCGCCUACGUAAAGCGAUAUAUGGUCUCAAACAAGCUCCUCGGGCUUGGUUUCAGCGUUUCACUUCUUUUCUUUCUGAGAUUGGUUUUGUUGGCAGCACUGCUGAUCCCUCAAUGUUUGUUUGUCAUUCUUCCUCUGGCACUCUUGUUCUCCUCUUGUAUGUUGAUGAUAUUAUUGUCACCGGCAGUUCCUCAUCUCUUCUCGAUGCUCUUAUCGUUACUUUACAACGCGAAUUUGCCAUGAAGGAUCUCGGACCGCUGCAUUAUUUUUUGGGUAUUGAGGUUCAUCGCUCUCCAUCUGGUCUUCAUCUAUCUCAACAAAAAUAUGCGCAUCAAUUGCUUCAGCGACAUGGUUUUCUUGACAGUAAGCCCGUUUCUACUCCUCUUUCGCCAACAUCUCGUCUCUCUUCCCAUGAAGGGCAUCUUCUUGAGGAUCCAUACACUUAUCGUCAGAUCGUUGGUGCUCUCCAGUAUCUCACUUUCACCAGACCGGACAUUUCAUAUGCCGUCAACUCUGUUGCCCAGUAUCUUCAUGCACCUCGUGAACCACACAUGCAAGCGGUCAAACGUAUUCUGCGUUAUAUUCGGGGGACGCUGACUUAUGGCCUUCCUAUCUCUCGCUGUGACAAUCCUUCUCUUGUGGCCUUCGCUGAUGCUGAUUGGGCUGGUUGCCCCGAUACACGUCGCUCUACUUCUGGAUAUUGCAUUUUUCUUGGGCCAAAUCUUAUCUCCUGGUCCGCUAAGAAACAACCCACCAUUUCUCGUUCUAGUUCUGAAGCAGAGUAUCGUGCUGUAGCCUACACACUUGCUGAGACAGUCUGGAUUCGUCGUCUCCUUCGUGACCUUCGUGUUUUCUUAUGGCGCUCUAUCAGUAUUUAUUGCGAUAAUCUCAGCACCACCUACCUUGCGGCCAAUCCUGUUCUCCGUGCUCGCACGAAGCACAUUGAACUUGAUCAUCAAUUUUUGCGGGAAAAAGUUCAGUCUGGUGAUUUGGCCUUAAUUCAUAUCCCUUCUGACAAGCAACUUGCCGACAUUUUCACCAAGCCCCUGUCAUCCUCUCGGUUUUCGAUAUUGCGGCUCAAUCUUCGCAUCCGACCACCGGAUGCUUAGCUUGCGGGGGGAUGUUACGAUAUAUUUUAUCUAUAUUAGGAUGUUACGAUAUAUUAGGAUAUUGUGUUUUAUUGCCUUAUAUAGAGUAGUAUCAUUGCCUUCUAUAGAGUAGGAUUAUAUAACAUGUAAUCCUAGUUAUACUCUUACUAUAGUAGUCAUUGUUACUAUAGUAAGACAAUCUCUUGUACUAUAUAUAUUCAUUAAUACAACUCAAGAGGGUAUACACUUUAGCCCUUCUUUCAACCGGUCCCCGAGAGCAAAUUCUGCAAUUGUGCAGAAUUGCACCAGCUUGCUCUCCGAGGCCCUCUUCAAUGCACUUAAGCACUUUUUGACGCCUUCGGCCUUUCCGAAGAGUACCCAACCGACAAUCGGUCGAUUCUAACCGAAGUUCAACUCUCGCAUUUCGAAAAUUCACUUCCUUAUAUAUUCCCUACACUUGCAACUUUAGAAGAGAUUGGAUAGAGCGAUGUUCCCGACCUAGGGCAUCGAAGAAGCUCCGUUCCUGUUUUCUUGUCCUUCAAAGAAAAACCAAAAGAGUCAAAUUCAAAAAAGGAAUUAUUGUCAUGACAGAAUUGACGCACUGAAAGUAAAUUUCUCUUAAUAAAAGUAACAACAAAAACAUUUUUAAGAGCAAAAGAGGUAGAAGAUGUACUCAAUUGAGUUUCACCUGUCUAAGUAAUAUUAAGUAAAUUUCCAUUACCAACUAGAAUUUUCUCAUGCCCAAUAUAAGGUUUGGAAGAAGAGAGAAUACUAGAAUUCGCAGUUAUGUGAUUAGACGCUCCAGUGUCUAGAUACCACACUUCCUCACUAGGUUCAUGAAGAUUCAUAGUAGCAAAAGUCUGAGGGACAUCAUCAACCACGAAUGAGUGAUUGAAGCGUUGUCUGCACUGAAGAGCAGAAUAGUUGUACUUUCCACAAAUAUGACAUUAUGUGCCAGACUUCGGAAAAUAAGGUUACUGAUUUGGAGUGUAAGGUUGAGGAGGAUUAUUAGGUGAAGGAAGUGGAUAGGUUCCAGGAGAUCCACGACCAGGAUAAGAAUUGUCUACCGCGCUGUCCUCGGCCUCCGCAAUGUCUUUCUCCACGGCCACCACAAUUACCACGUCCACGAUUUGCAUAAAAGGCUUCUCCGUCAACAGUGGUAGUAGAGGGCGUCGUUAAGCUAGUACGACAUUGGACUUCUGUUUCUUCUUGCAGCAAGAGUGGACGUAGUUGUUCAAAGGUAGGCUUACUUCUGUGUGUGUUUAGGGCACUAACAAAACCUCUGUAUUCUUCUGGUAGUCCUAGCAGAAUAGUCAUGACCAAAUUAUGGUCAGACUUAGUUUCACCAAUUGCCUGAAGAGCAUCACCAAUCGACUUGAUCUUCUGCAUGUAAUCACUCAUGCUCAUCGAGCUUUUCUUGAUGCUUUGUAAUUCGGGCUUUAGAGAGAAAGCCGUGGAAGCAAUUUUAUCAAGAAAAUAAGUUUCAAUGGUUUGUCAGGUAUCAUAUGCAAUUUUGGGUGAGCUAGAAAUUACCAUUUGUAAUAUACUAAAAGAUAGGGUAGCAUUGAUCCACGAAAGUAUAGUAGUAUCUUCUCUUUUCCAACUUAAAUAUUCAGGAUUUAUAACCAUCUUAUUAUUAGCAGUAUCGAUAGUCUGAGAAGGCACAACACUAGUUCCGUUCACAUGUGAUGUAACACCAAAACUUUCUAGAACAUUAAGAAAGACUUGUUUCCAUACAAGAUAUGUAGAAUUAGUGAGUUCUAGUGGUAUGAGAGUUCUGAUGCUAACAACUGGUAAAUUUGAGAUAGAAGAAGACAUGUCUGCCACCAAACUAGCUGUAUCAAACGCACAAGAGAUGAACCACUUAGCACCAAACAAGAACGGCCGCCCCAGGAAAAGGAUCGAGCGACACGAGCAACUAGUGAGCGGUACCAGAAGAGUAAAGAGGAUUCACAAAGAGGCUGAAAUUACUGUAGCAAAACUAAUGUAGCACUGGUACUGUAGUAGUACUGUAGUGCUGGUACUGUAGCAGUUCCGGAGAGAUAGAACACCAAAAAGAAAAGAACACCUAUGGCUCGGCCACUUCAAACAUAACUCGGCCCAACCUGCCCUCCCGCCUUUUCAAGUGACUCAGCCCAACCUGGCCUCCCGUCACAGGACAGGAUGCUGGCCUAUUUAAGCCAACAAUCCUUCCUCCAGCACCUACACACAUUCGCAGCAUGCGGGAAUUGAAUUCGUGACCUCUGGCUCUGAUACCAUUUGUCGGAUUUUUGGUGCUAACCAUUAAUCUCAAAAGCUCGAGCUAUUAAAAAUAUGCAACCAAUUUACUUAAAGCGUAUAAACACAUUGUGCAGGGGUCUCGAUUGUGACUCGGCUCAUCCAGCCUCGCACCACUUUAAACAUAACUCGGCCCAACUUGGCCUUUUGCCAUUUCGAACGUGACUUGGCCCAACUUGGCCUCCCGCCACUGGGCAGGAUGCUGGUCCAUUUAAGCCAACACAUUUAUGCCGAGGAAAGAUCAUAGGCUAGAGGAACCUGUGGAGGAGAGAGAAUAGCGCAAUAGAAAACUCAUUAAAUUUCAUCCAUGAAUAUUUGGUUCGAUGCUGAAGAAAAUGCAGAUUUUAUCUUGAGUACCUGUUUUUUGUUGAAGCAAACUAGUGGCUAUCAUGUCAGUAUAAAUAUUGUGUUACUAGCUUUUGCCAACUCUUGUAAAACUACAUUAUUCAUUUUGUGAUAAUCAGCAUGGUGGUUCCACUAAUGCUACUACAUCUUCUGAGAGCACAAAUUUCUAUUUUGAUGUCAACGUAGAUUGCUCCGAAGAGGCCUUGGAUAGGUAAAUUUUUUUUUCCUUUUGUUUUUUACACAGCAUUCCCUAAAGAUCAAGUUAAGGUGAAAGUUAUUCUUUGAUUUUUCACUUUCAGAUUUGCACAAUUCUUUAAUAAGCCGUUGAUGUCUGCCGAUGCCACUCUUAGGGAGAUAAAAGCUGUGGACUCUGGUCAGUAAUGCUGGUUUUUUAAAUUUUUCUCAUCUUGGAUUUCAUAGUUACUGUUCUGCAUAUUUUUUUGUCAAAUUUAGCUUUGUUUUCCUUUUUUCCUCCAGAGAACAAGAAGAACCUAUUGUCCGAUUCCUGCAGGAUGAUUCAGGUAAGUUUUCCAAAAUCGCAAGAGCCUAUUCAAUCAAACAUCUAAUUACUUUUAAUCGGCUUUUCUCAGUGCAAAUUAGCAUUUUAUUAUUAAUAUUGAGGAUCUCUACUCAACUAUGCAUAAUAAACUAUCUUGCAAAAAGUUAGUUGUGACAUUUAUUGUUGAUUGUAAAAUAACUCUUCUCAAAACUUACUCCCUCUUGUAAUUCUCAUCCUUACCAUUCUUGAGUAGUUGAUAUUGUUGAUUCCUCUUUCUCUUAUCCACUUUUACUCCCUCUCACUCUCUCUCUCUCUUCUGAUGGUGACACUGUAGUUUAAUUUCAGUCUUUGUAUCUCGAUCUUUUCAGCUUGAAAAGCAUCUCUCUUCAAAGGACCACCCAUAUCAUAAAUUCAGUACUGGUGAGUAAUCUUAUAAUCGACUAAUUAAUUGAUGUCCUCAUCACAAACUUGUUCCACACUAAUGUCUUUAUUUCCCUUUUAUUUUUUAUUUAUAAUAGGCUUUUUUGGGUCUGAAUGCAACUCAAAAGUAGUUUUAAGUAGUUUUAUGUCAGCAAAUGCGACUGCUUUAGUAAGAUGGGCAUUUUGCAACUUGCUUAAAAGUAGGAAAUAUGGCAAUGCCUCUAAGACCAUUCAUUGGUUAGAUUAGUUUUGGUUUUUCACCUUUACAAGAAAUCAUGAACACUAGUGUAGGGACCCGCGCGAUGCAGCGGGUAUAUAUUACUGGAGUUAAAAUUUCGUUAGUGAGAGCUACUCUUAGUUCUAACUACAAUAUUUUAAACAAAAAAAGUAAAAAUAAGUAUAAAAAAAUAAUAAGUUAUAUUUCUAUAUAAAGUGAGGCAUAGGAAGUUAUAGCAAGUGGUGUGCUUUUCAACUAAAUCUUUAUGAAAAAGAUACAGAUUACAUAAGGAGAAGAAGAAACAGCAGAAUACGUAAAAAGGAGGAGCAGUAAAUUGCUAGCAAAAGAAGAAGAAGAGAAAAUAAAAAGGGUAGAAGAUGCAGCAGAGAAGCAGUAGGCAACAACUCUUGCCAAUUGUUUUCAAAACUAUUCAUUUGCUCUACUACAUCUUUUUUCUAGAUAAAAUUCCGAGAUAUAUGCAAUUCAUCCACUCAGUCUAAGUAUUAAGGAAAAAAUAAUUUCUCAAACACAAACUUCCGAAAAAUUUGUUGAGUUCAGAUAUUUACGCUUUUCUCAAUAUUUUUCUGAAACAAAACAACUUUCUUUCUUGGUUGCAAUAGAUUGCUCUACUAUCUAACUUUCUAUCAUCAUUGCUCUUCUUUAUUUUAGCAGAUUCUCAAAAUGUGUGCCAGAAAAAGCAUGAAGAUCAAAUUCAAAUGUUUUUUUUAUCGUCACCAAUUUUUAUAUAGAUGUAAUAGAAGCAGCAUAAGUGGAAGAAGUAGCAACAACAGCAGCAGGAGUGUAACUCGAAAAAAUGAUGUAAAAAAAAACCAGGGUUAAAAACCGACUCGAAUUGUCGAAUCCGAUCGAUCAGAUCCCCAAAAUCAGCGAAUUGGAUUUGAUGCAAAAUUCUCCCGAGCGUUGCAAUUGGUCAAAAAAUUUUCAAUUGAUCUACCCAAUAUGGCCAAUCGAAUUGCCAUCCAACUGAUCGGAUGGUUCGAAGUAGAAUUAUGAAGCUGAUUCCGACUGGUCAGAUUUUCGAUCAAUUAGAUUGUUCAUAGAGGAGGCACCCCAACACUGUUCUCAUUUGUAAUAGAAGUUCAUUUGCCUGGCCUAUUCAUCCUAUAAUGUUGUUAAAACCUCUUAAUUCAUGUUAAUCAUAAAUAUAAUGUGAUAGUAUAUAUAUAAUUAUUUUGUUGUUAUUUUUUCUCUUAUAAGAUAAACAUCAAUGCAUUAUGCAGGAUAACAUAAUAGCAAUAGUGGUCCUCAGCAUGAAAGGCUCAUAGUGUGAAAAAUGGGAUGCUGGGUUGUGAGAGAACAUAGGCACAAUUGUUGGUGGAAAGUGACUCAAAGCCUUAUAAGACUCUUCAACCAUUCCCGAUACGCCAAUUGAGAUGAUGACCACAAACCAGUAUUAACAUCAUAAUUGCCACCGACUGUCCCUAGAGCAAGUGGUAAAGGGCUUGGUGGUUGGUACCCGAGACCUAAGUUCGAAUCCUAGUUGAUUCACAUUUCCAGCUAAGUUUGUUUCUAAAUGAAAUAAACGAAGCGGGUAGCGUGCGUGCUAUCUAUCUCUCAAAAAAAAAAAAAAAAAACAUCAUAAUUGCCACAUUACCCAACCAUUAACUAAUUGGGAAAGAAUUGGAAUACUGAUUCAACUCAGUUUGUUAGUUUUGAUAAUCGUCCUUCUUUGUAGAAGAAGAAUGAGCAAUAGAAAUUUUUUAAAAAAAUAAUAGAAGAAGAUUAAAAUAACAUAUUUUUUUUCAAAUUUUUAACUUAACCUUUAAGAAGAUUUACAAUACUUAAGAAGGGGAAGAAAUAGAAGAAUUGAUAGCGCAAAAAGAAGAAGAGAAAAAAUAAAAAGAGCUGAAGAUGCAAUGCUCUUCAUACAAAUCAACUUUAUUAACAUUCUUUUUUAUAAAUAAUAGUCAAACCAUUAUCUAAUUGCUGCAGAACAUUAUAAAAUACAUCAAAAUCUAUUACUUUUCUACAUAUUUGAAUACACAGGGUACAAAUUAGUUCAAAAUGCAUUCAUGUAGAGAGAGAGUGGGAUACCUGCGAGAAGAUUUUUCAACGAUUGAUGGUGAAACUUUUCAUGUUUCCAUGAUCCAAAUCUGAUAGUAACCUUCAACCCAAAAAAAGAAAAAUCCUUUUAUUUUAAAAGUUCUAACAUAGCGGAAAAACAUCAUUUGUUAUUUUGAAACUAAAAUAGGUAAAAAAAAAAAAAAAAAAGUCUAAACGUACCUUGAGCAAGCUAGGAAUAAUAAUAAUAAAAAAAAAUCUAAACAUAAUUAAUAAUAAUCAUAUUUUUUUUGAGGGUGUGAAAGUGUGAGAGAGCAGCACCUUCAUUGUCUCUAUCUUUGUCGCGCUCCCCCUCGCCUGCCGGGCCCUACGCACUUUCGUCAUCGUCGACACCGACGCCCUCGCUGUUACCUCAUCGCCGUGCACUACCCCACCCACCCUCCAUCGGCCACGUCAUUAUGUGGAAUCGAACUUGAUCUCAACAAAGCCGAAGGCUUCAUACUGUGCCUCCGUGCAAGCACCACCAUGGUGGCCUUCGAGUGCGCCGAGUCGUUAGAGAAGAUGAAUCGUGGGUGAGGUCGAAGAUGGGAGGGACCUUCAACACAGUAGGGGUCAUCAAAUACAGUGGAGUGGAGGAAGCGCUGGAAAGGGUAGAUGGAACAACAAUGCAUCUAGCCCUGUUUUCUGUCGAGAGGGGCUUCAGUUUCAGAAAACGAAUAAACGGCUCGAGAAGAGGAAAAGCCCAUUUCAAAAAAGAAGAUUAAUAGUCAAAAAAAAAAAAUGAAGAAGAGUAACAGUCAAAAAAAAUAAAUGAAGAAAUGGCUCAAGAAAAGAAAAAGUCCAAUUCAAAAGAGAAGAGUAACAAGUCAAAAAAAGAAGGAAAGCAAGCAUAAAAAAACCCACAUCCUACUAUGAAGGUUGGGCUGCCACGUGGAUUAGUUUUUGAGGUUUAAUAUAGGGUUAUAGAUGAGCAAACUUAUGAUCAACAUAAUGUAUUUAGAUAAACAAUGCUGAAUAUGAUAGAAUAUCUCCAUUGAUGAUUUUCUUUUGUCUUAUAGUAUUUGCAAGUGUUGGGAUAUUGUCAUGCCCCGGCACUGAAGCCCUACUAGGAGCACACACAAACUUGCCGCACGGACAUAAUUUCCCUUAUAUAUGCACAGAGUUGAAGUGCAAAGCAUCCGGCAAUUUUCAUGAUUUGCAAAGAAAACAACCUUGGAAUGUAAACUUUAAAGCAAUACCAUGAGUGUUCACAAAAGCCAUCAAGUUUCCAAUAUACACAAGUCCAACUAUAGAGUUUAGAAUAUCAAUGUAACAAUUAACCAAAAAACAUCUAAACUAUUAAAAUUUACACGAGUCCCAACUACAGAGUUUUGAAGAAGAGAAUACAAAGAGAAUACAAAUUCUUCUUAUUCAUUCAAUAAUGAAUUACAAAGAUAUAUAUACAUAAAUAUUCCUAUAAUAAGAUAUUUAAUAAGGAAAGAUCUCUAAAGAAAGAUGCCUAAAACUAUGCUAGCUAAAUAGGAACAUAAUAUAUACAAUUUUGACUUUCCAUAACAUUUUGACUUUCCAUAACACUCCCCCUCAAGUUGGAGCAUAGAUAUUAAUCAUGCCCAACUUGUUACAAAUGUAGUCAACCCGAGCUCCAUUCAAAGCUUUUGUGAAGAUAUCCCCCAACUGGUCUCCAGUCUUGAUAUACCCUGUUGAAAUGAUCUUAUGUUGUAUCUUUUCACGAAUAAAGUGACAAUCAAUCUCAAUAUGUUUAGUUCACUCAUGAAAUACAAGAUUAUAGGCAAUAUGGAGAGUAGCUUGAUUAUCACACCAUAAUUUAAUGGGUUGUGGAUUCUUAAGACCAACCUCAUCCAAUAAUUGUUGUAUCCACAUUACUUCACACACAGAUUGUGCCAUAGCCCUGUAUUCCGAUUCAGCACUUGAACGGGAGACAACACUGCUUCUUACUUCUCCACGACACCAAGUUACCUCCAACAAAAACACAAUAUCCUGUAGUCGAUCUCCUAUCAACAUUUGAACCCGCCCAAUCUGCAUCUGAAAAGCAUUCAAUAUUUGAAUGUCCAUGGUUCUUGUACAAGAUACCACGCCCUGGAGCUCCCUUCAGAUAACACAAAAUUUGUCCCAAAGCUUCCCAAUGAGUAACAGUUGGAGAAGACAUAAACUGACUUAAUACACUGACGGAGUAUGCAAUAUCUGGUCGAGUCACUGUAAGAUAGUUCAAUUUGCCAACUAAUCUCCUAUGCCUCUCUGGAUCUUCAAACAAUUCAUCAUCAUUAGCUGUAAGUUGGAGAUUAGGAGCCAUUGGUGCACUGCAAGGUUUAGCUCCUAAUUUUCCUGUUUCUGUUAAUAAGUCAAGCACAUAUUUCUGUGAGAUAAGAAGAUGCCUCUUUUGCAUCUUGUAACUUCAAUACCCAAAAAAUACUUCAACAUCCCCAAGUCCUUUGUCUGAAACUGGGUUUGAAGAAAAAUCUUGAGAGAUGAGAUUCCUGCAGUAUCAUUCCCAGUGAUGAUAAUAUCAUCCACAUACACUACUAAUAGAAUUAUACCAGUCUCAGAAUGUCUAUAAAAUACAGAAUGAUCACACUUACUCUUCUUCAUGCCAAACUCCUAAACUACUUCACUGAAUCUGCCAAAGCAAGCUCAAGGACUUUGCUUCAAGCCAUAUAAAGAUUUCCGAAGUCUACAAACUCGACCUAACUUCCCUUGAGCAACAAAACCAGGUGGUUGCUCCAUAUAUACCUCUUCAUGAAGAUCACUAUGGAGAAAAGCAUUUCUAAUAUCCAGCUGGUGUAAAACCCAAUAAGAGGUGGCCGCCAACGAAAUAAAUAAGCGAACAGAAGCAAGUUUAGCCACAGGAGAAAAAGUGUCGGAAUAAUCAACCCCAUAAGUCUGAGCAUAGCCUUUGGCAACAAGGCGGGCUUUGAGGCGAGCUACAGAACCAUCUGGAUUCAUUUUCACAGUAAAUACCCAUUUGCAACCAAUAGCUCGCUUAUCGGCAGGUAAGGGUACCGGUUCCCAAGUACUAUUAGCGUCUAAAGCCAUCAUUUCCUCUUCCAUUGCAGCACGCCAGCCAGGAUGAGACAAAGCUUCCACAACAGAUUUAGGAACAGAAACUGACUUUAGAGAGGUAAUGAAACAACGAGAACAGGAUGACAAACAGUCAUAAGAAACAAAUGAUGAAAUAGGGUAAGUACACGUAUGUUUGCCUUUGCGAAGAGCAAUGGGAAGAUCAGAGUCAGAAGCAAGGUCGGUGAUAGUAGUGACUGGAUCUUCCGACGAAGAAGCUGUCAUAUGGUCUGUAGCAUCAGAAUGGUCGGUGAUAGUACACGUAUGUUACUCUAGUGGGAAGUAACAGUAGAAGAUGCUAUAUGAGACUGAAAGACAGAUUAAAGACUAGAGUUACCUGUCAUAUGGUCUGUAGCAUCAGAAUCAAUGACCCAUUUAGAAUGGGAAGACACAAGGCAUGAUGUGGAUUUACCUGACUCGGCGAGUGCAGUGACAGGGGAACUGGUGGACUUUAAGGAUGCCUGAUAUUGGGAGAACUGUGCAAAUUCUUCAGCAGACACCAAAACAGUUUUAUCUGAGGAUGGGGUUGUAUACUCCCCGGUUGCCAUGUUGGCCAUCUGAGAUCGUUGGUUCUUAUUUUGAAGUUUCAAACAUGUGCGCUUUGUAUGACCAGGUUCAUGACAGUAAUAGCAAACAACUCCAAAAUCUCGAUUAGAGGUAGUCUCUCCAUGACGGUGAUUACCUCUAUUGGCAAUAAUCCCUCUAUUGACCCCUCUACUAUUAUGCCGUCCAUUAUCAUUGCGACUCACAAGUGCGCUAUUAGUAGAUUGAGAAAAUUGAGGAGUCUCCGUACGAAGUACUCAGGUGAAAGUAUCAUGGAAAGAGGAAAUCUCAGAGCUAGAAAGAAUCUGAGAUUUAGUUGUCUCAAAUUCUGGGGGUAAACCAGCAAGAAAACUCAUAACCGCCAUUUGCUCGCGUUGAACCUGCUGCACUUUUACAUCAGGACUAAAGGGUAACAAAACAUUAAGCUCUUCAUACAUUGUUUAAUGUCAAGGAGUGAUCCUCGAAAUCCGAGGAUUAGACUUCGGUUUGGAAUCGACUGUUCGUUGAGUGCGCGUAGGCUUCGGAAAGUCCGAAGGUGAUUAUAAUGCAUAAAGUGCAUUAAAGGAAGUCGGAGAAGAACCUCGCUUUUGAUGUUAUCCCGCCAAACACCCCUAGGGCUGGAGAUAGAAGCGACUGGACCUCGAAGUGGUCGCUCCCGAGAUUCCGGCUCAGGCCUGGGAUGGCGCUCGUUAUUCAACGAACCUUAUUGGAGAGGUAUCAAGAAAUUGCAACCGCAGAUUCGAAUCUCCAAAAAGGUGCGGCGCAACAUCGAGGCAAGGAACGAGAUGGCGAUUUCAGUGUGGACGCCAGUGGCGCGCUCCGGUUUUCGAAACGGUGGUGCGUCCGCCCCGAGAAUGAAGAGCUUCGCGAGCUCGAUCUUGCCGGAAGCCCAACCGGUCUCCCAUAUCGCGGAUCACCGGCGGCACCAGAUGUAUCAUUGAGUUGAGAGCCUACUAUUGGUGCCGGGGGAUGAAGGUGAUAUUGGGCGCUUCGUGGCAAGAUGCUUGACUUGUCAGCAAGUAAAGGAGGAAGCGCCGGUUCUCCAGCGAGGAAGCUUCAAAGCCUACCUAUUCCCGUAUGAAAAUGGGAGAUAUAUUCUAUGGAUUUCAUCGUUGGCUUACCUCGCUCGACAGGGGACACGAUGCGAUCUGGUGAUUGUGGACGCACUUGACAAAGUCAGCGCACUUUUACCGAUCCACACCACCUGGGCGGGAGAUAAAGUUGGCGCAGUAUAUCUUGGACGAAGUAGUGAGGUUACACGGGGUGCGAAAUCGAUUGUGCUCGGAUAGAGACCCCAAGUUCACUUCAUAUUUCUGGAGAAGCCUACGGGGGCCCUUGGCACACGCGAUUGAUUUCGGUACUGCAUUUCAAUCCCCGACAGGACGGACACAACCGGAAAGAAACCAUUCAGACUCUGGAGGAUAUGUUGCGACGCGUGUGUCAUCGAUUACAAAGGAGGUUGGUGUAGGUAUUUGCCAAUGGCCGAGUUCGCCUACAACAACAGUUAUCACGCUAGUGUGGAGAUGGCACCGUUCGAAGCUCUUUAUGGGCGGAAGUGCCGCUCUCCCAUUUAUUGGAGUGACGUGGGCGAGCGCACGGAAUUUGGCCCUGAGGUGCUGCGGGAGGCGGAAGAAAAGGUCCGCCUUGCUCGCAAACGAUUACUCACGGCGCAGUCUCGACAACAAAGCUAUGCGGAUAGGCGCCGACGAGAUUUAGAGUUUGCGGCGGGAGACCGCGUCUUCUUGAAGGUCUCGCCUAUGAGGGGUGUAAGGCGAUUUGGAGUUCGGGAAAAAUUGAGCCCCCGAUAUAUUGGCCCCUAUGAGAUCUUGGAGCGGAUUGGGACGGUGGCUUAUCAGCUCGCGUUGCCGCCGAAGCUAGCGGAUGUGCACAAUAUUUUCCACGUCUCCAAUCUACGCAAAUACAUUCCUGACCCCGAACACGCGAUGUUAUACGAGCCGUCGGAACUUCAGGAGGACCUGAGCUACGAGGAAUUCCCAGUGGCAAUUACCGCUCGUGAAGUGCGCAAGUUAAGGAAUCGGAAAAUUUCUUAUGUCCGAGUCCGGUGGAGCAAUCACGAUGAUCGCGAAGCCACCUGGGAGCUCGAGGAGGAAAUGAAGGCGAAUCACCCUCGCCUGUUCGAAGGUUAAAUCGAGGUAUGAGUUUAGAAUUUGGAAUUCUAGAUAAGUCUUGUAGUAUUGAGUUCGUUUCGAGGACGAAACUCUUUUAAGGUGGGAAGGAUGUAAGGAAGUGAAUCAUCGAAAUCCGAGGAUUAGACUUCGGUUUGGAAUCGACUGUUCGUCGAGUGCGUAGGCUUCGGAAAGUCCGAAGGUGAUUAUAAUGCAUAAAGUGCAUUAAGGAAAGGUCCGCGGGAGCAUCAGUGCAAAAUCUGCACUGGAGCAGAAUUGCUCUCGGGGACCGGUCCCUGGCAGGGAGGGACCGGUUCUAUCAGGCUGGGCUGCGGAGGUCUCUGAUGAGACCGGUCCCUGGCAGGCAGGGACCGGUUCCCGAACGUCAGCCCGGCGAGAAUAGCCAAAAUUUGGCUAAGUCCCGAGAAUCCAACUUUCGGGAACCGGUCUCUCGGACAAGGACCGGUCUGUCAGGCAAGGACCGGUUCCCGAACGCGAAAAUCCCUCUGCCCGAGAUGGCAGCCUUCGGGGACCGGUCUCCCCGAGCUGGGACCGGUCCCUCACUGCGAAAAUGCCCAAAGAGGGCUGGUUUGAAGGAUGAAAAGUUGAGGGGGCUAUCUGCAAAAUGGCCUUUAAUAGAGGUGGGGGACCCCUCUCUUUCCCUCAUUGCUCUCUAACUCUCUCACUCUUUCCCUCUCUCUCUCUAGAAAGAAAAGAAAGAGAAGAAGAAGAAGAAGAAGAAGAGAAAAGAGAAGGAGAAGAUCAAGAAGAAGGAGAAGAUCAUCUUCUUCCCUCUCUCCUUCAAGCUAGGGCAAGCUUGGAGCUUGGCUUAGAGGUAAGCUCCAAACCCACUCAUGGUAGAUUUCUUAGGAUUGGGUUUUAUUGCUUACAAUUGGUUCAAAUGGAACCUAGAGGAGAUGAAUAGGUGGUUCGGGCUUGCAAUCGAAGCUUGCACCACGGAUUUCCCCCUCGUUGCCAUUCUAGGGCACGGAUUCGGGAUUUUUGGAAAUCGAGGGUCUUGAUCUAUUCUAAUAGGUCGCAAAUCUAAUUGCUAGGUCCCGGAACGCGUCGGCGAAGUCGGUUUUUCGAUCCGACGAGCNNNNNNNNNNNNNNNNNNNNNNNNNAUUGCAACGACCCGACCCGCUAGCAAUAAUAACUCGUUGGGCCAAACCACUGGCCCAAAAUGCUUAAGCUCAGUUAUUACUAUUAGCGUGUAGGUCUCAUAUAAGCUGAUCGGAAUCAGUAUCCCAUCCAAUGUAGGACUAUUGGGGGUGUUACAAACUCCCCCUGUUUAGACCCUAACGUUCUCGUCGGGUCCAAACCAGAUCACAGACAGACAGACCAGGACCAUUACCAGGCGAUGUGAGAUUCUAGAGGUGGCUCCUAUGGGUUCAAGAGGUGGCUCCCACCAAACCCGUUGGUGUAGCACUUUGUCCCGCAUAGCACUUAGUUCUCACACUUCCGGUUGGUAUUCGGCCCUGAUACCAAUUGCAACGACCCGACCCGCUAGCAAUAAUAACUCGUUGGGCCAAACCACUGGCCCAAAAUGCUUAAGCCCAGUUAUUACUAUUAGCGUGUAGGUCUCAUAUAAACUGAUCGAAAUCAGUAUCCCAUCCGAUGUGGGACUAUUGGGGCGUUACAAACUCCCCCUGUNUGUCGAUUCUUGCAUCUUGUAUUAUUGCAUUAUAGGAUGAUUGUGCAUUGCCUUUCCUUAUGCUUUCCUUGAUGAUAUCGUAGCAUGUAUUGGAUACUUGAUAUAGUGGAUCGAUAAGGAUUGGGUCGAGAUUGUGAAUCCUAUAGUGCAGAGAAAAUGAUGGGCUCAAUGGUUGGUCUAAUGAUGAACAAAGAACGGGUGGCAUCUAGUCAAUAGUAAACCAUGAACGAGUGGCAUUUAGUUGAUAGUAAGCAAAAGAACAAAUGACACAUAUGACCGUAUCGUUUUGGGUUUCCAGAAAUGUACGACUUGGCACUGGAAGCCUCCGCCGCUCAUCUGUUUCCUUCGAACAUCUGAGGCAACAAAGGCAGCUAGCCAACAAGGCUCUGGGACAAUUUUCAGGGUAUUCACACAGCCGCAAGUGAAUCCCAACUCAAGAAACGCGUUCCGCCGGCAGUUUUGCUGGAAAAUGCCUCGAAACCAAUUUUCGGUUUCAUGAGGACUUCAGAGACUUGGACAAUCAGUCCCAGGGGGUCACAGUCGGUGGCUUCACGCUGCCCGAGGCAGCCUAUGCUGUCACAAUUGAGUAGAAGCCCCUAUACUACCAAUAAUUGCAUAAUAUAUACAUAAAAACAGUGUUUCAAGGCCGUUACUGAAAACCGUGCAACUUCGAGACCGAGGGUACCAGCGGGUAGGUCUUGAUGCAACAAACCCUGUGCUCGCUGUCCGAAGCACAAACGAUGGCCGAGGAGCGCGCCGGGUCGACGAGAGCUCUGACUAAAACUCCACUGGGAGCGACACGGUUGUUUCUGCCAACCAGAGCCUCUUCGACAGCAACUAGGGUGAGCACUGUGAUGUAACACCCCCAAUAGUCCCACAUUGGAUGGGAUACUGAUUCCGAUCAGCUUAUAUGAGACCUACACGCUAAUAGUAAUAACUGGGCUUAAGCAUUUUGGGCCAGUGGUUUGGCCCAACGAGUUAUUAUUGCUAGCGGGUCGGGUCGUUGCAAUUGGUAUCAGAGCCGAAUACCAGCCGGAAGUGUGAGAACUAAGUGCUAUACGGGACAAAGUGCUACACCAACGGGUUUGGUGGGAGCCACCUCUUGAACCCGUAGGAGCCACCUCUAGAAUCUCACAUCGCCUGGUAAUGGUCCUGGUCUAUCUGUCUGUGAUCUAGUUUGGACCCGACGAGUACGCCAGGGUCUAAACAGGGGGAGUUUGUAACACCCCCAAUAGUCCCACAUUGGAUGGGAUACUGAUUCCGAUCAGCUUAUAUGAGACCUACACGCUAAUAGUAAUAACUGGGCUUAAACAUUUUGGGCCAGUGGUUUGGCCCAACGAGUUAUUAUUGCUAGCGGGGUCGGGUCGUUGCAAUUGGUAUUAGAGCCGAAUACCAGCCGGAAGUGUGAGAACUAGUAUGCUAUGCGGGACAAAGUGCUACACCAACGGGUUUGGUGGGAGCCACCUCUUGAACCGUGUAGUCCUGGUCUUUCUGUCUGUGAUCUGGUUUGGACCCGACGAGGACGUCAGGGUCUAAAUAGGGGGAGUUUGUAACCCCCAAUAGUCCCAAUUGGAUGGGAUACUGAUUCCGAUCACUUAUAUGAGACUACACGCUAAUAGUAAUAACUGGGCUUAAGCAUUUUGGGCCAGUGGUUUGCCCAACGAGUUAUAUUUGCACGACCCGACCCGCUAGCAAUAAUAACUCGUUGGCCAAACCACUGCCCAAAAUGCUUAAGCUCAGUUAUUACUAUUAGCGUGUAGGUCUCAUAUAAGUGAUCGAAUCAGUAUCCCUCCAAUGUAGGACUAUUGGGGUGUUACAAACUCCCCCUGUUUAGACCAACGUUCUCGUCGGGUCCAAACCAAUCACAGACAGACAGACCAGGACCAUUACCAGGCGAUGUGAGAUUCUAGAGGUGGCUCCUUAUGGGUUCAAGAGGUGGCUCCCACCAAACCCGUUGGUGUAGCACUUUUCCGCAUAGCACUUAGUUCUCACACUUCCGGUUGGUAUUCGGCCCUGAUACCAAUUGCAACGACCCGACCCGCUAGCAAUAAUAACUCGUUGGGCCAAACCACUGGCCCAAAAUGCUUAAGCCAGUUAUUACUAUUAGCGUGUAGGUCUCAUAUAAACUGAUCGAAAUCAGUAUCCCAUCGAUGUGGGACUAUUGGGGCGUUCAAACUCCCCGUUUAGACCCUGGACGUCCUCUUCGGGUCCAAACCACAUCACAGACAGACAGACCAGGACCAUUACCAAGCGAUGUGAGAUUCUAGAGGUGGCCCUACGGGUUCAAGAGGGUGGCUCCGCCAAACCCGUUGGUGUAGCACUUGUCCCGCAUAGCACUUAGUUCUCACACUUCCGGCUGGUAUUCGGCUCUGAUACCAAUUGCAACGACCGACCCGCUAGCAUAAUAACUCAUUGGGCCAAACCACUGGCCCAAGUUAUUACUAUUAGCGUGUAGGUCUCAUAUAAACUGAUCGAAAUCAGUAUCCCAUCCGAUGUGGGACUAUUGUGGCGUUACAAACUCCCCCUGUUUAGACCCUGACGUCCUCUUCGGGUCCAAACCCCAUCACAGACAGACAGACCAGGACCAUUACCAAGCGAUGUGAGAUUCUAGAGGUGGCUCCUACGGGUUCAAGAGGUGGCUCCCACCAACCCGGUGGCUCCACCAAACCCGUUGGUGUAGCAUUUGUCCCGCAUAGCACUUAGUUCUCACACUUCCGGCUGGUAUUCGGCUUCUGAUACCAAUUGCAACGACCCGACCCCGCUAGCAACAAUAACUCGUUGGGCCCAAACCACUGGCCAAAAUGCUUAAGCCCAGUUGUUCUUAUUAGCGUGUAGGUCUCAUAUAAACUGAUCGAAAUCAGUAUCCCAUCCGAUGUGGGACUAUUGGGGCGUUACAAACUCCCCCUGUUUAGACCCUGACGUCCUCUUCGGGUCCAAACCACAUCACAGACAGACAGACCAGGACCAUUACCAAGCGAUGUGAGAUUCUAGAGGUGGCUCCUACGGGUUCAAGAGGUGGCUCCCGCCAAACCCGUUGGUGUAGCACUUUGUCCCGCAUAGCACUUAGUUCUCACACUUCCGGCUGGUAUUCGGCUCUGAUACCAAUUGCAACGACCCGACCCGCUAACAACAAUAAUUUGUCCCAAAAUGCUUAAGCCUAGUUAUUAUUACUAGCGUCUAAGUCUCUUAUAAACCCAAUGACAAUCCAUUCCCAUCCGAUGUGGGAUUAUUGGGGUGUCACAUGUGAUCAAUGGCACAUCAGGGUCACUAUGCUUACUUUUGGAGAGUUAAUGGCCUCUUGGAAUGCCGGAAUAGAAAGAUCGGUCCAGUUCAGCCCUAGAUCGGGCUUGGUAGGGAGCAAUCUUGCUCGGGCCAAACUCCUGCAGCACCGCGGCACGCUUGUCGGCAAGGGUCAGGUGCACUCGACAAGGGGGGUGGCGAUAAGGGGUCCUCCGGGAUUGACGGGAGGCGAUGACAGCGGCAACGGCGAGAGGCGGCGCAAAGAGUGCGGCUGCCUUAGCCCGAAACUGCAUCAAAAUUGGGUGCUGCGGCCGCGGCGGCGCUUGGUGGCGCCUGGGGUUGCCGGAGCAAGGUCGCCGGAGCCCUGGGGGAUGGGACGUCUCCAAGGGGCGCGGCCUUCCUCAGGUGUCUUCGGUUCGGAAAUGGGGUGAGAUGGAGAGGAGAUAGAUUGAGGGAGAGGGAGGAGAUGGGUAGCCGUGGUUUGGCCGGCUGGGCUACGGUCGCUGACGGUUGGGGGUGGGUGCGACACAAGCAGAGGGUGAGGAAGGGGCGGGUAGGGUUCGAAGAAGGUGAGGGGAAAGGGUUUCAUUUAGAGAAGAAACCCUUGGUGCUCCAUUAUGUAAUUUGGGAUAAAUUGCGCAUAACUCCACCAAACUUCAAUAUUUUUUCCCAAGUCCCUCACUGCACGUGUAAAACGCGCAAAGGCACCUCCACAUGCGAUUUCACGCAAUUUGGUACAUAAAAUAUUGGGAGUUUUUCAAAAACAUCAAUUUCCCAAUAUUGCCCUCUCCUCGGAAAAUGCAAAAUUUCGGACGACACGCUCGUCGGAUUUGCAAAUGGAUUGCACUAGCACCUCCGGCACUGCCAGACCAUCAGAUCUACAUUUUCGUUUCGCCUGAAUCAGUUGUCGAUUCGCGAAGAACCCAUCCCCUCUCGCCUCUCUCUAUAUAAUAUAUAUAUAAUUCAAAUUCAAAUUUAAAUUCAAUUCAUAUUUCCUUCAAAUUAAAAAUCUUGGAUAUUACAUGCGCGGUGGUUAGGCCCAAGAGGUUAAGAAGGUUAAGUAUGCUAAAACUGGAGUAGUUUUAGAAUGGGUGACGCCCCGGAAAGAGAGUUAAGUGUGAUAGGACUAGAGUAGUCCUAGGAUGGGUGACCCUCUGGGAAUUAGGGCGUCACAACAUGCUUCUAACUCCUAAGGCUUGCCAUAGGAUGGGAUCAUGUCACACACCAAACCUGAUACAUAAAAGACACCGCAUACCUACCAUUUUUUAAUUACAAACAUGCAAGACAACAAAAUAUGUAGAUAUCGAUAAAAAAUUUUCUACUUGAGAUCAAAUUGAAAUCCAAAGAGAACUUCAAUAAUCGAUUAUCCACAAAACUAAAAUCCAUAGGGCUUUUUUUGCAUAUUGCCCCAUGGCAAAUUUUUAUUUUAAAAAUAGCCUUAAAAUUUAAUUUGUAAAAAUGGCCCUGCGCCUGCCACGCAGGCGCCACAUCAGCGCCACACGGGCGGGGCCAGGGCCAAUGUGUUAAGUUAAACACGGUGAACCAUUCACCGUGUUUAGACAUGGUGAAUGGUUCACCAUGUUUACUACGUAUAUUUUAUAUGUUGAAAAGAGGAAUAAGGAGUAGGGAUGUCAAUAGGUAUGGAUAUCCGAAAUAUUAUCCGAGCCCAAACUCGAAUAAAUUAUAUAUAUAUAUAUAUAUACACAUAAUUUAAUUUUAUUUAUUUAUACAAUAUAUAAAAUAUUUAACCGUUCCUUAGAUCUUCAUCCAGCGGUUAAAUAUUUUAUAUAUUGUAUAAAUAAAUAAAAAUAAAUUAUGUAUAUAUAUAUAUAUAUAUACACAUAAUUUAAUUUUAUUUAUUUAUACAAUAUAUAAAAUAUUUAACCGUUCCUUAGAUCUUCAUCCAGCGGUUAAAUAUUUUAUAUAUUGUAUAAAUAAAUAAAAAUAAAUUAUGUAUAUAUAUAUAUAUAAUUUAUUCGGGUUUGGGCUCGGAUAAUAUUUCGGAUAUCCAUACCUAUUGACAUCCCUACUCCAUAUUUCUCCUUUUAACAUACAAAAUAUACAUACUAAACACGGUGAACCAUUCACCGUGUCUAAACACGAUGAAUGAUUCACCGUGUUUAACUUAACACAUUGGCCCUGGCCCUGCCCGUGUGGUGCUGACGUGGCGCCUGCGUGGCAGGCCCAGGGCUAUUUUUGCAAAUUAAAUUUUGACGGGGCUAUUUUUAAAAUAAAAAUUUGUUAGGGGGCUAAAUGCAAAAAAAGCCCAAAAUCCAUAACUAGAAGUUUCACAAUACUCAAAUUUUUUAAAUUCAUGAAAAAUUUCAACAAUUCUAAAUUAAACAAGUAACUUCUAUUUCAGUCAGAUGUUAAAUUUCAAAGCUAUCUAAACUAUAUAAAUUUAUUAACGGAAGUCCAAAACAAAUCAGCGUCUCAGCAACUAGCUAUCACUCAAUCCCAUCCUCUACAAGAUGAUCAGACAUAGUACCUAGGUGGGCAACUAUUUAUUACAUUAGUCGGAUUAAGCUUGGAAAACAAAAUAUGUUCUAAAUAUUCAAAUGUAAUUUUGUUACUAAAAAUAUAAUAACGAUGAUAGGGUUUAGCAAAAUUUCACAAAUCUCAUUUCAAAAUUUCAAGUCUUAAAACGAUCAUCUUAUACAAAAAUAAGAAGAGGAAUGGACUCCGAUAACUAGCGACCCAUUGGCAAAGAUCGUCAGCACACAUUAGAAGCACCCAAAGGCGUGAUCACAAAGCAAAAGCACCUGAAGGUAUUCCUAAAUAGCUCCCAAAGGCCCGCCCAAAAAAAAACAAAUGAAGACACGACACAAAAUUGCACUUAGAGGUGCAUUACAAAAUCAAAGCUAACUUCUAUUACAAAAUUCAAGCUAACUUCUAUUACAAAAUUUGUGUCGACAUGGCCAACAUCAUUAUAACAAUACCACAAGAGAUCACAAUUUCAAAAUAUUAUUUACCUAUUCAACAAUUUCAACGAAAACAAAUAAUUGAAUACUUUACCAAAUAGGCACAAUUUUCAAAGUACACAUUUUAAAAUUACUCAAUGAUUGAACAAAUCAUUUCACAAAUCCUUCAUUUUCGAUGAUUUAUAGUCUAUACAAACAUGCUCAAUCCUUAUUUUUGAAAAAAAGUAAGCCAAAAAGGUUUUUUUUCAUCAUAACUCAUCUUUAUAGUUUUAUCGAUAAUAAACUAACAGGAGUUAGGUCACUUAUUAUCAUGCCCUAGGCCAUAGCGGCUCGGACGCGUGAACAGAUUCGCUGUAUGUACGAGGACACACCCCACACAUAUGAAACGACUAAAAACAACUUGUACAACAAACAACAAGUCUUAAGAGAUUACAACUAGCAAGUAUCAAAGUCAAUAAAUAAACAAUUAAACAGAUAUAAUAAUCCAUGUACAAGUGUGUAUCCACAACUAUACAUCCAUACAUCUCCCAAAAAGUACAAUAUGCGAAACUUUGGCCUCGCCAAUCCAAAUGUAAAGUCUGCUACACGAGCUAGGGGUCCUCCUCUAUGCCACACAACCAGGGUAGAAGAUGCUAUCUACCUCGCAUCCCCUUACCCCGGCAAGAAGUAGAUGUUGAGGAUUCUGAAGUAGAAAAACAACAAAAUGGAGGGCAUGAGAACUACUGAAUAGUAGUCUCCAUUGGAUACAGUCAACGACAACGAUGACCUACACUACUAGGUCUACUAGAGGAAAUAAUAGAGAAUGACCCGAGUACAAUAGGAUAUAACUGAACCGAUAAUAAUACUAUCUAUCAUGCCUUUACAACAAAUAUUGGAAAGUGGUAAAUGACCAUCUCAUGCAUCAACUAAAUAAAGUAUGCAAUAUAACCCAAUCAUAUAUUGACCGACUCGGUAGUCCAAUCAAGCCGGCGCAGACUUAUUUCCAACACCUAUCUAUAGUGGCCCGCUACCAUGCGGGAUAAUGUCUUUGUCUCAAUCUCAGCCAAUCUCCGGAGUGGCACUCUGUGGGCACAGCUCUAAUUGAGUAUAAUAACAUCUCAAACUAUUUAGUUCGAUGUGGCUAGCAGGCUAUAGUUAUGAUGCGAUGAUCAACUAGAUCAUGAAGGAUGCUGUCCCAAUGCGCUUGGCACAAACACAUUAUAUCUCAUUAUAACCAUCGGCUACUAGCUCUUAGGGCAUAUUGAUAGUUGACAUACCAGUAUAAAAUUAACAUGUACCUAUAUCAUGCUCUCAAACACCAAUAUAAAAUUAACAUGUACCUGUAUCACGCUUAAUGAUGGUCUUAAGAGAAGCAAUCUUCUCUUCCAGUUCUUUGUGAGUGACCUUCUUCGUUUGAUUUGCUGUAGCCGACUGUUUUAUUUUUCUGUUCAGCCACGGCACGGGGUUUGAACCGCCCGCUUCGUCAUCGCUCUUUAUGGGCGGAUAAGGCGGCCGCUGCACAGGCUGCCUCCACGUAUUCGACCUUAUCUCAUUCGUUUCUUCCCAUUGGUUUCUUGCCUCAGCUUGUAUUCUUUGUUUGCGCCGUUUUUGUGUCUUCAUUAACAUCGGCCCAUGCCACCUGGCUGGGGCCUUUGCCAUGACCUGCUGGUCGGUUGGCACGUUGGCUAGUAUCUUCACUGUCGUGAGGUGCUCCCUCAGGAUUUCUCUCCUCUCCCAGGGUCUCGGCCAUGACUGAAUGCCGAGUUCGUUCACUAGACUCCGACGGAGGAAUUCUAUACUCCCUCGGUCAUUCCCUUAAACUCUAGUUUGGGUCUCGUUCUAGGCAGCUGGUGUCACGCCCCAAUUCCCGCCAAUUUGGUCGGGUUCGAGUCACGUCAACAGACGCCGAACGGACAGCAUCUCCCCUGUCCGCCCAAGGCUCUAACAACAAGUAUAAUUAAGCAAACAACAAAGAGAUUUUGCAAUUAUACAAGGCUUGCACGAGGGCAAGCAACAACGGAAGCAAAAGCUCUAAUCUAAAAUAUACAACCAUACAUGAUAUUUGAUUACAUUUCAACCAAAUACAAGUAAACUACAACUAUUAUAUUCUUUUUCCAUUCAACCAUAAUUUUUUACAUUUUUGUCAUUCUCCAAAAUAUAUGAUAUGUUUUCAACUUUACAAUUCUAAAUCAACAAAAUAAAAGUUGAUACAUAUAGGCAAAAGGAAUGACUAAUGCAUAAGUCCGGUGGCCACUAGCUAUGGCGCAAUACCCUUGCCUCCGUCCUCCGCCGCCCAGCUCGUGCUCGGACCUGUAGGGUUAGUGGUGUGAGAACUACAACGAAGUUCCCAGUGGGUUUGGCAACCGACCUCGCCGACUUACCCACUAGGUCUAAUUCAGGCAUAAGUAUUUCAAAGGAAAGAAAAUAGUAACCAUACUUGUAAUAUACCGAAAAUUCGGAAAAUAAAUAUCGAACUUUAGUCAAAUUGACCAAAGUGCGAGGACGGUACACUUCGGAAAGUCCGAAGGUGUUAAAAUGAGUAAAAGUGAGUUACGGGAGGUUUUCGAGAGCUAUAGAAUCAAAUUUGCAAAACUGCAGAUUUUGAGCUCUCGGGGACCGGUCCCUGGUGGGAGAGACCGGUCCCCGAACGCGUAUGGAAUGAGAUUGCCGAAAAAUCGGCUAAGUCCCUGAGACCAGCUCUUGGGAACCGGUCCCUCCCCGAGAGACCGGUCCCCCAGAGACCGGUCUCCUCAAAGAGAGACCGGUCGCAUUGCGCGCAGCAGCUUCGGCUGCGCUGGGAGAGCUCUCGGAGACCGGUCCUUAGUCGGGGAGACCGGUCCCCGAGCCCGAAAUUUGCCCAGUCCAGGCAGUUGAAUAAGAUGAAAGUUGAGGGGUUUAUUUGCAUUUUUGCAACCCAUAGGUUAUGUAGAGGGCUGAGAGAGCCUUUUCUCUCAUUCUCUCCCUCACACACACUCCCUUCUCUCCCUCUCUCUCUCUAGAAGACAAAGAAGAAGAAGAAGAAAGGAAGAAAAGAAGGAAAGGAAGGAGAAGAAAGGGAAGAAGAGAAUCAAAGAGCAAAGGGGCUUCAUCUUCUUCCUCUCUAGUGCAAGAAAGGAGAGCUUACAAGGUAAGCUUUGAACCCUAAUGUAGUAAAACCCUAGAAAUGGGUUUGAAUAAACCUAGAAAUGGAUUGUUUAGAGUUUUUAAAGCUUUCUCUUUGCUUCUUUAGAGAUCAAAACCUUGGUUUGCUAUAGAGGUGAGCUUGGACCACCUCUCAUGGUGAAAUCCAAACUAGGGUUUGGAGUGAGCUAGGGAUAGUUCUAAUGGACUAUUUAGAGUAUAAUGAAGCUACUUUCGCUUCUCUUAGAGAUCAAACCCUAGGUUUUGAUAUACAUGGGAGCUAGGGCACCCAAAUUGGGGCUUUUGCUCAUGAGGGUUUCUAAGUGCAAUUGGCCCUCUAGAAACCUAAUUGGGGGUAUUUCCGACGCGUUGGCUUGCGCGCUCGGAUUAACGUUCACGAAAAGCCGAUGCAAAGUUAUGGCCAAAUAAGCCUAAUUUGGCUUCGUUAUGGCCGCAGGUAAAGAACGAAGGGUCUAAAAUCCUAAGAAAAUCGUCGGAGCACCUAGAUAGACCCUCGAGGGUGGUGCUUCUCAAACUCAUUGAACUUCUCUCUAUGCCUAAUGUGUCAUUCAAUUGAGCAUAUGUAUUAUCUGUUGCAUGCAUUUUAGGUAAAGUGAUGAUGGGAAAUGCGAUAUUGCAUGAUUGUGAGUACAACUUGCAUAAUAUGAUGAAUAGAACCUUAAGAAUGUCGGAAACCCUAUAUGUCUGCAUGAGAGAAAAGUGAGCACCCAAAAUAGAGCAAAACAGAGUGACACAAUGACAUAGAUCGAGUGCAUUUGAUAAGUUAAAGUGAAAUGACACUAGAGAUAGUGUGAGGAAAAGAACCAUUGUAAUGUAAAGAAUCAUGAAAAUGACAAAAAUGUGUAAAGUAAAGUAAAGUGGGGCAAUGAGAAUAAGUAUUGUUAAUGAACAAGAAUGCUAGUGUUAGCAAGAGUAGAAAAAUGUAAAGAAUGUGAUUGCCAUGAGUUUGCAACGUAAAGUGAUAUAAAGAACACUAGAGCUAGUGGAAAGUCAAGAUUGACUUAUUAAUCCUUUGAGUUAAGGAUAUGAUCACACUUGCUAUGAGUUCCGUGCUCGAGGCGGUCGCUCCCCCUCGGGCGAUGCGCCCGGAGUUUUGCAUCACGGGUGGAGUACCCGAAGGACGGUCCUAGCUGGUGAGUUCCUGCGUGAUGGACUUAAUGUGAAGCAAGUUAAUGUGGCAAACUCGGACCGUUAGCUUGAGAUUAAAGAACAAAGAACAAAGAGCAAAGAAUAAAGAACAAAAGUACCAAGUAAAGUCAAAGAACGAAUGAGUUUUCAUAAUCUGCAUAUAUUAAUGUUAGCAUACUUCUUGCUAUUUCGUUCAGCAUAUUAGCAUCAUGUUAUAGAUUGGUUACUAUUACCUGCUUAUCCUUUCUAUUACUAGUUAGUCCUGUGGGAAAGUCGGUGAUGUUGAGGCCGAACCCACUGGGAACUUUGUUGUAGUUCUUCCACAGAGCCUGGGAUCCGAGCGAGCCGGCGAGGCGACCGCGUUAAAGGUAUCGCACCGUAGUCAGAGGCACCGGCAGUUCGAGUGUUACAUUUUCGUUAGCCAGUAAUCCCUUUUUAUCAUCUUUUGUAUUAUGAUAUUCAAGAGGUUAAUGAUAUAAGGCAAGAAAGAAUGUAAAGCUUAUUUUGGUAUAUUGUCAGCCCCGAGACCGCUGCCAAUUUGGUCCGGCCCGGGCGCGUCAAAACAGACGCCGAACGAACAGGACCUCCCUGUCCGCCCAAGGCUAACCAACAGAUCAUGUAUAAGAAUUACCCAGGAAUUAAUUCAUGAAUACACGAUCAAGAAGCACCACCAGUGCAACAGACGAGAGCAAGAUACAAGUAUAAAAAUAAUAUACAAGUACAUAAAGAGAGAAGAUACUAUCUAUUACCAUUCAUUAGCCUUUAUAUAUACAAUUUGAUUAACAUUAAGUUUCUUAACAUAAUAAAAGCUUACAUCUUCCAAAUAUAAACAUUAGCUUACAUUCAUCCCAAAAUAGCUCACAACCUAUACAUCAUCUACUCUCAAUGCAUAUAACGGUGACUCUAAUGCAGAAAUAGGAAAGUAACUAAUGCAACUAGGGCGCUAGCCCUUACCGCGAUCCUCGCCGUGUGAACUCGCGCUCGGCUGUAGUAAAAAUGGGGGUGAGAACUAACUCCUUAGUUCCAGUGGGUUCGGCCGCCGACUCGCCGAUCUCCCACUAGGUCCAAGUGGGCACAAGUAGAUAAUCGAUAGAUAGAUAGAUAAGGAAAGCGGUAAACUGACAGCAGUAAGCUACGCUACUAGCCCAAUCAUAAAUAUAUGAAUGCAUGUACAAUGAAAUGGAUAAACAACAAUCCAUUAUCAUGUCCAAAGGUAAAGUUAUUUACUCGUUCACCAAUCUUUCAUACUUGUUUCUAAAUCUCGGCCUCCCGAAAGGCCUGCUGCUCACUAGCCAUCUCGAAGGUAGGGAGGUCAACGCGCACUACGAACCGAGACCGUCUGCGGGGCCUAAAAUAGGCAAUCCCUGGGACCCGAAAUCGGCAAUCCCACGUGACCAACUCCGGAGCGCCAUACUUGUUGGGGCUUCCAUCACAAGAUUUAAAACAGACCGUGAGCAUGAUCCAAUCCUCGUCUCGAGAAUACCCUAUCCUUUAUGGUUACAACCAUCAUAGGAGUCCAUAGUUUCAUAUACACUAUGACUCACAUAUGCCAUUUGUUCUUUUGUUUACUAUCAACUAGAUGCCACUCGUUCUUUACAAGUUUCCAAUGCAAUAGCCAAUGCAUUAUUAAAUUCCAUCCACACUUAUCAUCUCAUUAUAUUCCACAUCACAUUAUAUAACCUCAAGCAUGCUAAUAUAAGUAUUAAGCCAAAUACAUUAUUCUACCAAAGAACAUGCAAGGUAUAGGACCAAACCAUCAUUUAUCACCCUAUAAUGCAAGAUGUCAAUAUGUCAAUAUGCCAAUUUGAUCAAUAUAAAACUAUAGACAUAAAAGGGAGCCCGAUUGCUUCGGGAUGGACACCACCCACCUUUUAUUGGCUAUCACGAGGGCUAGGGUUCCAAUUUCGUGAUUUUUGGAAGCUUUCGCCGCAAGUGUGCGGCAAUCUGUACCUUAACGGCUUCUCUUUAAUAUCUUCGCGUACGUUCGUCGUAUCGCCGAAUCGACUUCGCC